rnacentral:lncRNA from 1 species
UCAAGCUCGCCAUUUGAUGAUCUAUUUGGUCUAGGUUUACCAACAGCUUCUGCUUCUCCUAUCACUCCCGCUGCACCUUCACCACCUCCCUUGCAGUUAAAGUCAAAAGCUGUUCUAGAUCCAGGAACUUUUCAGCAGAAAUGGCGGCAGCUGCCUAUAUCAAUAUCACAGGUUUGUUUUCACAUCUAGAGUAUUUUCGAGAGUAAUUUUGUCAUUUUAAAAUUGUUGAAGUCUCUUUUAUUAAGUUCAAAAUCACUCCGAAACACGAGGUUUUAAUCACGAAGCAUUAAUUUACACUUUUAACUGUCAUUUUAUGUCAACAAAAUUACUUUUGAAUGUUUAAAAGCAUAUUUAAGUGUGAUUUUGAAAAUGACAAAACUGAUUUUCGGUAUUUUAGAAUCAGUGCAAAACAUGCCUUGUACCUGCCAUUUUCAUAUGAAGAUCCUUUUCUAGAUAUUUCAUCAGCCACUUUUUCAUUGUAGUUAACCCAUCGUGAAUCUGAUCAUCUUUUCCAAGUGAAACUGAACUUAGGGUACUUCCGUUAUUCCGACCUCCAUAUUGUGCUGCCACCUGAUGCCUUUUUCUUUCAGGAAAUUUCUGUAAGCCCUCAAGGAGUCGCAGCGCUAACAUCACCACAAGUCCUCCUCCGGCACAUGCAAAACCAUUCCAUUCAUUCCAUUGCAUCCGGUGGCCAGGCACCUAACUUCAAAAUCUUCUUCUUCGCACAAAAACAAGAAGAACCGAGCAACUUUCUGGUGGAGUGCAUUAUCAACACAGCAUCUGCCAAAGCACAGGUAAAGGUUAAAGCCGAUGACCAAAGCGUGUCGCAAGCUUUCUUGUCUUUGUUCCAAUCAGCUCUGGCAAGCUUUGGUAUGCCAUAAGUUAUCAGCAUUAAGUUUUGCUUGGUAAAUCCCUUCGUUCGCGUUAUCUGCAUCAACAUAUAGGAACAGAUGGAUGGAUGGAGAUAAACAAGGUAGCUAUGGUUAUGGAAUUUCACAUUGAUUUGUAGUAUAGAUGAGUGUAAUAUGGGACUGAAGAAUCUCCUCUUUCUGUUCCCUAAUCGUGGCCCCUUCCAAUUGCUUAGCUUUUGCUCCAAAUCUGUGCUAUAAAAUCUCGUCCAGUGUAUAAGGUUUUGUGAAUUUUCAAGUCUUGUAGUUAGUUUCUUGCACUCUUCAUCUCUUUUCGCUUCUUUUUAACUUCUGUAUUGAGACUAUUUUUCAGCCUUAUGCAGGUAAAUAAUAUCCAAGGUUCUUGGUCAUUUGUGUACCAAAUCCCACAGGGUGAAUUCUUAUUGUUUGUGUUCUAUACAUCAAAAUUUGAAGAUUUUGUCAUGUCUGCCUUCCAUUCUGGCGUAUACUUUCUAUUUUUGCCUCUGAGCAUUGCAGGUUGUAGCAAGUUAAAGAUGGAUUCUAUCGUACAACACAACUAGAAUUAAGUUUGAGAGAUCAACUUUUACGAUUAAAAUUUGAAAGUAUAAUUGUAACAUUUGUCUUUAUAUUCUUGAAAAUGAACCAUUUCAAUUUCUUUAUUAAAAGAUUAAAAUAGAUACUUAAAAUUUUAAUGGCAAUAUAUUUACACACAAAUUGGAGUUAGGUCAAUGCUAAUUGACGUGAUCUUCCAUAUGUUUUUAGAGGUGCGUCAUUGGAUCUUUUAGUUAAUGAUAUGUCCAUUUGCUAAUGUAUGUUUGCGGCAUUAUCCUUUUCUUUUUCCUCUUCUUCUCCAUGUUGCACGUUUUUAUUUCUUUGUGAAACUAAGAGUAAGAAUAGUGAAGAGAGUGGGAGAGCGAGAUUGUGAAACUAAGAGCAAGAAUAGUGCUUUUUGAGUGAGAAAAAGAAGAGAGCAAGAAGUGAGAGUUAACAGAGUUUUGUGAGCGAAAAAAAGGAGAGCAAGAUGAGCUAGAACGAGUCAAGUGGAAGCGAAACCGUGAUUCUUUCUUGUGUGCAUGUAUAUAUUUUGUUAAUUUCACCCAAAUUGCAAAGGGUCGUUGGCAUUUUUUUCCAGAGAUUUUUUUUGACAUAUUUUGUCCAAUUAUGGAGUCUCAUCAGACAUGGUUUAAUAACAUUUAAGGGACAUUUCGAAUAAAAAUUAAGUUAAUAUAAUUUAUGUUUGAAAUAUAGAUUAUUUUAAUUUGUAGAUAUUUCGAGUAAAAAGUGAGAUUAUAAUUUAUGUUUAGAACAUAGAUUAUUUUAGUUUGUGGUGUGAAUUAUUUUAGUUGGAGAAGAAUAAAAAUGAUAGCAUAAAUACUAACUAAAAUAGUUGAUAUGGUAGCCAAAUUAGAAAUUUAGAAAUGUUAAAAUAGUUUUUAUUAGCUUAUUAUAGUUUUGGACUAAAAGUUCAUUGCACAUUCUAAGCAUUGCAUCAGGAACUCUGGCGACUGUCAGGUAAAAGCUCGAACGGCCAUUACACAUUCUAAGCAUUGCAUCAGGAACUCGGGAGCAAACAAUGGCGUCCACCGGGAAAAGGGUUUUGGCAUUGGCCAGAAAUGUUUCCCUCAGUGUUCCACUUCAGUCACAGCAACCUCAUUAUCCACUUAUUUUCCGGGGAUUCUUCUCCACUGAUCCUUCAAUUUCCAUUACGAAUCCUCUGCUUCUCAAAUUGCUUCAGGAGCCAACUUCGUCUGUCAAAUCCGUGCUCGAUUCCCAGGAAAAUGGUUUUCUCUGUAGCUCCCGUCUUUCAUUGAAUGCCCUCGUUACGUCUCUUAUAUCUUCUUCAAUGCUCAAGAAGGCUCAGCUGGUAACUCUCCCUAUUCUCUCUUUUUUCUCCAUUGUUGUCUGUUUUGUUGAUUGUUGAAUGAAUUUAGGGUAAGAAAAGCUAUGGAUUCUGUGUGUUAGUUGGUGGUAUCUAAAUUGGAGGGAUUAUGUAACUUUUUUUUCCUUCAAAAAAAUUCAUCAUCAAUGUGAAGGGACUUAUACAAACUCUGGAAUGGAAUUGGAAUCAGUAAAUGAAAGCAAUAAAUAAAGAAUAAAGAUAAAAAGCAUUUCGUCUAAGACGUUAAACUUGUGAAGAGAAUUAAAUCAAUGACUUAGAAGGAGAACACCCUAGCGGAAGCAAAGCUAUUGGAGCUUGAUAUGAAAGAUCCUUUGAUUUCUUUUACACUAUCACUCAGAGUGAAAUGCUUUAACGAGAAUAGAGAAAGAUCAUUAAAGAUGGAUUUUGGAGCCAAAGAUGGAAUGAUAAGCAAUUAAAAGCACAUAAAUAUUGGAUAGAGAACUCCUAGAAGAAAGCCUUCAGACUUGCAGAUUCAAAGAGCUCAAGGUAAGGAAAAGAUUUGAAGAGAUUAUGUAACUUGAACUUGCAUAAUUUCUUAAUGAUUCUUUAACCAUUUAAGAAUCACUAUCAGUGAGGAUUGAUAGUGAUUCUAAAAUGGUUAAAAGUACUUUCUUCAUCUUCUAAAUCAUUCCUAAGACAGUGUAAAAUCAAACAUUAAAUUGAAUUUAAAUGACUGAAGGCAUGUGUUUGAGUGAUUUUGAACAUAUAACAAUGUUAGACAGACUGAUUUUGCUUCCAAACAUACCCUUGCUAUCAACUGAAUAAUGUUCUGUAGGAACUGGUUUCAUGUUUUCAACUGUCUUUUUCUUCCAAUGGCUUCAGUGAUUGGCAAGUUUAUCUUUGAGCUAUCAUGGUAUCUCGUGAUUAACCUUUUUCUGGGGCUUUAUCAGGUUUUGGAAUGGAAAUUGGAGAAUAUGAGCAAAAAAAAUGAGAGAGAUCUUGAUUUCUACAUCAACCUGAUAUGUCUAUGCGGAAAGCUUAGAAAUUCCUCUCUUGCAAUGCGUGUCUUCAAUGUUAUGGAAUUUCAAGGAGUUAAACCCACGGUGACUGCUUUCAAUUCACUUAUAGAGGCUUGUAUAUCUUCCAAUAAUAUGAUAACUGCCUUUAGCAUAUUUGAAGUAAUGAAAAACUCCAAAAAUUUUAAACCCAACACUGACACUUUCUAUUAUUUCAUUUCUGCAUUCGCCAAAUUGCACGAUGUCAACUCUAUGCAAGCAUGGUAUUCAGCCAAAAAAGCAUUUGAAUUCUCUCCCGACCUUCGAACCUACGAAGCUCUUAUACAUGGUAGUGUGAAAUCGAACUGCUUUGAUUUUGGUGUCAAAUGUUUUGAGGAAAUGAUCUUAUCUGACAUUGUACCCAACACAAUCAUAUUGGAGAAUAUGCUUGAGGGGCUCUGUAAAAGGAAAAAUUUUGAUGAAGUGAAGAAGUUCCUAAAUGUUGUGCUUGACAAUGGAUGGGAGAUCGAUUGGAAUGUGGUUGAGAAAUUCAUUCCAGUAUGGUUUGAAUCUGGGGAGUUGGAAGGGAUGAAGGAGAUCCUUACUAAGCUAAAUAAGUGGAAUUAGGCUUUCGAUGACAAUGUAUAGUCAGUCAUAAGUAGAAUGAUAACAAUGUAUAUCCCAUGUCCAAUACAAUAUUCUGCUUUGUCUUAGGGAGUUGGAAACCCUGGAUUGCUUGUUUUUGCAUUAUGAGUUUGCUUUUCUAAAGGGUAGUGUAUUCAUUUUAGUACUUUUGAGGUGGCUACCCUCUAUAAGAAAAUUUAUGAAUGGUGAUAAACGGUCUUGACGGUCGAAGUUCAUGUGAAAGAGGCAAAAUCCUUUGGAGAUGUGCGACUCAUGCGCUUUUGUGGUCAUUUUUUGGAAAAUAGAGGAAUACCAAGACCUUGGAAGAUAAAUUUGCUUUGUUGAUCCUUUUGGGCUUUUGUUCACCAUAUAACUUCUCGAUGGUGUACAAAUUACAUUUAUGUUGUUUGAAAGUUAGUCGACGUAGUUGUAAUUAAAUUUUAUUGAUAGAUCAAUCAUUAUAGACUAUAAUCGCAAAUGUAAUUUAAUGAAGUUUGAUUCCGAUUACUAAAAAUUAUGAAUUUUAUCAAAUUUACUAUUAAUGUUAUGGUUUGAGUUAAUCCAAAUUGCAACGCUAACAAUGUCAAAAUGAUUUUUUCUCUCUAAAAGUGUAACUACAACUCAAAUUCAAAUUCAAACACAAAUGAAAAUGAUAAUGAUAAGAUGUAAUUUUCGGACAUAAUUAAAUUGAUCACUCUCUGCUCGUCAAUUGGAUUGCAGCUUUUGUUUGUAGAUUUUGACGUGAGUCUUAUAGGUCAAUACAUAUUAAUUUAAAUUUCUAUUUAACAAAAUUUAUAAUUUCAAACUCAAUAUGGCAUUGGGCAUUGGGAACCAUGUAAUCAACCUAAAGUCUUGUUUCUAUUCCUUUUUUCAUCUUCAAAAAAUUUGAAUUUCUUAAUAUUAGGCUAUAAAUAUUCUAGUUUGUUUAAAUCUAUUGUUGGGUUUUCAUUUUAUGAGUAUCAAAAUUAAUUUUAGUCGAGGUGGGGAGGUUUGAUUGCUCGUCCUUACUGUUGUUUUAAAAAGAUUAAAUAAAAAUAUAAUUUCUCUUUUUAGUAUGAAAAUUGUGCAAGUGUUGUUUAAAUACUGUUUUUUGUAUCUUGACAUUGAUUGAUAAUCUUUUUGUUUUUGAAAAUAAGGUUUGUAAAUAUCAUUUUUACCCAUAAGUUUUUUUGUCUUUUGUUAUUCACAUUUUACUAAUGGUUCAUAUAAAAGAUACAAGAAGUAAAUGAACAAAUAUCAUUCUAUACCUUUAGAAUGAUACCUUUAAAUUUUGAAGAUGGUAUCCAUUCAUACAAUUAACUUGCAUACUCGCAUCAAUUUACAUUCUUUUCAAAUUUCAUUUGACUGAUAUCAUGUGAAACUUAUGGUUAAGUCAAUCAAACUCUUAAUUUUUAUAGGUCAAUCGAAUUUAGACAUUUUAUUACAAUUAGGUAUGAAAACCAUCCAAACAUUUAUUCUCAAGCGUGUGUAGACUUCUUCAAAUGUCAAUUUUACAAUCUAGGCGAUUCUCAAAGGAAGUUUUGCUCAAUAGUUCAAAUUGAUCUAUUUAUAAAAGUUGAGAAUUUGAUUGAUACAAUUAUAAAAGUUUCAAUAGUUCAAAUUGAUCUAUUUAUAAAAGUUGAGAAUUUGAUUGAUACAAUUAUAAAAGUUCCAUCGAACAUUUUUAGAGAAGAAAUAAAUAGUUCCUACUUUACAUUGAUAUGACCAUAUAAGUUGGGUAUAAGUACCUGGACGUCAACCAUCUUUCUCCAUCCUUUCUCACCACUUCCACAAAAAGGAAAAUGGUGAAAAAUCUUCUGGAGUUUUUGUGAAGGAGAAAAUUGUAAGUUGGCUCGUGUGGAAUUGAUGCUUCUUGCAUAACCAUUAUAUUUCAUAAGAGUUUACUUUACAGCUUGCUUUUGUGAUUUAGUGAAGUUGAACUCUAAGGAACACGGGCAUUAUCUUGACGCCCAUUCCUAUGCAGUAUACCCCCAACUAUGCAUAUGUCUAAAUUUAUGUUAAUCAUCUGUCUAGAUUAUCAUUUUAACCUAGGAAUAAGUAUAUUUGUAGUAUUGUGAUGCUACAUAUUUGUUUUACUUAUUGUUACUUUUUGAAGAGCCAAUACUGGAAAAGAAAACGUGCAGGUUUUGAUGUUGAUGAAAGAAUUUGGAGUCAUAGGCAUUAUGAAACGCAUGGAAAGCACUGAUCAAACAGAGACAAUGAACAUGCGAGUGGAGAACUCGAACAAGUUCUAUAAGAAGCAGCUUUCUGGUACCUCUCAUACAAAUAUAUUGCAGAUACAAGGGCUCAACCACUGGAAAUAAAAGAAACCGUGUCUUAUUGAGAGAUGUUGAUUCUUCUUUAGAGAGAUGUUGAUUCUUCUUUAGAAAUUUACCAAUCUUGCAUUUGCAAGCUUGGGGAAAGAUGCCUAUCAUCUCUCGAAAGUGGCUACAAGCACAAAUUGGUAUGUACAGUCAUUUUACACAUGUUCACUUGUGACACUGAUAUAAUCAUUUCACACAUUCAUGUACAGUCGUGACAUUCGACAUAGAUGAAAUAUUUUUCUUUCCUGGCAUUAAGAUUAUUCCAUAAGAAACUUUGGAUAGGAUGUAAUCAAAAGACUAUAUUAGUAAUCAGUUGGGAAAGUUGAUGGGAUAUUUUGUUCAAACUUAGAAAUAGAGGAAAUAUGGAUGGAGGCUGAUGGAUUCAUUUGGUGAGUGAAUUAUGGCUUCAAGUUCCUCAAAUUACUUAGUUUAUUAGUUCCUUUACCUUUUAUAUUGUGAUACAUUGUGGUUCUAUUAAUUUCGUGCUCAUUUUGUCACGAAGAUUUAUUGCUUUUCUAUGUGUGAUUUUGGAGUAAGGUUGAAGAUUUGAUCUCCAAAUUCGUGUAACAUUCGUUUAGAAUUGUUUCUUUCAUCACACAUAAUGGGUCAGGAUCGUUAUGUUGCAUCUUGAUGGUGCCAAUCUCUUCAAAUGCCAUUUCCUAUUCUCCAGAUAAACAAAAACUUGAGGGGAAAAAACAAAUUCGACUAUAAACUUUGAGUUGUUGCAAUCUUUACCUUAAAACAAAAACAAAAAUCAAGCUGAUUUCUUUGGGAGAAGAACUUCUAUACAGCUAAGUACAAAAACACUCUCUAAUUUUACUCUCAGAAUUUAAAUCUCCUAUUUCUACUUAGGGUUAAGUAACCUUUGGUUAAAAUUUCAACGAAAUUCACUUCUGCACAAAGGACAUGAAUUGUUGACGUUGAGCCAUUUGAGAAUACAGGACUUGUGAUAGACGUGCCCGCAGGGGAUUCUCGUUGCCUCCUCCUUUUCCUCUUCCCUUUCACAGUUGAGAUCCUCAUAACAAACGCAGCAUUGACCUCCCAUCCCUUCCCCUCCAUUCCCAUCAUCAUAUUUCUCAUUCAUAAGCCGCUCCAUGACCGACGCCGGCACCCCAUUCCUCACCGGCGGUGAAUAUUGUGGUGGGUUCAGGUUCAGGUUUAUCGAGAUCGUGUAGAGUAAAUCCACUGUGGCGAUGAGGUGGAAAUUGAGAUUGAGGUUGCCGGCAGCCAGUUGAAGGGCGAAGGAGGAGAUGUUGUGGAAUAUGGCGGCGGAGUCAGCCGGAGAGAGGAAUUGAAGGAGGAAGUCGUGGAAUAAGGAUGGGUUUUCAAGUUCAAGCUCUGGCAGAGGAAAGUGAAACAGAGCAUUGGAAAUCGAAGUUGGGAAAGUUUGUUGGAUGUUUUGGUUAGAAAAUGGAGACACUAAUUUGCUGAAUCUCCUUAAUCGGAUUUCCACGAGUUGCUUAUCUGCGGUGGUGGGGAUGCUGCGAACACAGCAAUCAAGAGACAGAUUGGUAGUGGAAGACAUGGUGAUGGGAUGAAAAUGGGUUUAUGGGAAAUUCUGAUUUAUUAACAGCAGAAGAAGAAGAUCCUUUGAUUUUGGAGAUUUCUUUCUUAAAUCAAUCCGCCGUUGGGAGUUUUGAUCGGUAAAACAGGGGAAGGAGGGCGGUUGCUAGCGGUGAGAUCGGUAGAUAUUGUUAAGAUUAAAUUAAUCACUUUGCUGAAUAUCUAUCUAAACAAAUAUUCAAAAUACUGUUAAUCUAUCUAACCAAAUUAAUCAUUUUGCUGUAUAUCAAAAUACAAUAUAUAUAUAUAUAUAUAUAUAUAUAUAUAUAUAUAUUCAACCUAGUAUUAGGAUUAAAUUAGUAAGAUACAAUAGUAAAUUCCUCGUACUAAUGAUAUAAAACCGUUUUCUAAUUUGCUCGGUGGAUUUUCUAAAUUUAAUUUUAGGCUUCAGCUUCAGUUAUUAUUAUUACUAUUUUAAUUAGUUUAAUAUAGUUUUUAAUAAUAUAUUUUGAUAAUAUACGCUUUUUUUAUUGAAAAAACUAUAUGUAUAUUUUUAUUAAGAAAUAAUCAAAUUGUAUUAGAAAAUAUGAAUUUAAUAAGAAUAUUUGAAUAUUAAAUAUUGAGAUAAAUAAUAAAAAGACGUGGAACUCACAAAGAAGAAGGUGUGAGCCUCUAAUAAAUAAAUAAUAAAGAAAAAAGAAGCAUGGACUCCUAUUUUUUUUGGGUUGGUUUCUAAAAUAAUAUUAUUUUAAAAAAAAACCACUAAAAAGAUACAAAAUAUAACAAUUAAAUUAAAAAUAUAUAAAAAAUCUUUGAAAAAUUGAAAGUGUAGCAAAAUCUAUUAUAGUGUAUUAAAAAUAAAAGUCUAUCAUGGAUAGUCACUUAUAAGUAUAGAUUAUACUUACAAUUUUUUAAAAUUUUGUUACAUGCUUAAUUAUUAUAUCUAGAUUUGUUAGAUAUUAUAAUUUAAUUAUAUGUUGGUUCUAUCAAUCUCUCUUGUUAAUUUGUUGUUAAAAUCUAAAAAUUCAUUUGAUGACGUUUAUGUUUAUAGUUUUUUAAAAAAUGAGUUUUUUUUGGUAAGUUUCUUGCUUCUCCUUCCCAAAAGAAAUAGAGACGUUUCUUAAAAAACUUAUUUCCAUCACACUAGUGCCAAUCUCUACAAAUAUAAUUUUAAUACAUUAUAAAAUACAUGCGCAAUUUGAAAUUAAUAAAAUUUCAGAGAAUACAUUAGGAAGUUUUGUGAUUUAAUAAUUGAAUUUAUGCAUCGAUGAAACUUACAUAGUAAAUUGGUACAAAGCUUUAUUUUAUUGAUGUUGAUGGAAAAAGAAUACACCUUCUGUAGCUAAAAUUAGUGCAUUAAAUAACGAAAAUUAAACCUCUCGUAACACUUGCUUAAAUUUAGGAUUCUAUUAAAUGUUUUCGAAGAAAACAUAGCCAUUGUUCAUACUUUUGGAGAAAUUGUAAUGGUUGAUAUAUCUAAUGUUUAAGAGAAAUUGUAAUGAUUCACAUUCACAGCCUAUAAUCAAAACUGUAGCUGAAAUAUUUAAGAGAAGAUACAAACAAAGAACACAUAUUAUACAACUGAAAUACAUUUCAAUUUCGAAGUGGAAUGGCCUAUUGGAAUCAUCUUCCUUUCCUAUGCAAAGCUGAUGCAUCUUGAUCAGAAGAUUGAGAAGGAACUCUACUAAGAAGCCAUACCAGAAGGACACCAACCAGCGCCCCGGAGAGAUGUGCAACAUGGUUCACAUUCUGCAACGAAUAUCCACGGAAGCUUCCCGACAAUGCAGUUGAUGCUUGAGCUGCUUCCAUGACCUAUUAUGAGCAGGGAAAAUAACAAAUGAAUAAGCAAGUGUCACAUACCUUUGCCUUGCACGGAAGAGAAACGGUUUCAUUGAUGCUAUGAAAUUACAAAAGGGUAACGUGCCAAUAAGAAGAUUACAAUCGGAAGGGAGAGUAGAAAAGCCUAUAGUAGUGUACAACUAUCUAUCUCCCUCUUUUUUUUUCUAGGCUUCUCUAUUAUUCUCAAUGUAUAACUCUCUUGUACUUUGAGUAUUAUUAUCAAUAAAGAAGCUUGUCACCUUUCCAAAAAAAAAGAAAGUAUACAGUGCUAGAGUAAAAAGAGCCAUUUACACCAUGUCAAAACCGUAUUAAGUGUAGCAUUAAAAAGUUAAAAUCAGACUUUUUUUGGGGGGGAAGAUUCUUCUAUUUCACCAUAUGUUCCAAUAGAAUGCUUAAAAAAUAAAGUUCUCCCAAAGAAGCUUCUUCUUUCCUUCUGGAAAAAGUGGCUUUGAAGGAGGUGGGAAAGAAGAAAAACAAAAGUCUCGAGAACCGUAUGCCAAUUUAAAGAUGAUUCCUAUAUUAUAGAAAGGAAAAGGAAAACCAAGGCUAGUUCAUUCUAAUUAGAGGAAAAUCAAGAUACGAUAGCCAACAUGAGUUUUUAGCUUAACAAACAUCUGUACGUUCAUGAGGACAAAAGGUCUUGAGUUCAAAUCCUCCCCCAAGUUGUACUUAAAAAUACAUUUUAAAAAAAAAUCAAGAUAUGACAAAUUAGCAAUUAACUAGGGAUAUGGAAAGAAGGAACAUUAUAUCCUAUGCCCGAGUAUUUCAUUCCUAACCAAUCCCCAUCUUGGGAAGGAUGCUUAGUAUUUGCGUUUUUAAGAUCAUGUACAUGAGGGCAAAAAGAGAACUUUACCUUCUCUAUUACGAAUUGGCCAAGUAUAAGGACUUCAAGUAUCUUCCUCCAAUCCCAAGACAUCUGGCACGAAGAAAUUACUUCAUUAAAAAUGUUGUAUUAAAUUUCUAAUGAGAGUAAUGAAUCAUUAUGUUUUAGAUAGAUACCUUUACAAGAACACUUAUGGUAAACAAACCGAAAACAGCACCUGAAGCUCCAACUGAAACAGCAUUUCUUGGUAAAAUUAGCCAUGAAACAAUGUUUGCACCUACACCAGUAAGAAUAUAGGAAAGCCACAAAGCAAAGUUUCCUUCCUCUUCUUCAACAAGUUUCCCUGUUGAUCACACAUAAUGGAACUAUUAAAUGUCAAAACAUUUUGGUUAUUUUAUGGUUUUGAUGUCCAGAAAGAAAGUUGAUCCCAUUAUAGGGAGAAAAAAUAAUAAGGAUUUGGAAGAUGUUUCUCACCAAAUAUAUACAAGAAAAAAAGAUUGCUAGAGAGAUGGUUCCUGCAAACAUUCAGAAUAGCAAGAACUACAUUAAACAAUGCUUGUAAAAGCAGCAAAUUGCAUUCUCAUGAGAAGAUAAGCAAGCUUCUGCCUCUGUGUGUGUGUAAACAAUCUGAAAUUUGGAUGAUUUUGAACAGCCAAAAAAACUCACCAAUUAGCGUGACAAAAUGUUGCUGUAAAAAAUUGAUACCAAGCAGGACGACUGUGAUACAGGUACAAAGCUCCUAUAUUACGAACCUACGAAAAUGAAAAUUUAGACAACGUUUGAUAACCAUUUAGUAUUUUGUGAACAUGUAUAAAUACUUCUUCUACUAGUGAGUUUGUUUUUUUCUCUACUUCUAAAUGUUUUUAUUAAAUAACUAAUUCAUCCAAAAGCUUAAGUUGGUGGUAGAAGGUAAAUUUAAUUAUAAAUCACGAACAGUUUUCAAAAUUCAUGUCAUGUUUUAAAAACUAUAAAAAGUAGUUUCAAUUUUUUGAGUUUGGCUAAAAACCCAAAUGUUUCUACAGGCGAGGCAAAAAAAAUUAAAAUGAAUAAAUUGUGAGAAUGGAUCAAGAACAAUGUUUAAAAAUAAGAAAAUAAAAAAAUCACUAAAGAAAAAUGGUUAUCAAACAAGGUUGGAGUCUUUCAUUCUUUUCUAUGUUAACAUUUAAAACAGAUAGUUAAAAACACCUGUUUUUGUCACUUCAUUUGAUGAUUAUUGGUUUCUCUUUUGUUGGCGGGAGGAAGUUUGGGUAUAGUGAAUUAGGUCUCCAGUAACAAAGCUCUGGCAUGCCAACGUCUAUAAUGGGCAGAAUUUGAGAUGUUCGUUGCAAACGUGGGAUAAGGUGAGGAAAAAUAACCGGGAACUCCUUUUUUCAUUUUCUUCAUAGGUAACAGAAAGACAGCAUAAAGGUAAUGGGUAAAGAAAACCCCUACCUGAAGCAAGACUAUAGGAAAGCCUUUCAAUUGUUAAUAAUCAUGGAUUCAUGGAUAGGCUCAGAAUGACUCUAACUCUUAGAAUGAAUCUUUCAGAAAUGAAAUUGAGUUUUGACUGUUUUGUUGACUACUAUGGAUCUUGAUUCCAGAGAGGACAAAAGGAUUUCGUUUUUGGAAGCUUUGAAAGUGUAAAUCCCUCUUUGUUCAUCAUCUGAGGGCUCCAAACACUAUUGAGGAAAAGGAUACAAAUAAAGGUGAGAGUACUUUCAUGAACUACUUUGUUGUGGAAACUCAACUCCCCCAUAAUGUGCUUAAAAGACAGUUUUUAGAUUCUUUUCUUCUUCCCAAUUGUUGCAUUUUGUGCAAGACUAGUGAGACUACCAAAGGCAUCCUUAUGCUCUACUUAUGCUUCAAUAUUAUGGGAACAGCUAUUUUAUAAGUUCGGUUGUUGUUGGAGCAAGCCAUAGACUAUCUAAGUCAUUGUUGAGGAUUUUCUUUGAAGCCAUGCUUCAAAGAAAAGCUGAAGUAUGUCUGGGAGGAAAACUGCAAUAAUUGUGGUCUUUGAUAGCAGUGGAAGGGGAGCAAUUGGAGAACUUUCAGUGGCUCUCAAAGAGACUUUGGAGACUUAUUUGAUUUACUUACGAUAGUUUGACUCUAAUGUGAUAAACUCUCUAAAAAAAACCCUUUUGUACUUAACAAUUAUGUAUAUAAUAUAUUAUUGUACCAAUUGAUCCCCUUUUUUUGCAAUGCUCAUUCUGGUUUCUGUCUUGAAUGUCUUUUUUUUUUUUUGGUAGGUCGUCAUGUUGUGUCUUUCAUAUCCUCUAAAGAAAAGGUUAAUAGCUAAUAACCCGAUCUGCUUUCCAGUGGAUCAUAGUCUUAAAACUCUACAAUAAUCAGCUUUGACAAAUAGUUUAUUCGUUUAGAUGGGUAAAAGUUACAAAAAGUUUUGACCUAAACAACUAUCUUUUUUAUGAUAUAGUCGACCUAAUAAACUAUCAACCGGUAGACUUUCUUCAAGACAAGGAAUCUCAAGUCUGAUGAUACAGCACAUUGAUGAAAGACAAGGAGGAGGGCCUAGUUUAUUGAAACUUAUGAUGAUACAGCACAUUGAUGAACAUCAAAUGAAUCUCAAGUCUGAUCCGGGAUGCUUUAUCUAAACUAGGCAGGAUAACUUGGCUAACUUUCCUACUCGGAUAGCAUCUCUGAAUGGGAAAUGGAAUAUGAAAUUUUGAAAUGGGAAUAAGGGUGCUACGAGUCGUUUUCAAAUGUGGAUGGAAAGGAUGGAUAUGUUGAACGAAAUGGUUUUAUUUUUUGAUUUGCUGGAUAUAAAUCAUCAGAAGGAUUAUGCAUUUCGAGCUAUUUCCUGUGCUGGGCCUACUUGAAAGAAAAGAGCUGCAGCUACUGUCGAGCAACUUUGUUCCUCACCUUCCCCAAUGAGAAAACUUCAACUAUCAAUCCCUAGUGGCCUGACCUCUGAGAGCUAGCUAUUUUGAGGGAAUUGUUUUUCACUCUAUCGAAAGGCAACGACGUGAAAAGUAAACAUAAGAGAACAAAAACCCUACCUGAAAAACGUGAUCAGCCACAUAUAUUCCAAUGUUGAGAAGAAUAAUCCAGAAUAUACCAUUAACACGCUUCUCCGUUUUCCGAUUCUGCAGUGGUUUUCCCAGCUCCAACUGUGAUAUCAAAUCUAACAAACAUUUAAAAAACACAAAAUUCUUUUUUUACUUUCAUUCAACCGCACACGUCUUUCAUCAAACAAAAUCGAAAAAUUCCUCUAUAAAAUCAUAAGGAAACAGAUUAAGAUACUGUUCCAAAAAGCGGAAAAAAUAAAAGGAGAACCUGCAUCGUUCAUCUUGCAGGUCGCGAUGGGUUUCAUACAAAAGAAACGCGAGUGGAGAGGAAGAACAUGGGUAAAUUGGGGAAGGGAAUGGAGAAAUGGAGAUGAAAAUCUGAGUGAGGUUAAGGUGAAGCUGGAUUGAAAAGAAAUGGAAGUUAAAGGCAUUUGGUUGUUGCAUAGCGUUGGAGGUUUCGAAAUUCGGCCUCCAUGAAGCAGCUGCUGCUGCAACUGAAGUUGCAUUGGAAAUUUGAGAGCGAUAAGCUAAUUGGAUAAAUCGGUGGAGUAAUGAAAUAAUAGUUAAUGUAUAUAUAUAUAUAUAUCUUUUAUGGCUAAAUUAAAAUAAGGUUUAGCUUGCAAAAAAAUAUAAUAAAGGGAAAGAAAAAUUGGUAAAAGUAUUUAAAUGUAAGUUUUCAAAAGUAACACUUUUUUUUAACUCGUAUUUUAGUAUAUUUGUAGUAUUCGUAUUCCUUUUAAGAAAAAUCAUGGAAGAGGAUUAUUUCUUUUUGUUUCUUUAAUGUGGGAGGUAGAACGUCGAAUUAUCGACAAUAAAUAUUGAAUUUGAAACUUUACCAUCUAUAGAAAAAGGAAAAAGAGAAUAACGAUAAUAAAAAAUAAAAGAAAUGAGCAUUUGCAAGAGUGGGUGUACAAAAAUUAAGCUCAUUGUCUAAUAAUGUGAAACUUUUCGAAAAUGGUAAAAUCUAUUAGUUUUGUUUAAAUGAGACAUUGAAAAUAAGAAAUAAAGAUUGUCCUCAUGAUUCGAUGAUUGCAUUUAACUGUCACGUGAAUGACAUAUGAUUACCACUGUAUUAUCCUUUUUGUGUAUUAGUUAGUAGGUUUUUAAUAUUGAUAUAUGAUGAUCUUCAUACAAUUUUUUUCUUUUCAUUGACUUAUAAUAACCAAAACAAUUUAAUAUUGUUUUUGAUUUUAUCAAUUAUUAGGUCAUUCUAAUAUUGUCAUAUGAUGGAGGACGGGUCAAAUCAGUGGUGAGAAGGACAUCCUAGUCUCGACCACGCUCGAGUACUUUUCCCUGUGAGCACCCGUUCUUUGAAUGAGGAUCCCCUACCUUGACUCCCAAAAUAGGUAAUAGGACGGAGAUGGGGAGUGUCUCCUACUCCAACAUUCUGGUUCCGGCCAGACUCGAUUACUUUUCCUGCGGGCACCCGAUCUUUGAAUGAGGAUCCUCGACCUUGACUCCCAAAAUGGAUAAUAGGGCAAGGACGAGGAGUGUCUCCGACCCCAACAUCCUAGUCUCAGCCACACUUGAGUACUUCCCUUGCAGGCACUCGAUCUUUCAAUGAGGAUCUCCUACCUUGACUCACAAAAUGAGUAAUAGGGCGGGGACGGAGAGUGUCUCCGACCCCGACCUCUUGCAACCCUCGUUGCAAACCGUUUUAUAGUUAAGUACAAUCAAUUUUUGUAUCAAGUGGCUCAUAUCAAAAUGAUAAUGGAAUUACAUAUACUAAAUUAAAAAGGAAAUGUAAAUAUAGAGGAACAGGGCAAUGAAUGCUUGAGGAUGAAGAAAUCAAAGCAAUUGAAUCAACGACGAAAAUUUGAUCAAUGAAAAUUUUCGGGAGAGGAUGAAGAAAGAGAAUCUUCUAAAAUUGAUUUAAAAAAAAAAACUCAAAAUGUGAGAAAACUGUUAUAAAGGGGAAAGAAAAUGAAGGAAUGUGAAAUUUGGACAAUUUUAGUGGGAUGAGAAUUAGUCCGUUUGAGUCUAUUUUUCGAUCAGACCAAACCGGUACCUAAUGAACAAUAGUCGAUUUACACUCCAACCACGAGGGAGUGUAAAUCGACCAUUCAUCUGUCGAUUAAUUGAUUUAAGCAUUUGAUUUUUUAAAUAAAAUGUGCUUAAGUUUGGAUUUUUUCAAUCCAACACCCACCAAACCUCUUCUUAACUCCGACCUAUCUAGUUGGUCAACCUAGUUUUCUGUCUAUAAUGCUUAUUCUUAAAUCGUAGAAUAUAAUUAUAAGAAUGAUUACUGUAAAUAACAAAAAAAUAUAUAAAAUAUAGCAAAAUAAAACUUCAAAUUAUACUAGUGAGCAUAAUUAAAAGCUUAUCGAUAGACUCUUCAUAUCAAUGAUAAAUAUUUGAAUUACUAUUUAGCAAAAUACAUCCAAACAGAACAUUUAUUAUACUUAUUUAAAUUGUAAAUAUUUUUUUACAAUUUUCCUUAAAUUUUAGGACGUUUACAAAAUUAAUAACACACAUGUAAAAUUAUUUUUUAAAAAAGUCAUCCAUUACAAAUAGUUUAGUGACGAAAAUGGUAAAAUAUUAUUAGAUAUAUAUACCAAAUUUGUGUUAUCAAUAACUUUUUUCUAAUUACCAAUUUUUUUUCAAUUCCAUUGUAAUUAUCAAAUUUAUAUUCCUAAAUUGAAACUCAUUAAAGUGUUAUCGGAAAGAAAUCAACGGUUUACUGAGACGUCACGCUUCUGAAAUGACACGUAAACAGGGAGGAAUUCAAAUCCGACGUGGCGAAAUGUGAAUGGAUGAAAAUCAGCAAUAGGACGUGGCUUCAUUUCAGUACACGCUGUCGUGUUAUAUGCAAAUAAUAAUAAUAAUAAUAAUAUGAUUUAAUUUUAUAAAUAUGUAAUCCAAUCACAAACAACCGCUAGCAUCAUUUCUCAUUUCUAGACCAAUAGUAACACGCCACGUUUCAAAAGAAACGCUUCUCCGUAUAAAAUCCCAGUCGUCGUUGAAGGUCAGACGAUUUAAAUUAACAGUCCGGUGGAUCGACGUCCUUUUUAAUUUCUACUUUUACCCUUUCGUUCCUUUUUCUUUCAUUUGUUUUCCCUUUCCAUUCGUCGAGUUAAACCCUAAAUCUGAAAAUUUUGUGAAAAAAAAUAAUAAUAAUUCCUUCUCUUUCUUCGGCGAGCUCUCCGAUCUGCGUGGUCAAAUCCACUCGAAGUCUUCGAGCCGCCGAUGAUUGGUACGGUCGUUUGUUCGUUCCUUUUUUCCAAUUUAACGGUUUUCUUUAUUCUCGUUGCUGUUUCCAUUUCUCGAUAAUUUAUGGUUAUUUGGGUUUUGCUCGUAGGUUGAAUUGCGCUUCGAAAUUACGACAUUUUGAGAUUGAUGAUUUGAUGUUUGAUUUUGGGUUAGUGUAAUUGAUGUUGUUUGAGUUUGAUUGCAGAGGGAGCAAUUGCGAGACAGUUAUCUUAGUUUUUUUGCCGAUUGAUAGUGUUGGUUGAAAGGUGUUUAAUUAAGAACUGCCCAACAUGAAGAACGCCGAGCGCAUUGCGAAUUUUGCUCUAGCGGGUGGGUAACCAAUUUAUUGUACUGAUUUUUCUCGCCUGUAAAUUACGUACGAUUUAGGUUGGUUUGUGUUAAUCUGGAGAUCUUUGUUUCUUUUGUGUUUUGUAUUGUUUAUGAAUGUUAAGCGUAUGGAGAAUUGUGCACAAUUAGUCUGGGACUGGGUAAAUUGUCAAUAGAAUUAGCAGACACGUAUUAGUCCUAAUAUCAGUUGCCUAAUUAGAUAGCUUGUAUUGAAUAGCCAAUUUUCUUUUUUUCUGAAGGGUCUAUAUCAUCUGCAGCUAGAAAUCUGAUAGCUAACCUCUCAUUCUAAAUGCUAGACGUAAUCAUGGUAGUUACGUGGUAUGAUCACAGAUUAUAAUCUUGACUGAUUAACAUCUGUAGUUUCAUGGAAUUCUUUGCAAGAUCCGUAUAUCUGGUAAUCUAGGACUUAGAUCUGGGUAUCUCUAGUUUGUACUAGAGAGUGGGCAAAUCAUGUCCACAAGCAUUUGUUGUUUUCUUCCUUGUUUUGGUAGUUUUUGUCUGGAAAUUGAAUACGAUGGAAAUGAGAAAAUGAAAAUUCCCAGUAUCCUGGAAUCAUCAUGGCAAGAUAUACAGAUUGUUCAAUGUGGAUUAUGUUAUUCUGGGAAGACUAAGUAACUCACUUUGGAAGCACCACGAAGAAUUGUAUGAAUAUUCAUUGAUCUUGAUGGGUCUGAAUGAAUUUGUACUUAGAUUUCUAUCCACUGGAACUAAAUACAAUGAUACCUAAUAGAAAUAUAAAUAUGUGACAAUAAUAUUACCAUAUUGCCAUCUUAUAAUUUAACUGUCAUGUAACUCAUUAGUCAAUGUCAGACAUGUUAUCUUAAAAUCCAGUGUAUGGUUAAGCUUAAUCUUUUCUACCUUUUGCGUGCAGGAUUGACAUUAGCUCCACUUGUUAUGAAGGUUGAUCCCAAUGUGAACGUUGUGCUGACUGCUUGUCUAACUGUCUAUGUGGGCUGUUAUCGGUCUGUGAAACCCACUCCACCUUCAGUAAGUGCAACGAGGAAGUUCCUUUAAGUUGUUAAUUCCUUUCACUUCAUUCCUUGUACGAUUAUAAAUCCAUUUGCUUACACUGUCUUAUUAUGAAACGUACAGGAGACAAUGUCCAGUGAACACGCCAUGCGUUUUCCCUUUGUUGGGAGUGCAAUGCUUUUAUCUCUUUUCUUGCUUUUCAAGUUUCUAUCGAAGGACUUGGUUAAUGCAGUCUUGACAUGCUACUUUUUUGUGCUUGGGAUCCUUGCUCUUUCGUAUGUAUUCAAAUUUGUUUGCUCAUAAGCACUUCUCCUUAUUGCCGAUAUAAUUAAGUGUGCCCUGAAUUCAAUUUUAUUAAUGAUUAUCCUUGUUCUAUUCUAUCUAGAGCGACUCUGUUGCCUGCUAUUAAGCGAUAUCUGCCAGACCAUUGGAAUGAAGAUGCUAUUUCGUGGCGUUUUCCAUAUUUCCGGUGUAUGUGACUUCGUUUUUGCUCAAUGUAGUUCCAUGAAAAAUGAGUAAAUUUUCAAGUGUUUGUGUGUGCUGUUUUCCUUUGGUUCCACAUGUCUGUCAUGGUCGUGACUAUUUUUUACUUUAGGCUACCUUUUCUCCUAUGAGGAAACCUUUGACAAAAAAUCCUAGGUUUGAAAUGAAACAUUGUCAGUUGGUAUUUUUGGAGCUCUUUUUUGGCUUUGAAGACGUUUUGCCACUUUCCUAUCAAGGAAUUUGAAGUUUAAUGGUUUUUAUUAUAGUUUUCGUAUGAGUAUACUUGUUUGCCAGGCUUGUACAAAUAUUUUAUUUUAUUUUAAAUUUUUUUUCUCCCUGGAAGAUCGUAGGUUAAAUGUCAAGAUCUUUGAAAAGAUGUACAGUGGCAUUCUGUUCUUUUGUAACCCAUACAAUUAUAACUUUAUUUUUAUUUUGGAUAUCUCUGUUUCUCUCAAGAUUCAGAUGCUUUGAUCUGCUUGACCUUAUCUCAUUUUAUCAUGCAGAAUGAUAUUUUUCCUUUCAUUUCUUACACAGCUUUGGAGAUCGAGUUCACCAGGUCCCAGGUUGUUGCAGCAAUUCCCGGAACCUUCUUUUGUGCAUGGUAUGCUCUUAAGAAACACUGGCUGGCUAACAAUAUCUUGGGCCUUGCCUUUUGUAUCCAGGUACAGUAGCAACCUUUUAAAAUAAAUUACACCAUAGCCAUUGGUUCAGCAAUCCGUUCUCUAAUUCCUUAAAGUAUGUGGUUGGGGGUCCUUUGCUGGCUGCCAAGCCUUUUGUUGGGUUUAAUUCAAGAAUUAAAUCAUCAAGUAUCUCUAAAAGUAACUAAGGGACUUUUCUGCAAUUCUUUUGGUAGAUCAGAGAACGUAUUUAAUUGAUUUGAUAUCCAUUUAUGUGGCAGAUUACCUGUGUUUGAGCACAUGAUGAAGUAAUUGUAUCUCUGUUUUCCAUUUGCAGGGAAUUGAAAUGCUCUCUCUUGGUUCUUUUAAGACUGGUGCCAUACUUUUGGUAAGAACUGGAAUACAACGAUCUGAUAUUGAAAGUUAAUGAUAAUUCAAGAAUCAAGAUUAAUUGGUUACAAUUGUAUAGAAUACUUGGGGCAUGUUUGACCCAAAGCGUUGAAGUUGGGGAGUGUGAACUCCCCUCCUUGUUUGGCCCAUGGUCCAAGGAGUUCCUAAACCCACUCUAGGCCAGGCUCCACGACUAAGAAAUAUCAAUUCCUGGACUUAUUAGGUCCUUCCACCAUGACUAAACAACUCCCUGAACUAAACAGUUUCACCCUUGCCCCAAACCUUUACUUUAUCAAUUUCAAUCAAUAUGGUGACUGAGUUUUGAGAAAACUAACGGGAAAUGCAUAUUUCACUCCACCAAAUCUGUCUGAAUUUCAUCACGUGUUAUCUCUCUAACAAGUAUUUUGGCUGUUAUGAUUAAUCAAUGAUAUGUUGGUGGUACAAUUAUUUGAUUGUCCCUUUGCACAUGUUCUGAUCAGUCGUGUCUUUUUCCCCCUGUUAUUAAUUGUUACUUUCUUUUCUUUCUAAUUUGCUCAUAGGCUGGACUGUUUGUAUACGAUAUCUUCUGGGUUUUCUUUACUCCCGUGAUGGUUAGUGUUGCAAAAUCGUUUGAUGCACCCAUAAAGGUCUGUACUCUUGCUUAACUUGAAAACUUGUUCUCGCAAUAUUUUUCUUUUCUAUGAUACUUGUUGACGAUAGUUCACAGAUAAAUGUGAUUUAGGUUGAGCUGACUGUCUAAUUAUGGUUUUCUAAAUUUAUUUGUAGCUUUUGUUCCCCACCGCAGAUGCUGCCAGACCAUUUUCCAUGCUUGGACUAGGUGACAUUGUCAUUCCUGGUGAGUUUUGAAUGUCAAUCUACAUCUGUUGGAUUUGUGGUAGGACAUGUCUCUGGGGUGUUUAUCCCAGUUUUUUUCACAUUUUAUUUGUCAUCAACAUCAUUACCUCUGUCAUGCAAUCUUGAUACUAGAUGACGUGUUGGCAGGAAAACGAAAUAUAAUGUCGGGGUAGGUGAAAUGAAUGGUGGUGUACAUAACUAAACUCUCCCUCGUAUUGCUAACUGUUCUAUUUUGGACCUACAAUUUUUUUCAUGUCUCCAGCCAACUAUGCUUUUCAUCUUCGCACCACUUUGAUGCAAAUUAGGCUCUACAUGUGCAUUGUUCAUAUAGCUUUCCAACUGUUCUCUUAAUGUGUCUAAAUGUAAGCCCUUUUUGUUGUUGAGUCAUAUUGACUUACCAAGGUACACAGUAGACACUCUUGGUAGUUAUCUGUGGGAGAGAGAGAUGAUGUUAAAAUUUACCAUUCUAAUAGUUAUGAAGAAGCUUAGAAAAUUGCACUAUUGACAACUGUUGGUUGAAAAAAAGAAAAAAGAACACUUUGUUUAUGAAAGAAAAUGCUAUUUUUCUUUUUACUGCAAUGAUUUUUGUAGGCGAUUAUUUAGACGUAGUAGAAUGUUCAAAUUUAUCUUAGAUGUUUUGUGUGCAUAUUUUGGUGGUUUAGUUUUUCUGAAAAGUGGGAGGUUACUGUGCCUUUGGCCUUGAUAAAUCAUGCUACUUUUGUGGUGGUAGUGGCUUCUUGAAAAUCCAUUAUAGAUGUUCUUAAAUAGACGUUCAUAUUCCAAAAAGGAGAAAGGCACUUCUAGAGUUCUUAUUGAUGAGAGAUCCCUAUGCCUAAAUCAGGAUCAAGAGAGGAGGAAAAAGGCCUCCAAUCUAAGAAAGUGUUACAUUGUGAGAGUAUUGAAUAAAGCGUCUGAAAAUGAACAUUGAAGCUGCUUGAUGAUUAGCAUUCUCAAUUCUCCUUUUUGAUAGAUCUCGUGCCUUAAUUUCAUCAGCAUUGUUUCUAUGCAAUUCAUGGAAGACUUUAUGUCAUUAAGGAAGUAUUGAUAUUGUUUUUCUUCCUCUAGGCAUCUUUGUUGCACUGGCUCUUCGAUUUGAUGCAUCCAGGGGAAAAGAUGGUCAAUAUUUUAAGAGUGCUUUUUUGGGAUACUCAGUUGGUUUGGUCCUUACCAUAAUAGUUAUGAAUUGGUUUCAAGCUGCUCAGGUAACGUCUGCAUUCUCGUUGCUUUUUCUGGCUAAUGCACCUCUGAUUCAAAUGCUACAUGGUUUGAUUAUUUUAUUAAAUAUUAUUCAUACUUUUGCAAUUUGCUCAACAAUGUACGUAUCAAGGAGCUUGAUAUGAUCACUUGUAUGUCUUGAUUCCAACUCUUUUUAGCGAAAUUGAAAAUAUAUGGCCUGAUCUUUUCAUUUGCUUUCUCAUUUUGCAGCCUGCACUUCUGUAUAUUGUGCCUGCUGUCAUUGGAUUUUUGGCUGCUCAUGUGAUAUGGAAUGGAGAUGUGAAACCGGUUUGUUCCCAUUUUAUCUUGCUCUCAAAUUUUAUCUUUGAUUUGAUGGUCGAUUUCACUCAUCCAUAGUACGACUAACACCCCACACUUCAAAAAAUUUAGCUUAAAGGAAAUUCACUGUCUGGUUCAUUCUGUCAAAAUAAAAAUUUGAAUUCGGUUAUUUUACUUACUCUACUUUUGUGCAGUUGUUAGAGUUUGACGAAUCGAAGACGGGUAUUGCAUCUGAAGAUGGGGGUGAAGAUGAUAAAGGAAGCAAGAAGGAAUGAAUAUGGAAAAAGAUGGAUGGGGUUGUGGGGAGGCCUAAUUUUCCAGGUGUAAUGAGGCCAAGCAAAUGUGCGUAGUUUGUAUGAGAGAUAUCAAAUCAUCAUCAUUCAUCUCAUCCCCAAUUCCCAUCCUCUUUUAAGUUAAAAGGAAAAAAAAAGGGCUAAUUUAUGUGCAAAAACUUUGCCUACAGUUGUAUCCAAACAAACAAACAGAUUUUGAAAUGAGGUAGCACCAAGUCAAGUCCUGUUCUGUCCUCUUUUUAGCUCUCUUAGUUUUCACCUCAUCAGAAGCUUUUAUUUCAACUUUUCCCCAUUUGCUUGGGGUUUUUAUAGCAAAUUUAAAUAUUUUAUAAAGGGCCCCCAUCGUCUUUCCUUUUUCAGCUUCUAUUUUUUAGAUUCAUAAUCAUUCAUGUUUGGUUGCGACAGUUUUAUUCAUUUAUUUAUGAUAUUAAUGGGAGUUUGGACCCACAACUACAAAACUACAGAUAGGUUUCUAAUAUUCAUUGUUGAGUCAUAUUUUAAUUCUAACCCUAUACUGAUAAUGCUGGGCAAUUUGAAAUGAUCAAAACUAUGCCUUGAGAGGAAACACUUUCAACUGUAACCCAUGUGGUGAAAUUUCGAAAUCUUAUAGAUGACAGACAAGUCAUUCUCUUCUUUUGCUCAAAUCAUUUGACUUCGAAAUUUUGUGAAUUUUGUGACUAUAGAUGUUGAAGCGGCGUGGAGAUUCUUGGAAUGUACUGUUGAUGAUGUGAAACCUUUAAACCGAGAGUUAAUCGCGAAAAAUGCUAAGAGACAGACGUGUUUUGGUGGAGAAUCUCCCAAUUAAAAUUAUCAAUGUGGCUCUAAAGUAUGUAUCAAAGGUCGCACUAAUACUUUGUUUUUCUUUCCAUAAAAAAUAGAUCAAUACUUGCUAAAUUAAAUUUAUUGGAAUACAUUUUUGUUUCUUUCAACUCUAAUCUUUUCUCAUAUUGUAUCCAUUUUCAAUUUUAUCAAAUUGGGUAAAUUUUUUUAAAUAAUUUCUCGCUACUUUUAUCAAAUUCGAAAUUUACAUUAAAAAUAUCUUUGAAAUUUCAAAUGUUUAAAAAAUAUUCUUAAACAAAAAUGUCUUUCAAGUUUUAAAAUUUUCAAAAAUAUCUUCAAAUACAUAAAUUUGUAAGACUAGGUAUGUGAUACGAUCUAACACGAGGAAUCGAACUCUAACCUAACCUGAACGUUGAUAAAAUAAAAUAAGUUAGAGUUGUGUGAGUCACCAAUAAAAAGGUUUUAAAAAUGUUAAUGUUAAAGAGAAAUUAUUGUAAUCAUUGAAACCUUUGUGUUUCUUACACUCUUACAAAAGAAACUUUCGUUUAUCAAAAGAAAAAUACAUAUAAAUAAACAAAUAAAUGAACGGCAGAAACCUUUUCUUUCUUUUUUCCAGCUGUGAGUCGUAAAAAUCAUAUAAAUCAUUUCCUUUUUUUUUCCUUAAACAAAACAUUCUUUUUAGAAGGCAAAGAAAAAAGUGUACAAAUAAAAGUUUAGUUGAAGACUUUCAAUCAAUAUAACUAUUUACUUUCUUUUAUCUUUUGUACCAAUUAAUUUUUUAUUAUAAAAUAUCUCAUUGAAAUUAAGGAUCCAUUUUUAUUACUUUGUAACAAUAGUUUAUAAAUAAAUUUGUUCAUCCAUUCCAAAUUUAAAACCUUAUUACUAUAAACACUAAAUUUAAAGUAUAUAAAAUAAAGUAUGGUUUAUUUCACAAGAUCCUUAUAAAUCUAAUGAUAAAGUAGAUAGAAUAAAUUGUUAUUUAUUUUGUUAGGUCCAUAUAAAUAUUAUAUUUCAAUAAAUUGUUACAAAUUAGAGUUGAAAAGGGAAAAUGGUUGCCUUGGUCAAAAAGUUCACGAGCAAAAUCAUUUUACAACCUUUAUAUAUAUAUAUAUAUAUAUACACAUUUGAUUUUCUAACAAAUCCAACCACUAUCUAUAUAUAUAAAUACACACUCUUAAGUUUCUAACAAAUCCAACCACUAUCUUUUGAUAAGAGAGCCUUUAAUUAUUAUAUUUGACUUCAUUGAAUAUGUCAUAGUUUUGUUGGGGUGGAUUUAUCGUAGCAUUUUAAAUCUGAUUUAGGUGCUUUUAUUAAAAUUUAUACUUUGUUUUUUAAAGUUAAUUUUUAAUUAAAAUAAACUUAUUUCACUGCAAAAACAUGAAUUAACAAGAAAAAAACAAUAUUAAAAUAAACAAAACAAAAAUAUAUAAUAAACUAAGAAAUUAAGGAAAUAGAAUUUUCUUAAAAUAUUCACUCUUUAUAGUCAAUUUGACAAACGCGAUAUAUCUUCAACCCAUGUAACAAAGUAAUUAAAUAUAGAGGAAAGUGAUAUUAAAUACGAUGGAUGUAAUCUAUUGUAAUAUUGAUGGUAGAACACUGAUAAUAAUCUUUAGAAGAAAAAAAAAACACACCACAUGAAUAUAUUUUUUAGAAUUUAUUGUGAAAAUGUUGGAUGAUAAUAAUAUUUUUAUAGACAAAAAAAAAAACGUAAUAGUUAUUAAAUCUAAGAUAUAUGAAAAAACACAAAAAAAAGAACAAAAACAAAAGUGGAAAAAUGUUGAAAUAAGAUUGAAAAAAUUAAUAUAGAAAGACUAAAACAGUAUUUCAACCAAAAAUGGAUAUUAUUUGUAUUUAAUAAUAAAAAAUAUAUUUCCAAAUAUAGAAAUAAACUAAAUUAUGUAAAAACUAUAAAAAAAAAUAUGGUAAAUUAUCUAUCUGAUAAAAGUCUAUUUUAGUUUAUUUUUAAAAGUUUUAUUAUUUCAAAUAAAUUCUCACAAAGUUGAACGUAUUGAAAAAAUUUAUUAUAAAAUAUAAAAUGGUUGAAAAUAUUUGCAAAAUUUUUGGAAUUCUAUGGAAUAAUGUGGGAAUGAAUUAUUUGGAAAAUUGUAAAUCCAUAACUUGAAGAGCAAAUAUCUCAUGCGUUGGCUUAUUGGCUUAUUGAAUAGAUAUUGUCGGUACACCAACCACUUUGCCUCUAUUGAAUUAUUAAUAUUUUAAGUACAUGUAUUGAACUAUGAAAGACAAAUUUCAUAUGCAAAUUGUUUUUUGGGAUCUUUUCGUUCCCAAUCUAAUCUACUGUUUUCAAAGUGGCAAAAUUAUUGUAACAUUAAAUUUUUUAAAAGAAUGCUAAUAAAAAAUUGGGUUUUUUACACACAUUCAUAUAUCUAAUCUACUAUUUUACAAGUGGUAAUAAUAGUAACAUCAAAUUUGAAAUGUUUAAAUAUAACAAAACUUUAACAUAUUUACGAAUCGGGUAACGAAACUAAAAAGUCCAUAAAACUGGUUAGUUUUAAAAAAUAUUUCAGUGUCAUCCAUUUUUAUCUCAUUUCUUCGUCAAACUUUUCAUUUCCAUUGCUUUUUUUUCUCUUCUCAUUUAACAAUUUAUCUUCCUUUUUUCAAACUGUUAGGUUGAAGAUUAUGUACCAAAUAUAAAAAGUCUAUUUUUUCGAAGAAAAAAAAAAGUUUUUUAGUUGUUCAAGAUCUUAAACAAAAAUUGUUGGAUAAUAUUGGUACAUGUUUAGAUUUUGUUACAACCAAAUAUAACAAAUAUAAAAUAAUUUUUAAAAAAUUAUUGGAUAUUGGUAAACAUACAAGUCUAAACGAAUGAAUCUUGAAAAUAAAAAUAUCGUUUAUAUUUGGGUAUAACAAAUAAUAGCAAAAUCUAAAUACCAAUGUGAACCAUCAAUUAAUGACGUGACGACAUUACAUGUUUUUUUAGUUUUUGAAAUUGUUUUAUAUACCGCAAAUACUUCAAACACUGAAAAAUAAGUUUUUUUUUUUCAAAAAUAGAAAAACAAUAAACUAUUUGAACUCAUAAACAAUCAUAAAUUAUUAUGAUAUGGAAUUGAUUGCACUUUAUUUUCGUAGACAGUUUUUUUUUUGGGUUAAUUUUUCUAUUUUUUAAAACUUCUCUAAAAAAACCCAAUAAAAGGGUUUAUUGGUUCAAGAAAUUCCCAUUUCAGUUACUUUACUAUAUAAUUUUAAAAGGUUCGUUUUGACUAUAUUUUAAACUUUUUUUUAUAUAUAUUUUUUUAGUUUUUAAGGCUAAUUUAGUUUAUUACUAUUAAACCACUAUCGUUUUAGUUCAUGAGUCUUCUAAAAAAAUAUAACAAACGAAUAUUUACAAUCUAUAGAACUAUUUAAAAAAUAUAAAAGUCAUAAAUAUAAAAAAAUAUCUCGUGAUUAGUUGACCUUGAACUCAUAACAUUUGAAUUUACCCAAAUCUAAACAACUUUUUUUUCAAUAAUUUUUUUAUAGAUUUUGGUAUUUUUAUAGUUUAUAUUUGAUCGUUAAAAUUCGGUAGGUACUUUACAUUUGGUCAGGAUUUUAUAUUUAGUAUAAGUUCAUUUAGAUUUUGCUUUUAAGAUUAUUUAGUACCUUGGCUAUUUUGUUUAUACUAUCGUCAUUUAAAAAAAAAAAAAAAACUUGAAACAAAUAGUUUGAAAAAAAUAAAAGAAAAAUGGAGAGCAAGAAAGAAAAUGGACGACAUAAGAAGAAAGAAAAACGGCAAAAGAGAAUAAGAGAAUAAAGACGAUGGAGAAAAAAAUGGCACAAGAGAAAAUGAAAGACUAUUUAAAAAAAUGACAUAUCUAAAUAGUUUGAUUAUUUGUCAUAUUUAUAAAAUGUUCUCUUUAAUUUAUUCAUUUUAGUUUUUUUAUAUUAUUUUUUUCAAUCAAAAUUUCAAGGAAACAAUCUCAUUCACUAGAAUUCUUAACAUGUAAUAAAAAAACUAUACAAAAAAAACUGGAAGAACUUUAAAAUAUAGUAAAUUUUACAAAAUAUUUAUGACCUAUAACAAAUUAUAUAAUUGAUAUAGAUAGAAUAUUAUGUGAUAGAAUCCAAAAUUUUGUUAUAAUUUUAAAUAUUUUAAUUUAUUUUACUAUUUUUAAAAAUGCUCCAAAAAUUAUAUAAAGUUUAAGUUCAUAAAAGGGAGGCAAAAUAUUUAUUUGCUUGCCUCACCUGUUAAUUAAGAGGUUUGAUUUUAAAAAACGGGUCUUUUAAAAAAAAUGGUAAAAAUAGAUGUUUUCAAAAGUAUUUGGAUAUAAGAAGUGAAUUUUUUGUUUUAUUAGAAUACGUCUACACAUUUUAGAUUGAUUUUUUCUCUCUCUCCUGUCAACGUAAAAGAAGGAAAAGAAAUGGUCAGUGGGCCAUCUCAUUUAAUUUAUUAUGAAGAAUAAUUGAAUAUAACUUUUAAAUUUAUUUUUCAUAAAAAAUACAAAAUAAUAAAUGAAGAAUAAUUGAAAUUUAUGUGUAAUAUUUAAGGGUUCAUUCGGCUCAAAAAUACAAAAUAAUAAAUGAAGAAUAAUUGAAUUUUAAGUGUAAUAUCCGAGUGCCCUUUGGCAUAAGAUUAUGAAAUGACGAACCUAGCCAUUUUAACUCACUCCAUAUUUGUCUUAACGAUUAUGACUUUAUACUUCUUUUUCUUUAUUUCUCUUUAUUCUUCACGGGACAUAUUUAUUAGUAGGCUAGUAACACGUGUCUCUCUCACAUUUUCGAUUUUUGUAUUUUAAUAUUAGUUUUGAAGUGUUAAAUUACAAUAUAUAUUAAAUGAUAUGUUAUAUUAUUACUAGAUUUUGUCUCUGAUAUAGUGGUUGUGACUCUUUUAAAAUCUAAAGUUCAAAGUUUAAAUCUCGUUUACAUCUCACUCUCUCCUCUCAAACACAUACUAUAAUAACUCACAAACUAUUAUAACUUAUCAACUAUAAUAACCAUAUGUUAUAGUAACUCACUUCACUGCUUAAACGCCCCUUACAGUUUUAGUUUUGUUUACAACAAAUUCAUAAAUUUUAAAAAUUGAAAAUUUUAAGAUGAAAUUCUUAAUUUUGAAAGUUUGUAGAUGAAAAUAGACAUCCAUCUAAAUUUAAUAUAUUAGAUUUAUAAUUUAAUUGAAAAAAUAUUUCAAGUUUGCUAUUUUGUUUUUUGUUUUUUAUAAAAAAUAUAUUCAUAGGAAGAUGUUUGAUCCCUACCUCACACAUUAUCAUAUAUAUAUAUAUAUAUAUAUAUUAGAUGUAAUCAUAUAAUUAAUUGCAUUAUGAUUUCAAUUAAAACUAGCACUUACCUUAAAUGAUUUAUAAUAGAACGAGUUUGUAAUGCAAUAGAAUUCAAAAUUGAGAUUGAGCAUUUUAGACCUAAUUAAUAAUCCAAAAAAUUACUUAUGUUUCUUUAAACAAUUUUCAAUUUAUUCCUCUCUCUACCCUUUUCAUCAUCAACAAUUGCAUUUUUUUUCGUAUUUGAUUACUCAUUUUUUGUUUCUAUAAUUUUGAUAAUCUUGAUUAAAUUUCACACCCGAGAUAAUUUCUUACUCGGAUACACUUUAAUCCUAACAAAAUAAAAAAAAAAAUUGUGAAUCAAAAACACGUUUUUUUCUUGAUUUUUAUUUUUGCACAAGAAAAAACAAAAUAGUGCUUUCCUUUCCCAUGAAAUAGACGUUUAAUUUUUGUAACUCAUUGCGUCCACAACUAGUGUGGCUCUAUUCCCUUAUUGCAUCCUCUUGGACCACUCUUGUGGCUCUAUUCUAUUAUUGCCCCCACCUACCCACUAUCGUAACAGAUUUCAAAUAAAAACUGAAAUAAAUCAUUAAAACUCAAUUUCUUUUUCUAAAAGAAAUAAAAAUCUAUCGUUUACGUGAGUAUGAUAGAUCGGAAAUUGACUCGCCAAACUAAAGGUGGUUGGUCGUUCGAUCAGAUAAUGAGAGGGUUCAAUCAAUGUUUGUUCGAAAAAGUUUCAAAUCAAUAAAUUUCAUAAAAUUAUUUCUUAAUACUAAACCAACGGACUAACAUUUAAUCAUCAAUGAUUAAGAUCAGUUUGAACAUUUUACUCCAAAAUAUGUUAUAUUUUAUUAUUGUAUAUAAAUACUUUUGUUUAUUUGAAGAUAUAGGUUCGAUCUAGAAUAAUAAUAUAAUAAUAAUUGGUGACAUAGAAAACAUCUUUUAAAAUUCACAAUUAUUGUUCUGAAUAAAACAUAUGUUUAUAAGUUUCAACUAAAGAAACAAAAUCAAGUUUUGUCGUUGGUUUUUUUUAUAAUACUUCCCAAAAAUUUGAAAAGAAAAAAUUAUUUCAAUUAAUUAACAAAUAGUUUGUUUUUUUUUUUUAAAUAAGCUAAUUUUUUUAGAAAUUUUCAAAAUCAACAAAUUUUUUUUAUAUGAAUGUAAAAUGUUUUGGUUUUUUUUUUUCUAUUUAGAAAAGAAACCCAUAAAUAAAUGUCAUAAUACUGUGAAUGCAGUCAAUAAAUAAUGAAUGAUAUUUAAUUGAAAGAGAAAGGCACACAUAAAUGACAAUAAAUAACGAUCACUAUUUUAGAAAAAAUGAAUGAGAAGUCUUUUCUAAUAUUUACAAAAAAAGAAAAAGAAAAAAACUAAAAUAAAUUUAGUUGAGCACUGAUUGACGUUACUUUAGACGUGACUGCACAGUGUACAUCAUAAAUAUAGGAAGUUUAAUUUCUCCUAACUACGACAGUUGUAUUCUACUAAAAAAUAAUCCGAUAAUACUAAAAGAAAUGGUAAUUCUCUACUUAAAUCUUCCAAUUAUUUAAAAAAAUUGAUGUUUUUUCUAAAAUAAGAAGUAGUUAGGUAAAAUAAGUGAAUUUUUUUAAAAUAAGAAUAUUAAUAAUAAUUAAAAUAAUAAUGAUAAUAAUUAAAAAUAAUAGAUUAAAUAAGAUGGGCCCACCGACGCAUUCUAAUAGAACAAAAAAUUUACCAAUUUACCUAAAUACUUUUAAAAACACUAAUUUUUUUUUCUUUUAAAAAAAUCCCUUUUUCAAAUCACCCUAAAUCUUCAAACAUUUAAAGAUUAAAAUGAACUUUUAAUAUUUGAGGUUUAAAGUUAAUUUUAAAAUUAAUUCAAUAUAAUUUAUACUAAUGUACAUGUCAAUCCUUAAAAUUAACUUAUUGACCAUUUAGAAGUAUUUAAAAACCAUGUGGAUCAAAGUGUUUAAACUUUCAAGAUCAAAUAGACAUAAACUUCAAACUCUAUGAACCACAAGUCCAUUUUAUCCAAAUUUUUUUCUCCUAAAUUCAUAUUUAUUUUUAUAAAUUAAAUAUGUCAACUCAUUUCAAGUUUUUUUGUUUCAAUUUUAUAAUGAAGAUGACACACAAUUACAUAACUUUACAUGCACAUUUUUUUAAUAUUAUUUUCGAAGAAAGACCAAACUUUUUCAAUAUUUUAUCAUACAUUUUUUUCUUUUUUUUCAAAACUUUCCUUUCCACAUCAUUCCGUCUCAAAAUAUUUAUAAUCUUUAUAUUAUCAUGUAAUUAUCUUUUUUAUACAAAUGAUGAUUCAAAAUAAUUCAUUAUAAUUCGAUUAAGCCACCCUCUAAAUAUCAUUAAUCUAACCGUUUAAAUUUUUAAUUUUGUUCAAAAAUAGAAAAAUUUAACAAAUUGUUUACACCCGAACAAAACACUGAAUUUCAUACAUCAAAGGUGGAUAAAAAUGUUUAAACAAAAAAAGGGAGAAAGAGAGAAUAGUAUUAAAAUAGAGGCGUGUGUAUGAAGCUAUUUGAUAGGCCAAUACUCUUCUCUUCUUCAACCACUUGCCCACACGGAUGUAUCAAUAAGUUCUUGUUGUGGCUGCGUGCCUAUAGUUAUUUUCGCUUUGAAUUUGUAAACGAUAUUUUUUUUUUAUGAUGUAGGUUUAUUUGAUCUUGCACCGUUCGUAUCAAACAGUAUACUUUUUGUUUCAUGAACGAGCGAAACGUUUAGCAAAUUCAAAUGGACAGUGAUAAAUCAUCGUUUCAGCAUUAAUUGAUUUUGUACCUUUACUAUUUCGUAUAGCAUAAAAUUUCCAACAAUUUCAAUCUUUCAUUAGCUUUCCUCAAACUUCAUUAUCAUUGGUUUUGUAUUUUUGGAACUACCAGCCCAUUGCCCUUGUUCCUCGUACGAACAAGUUUUCUUGAUUUUUUUUUUGUUCAUAGAAAGUUGGAUUUGGAAGGAUUCAGAGUUUCAAUGGCGGGUGGAUUUGGAGGAAUAUGCGCGGGUUUUCGUUCAAUGGCGUUGACGAUGUUCAACUUUGCUGUAGUUUUGGCUUUGGUUUCCGGCGAGAGAAAAAUGAAGCUCGAAGGAAGUUCUGAAGAUUUGAAUCUGUUUCAAGGAGCUUUGAAUUUCUUGUGGCAAUCGGAUAAAACAGGGUAUCAUCAUGUUUGGCCUGUAAGUUGCCGUAAGAACUCUUGUUAUUUAUGGAGAUGAAAACAAAAAUCCUAGUGCAAUCAAGUUUGUUUUGUUUAUGUUUAUGGCUAUGUUUACGUUUUUCUCUAAUCAUUUUCAUACUUCUCAAAUUUGAGUUUAAAAGAAAACUUAGUUUAGAUGUUUGAACUUAACUUUGAGUUGUUAUGUUAGAAUAAUUUUUGGUUUUGAGAGUUUAACUCCUCGUGUUCAUAAACUAAGUUGUUCUCCUUUUGGAGCUUUUUCCUUUGGGAACUCUUAUUUUAGACUUGUUUUGAUUCAGAUCUAACCAAUCAGUGUUUCUUUUUGGAUUGUUUAUGGUUUCGUUGUGAAAAUGGAUUUCUGUAAAUUAUUUUGAUUAGUGAGUUAUUGUAAGACCUUUUAGAAAGGUUAUAUUCAAAGUUGGAAAAGGUAUUGAGAUUUAGGUUAGCCGUAUGGCUAAACUAUAGUUUAUUCAAGCUUCACAUAGACUUUCAUCUCAAAUUUGUAAUGAGGUUCUUAGGUAUGAUCGAAAUUAUGAAUAAGACCAUGAGAAAAGUGAAUGAAUUAAUUGUAUAUUUUAAUAUUGUUUGCAGGAAAUGGCAUUUGGGUGGCAGAUUGUAGUUGGUUCUGUUAUUGGAUUUAUGGGUGCUGCAUUUGGAAGUGUAGGAGGUGUUGGUGGUGGGGGAAUUUAUGUUCCUAUGCUUAGUUUAAUCAUUGGGUUCGAUCCAAAAUCAUCUACAGCUAUAUCGAAAUGUAUGAGGAAUGAUCUUUGUAAUAUCAAAUCGGCUCGAAUCUGCUCAGGAUUUGUUCUUAAUAUGUCUAAUUUGUAUAGUUUUUCUUGAUUCUUUUGUUUUCUUAAGGUAUGAUAAUGGGAGCAGCAGCAUCAACCGUCUAUUAUAAUCUUAAACUAAGACAUCCAACACUUGAACUUCCUAUCAUUGACUAUGAUUUGGUUCUUCUUAUCAUGCCUAUGCUCAUGUUGGGCAUCAGCGUUGGGGUAGUUUUUAAUGUCAUAUUUGCUGAUUGGAUGGUUACUGUCCUCCUUAUCGUUCUCUUCUUAGGUAAUGUAGAGACGUAUCUCAUUCAACUUCAUACUGAAUGAUUUCGUUCUGCUCUGUUAAUCUUCUGGCUGAUAUUUGUGUUUUGUAGCUACGUCAACGAAAUCGUUUUUGAAGGGUGUUGAAACUUGGAAGAAGGAAACCAUAAUGAAAACGGUCAGUACUUAAACUUGGAACUUCAAGUUUCUUCUGCAUGUAGUUUCGAUUAUAUGGUUAAAAUAAAAUUUGUGGUGCUGUAAACUGUAAAGUCCUUUGAUCAUACAUUGUUGUUUUUUAACAAUAUUGGAUGCCAUUUCUUUUCAACUUUUAGGAGGCUGCUAGGCGUGCUGAAUCAAAUGGUGAGACAAUUUACUGUUUAUCUUAUCAAGAUGGUGAUAAUCCUUGUUCUUAUUUCAUAUUCCACCUUUUGUAAAAUUAGAUAUUCAAGCCGAUACAGCAUAUGCUCCUCUUCCCAGUGGACCGAGCCAUAGGCCUGAAACGAACAACACUGAUCGAGAGGUAAGUUCAUUCAUAGUUAUAGAUGAUGACAUAAUUGAAUGUGCUGUAUCAUGUUAACGUAGAUUAUUUUAUGAUAAAGAAGUAUCUAUUGUAAGAUAUGUUUAUGCCAGAUAUGUUUUGGUUGUAUCUUGGUCUUGGUGUAGAUCAUCUGCCCUCUUUCAUUAGUAUAUCUUUACAACCCUCUUGUACUAUUGGAGAGAUUUUAUGAACUCUUGAAAUUCCCCUUUUCUAAUUUCAUUCCAUGAACGAAAUUGUUUCUUUUCUGUAUAUUUUACCAAACAAAAGAUUACCAGAAAUGAGAAUGCUGAAUUAUGAUUGAAAUGGCAGGUUCCAAUUCUCGAGAACGUGUAUUGGAAAGAAAUGGGUCUUCUUUUAUUAGUUUGGUUUGCAUUUCUUGCAAUACAGAUUACCAAGGUUUUUGCCUCUUCUUUCCAUUUUCAACAUCAACUCUUUACUCUUGAUUUGGCAAUCUCAAUAAUCUGUCCCUCUCUUGUUGGAAACAGAAGCAUUCACCCAAUUGUUCAUGGGAAUACUGGCUACUGAACUUCCUGCAGGUAAGUUCGCUGAUCCUCUUCCAAAUUCUCUUGUGCUUUUUCUUGUCGAUUUCUUGUUUAACCAAAAAUUGCUCUGCAGGUACCAAUUGCUUUUGGUGUAUCUGGUUAUGAAGCAGUUGGUUUGUACAAAGGAAAGAGAAAAAUUGCAUCUCUGGGAAAUCAGAAGACAGAUUUUCGAAUUUACCAGCUUGUUCUAUAUUGCUUCAUGGGCAUAAUAGCUGGAGUUGUUGGUGGGCUACUUGGUCUUGGUGGAGGAUUUAUCAUGGGUCCACUGUUUCUGGAGCUCGGCAUUCCCCCUCAGGUAACAUUUCUGUUACCUCGAUACGCGAUAUUAAAAUCUUGCUUAUGCUUUUUUGUCUAUGGUAUUGGGGGACUCUGAGUCCAGGGUAAAUUAUGACCUUACAACCAAAGGGACCGGUGAGGCACAUGCACUCUGCCAUCAACUUUUGGUCGAGGAUUUAAUAAUUAUUUUAAAAAAUUAUGAGAUAUUUGAAUUUUUAUAAAUAGAACAAAAUAUCACUCUUAUAUAUACAAUAGGCUAGGGAUAUUUUUAAAAAUAGCAAAAUAAAUUAUAAUAUUUAUAAUCUAUAGCAAAAUUUUGGAUUCUAUCCGUGAUAGAAACUGAUAGACUUCUUUUACUGCCUAUCAAUGUAUAGAAGCAUAUCAUUUUCAAUGUCUGUUAUUGAUAGAAUCUGAAAUUUUGUUAUAUGUUGUAAAUAUUUUAUCAAAUUUGCUAUUUUUAACGAUUAUCCAAGAUACUACUAUCAUCUAUUAGGUUUAUGCAUUUGUAACUCACAAUCUUGUAUCUUGGGUCUAAUAAAUUCUUUUAACUUCAUAAAUAUUUUGUGGCUCCAACAAUUUUUUAUUUUGUUAGAGAUUCAUAUCUUAUUCCACGUCUUACAAAUUUAACAAAUUUAUUAGACAUAAAAUUGAUUAUGUUCCAUUUGAUUCGUAAAUUAUAAAUAUUUUAAGCCAAGUACAAAAGUCUUAGUUUUUGUCUAUUAAAUAAAUUGUUAGCCCAAAAAUGUAUUUUAACGCAAACUUCUAAAUUCAAAUUGAUUUCCUUUUGGCUAGUGGGACCCAUCUAUAAACCAUAGUGAUGUUACGUGAUUGGGUUAAAAGUUUGAUCUCUAAACUUUCGUAUAUGUAUCGUGAAUAUGUCAAUACUCUAUUAGACACAUAAAAAAUUUCGAUAUUCAUUAGACAAUUAAAAAUUUGAAGACUUAAUAGUAAACACAAAAUCAAACAUUUUGAACCAUGUUAUUAUAUACUUUCGAAAGUUUAAGAACCUAUUAGAUACAAAAUUAUAAUUGAUCUAUUCAUAGUUGAUGGACAAUUAGGAUUGGUUUCUUUUUUUGGUUCUUUGAGGAUGGGAGUACAUUGUUGAAUUAGGAUCCCACCUACUUGUUUGCUUUCAAAAUCUGAGACAUCGUGGGUAGACUAUAGAUCCCACCAAAGUUUAACUUUUCUUCACCUUUGCUUUGCAGGUAUCAAGUGCUUCAGCAACUUUUGGAAUGACAUUCUCCUCAUCGAUGUCUGUUAUACAAUACUAUCUUCUUAACCGUUUCCCCGUUCCUUAUGGUAAAUCAAUUCCAUCUCACGUUGCAAUUAUCUUUCUGUUAAAGAGUGUACAGACAAAGUUUCACGUUGGCUAGGAAAGUGGAGAGAUAUUUAUGGUAAAUGAGCGAGGGACUUUCUGAUCAAAUUAAAAGCAAAUUAUGAGGGUUUAUGCUAUCUGUUUUCUAGAUUUUCAGGAUCUCUAAAGUGAACCACACGUUAUAAUCAAUCCUAGAAAUUUCCAUUUCUCAUUCCUCUAAAGUUUUCAAUCUAUCGAUUUACUGAGCAAGGUUGUAAUGUUUUUUGCACAGCUCUUUACUUCACCAUUGUGGCCGCCGUAGCUGCAUUUGUUGGACAGCACGUAAUCAGAAAACUGAUCCUUUUGAUUGGAAGAGCAUCUUUAAUUAUCUUCAUUUUGUCCUUCACAAUAUUCGUCAGUGCACUCUCUCUAGGUGAAAUAUCAUACACAAGCAAACUGCUUUAUGCAAUGUUCCUCAAUAUGAUAAUUUAACUAAAUCUGAAAUCAAUUCUGGUUUGGUUUGAUAGGUGGAGUUGGAAUCUCGAAGAUGAUAGGACAAAUUCAGCGACAUGAAUACAUGGGAUUCGAAAAUCUGUGCAAAUAUGAUGCAUAAGGUAUAGCCUCCUGGGAAAGAAAUGUGAUCUAGUAAUUGUUUUUGAAAUUCUUGUGAUUAAGUUGGAACUUUUGUCCAUUAAAUUCGAUGGCUAAGAUGCUAAAAUUAAUUGAUUUACAUCAUUAGGGCAGUUUGUCAUAUGGGCCUCGACAGCCUAGAAAGCAGAAAUGUAUAUUCUAGUUUGGGAAAAAGCAGUCUCAGAAAUAUGUGCACUUGAAUGUGCCCGGAAGUAGAUUUUCAAUAUUACUUUUCCUAUUCACCAUGCAUUUUUGGAUUGGGUUCUCGAAUUCUUUCUGAGUAACGAUGUUUUAAUUAAGACUUAGUUUGUUAACCCUUUAAUUUUUAGUUCUACUUUUUUAAACUUAAGCUUGUUGAUACUAUUUUUACUCCUAAGUUUCUUUUUUGUCUCGUCCUCUUGCUAUUUUACUUAUUAGCAUUAGUUCAGCUGAUUAGGGCAUUAUACAUAAAAUUUACCAUUGAUGAAUCUGGAGAGUUUGUGAACUUUCAAUUUGGACAUUGGAGUUAAAACAAUUGUUACUUUUUUCUGUUCUAUGGAUUACAAAUAGUCAAAAUACAAAGUUGUGCUAGUACUUAAAGAGAAAACUGAUACAUUCAGUUGGGUUUAUGUUAAUUGGUGACUAAAUGUAUAUGUAUAUAAUUAGUUGGUACCAAUUAAAUUUUGAACUGCACCAAACGAUUUCUGUCGUUUAAGAGUUAAUUAUCGACAUUUUUAUCGGAGCAAUGCAUUGUAUAUAGAAAAUAUUUUAUAUGUUGAAAUACAAUCCUUCAUUCUCUUUUAUUAAUGGUUGAUUUUAAAUUUGACAAAUCUUAAGUAUUUAUAAAUAUAGCCAAAUACUAAUAUGGAAUUUGCUAUAUUGAUAAAUAUUUUCAACAAUUUUAUCUUUUAAAACAAUUUCUUAUUAAUAAAUCAAACUCAUUAUAAAACUGAUCUUCAAGACUAGGACUAUAAAAUUACGAAUAGAAGUAUACUAUUUCUCUUUUCAAUUAUUUUGUAAUAAGUAAUUUAUUUUUUGUUUCUUUCUCUCUCUGGUUCAAAACUCUUCCUUCUUUCUUUUGUAUUUUUUGCCCUCCCACUACUUUUUCUUCAUUCUUUUAUUUGCUUUGUCUUGUAUAUUAUUUAUAUUUUGUUCUUAUUUAAUUAUGUAGAGUUUUUAAUACAAUGUUUUGUGUUGCAUUAUUGUUAAAUAAUAUAGGGUCAAUUGUAAUUUCUUUUCCUUCUCGGCUUUGAGUUUGUUUAGAAUGGUUCUCUAAUUAUUGUAAAUGAUAAAUUUGUCUAAAUAAAAUAAGUUGGGAGCACCAAUGUGAGUAAAUCAAUUAUAUUAAUAUUGAUUGAAUCACCCAAUCAUAUUAUCUUUCUUGACUUACAAAUCAAGAACUUUAAUUUUUGUCCAAUAACUUAUAUAUAUAUAAAUAUAUUUGUUUUAACUUAAAAUAAUCUUACUUCUAAAUUUUUAUAUAAGUUUUCACAAUAUUUUAUGUGUUUCCAUGGUAUUGACAUGGUGGUCAAUUGAGUCACUGACCCUAAUAAAGACAUUGAUAUUUUCAUACUUGGUUUACAAAUUUACAAAAAAAAAAAAAAAACCUAAUUAUAAUAAUAAAAUCUUGGUUAAAAAAUGAAAUAGUUAGAAAAGAUAGCUCUAAAAUAUUCUACAUUUAAUCAUUAAAAUUUUAAAUUUUGAGUUUAAUCUCAAUUUAGUAGUAAGUUUUAAAAUAUAGCAAUUUUUUUUUUAUUAAAAUUUGAGUUUUAUCUCAAUUUAAUCCUAAGUUCUAAAAUAUAGCAAUUUUUUAAAAGUUUUAUUUGAAUUUGGUUCGAAGGUUUCAAGAUUUUUUUUUUCUUUUUACUAAAUUCAAUUUGGCUUUAGUAUAAAUGUUUAUUAAUUAAUUAAACAAAAUUAUAAUUAACUAAAUUUCACUAUUUUUCAUCUUGUCUAAAUUCAAUUAUCGUUAUUUUAAAAUAAUUAAUAGACAUUGAUGUGAAUGGUUGAAAUUGUAUAUUUAAUGAGAAAUCGAUGUUAAAACUGUAAAAUCUCAAAUCAUAGACCAAGUUGAAAUAAAAUUCAAUUUUCAAAAGUAAAAUUGUAAUACUUUGAAGUCUAAAUACUAAAUUGAAACUAAACUCAAAAUUUAAGGACUAAAACCUCCUACCAAUCUGGAAUGAAAAUUAGUGUAAACCUAAUGAGAUUUCUUUGAUGGACUAAUCAUAAUUGACUUGAAUGCAAAUGUUACUAAAUGUCUUUAUACUAGUUUACUUAAAAUUACGAAUAUGUCAUAUUUGCUGCUUGAUUCUAACAAUAAUGAUAAUGGUAAUGGUAAAAUUUAAAAGUGACAACAAAUUCAUAAUUAUAACUAUAAAGUUAAAGGUAAUGAGUCUCAUACAAGUUUCAAACUAAAUCAAAUUGACGACCUCCUACCCUCUCAAUCAAAUUAUAUUCUUUGAUUACUUACUUGAGAUAGACCUUACAUUUCGUUACAAUUAUGAAACACAAGUAAUUAAACAUCAUUAAUUUGUAUAACCUAUUUUUAAAGUAUAAAGUAGAGUGAUAGUUGUGAUUAUACUCUCAAAUUUUCUAGAGUAAAAAAUGAAUUUUCAAACUUAGGUUAAAAUUGGAUCCUCGAACUUACAAUAAUCGUAAGAAUCAAAUCUCAAAAUGGUAAAAAUUAAACAUUCAAACAUAUAUAGUUAUAUACAAUUAUAUACAUACAUAGAUAUGUAUGUAUUCAGAUUCAUAACAUUCAACAUUCUAUUUUUUAAUAUAAUUACAAAACAUGAAUUCUCCUCGGUGAAAGUAAAGUGUAACACCAAUUAUUAUAGAAGAUACUGGAGAAUGCAUGCUUUUAGAGAGUAAUAUAUUAUUCACAUAUGAUAUUAUAGAUCUAAGAAUAACAUAAAAUGAUCCAAGAGUCCAAAAAAAAAAAAAAAACGAAUAGGAGUUUGUCCCAAAUUGUAAAGAACACGAAAAAAUAAACAUAGAAAUUUAGAUGAGUAUUGAGAGAGUUUAAACCAGAGUUUUUGUACAAAUGACCUGAUCUUAAGCGUUUAUAACAUUUUGCUUACAUCAUAACUCACUAUCCCAUUUUGUUAAUUUACUGCGUUAGAUAUGACAUGCAUAUCAUCCUAACGUGAUCAGUGACCAUCCUUAUUGUCAUCUUCAUCUUUAAAUCUAACAAAUUAAGUAGAAGAAGAAUAAGAAGCACAACAAACAUUCUUGGUAUUGCAUUAAGAAUGACCUUAUAGCCAUAUCAUGAUAUUCAUUUUUAUCAACAAAAAAUUUACUAACUGUGUGAGAGAAAAAGACACACAAUAUAAACAUCACACUAGGAUGAUACAAAGCAUUGGAGUGAUACAUAUGACUAUAUCUAAUUUGACAAAAUGAGAUAAUAAGUUAUGAGGCAAGCAAAACACUUUCACGAAAGACUAUCCUUACAAAGAUCUCACGAUAAGAGAAAGAAUAUAAAAAAAAUAAUAAAUAUUUUUUAAAUGUAAGAACAUAUAUAUUUCCUAAAUAUAUAUAACAAAAUUUUAAAUUUUAUGUUAUAUAUAUUAAUGUAACUGUUAGCACAAUAAAAAUUUAUUUGAUAUCCAUUUAAAAUUUUGGUUUACUAUAUUUGAAAACAACUGUUAUCUUUAAUUUACAAGUUUUUUUUAUUUAAGGAAAGUUUAUGUUGAAGUUUAUACAUUAAACAAACAUAAACUCGAGGAUUAAACUAUAAUUUAAAGGAAUAUUAUUCUACGCUAUCCUGGAGGGUGGUAUAUCAGCGUCCUGUUAAAAGAUUCAAAAUCACACGCAACUCGCUAGAGGGCUAAUCUCUCUCUAUUUUUCCCCAAAUUGAAAACCCUAAUUCAUUCCAUUCUCUCCAUUUCUGAGAGUUGAGCAAACGAAAUCGAAGCACCAUGGUCUUCUAUUUCAAAGCCCGGCCUGACGUCGGCGAUUACACCAUUUUCAUGGGGCUUGACAAGUACGAGAACGAGGAGCUCAUCAAAUACGGCUUCAUCGAGGAUAUUUGGUAAUCUUUCCUCUAUCUCUCUUUGUUAUUUAUGUUUCUUUCGCGGCUUGUUGUUUGAUGUCAAUUUCAUUGAGAAAUGGUUGUAAAUGGUUUCUCUUGAUUAAUCAAGUCGGGGGAUAAAGUGCUGCUGAUGUUUACUUUCUUCGUUGAUGUAUUUGGAAAUUGAUAUUCGAUUUUCUUUUUUGAGUUUAAAGGUAAAUCAAUCUGGUUGGUUGUUUUUUGUUCUGAUUUAAAUCAAUUUCCUUCCCUUUGUAGAGCUUUAUGAAACUGAAAUUGAAUACAUUUGAGGAUGUCUGGCGGAUUAUGAAGAGAAUGAAAUGAGUUUCCUGUCUUCAUUGAUAUCUGGAUUUUUCAUUGCACAAUCUUUUAUUAAGUGAUACAGGACUCGGACUUAUCAUGGUCUUGACCACUGUUUUAAAAACCCUGGUGUGCCUAGGCUUAAGGCACAGGUUUGGCGCCUUGUCUUGAAAAAGCAAGGCUCACAAACUAAGGCGCGCCUGCCUUCUGGGAUGCCAAACGUCUCAAAGCCUGUACCUUGGGGCUUUUUCAUUAUUUUUAGAAAAUCGUAAUAAUUGGAGGUUUUCCCCCUUAUUUUUAAUAUGGAACAAUUAAAUUUAGUAAGACUAAAUGAAAUUUUCUUGUGUUAGAGAGGGUUUUUCCCCCAUAUUUCUAUUCAACUAUGUUUUCACUCCUCAAUAUAGUACUUUUAUAUAUAAUGUGCCUCACAAAAAAAAUCCAUUUGUUUUUCACCUUGUACUUGAGUCCUAGAAGACCAUUGCUCUUUAUUGCACCUUGAACUUUAAAAAUUACUGACUGUUUUGUGGCAUUAAGAACUAAGGGGUUAUCAUUUAGUCUUUUGUAUCUAGUUUUUGUUUUAGGGAGGACUUGGCUUAAGUUUUCUUCUAUUCACAAUGAUUGUUUUGUGCAGGUUCCAUGUGGACAAGAUGUCAUCUGCUCAUGUAUAUGUGAGACUGCAAAAAGGGCAGACCAUUGAUGAUAUUAGUGAAGGGUUGCUGGAGGAUUGUGCCCAGCUUGUAAAAGCAAAUUCUAUUCAAGGUAAAAUUUGAACAGUUUUCUAGAAAAUAGGAAAAUGUUAGCUCUUGACGUGGUGAAAUAUGUUUGUUUUUUCAUAUAUCAAACCUUUAAAAUACAUGUGCCUGUUUCUGAAUUGUGUCACGAGGUAGAGAAUAUUGACUAUUAUCAUUUUUAUCUGUGACAGGAAACAAGGUGAACAACAUCGAUGUUGUGUAUACACCUUGGUCCAAUUUGAAGAAAACUGCUUCGAUGGAUGUUGGCCAAGUUGGUUUUCAUAACCCCAAGAUGGUAAGCUUAAUUGUUUUAGUUUGGCAAGUGGAUAUGUCCAUAAGCAUUUUGUUUUAUUUUAUCUUUCCUUUUUCUUUUUAAGUAUUUAUGGUUCUUUUAUGGAUGGGAAUAUUCAAGGUGAUUCACAAAGCCUUUUUCAUACAAAAUUCAGGUCCGAACUGUGAGGGUGGAAAAACGGAUCAAUGACAUUGUCAAUAGAUUGAACAGAACUAAAGUGGAAAGGAAGCCUGAUUUGAAAGGUAAAUUGGAAAUGGCGUUUUUGUUGAAAUUUUCCAGUGGCAUACAUGAUACAUCAAACAUAUCAUGGUCGUCCCAUCUUCACAUCAUCACAUGCAUAUGUACUAGUAAAACAGUUGACAAGCACUUUGUUUUUCAUUAUACAGCCGAACGUGAAGCAGUGAAUGCAGCUGAAAGAGCAGAGAGGAAGCAACACUUGAGAGAUAAGGUUGGUGACAACUUUUUGUUCGGUCUCUGAAAUUACUCCUUUUGUCGGUCUACAUCUUGGAUUUUUAUAUUUCAACAUUGCCCUCUACCCCAAGGGAGAAAAAUAUUUUUUCCAGAAUCUAGUUGAUACAUAUGCAUAUGAACUGGUUACUAUUUUAUCCCAAAUCGGUAUGUAUGGGAUGAGCCCUGACUUCUAUAUGUUACUAAAGGAAAGUACACACAUAGAAAUAAAAACAAUCGUAUUUUCAUGAUGGCCUUAGCUUAGCUUUUCCUUCACACACAUAAGCAAAAUAAAGAAACUGGUGGAUUUAAAGCUCCUGUAUUUUCUACGUAGACAUUCUUACUCUAACGUUGUACUUUACUCUAUAAUUGUUUUGCUUCACAAGUCUAGAAGUGUUUAUCUAGCAAUUGUAUGUUUAGAUAUUUGCUAGUGAGUAUAACCAUAUUGACCAUUGCUAGCAAUAUAUUUUUUCGCCAUUAAACCAAUGUUCUCAGACCUGGUUUUGUUUGCUAGGUGGUUUUCAUGAAGUAUUGUGAUUCUUUUCAUGUCUAGUUAUAGUUAAGUUUCAUUUUGUAGAAACGCCGCGAGGAAAUGGAAAGGUUAGAAAAAGAGAGGCAAGCAGAGUUAAGGAGCUACAAGGGUUUAAUGGUGUCUGAAAAGAUGACAUCUAACAAACAGAUUGCAGCAACAAGCAAAUCACUACAAGAGCUGGAGGAUGAUUUCAUGUGAUCGAAUUGAUCCGCGGUUCAAAUGCUGCAAAAACUAGCAGCAGCUAAACCUGCUCGUCCGUAGAGAUGGCCAUCUGCCCAAUCCAGUUUGUGGUUCUUGGCCCAAAGUUGUUCUCUCGUGAGUGAGUGAUCAAAUUGUCUUUAGCCUCGAUGAUAUUCAACUCUAUUGUGUCUAGACACUUGAUGACUAUACAAAUGGAAAAUUGCUGUGCCUUUCAAGAUAGCGGAGAAAUGGUGUUCUGUAAGUUGUAAUUACUGUUACUCUUGUUUAAUGAUGAUAAAUUCAGCUCGUUUUGGCCUACUUUUUUCUUUUUCAUAGUAAGAAAAAGGAUGUCAUUUUUCUUUUGAUAUGGAUUUUUUCAUCUAGCUUUAUAUUGAGUGGUGAUUUUUCAUUUUGGUAUCUCUUUUUUUUUUGGUUGCUUGAUGAACCCCACCUAGUUUCUUCCAAGGCAGGUGAAAAGCUGUCAUUGAAAUUUGAAAGUCUGGCGUGUUUGCUUUUAGAAAAAGUAACUUCUACUGCAAAAAAAAAAGCAUUUGUUUUUCUUUGUUUCUUCCAUGUCAUUUGAAUGCUUUGGUUGACUAUUUCUCUAAACUACGUCUCAUAAAGGUAAAAGUAUUGGUCGGGUAAAUGUUUUGAUGUGCAUCGGACAUUUUUUUGAAGUAGUAUAGUACAAGAAAUGGUAGUGAGAGAGAUUUACAAACUUCUUGGAUGUACACUAUCAAUCUCAAUGGUGAUGCCCUUCUUCCUUGAACUCCUAAAUAAGAAACGUAGCUCUUUCAUUCUUACAGUUGUGCUAAAAAUAUAGUACUUUGUAGAGGACAUAAUUUCAUCCAAGUGGUGCUCCCCUUUUUAGUUCAUAUGAAAACAACUGUUAAUUAUAACAACAACAAUAAUAGUAAUAUUAAUAAGAUAUUUAUUAUCAUUUAAAAAAACAUUGAUUGUUGUAUGAUUCAAAAUAUAUAUUAAUUUCUUUUUUCAAAAAAUGUAUUAGUUUAUAUUUUGAACUUUUUGUGACAAUUCUCGAAAUUUAGGUCUUCAAUUCUUUAUACUUGUGUGAAAACUAAAAUUAGUCGAUAGUUACACUUACAAAUUUCUUUAGAUUUAUAAACUUUGUCAUUUGUAAACUAUUAGCUGUAAUUAAUUUAAAAUCACCUAAAUAGAACAACUUUCUCCAAAAUCUUAUCAAAUUAAUGAAAAAACUAUCACAUAUUUUUUUUUUAAAAAAAAUAGGUGAAAAAUAUAGAAGGUAAAAUGAAAGAAAAUUAUCAUAUUAUGUUAAUCGAUGCAUUUUAAGAAAUUUUAUAUUAUAUAGUUUUUAAACAAAAUAAUUUAAGUGAUACAAAGUCAAAUAUGAAGUUUUUCUUUUUUUCCAAAAGAGAUAUGGUGAAAAAUUGGUGAAGUUUUAAAAAGAUGAAAUAAAGUGUGACGGAGGUCUUUUCCCGUUAAAACUUGUCCAUUACUGCAACCAUUACACGUAAUCAUUGUCGGUAGUACGACAUCUCCGCUUCACACGUGUUUCGAUCUACACCGUUGAAUUUCCAAACGUGCUGUCAUCUUAGCCGCUGGUUUUGAAUCCCUUUAGUCCGCCCCUUUAUGUUUGAAUAGAGCUCCGGACCGUUUAAAUUAUCGUUUCCAAAUCCUAAGCCAUUUCGCUUUCGCUACCAGUUCCUCUCUCUGCUUUCCUUCAUUCACUUCUUCUUCCGAUCAAAUUUCUACUCCGCGCAGAUUCUCUAAUGCGUUCUGUUUCGAUCGCUGCAUCCAGUUUCAUCUAUUUAUCUGCACUUCACCGCCGCUCGACGCCGACGCCGGUCAGUUCUUUAGGGUUUCUUUGGUUAAUUUUGUUAUCUUCCGUUUAUUUUAUGAUCUUUUUGUCGAUUUGAUUGUUUUUCGCUUCGGAUUGAAGUUUACUAGGCAUUUCAGUUCAAGUUUGUGGAUUCUUGAACAUUUUUCUUUCCUUCUAUUUUGAGUGAUUUACCUUGUGGACUCUAUGAAAUGUUCUCUAUCUUAUCCUCGUUGUGGUUUCGGUUUAUUCACACUUAGGUAAUUUGUUGUUUUCUGUUUCUGGAGUUCGAUUUUGUAAUGAAUCAUUUCUCUGAUCUUUUUUUUUCAGUCUUUGCGGCGGUGGAAAUUGAAUUUUUGUUAGUCAUUUCCGUUUUUUUCAGGUUUGGCUCCUGGCAGUCAUUUCUGUUGUUUUUGAGGUUUGGAGUACGGUUAAUAGGUUUGAUGCUAGUAUUGUGCACAACGUGCGUUUUAAUCAAGGAUUGAUAGCUUAUUCCACUCCUAAAAUUAGGUUUCAAUUGUUAUACCUCUCAGUUUGUUUUCAUGAUAUGGAUUUUGGACUUCUUGUUGUAGUAAUUAAUUUUAAAUGACGAGGCCUUUUUUCUCUCACGUAGAGUGAGUUUUGAGAAUAUCGAUAGCAUUCAUUUUUCGCCUGGAGGAAUAUCUGAUUUUAUGCGUUUCACAUCACUUAUUGUAAAAACUGCCUAAAGAAACUUUGACCGAAGUUAGAUCCACUAUGUCUCACUGCUGAUUUUCAACAUCAUUGAUUCAAAGACCAUGUUGAGCUCAAAUUUUAUACAGCUUUGAAAUACUAAGAUUUAAUUUACUGGAGCUGAUGUUUUUUGGUUCGAUUCUUGCCUUUGAAUAAUGAUUAUGCACAUUUAUACAUUAUAGAUACGGCCGUAUGUUUUGUAUUUUUGUACUAUUUCUUUGUUCUACUGCCUGCAGAUAUUCACUGGUUAUUUUCCUUGGUUAGAAAUUGUUGGAUGAAAUGGUAGAUUUUUCCACAUUGGAAUAAAAUAAUGGUCUGGAUAGCAUUCUUUGGAACAAGCCAUUGUCGGGUAGGAAUUGGGAUAUUAUGCAUUUGCCCCUCUAUGUCAAGGAGUUAUGGAAGGUGAUAAGACCAUCUCAACACCUUCGGACAAUCCUGAGGAGGCAGUUCGUGAUCAGAGGAUACGUGCUCUCCAUGGGUAAUUUCAUUCAUCUAACUAAGCAGAUCUCAUGCUUUGCUUCAUAUUUCUUCUCAUUCGCCUCAUUCUGCAAGUUUUGGCCUCUGUAUGCACUUUACUAUAUUGGUGUCUUGUAACUGUUGUUUUGCAAGUCUUCUAAACCAAAUUUGCCACCAUAACUCAUAUAAGAACUGUUUCAGUUGCAAUAUUCUUGAGUCCUGUUUCUAUAAAACAUUUUCCUUGGUUUCCUUUAUUACUGGAGAGGCAUACCAGUCACUAACUAGCUUGUUGUAAUUCUGUCUUUAGCAACUUGUAAUUUUACUUUCUUUUCAUUUUUCCUUGUAAAUGGUUGUAUUUUGAUGUCUUUUGGUUCAACAUGAUUUUUGUCCCAUUUCUGUGGAUUUGUGUUUGAAAUUUGAAUUGACUUUAUGUCCUGUACUACACAGUUCCUAUACUGUUGCUUGACAUUCAUAUACCUUCCUUGCCCUAUUACUUUGUCGGAAGGAAAAAACUAAGUUAUCGCCUGAAGUUUGAACUCUAUGUAUGUUCUUUUGGGGGAUGUUUAGGAGAACUAGUGGCCCAACAAGACGUUCAACAAAAGGACAAUGGACACCUGAAGAGGUAAGUUUAUCAUGUAUCAUACUGCAGUCUGUUAGAUAUUUCUUCUCAUUGUUCUAGUUGGCUGCAGGACAGAAUGGUGAUGUUUUUUGUUUUUCUUUUUUGAGUGUGGGUGUGUGUGUGGGUGUGUGUGUGGGGGGGGGGGGGGGGGGGGGGGGGUGGGUAGAAUGUUGUCUUCCUUAUUUUUACUUUGCUCACAAUUUUGUUGUUCCAAAAGUUGUAUGUUUGAUGAGUAAUCUGUUUUAUACACAUCCAGGAUGAAAUUUUGCGACAAGCAGUUGAUCAUUUCAAAGGCAAGAACUGGAAGAAAAUAGGUACUAUUGAUGUGUUGGAUACUAUAGAGGCCAAGAAUAUAUUUUAUUGUACUGAAGAUGUUCUCUUCUUGGGUCAUUUUUAACUUGUAUGUAAAGUGUACCUACGGUAUUUAGAUGAUUAGAUAACCUAAUUUAUCGUGUAAAAGGAGGCCAUAUUUCACGAUGAACAAUAUUUUGUAUGGACUACUGUGUUACUGCAUCACUGGUUCAUUUGUUAUUGGUUGUUUGUAGCUGGAUAUUUCAAGGAUCGGACUGAUGUACAAUGUCUGCAUAGGUGGCAAAAGGUUUUAAAUCCCGAGCUUGUCAAAGGUCCAUGGUCUAAAGAGGUGAUCUGCUUGUGAAAUUUUAGUAAUUAUAAUUUAAUAAUCGUCCUACUCUUUCGAUGCUCUAUAUGUGGAAUUCUACAUGAACUUACCUGUUUGCUUGUGAAUUGAAUGUAGGAAGAUGAGAUUAUCAUAGACCUGGUGAACAAAUAUGGACCAAAAAAGUGGUCCACAAUUGCAACACAUUUACCUGGACGUAUUGGCAAGCAAUGCCGAGAAAGGUAAGACAAUUGAGUUACUUUCUUGCUUCUUCUUUAUUUAUUUAUUUUUGACUUUUGAUUCUCCUAUUACUUUUAUUAUCUCUUUGGUUAACCCCAUCUGUUGAAUAUUUAUUUUCUGGAUUCAAUUAUGAUUGGUGGUGCCAUCAAGUUGAACUUAUCAUGCGUCCCUACUUGAUGUUCAAUUAAAUUUUCAGCUGUCCUCAGAUUCUUUUACAUAAACUGCUUUCUUUUUUAAAGGUGGCACAACCACCUCAAUCCUAAUAUAAACAAAGAAGCAUGGACCCAAGAGGAGGAGUUAGCUUUAAUUCGUGCUCAUCAAAUUUAUGGCAACAGAUGGGCAGAACUAACAAAGUUCUUACCUGGAAGGUGUGUCCCAUAUUUAUAUCUUAAAGUUGAAGGCAUUAUGUGGGGUUGUCCUAUAUGUGCAUAAUUUUGUUCCUAUAAAUCUUUUCAGAUUAAAAUUGUUGAAUUUCUUUUCAUUGCAGCUUUAUUCUCUACAACUGCAUUUCUUUCCAUUUUUAAUUGGAAAAUUCACUUGAUUCUGAAAAAUGUUGUAUUUGUGCUUUUAUAAUCAACAGGACAGACAAUGCCAUAAAAAACCAUUGGAACAGUUCUGUCAAAAAGAAAUUGGACUCUUACUUUGCCUCAGGCUUGCUCUCACAAUUUCAAGAUCCAGUUCCCGCUGGACAACCAAACAAACUCCCAGUUUCAUCUUCAAAGGUGCUUGGUAGUGGAAAUGACAGUGGCUUGAAGGGAAUGGAUACAGAGGAGAUUUCAGAGUGCAGUCAAGAUGCAACAGUUUCUGAUAGCUUGAUGAUCGAUUCAGCAUGUGCCACCCUGAAUAUAAGAAAAGAAUUUCAGUUAACCGAGGAUUUGGGAUUGGGAAAGGAGCAAAGUGCCAGCCCAAUAUCCAAUUCGGAACCAUACUACCGUCCUUCCAUGGAAGUAAGCACUUGUCCAAUUGCCGAGUUUGCUCAAGAAAUGGGUCACUCAUCACAUUCGCAGCAAAAUCUCUCGAAUGAUUGUAGAACAACAUCAAAUAGGGAGCACCAGUGUGAUUUGAAUCAGUUUCCUAACAUCUCUUCAUUACAGGUGGCCAAAGAAGCAUCACAGUUUCAAUCAAUGGGUCAUGGGAUGGGUGAAAGUCAUGGAGUUGGUGAUUCUGCUCAAACUUCUUCGAUGAUAAAAGAAGCUGUGGCUUCUGCCCAAGCAGAGUGCAUGUUUAUAUCUGAUGAUGAGUGUUGCAGGGUCCUAUUCUCAGAUACAAAAAGUGAUAGAGGCCAUCUGACUAGUAAUCUUAAAGGACCCUGUGUAUCUGAAAUGUGUGAUUACGUAGUACCAGUUCACUCCUUGGGAACUCCAAAAGUGGAAAAUAACCAUACUUUGACUCCACAGAUAUAUAAUCAUCCGUCAGGAACUGAUGUGCAGGAGAAAAAUUCCUUUGGUCAAUCUGGCAUGCUGAUUCCAUCUAUGGUUUCUGUCAAUGGUGACGUGAUUUUAUUAGGCGGUACUGGAUCCAACCUCUUUGUAGGAGCCGUAGAGCACGGAUGUGUAACUAGCCAGCAAAAUAGGUUUGUUUAUAAAGAUGGAACAUCCAAGCCUUCCUAUUUUGAUGUUGCAGAUAACCCAGAAAUGCAAGAACAGCCUGGCGGAUCAGAAGACCUGCCAAAAGCAAUUUGUGAGGAUACAUUUGCAACAGCAGCAGCGGAAGCAGAUGGUACAGGUACAUGCACUCGUUUGGACGAAACAGCGAAACAAAAUGAUAAACAUCUAGACUCGAGAGCUCUUUGUUACGAGCCUCCUCGUUUUCCAAGUUUAGAUGUUCCUUUUUUCAGCUGUGAUCUCAUACAGUCAGGAAGUGAAAUGCAGGAGUACAGCCCACUCGGUAUCCGUCAGUUGAUGAUGUCUUCUCUAAACUCUGUUACUCCAUUCAGAUUAUGGGAUUCACCAUCUCGUGAUACUAGUCCAGAUGCCGUACUGAAAAGCGCUGCCAAAACUUUUACCAGUACUCCAUCUAUUUUGAAGAAACGACACCGUGAUUUAAUGUCUCCUCUUUCUGAAAGAAGAACCGACAAAAAGCUUGAAACCGAUGUGACAUCCAGUUUGACCGAAAACUUUUCACGCUUGGAUGUUGUGUUCAAUGAUGGGUCUGAUAAAGCUUCUAUAUUAUCUCCAUCUAACCUAAAGAAAAGUAUUGAAGAUUCUGCUGAUAAUAAAGAAAAUAUGUAUUGUACCUUUGAAGAUAGUAAUGAAUCUCAAGACAUCAUGAUUUCAGAGAAUGGUUUUCCAAAACGUUGUUCCCAAGACUAUACAAAACAAGGGACUGCUGAUACCGAGAUGAUAAGCGUUCGAUCCACAUCUGAAAUUGUUAGUCACUUUCAACCAACUUUUUGGUAGAUGAUUGAUUUUUGUUAUCAUUGAAGAAUUACCAAGCUAUUUUUAUUGUAUUGAAGAAUCAAGUUUACUGGGUAUCCAACAUUCAACGUGUAUUUCUUUUACGACGAACACAAUCUGAUAGUUAAUUUCACCUUUGAAAGGUACCUCCUGGAGUCUUGGCUGAACAUGAUGCCAAUGACUUGCUACUCCAUUCUGUUGAUCAAAAAGCUCUCAAUUCAAGUACAAGAAUUAAGAAACGACACUGUCUGAGCAAAUCGGAAGAUGCAUCAAAUGCUGACAAUGUAAAGCAGAUAGAUUCUACUCGACCACAGACUACAGCCACCGGAAUUGCUUCAUUGUGAGAUUCAUCUUCCUCUCUGUUUAAUGCAUUAUUCCUUUCAUGUUUACAUUUAUGGAGUUCCAGUGUUGUGUUCUGCUUUCUUUUUUAACUUUUAUGAACUCUAAUGGACAUCGUGUUAUGGCUUUUAGACCUGGAGCUGGUGAAACUCCAUUCAAGAGAAGUAUCGAAUCCCCAUCAGCAUGGAUGUCUCCUUGGUUUUUCAAUUCUUUCCUACCUGGCCCGAGGAUCGAUACUGAAAUAUCGAUCGAGGUAGUACUUAGUUAGAUUGUUUGGAAUGGGAAAGAAGUAUUCAUUAAACGAUGGUUUGAUCAAAUUGUUGUAUUUUUGUUGAAUAGGACAUUGGGUAUUUUUCGAGCCCGAAGGAAAGAAGCCUUGAUGCAAUUGGGUUAAUGAAACAAGUAAGCGAGAGAACGGCAGCUGCAUGUGCCAAUGCCCAUGAAGUGUUGGGAAAUGAAACUCCAGACACACUUCUGAAGGGAACGCGUAUGAAACAUCUCCAUUGUGAUGAAGCUGUUCUGGUAAUCAUUCUUUCCAAACACCUUCAUCAUUCUCUUUUCUUUUUGGCAAAAAGGUUCUUUCUCUAAAAAAAUUUACCUUUUCAAAGUGAAAUAUAUUCCAAAUGCUACGUUUUGAUACAUAUCAAGUUUUCAAGCAAAAGAGACUUUGUUAUUAUUUUUUUAAUGGAAAAAAUAAAUCAUGAUAGCCGAUGAUAUUUAAACUUCUUUUUUUUAAAAAAAAAACUUUUUAGAUAAAAAUAUUUACAAAUAGCAAAUAUAUUACAAUCUGGGUCGAUUUAGUUUUAAAACAUUUAAUUUGAUCCGAGUAAUAAGAGAGAAAGAUUUGAGUUGUGGUUUUGGGUAAUAUUGUAAAGUUGUACGAUUUGACUUUCAGGCAGAGUGUAGGGUAUUGGACUUCAGCGAAUGUGGCUCUCCAGGAAAAGUAGGGACAAUGGGUGCGUGAAAACAACAACAGUAGAGACCACCCGUCCCCUUUUCUAUCUUCUCAACGGCUGCACAUAACAAAUCUAUCUGCCUUCAACUUCCUUGACGUAAUGUGUGUUCAUUCGUCCCCCUAGAAGAAAAAAGAGAAGGGAAAAAAACAGGGAAGAAAUUGUAAUUGUACGUGAUUCUCUAGAUUAUCAUCGGUCUGACCUAAACUUCAAAACUUUGAAUAUAAAUGAAAAAUCAAAGAGCCUUUUUCUCAAAGGGCAAAUGAGCACCGAUAAUUUCUUCAAAUGAAAUGUUAAAAGAGACAAGUUUUUGCCAACAAGAUGACAACAAAUUGCUUCCAGUAUGGUGAGCAACAAUGAUUAUUUAAUAAUAUGGUAAGAGAACUAAAGCAAGACUAUAGAAGUGGGGGAACAAAAAUUAGAGGACACGAGUCACGGCUGCAUGGAUUGCGUCCGCAAGGUGAGGUACGGUCCUUGAGCUCAAACCUGCCAUGCUGAUUCUCCUGCAACACGUAACAAAGUUAUAAAAAAAGAAUAUUUACCUUCAUUCAUAAUCAAUAAUUAAUUCAAUCAUUUUAUGGAAGUUGUUUUUAUGAAAAUUUUAAUUUUAUAAAAUAUUUACAUUCUAAUUCGACACUGUAUCACACAAUCUAAAAUUUAAAUUCAAAUUCAACACUAUGUCAAAGUAGCUAAAAUUUAAAAUUACUAUGUCAAAGAAUCUAAAAUUUAAAAUUUUGUUAAAUUUUGUUUAACCUAUAAAUAUUUUAAUUAUAGAAUCUAAAAUUUAAAAUUACUAUGUCAAACAAUUUAAAAUUUAAAAUUUGUUAUAAGUGAAAUAUUUUAAUCAUAGAAUUUAAAACUUAAAAUUCAAAAUUCAAAAACUUAAAAUUCAAAUCCGACGUCAAAAAAUUAAAACUCAUAAAUAUUUUAAUUUAUUUUAGAACUUUUAAAAAUGGUCUUGUUUCUAAUCGAGAGGUUUUUAAAUAAUAGAACAUUUGAAAAUUUCAUUUUUAUAUUUGCUAUUAAAUAUUUAAGUUUAUUUUUCUAUAUUAAAAAAAAAAGGAAAGAAUCAAAUAUAUUAAGAAAAAAAUAUCAAACAAGCUUAGGAAAAAGGGGCAAGAAAAACAAAAAUAUGGGUAGACGAAAAUGAUUGGGGAUAUAGAGAAGUGAUUAUAGCAAUGUGAAAGGAAAGAUGCUUUACCCAUCAGAGGUCAUGUAAAUAUGAUAUUCUUUGGUCAUGAAGCUAACUUGUUCCGAGUUCAAUCCUGUGAAUGUAAACAUCCCAAUCUGUUUGAUGAUGUGACUCCAAUCACCAGGUGUACCUUCAUCACAUACACACAUACACAUGAAUGGUCAAUAACACACCACAAGACCCCUUCAAAUAUGGCUUCUAAUACCAUAUUUUCAACCACGACCAACCAAUUUUGUUGAUUCCUUUUACUCUUUUCCCAAAUUUCAUACUCCCUUCCAUGUGAGGGAUGAUAAAUCAGGCAUUUGUUUUAUAGCACUUUAGUCUACUUGAGAAAAUCUAAACGCUGUGUUUAAUUAGGAUGCAAUUAAAAGAUUUGAAUUCGAUGACAGAUCUCCCCAUCUAUAAACCACAAAUCUUGAUUGACUAUGCAAUUCUUAAAAUAAAGCAGUUCCGAACAUUACAAAAUAACUUGUUGCAUCAUUCAUACCAAACUUCAUAUUAGCCCUCAAAAUCUAUGGAUUGGAUGGAUGGAUUAUAAUAUUCUAUUCAUUCUUCAUAUUAGCUCUCCAUAUUAUUCUAUUUGCAAUUCUGUUGUUAAUUAACAUUUCCUUUCUUCCACAUUCCUCUAGGAUUUUCUAGAAUAUUUAAUUUUUCUCCAAAAGGAACCUCCUACUCGUUUUCAAGGCAUCACUGUUAUCUCACCAGACCGCAACGCACACAAGACGACCAGAAAAUAUUCACCAGAAAGCCAUCGGUAUCAUAUCAAUUCACUAGCCAGGACCAUUAGGUCCCCCUAAUCAUUCACCCAUCGCACUCAAUUCUCCCGACUAGUCCCUCCCAAAUGAAAGCUUCCUAAAUUUAACCAUACAAUACACAAAAUGGAUGUAUAAGGUAAAACUAAAUCAUGCACCGUCUCUUCCCUUUCUCCUCUUCAAAAUCUCAUAACCAACUAUAAGUAAUUAAGAUUACAAUGAUUGUUCAGGCCUAAUGACCGACCCAUUAUUUGACUACUUUUUUUACUUCUCAUAAUUAAGGUUAUAUAAACGCUGCUUCCAGCUACUAUUUUCCUUAUUUUGUGAUCUAUCUCUAUGAGCAGUUUUGAAAAUGAAAAAUAAAGGCAGUUCAAAUUAUUUAUUCAUUUCCUUUUUUGAAAACCACACAGUAGAAAAUAUAAGAAAAUCAGCACAACCUUCCAAAAUAGAAAGUUAAAAACUAAAUCGUUUUCGAAGGGAAACUAAAUUUGAAUUUUAUGAUAAAUUGAGAUUCAGCCUUGUCCACCUACCUAAUCUGCAUUCCCAAUUAUGAUCGUUCUUCUCAUCCACACCCCAAAUGUUUUAUUCCCUUUAUUCUCUUAUUGAUUACUCUUACCCUUAGCUAUAUCCUUUGAAUAAGACCAUGCAGUCACAAAAGGAACUGGUAUAAUGAGGCUAGUAAGCACUCAAAAGAACUCAAAAUGGAUACCAAGAGAAUAAAUACUAACCUCUAGCGCGCAGGGCAUCAAAAAGUUGCUGGCGCAUGCUAAUAAUACGGUCUGCCAUGGCCUUCAACUCAACAGUCCAUUCAUUGAACAAAUCCCUACCAUUGAAACAAAGAUAUUGCUUUCAUUUUUUUGGAUAAGAUCAAAGAUAUUGAUUUCAUGAUGCAUGGACAGUGAAUCAGUUCCACACAAAUUUUCAGAAUUGGAAAUAAAGUAAACACAAGCAUCUUGCUUAUAGAUGUUCGUUCGCCUUCCCAAUCUGAGUUGAGGUCAUAUGAGAAGUUCUUAUUUUUACCUGUCCUUCAGGACUGUAGCGACAAUAGAUGCUCCGUGGAUGGGUGGGCUCGAGUACAUGGGCCUUAUCACUAGUUUUAGCUGGCUCUCUACCCUGCUUGCAACAUCAGCAUUCUUGCAGACCUGUUCAAGAGUAAAAAUGCGUAAGAUCAAGGCAGAAAAUUUAAAAAAAUACUAGCUUAGACACCAUCCAUGCAUGUUCCUGCUUCAAAGAUUCUUUGAAUGAAAAAAAAAUGUCUAUCAAUAAGCUCUUGCAGUUUAGAAAUCUGUAUUUUUACCAAUUUAGUAAAUUUCUAUUAUUAACAGUAAUGAUAAUACAAGCAGUUAUUAUAUUUCCACGAAUAAUAUGCACAAUUUUCCAGAGUACCAAAAAUUUAUCAUUUCAAAAGAAUAGUGCAGUGGAAAAUCAUGCACGUGACAAUAAGACGACACAAUUUAUAGUAACCUACAAUAACUUACUCAUCUCAAUUUAUAAUAGAACCUGUAUUUGCCAAUAAUACCACACAGACUCCAUAUUCAAUCAAUGAAGAUGUGAUGCUCUAUAUCUCAAUAAAUCAAGUAUGGACAUUCUUCUAAAAACCUUACAAUGCUUAAAGCGCCAACACGUUCGCCAUAUAGCCCCAAAUUCUUUGCGUAACUCUGGGCUACAAAACAUUCACCUCCAUCAGCAACAAAUAAGCGCACAGGCUGUGCAUCCUUAUCCAAACUUCCACUGGCAAAACCCUGUAUAAUAAGAGGCAAAUAUAUCAGAAGUUUAAACGCCUAGAUUAUCUUUUUUAGUUGUUGAUGUGCAAGUCAUUCUUUAUUUUAUAAUAUCUAUAACCCUUACCUGAUAAGCACUGUCAAAGAAAGGUAAAAGCUGUUUUGAUCUCAUCAACUUCCUGAUCUGAUCCCAUUGUUCAAGGGUUGGAUCGACACCAGUUGGGUUGUGCGCACAUGCAUGAAGCAAAACUAUAGCUCCAGAUGGGGCAGAACCAAGAUCUUCCAAGAGGCCUGUAACACAUUAAAGUUGUCCAACCAAUGGUAAGGAAUGGUAAGGGACUGACAUACUCAACAUCAAAAGCUUCAGUAACCAAUCAUCUUAAAGCACUCCCAUAUGGGAUACCAGGAACACUGUAGUCUAAAAGGCUAUACAAGUUGAGAGUAAUCUAAUUGAACCAACACUUCAGUGAAAGAUAAAAACACGUUGGAAUUCAUUAUGGUGAUAGAACCAAAAAAGCCUAUUGCAUAGUAGUAAUAAAAGAGAACGAGUUUGAACCUUGAAAAUCCAACCCCCGUGUUGAGGGAUCAUAAUAUCUGUAAGUUUUUACAGAUAGACCAGCCAGAUUAAAAACUUUGGGGUGGUUCCCCCAUGUUGGCAGGGGAAUGUAUAUAAGCCGCUGAAAAACAAGAAAAUAAAGCAUGUUGAGAUGGCUUUAUUACUUUGAUAAAGUAAAGCAUAACAAGCAUGAUAAUUGAACACCUAAGCGACUCCGCACCUCAUGAUAAUGUCUUGCCAAAAACUCACUACCAACCCUCAAUGAUCCAGUACCGGACAAGCAUUGAACAGUUGUGACACGAUUCUCAAGGAUGGCAGGGCUAUAUAAAAGUAAGAAUUAGAAAUACGAUCCAAAAAGAGAAAACUAUUUAACCAAAGAUGCUGUUCCAAGUAUGAGCUAACCAACUGUAAAUAAUAUCGGUACAGCUUACCUGUCAGCGCCAAAAAUAAGCUUCGCACUCUGUUUAUUAAACUCCGCCAAUCCCACAAUCGGAAGAUACUCCUUAACUCGUGAACUGCAGGUCAUUAAAAUAAGAAGCUCAACAUAUAUCUACAUCAAGUAACAAUCCCAAGAGAAUGAAGAAAAAUACCUAUCAUUAACAAGCUGAUGCUCUGCUUUUCUGACAACGUUCAAUACAAGAGGUUUUCCUUCCUAUCAUAUCAAAAUACUACAAUAUUAAAAAAUUUCUAACUAGACACGCCAACUGCUUAGACAUCUCGAUAAUGAAUAAAUUAAAAGAUGCGACAAUCUAAAGCAACAGAUACGUACCUCUGUCCUAUAAGCACCAACGCCCAAAUUCAACUUGUUCGGACUCGGAUCUUUGUUGUAUGCAACAGUCACCUAUCCAUUCAACAUAGUGAUUUAUAUAUAUUAGCAAAAAUUGCAAAAAUUCGGAUAGAUAGUUAUAAAUAUGCAUUAAACAAAAAUAACGAGAAGAUUUUUGUCCGAUAGUCUUCUUAUUUCUUAAAAAUCUCCUUCGGCGUUUCUAAAGCCAUUAAACCAAGUGAUAAGCGGAACAAAUUUCCAAAACACAACAAAAUGACAUCAGAAGCAACAGCCAGUUAGAUUUCAAGAAAAACACACAAGCAACGAUCAUGAUCCACAAACAGCCAACGAAAAACUCCCGAUCACAACAAUCCAAAAGGCUCGACAUAGUUCAUUUCAAUAAAAUACCGUACAUAAUAGAAACAGAAAAGUCCGAAUCAGAGACGUGAAUAAUUAAAAACUUAAACUAAGAGCAAGAGAAGAGAAAGAAAAAACGAAAAGGAAAUCCGCUGAACUUGUCGGCAACGGAACAAAGAAAUGCAAGUGGAGAGAAAAUUGAUCAGCAGAGCAAAGAACGAAAAAAAAAAAAAAAACUACAAGGAUUGAUGGAAAGAGAUAAAAAAUUACCCCGAGAAUAGGAUCUUCAGGAGCACGAACAACAUGAGCGAAAACGGAAUCAGUAUUCAAGGAGGAAGUAGGAGAAGCAGAGAUAGAAUCAGCCAUGGCGGAUGAAGAUGGUUCAACCAGAUGCCUAACGAGAGCGUUAAUUCUUCGAUCGGUUGGAUCGGUAUUAGAAGUGGAAGUGUUGGAACUAGCAGUUUGUGGAAUGCCAAACAAGGGGCGCAUCUCGUGUGCCAUGAAUUUCCUUUUUACUUUUCUACUCUUUUUUUACUCUUCUUUUUCCUUUCAACUUGUGAUGCGGUCUUUUUUGACAGUCCGAUUUCUCAAUUUAUACUUUCCCGAAGACGAAGCUUUUGCUAUAAAGCCUUCACAUCAAUGUGUUUCGGAUUAUUACAACCGAAAAAGAAAAAUGUAUCUAAUACUCAAAAAUAAUUUUAAAAAAAAUUCAAUUAAAAACUUAAUCUUUUAGAUAAUAUUGUAAUUUUGUGUUUAAUAAAAUAUUAAAUAAGUCAAUUAACGAGUUAAUACAAAAUUAAAAGAACACAAAUCGCCACAGGGUCGAAAGUUUAAUUAUUAAUGACGUAGUUAAGUUUAAUUAUUGAAGUGAGGUGGCGUGGCGUGGAGAAAAGAGCGGUAAUGUUUGGCACGUACUACGAGGGAGAAAGAGAGGGCCAUACGGCUAAUGGUUUGGCACGUGACAUUCAGGUGGUAUAAGGGAUUAGGAUUGUUUUUCCAUUGGCACGUUUCUCGAGCAUUCUCCCACGUGGCUCACGACACGGUCGCCUCCGAUGCUUCCGCAUAAUUUAUCGUUGAAGAGUUUUCUUUCUCUUACUCCUAAAUCCUUACCAUCAAAUUUUAGAUCAUAAAUUUUGUAAGAUAGCAUCUCACACUAAUCAUUUAAAUUAUUUAAUAUAUUAUAAUUUAACACUUCAAAAUUAAUAUUAAAAUAUAAAAGUUGAUGAUAUAAAGAGGUACAUGAGUUUGGAGAGGGUAGAAAAUGAUUUUGCUACUAAGCUAAUGGUUAGUAUUGAUAUUGUUUUAUAUAUAUAAAAGAAUAUCGAGGGUUUGAGUCUAUUUAGUUUAUGUGUUUUGGUCUAAGUUGAAUUUUGACUCAAGAUAUUUAUAUAACUUUGAUUUUAAAAAUUUUGAAAAAUUCUAUUUUGUAUAGUUCUCGGGAAUAAUUUUAUCUUUUCAUACUUAUUUGUUAAGUAAUUUAUUGAUGUUAAAGAACAUUAAUAUCACAAAUAAACACAUUUUUUUGUUUUGAUAUUUUGUUGAUAUCAAGGAACCAUUAACAUCACGAAAGUAUGUUGAAGGGUAUUGGAGAUAGAAAAUAUAAUCGAAGUCACCAAAGUCCCAAAGCUCGAUAGGUAAGAGAAUGGUUAUAGGUGUAUAAGUGAAACACAAUCAUCUUCGUUGGCGUUGAGACUUUUAGUGAAACUAAAAGCAAAACUAUGAGUCACAGUAUGCAUGACCAAAAGUGGGUUAUAUCACAUCGUCGUAGAAAUGUUUGGAAGAUUGCUGUCCUAAAAAAAUAGAAUACUAUAUGAUGCCCGAUACUUUUGUUGGUUGGCAUUAUGAUUACAUGUACUAAUAAUAAAAAAGUUUUUUUUUUAAAAAAAUUAAUUGUAAAUUACAUUGAAUUACAUUGUUUUUAAAUAUAAAAAAAAAUGACACGAAUAAACAGACUAUUACGUGAAUCACGAUUUUUUUUUUAUGUUAAGUUAUAGAUAACGGUGACACAUUUGAAGUGUUAAUAUAAGGAUAUUAAUGACAGUAUGUUGGUGUCAUCUAAGUUUAUUUAACGACAUUUUUUUAAAGUAUUGUUAAAUAGUGAUAGGGACUUUGAUUGCACAAAAACUGAAUCAUUCAAACUUUUCAUGACACAAAUUUUACAUCGUUAAAGCUCAUUUUUCUAGUACAACUAUUUAACUAAUUGGGUAUCAAACUGAGCCUAAAUUUGUUAACUCGGUUCAAUAAUUAUCUAACCUUCCUCCAUUAAUAUAGUAGAAGGUGCCUAUUGACUUUUCUAAAAUCGGUAGAUAUGUGAGCUUACCCGCAUUUAUUGAAUUUAAUACAACGUGAUACGUUUGAAAUACGAAUAAAAUAACAACAUUUUAAAAUAAUUUAUAAGUUUCUUACUCUAUCCAAUAUGAAAUUUGGAAAUAAUUAAACUUUCCACUUUAAUAAAUGAAAAACAACAAUUAAUUCACUAUAAUUAUUAUUUUUCAUGGGAACUAAACGAUCCUUAUAGUCCAAUAUUUUGAAUUUUACAUUUUCAAUAAUACAAUUUAGAUUUAGUUACUAAAAAUUAAUUUCCACCCAAAUUGAUUACAUAACAACAAUAAUUUAAUUAAAUAGAUAUGUAAACAUGUUUUUAAAAUUUAUAGUAAAAAUAGGUAUAGAUGAUGGACUAAUAGUUUUUUAAAUAAUAACAAGAAAUUAGUCUUAAAAACAAAAAAAAUAUAUAUAAAGUUUAUUAAAAAUAGAAUGAAUAAAAUUGAAUAAAUUAUAAAGUAUAUAAAUAAAAGUAAUAUUUAACUCCAUAUGUGUUUAUUAAUUCUUAGAUCAAUGCUUUUGAGGCGUUUGGAGCAAGGAGUUGGUUAUUGUAAUUUGUGUUUAAAGUGUAGAUUAUUUUAUUUUUUAUUUUAAUAACAUGUGUUUGAUAUGAAAAUUAUUUUAGUUUGAAAAAAAUAGUAAAUACGAGUAACAAAUAACAAAUAAUAAUUUUUUUAAUAAAUAGUAAAUAUAAUGAUAAAUAGGAGCAUUUAAGAGAUUAUAAAAUAGUUUAGUGGUAAGGAAAGUUAUAGUUUUAGAAUAGUCUUUACCCUAAAAAUAUAUUUCAAAGCAUUGGGAUUGGGAUUACAUUGACAUCAAAUUUGUUAUAUUUGAGGAUAGUGUUUCCGUCCACGCCAAGGAAUAUUACAACAUUAGUUUUCAACCUUCACGUCUAUAUCCCUAAUUAGUUUCAUAAAUCAAUUUCAAAGGUCUAUCCACACACCCCUCUUUAUUUGUACAUAAUUUUCAACCAUCACAACCAUCUUUAUUAUAAAGCCAACACAUUAAUAAAGAAAUUUUUGUAUUUGAUCGAAUGAAUUUUGUCUUGACUUUCAAAGACUUAGAUAUUUGGAUUUCGAAGUUUGUCACUGUAGUUGCGGUAUAGUUAUUAUAGUUUGUAGGUUAAAGUAGCGUGUGUUUAGAGUUUAUAACAUUAGUUUAUUAUGGAUAAAAAAUAGUAAAUGCGAAAUGAAAAAGAGAGAGGAUGAGAAAGAAGAAUAGAAAUUUUAAAUAUAUUACUUUACUUAAUUGUAAGUUAUAAUAGUUGUAAACACCCUUACAACUAUAAUAAUUAAAGGCUCAAACAUAGAGUGAGUUAUAAUAGUUCACUUCACCUAAUUGAAAUUAAGUUGUUUUUUUCUUCUAAACUUCUAUUUGCUUUGUUAGAACGAGAAAUUACCCAAAAUGACCAACCUAACAUGGAAAUCACCACUCUCGCUACUUCUACUCCAUGCUUGAUCUAUUUUCUUGCUCCUCUUUCAAAUUUUAUUUUCGUGAAAUUAUCGAGUGAUAUACUUACUUUCUCAAUUAACGUUGGAAAUGAAAUGAAAAAAAAAAAAAAGAAGGGAGAGCGAAACGAGAAGGAAAAGGAAAAAUAAAAACCUCCUCUAAUUACAUGGAGGGAAAGAAAGAAAAAUGACUAAGGGAUCAAAGAAACACAUAAAAAGGAUGGAGAAGAGGUUAGUGAAGAAAAUCAAAAGUGUUAUUAGACAAACAUUUAGAUCAUGAGAGCAAUUUGAGAGGAUGCAUUUUUUCCAUUCUCAACGUUCUAGUUCGUCAAUCUCAAUUACUCACUUAUUAAAAGAUCUUCAUAUAUGACAAUUAUUUUAAAUUUAAACGAAUAUAUAUGUUUCUUACUUCCUAAAAAAAAAAUUCAAUUAUUUCUUAGCCAUCAACAAAAAUGGCUUGCUAAUUCAGCAUGCUUUAAGUGACUUGAAAACAACAUUAAAAUAUAUAUUUAUAAAGAUUAAUUUAUAAGUCUAAAGAAUAAAAUUUUAGAAGUAAAAUGAAAAAACUAAAAUUAAACCAAUUAUUUAUAUUUUAAAUUCUUCAAAAAGAAAAAAUAAUUAUAUUUUAACCUUUUUUUAAAAAAAAAAUUAGUUGGUCACGUAUUGCCACCACUUGUACAAAGCAGUACUGUACACUACGCCGUACACAAUUAGUCUCAUUGGAUAAAUUCUAAACCUGCAAAAAGAUUUCCAACAAACAAAGAUUAGAAAAAAAAAAAAUAUAUAUAUAUAUAUUUUUUUUUUUCUCUUCAAUUUUUAACGAAGUCUUAUAAUAGUUUGUAAUUUUAGUUAAAAUUUUACCCAGAUUAGAAAAUAUAUAUUAUAAAUUUUCCAGUUAAAAAUUAAAUAAAAAAAUAUUUAGGUGUAGCCUUAGGAAAUUUGUAAUACUUUGGUAGUCCAGUAGACUUAAACGUUACCAUAUAUAUAAUUAUGUAGUAAAUUAGUUGGAGGGCGAGUUUUUGCUAAUUCUGCGCACAAAUUUUUCAUCAAUCAAAGAAGAAAAAAGUAACACGGAGAGAAGAGAAGAAAUUAAAGGUAUAUAUAACCGACCUUUGAAGGUGAGAUCCAGUGGCGUUCCUAUACGAUUCCCUUUCCUCUUCGGUGACCGGAGAAGUCCACCGGGAGAAAUCUCGGCCAAAGAAACACCAAUCGGGUAAGAGAACGCCGGCGAUGGCGAAAACGCCGACGAAAUAAGUUACGGCCAUUUUCUUGAAGGAAUAGGUGGAGAUUCCGACGAGGAGGACGGCGAGGGCCAAAAUUACGAGAGAGGAGUUGAGUGCGGCGUCGUUGGCCAUGGAUCUAGAUUAGAAAUUGGAUAAAGAAAAUGAGAGAAUGAUGGAAGAAGCGAUGGGCAUUGCAGAUUAGAGAGCGUGUAGGCCAUGGUCUAGGGUUUUGCCGCUUAGCUAAUUAUUGUUGCAUUUAUUUGAUAGCUUCUUUCUUGAUUGUUUCUUCUCGGGUUCAACUGUGUAAUCUGAAUCUUUAAUGCCCAUUUUCCAUUUUCCAUUUUCCUUUCUCUCUUUAGAGUUUAAUUUACGUUUUAUAAAAAUAAGAAGUCUAUAAUUAAUGGAGUCUAUUAAUGACUAAUAAAUCUAUAAUUAAUAUAAUUAUUUUUAAUUUCAUUUUGUUUCGAUAUUAUAUUAUUAUAAAAUUGUUAUUCAUUAUAAUUAUAUAAUUUUAUUUAGUUUUUAACUAUUUAAUCGUUCCAUCCUAAACUUAAACAUUGAACAAUUUACAUUUUAAAGUUUGUAAGAAUCUAAUCACAAACAUUAAAAGAGAUCAUCAAAUUUUGAUAAGAAAUUGAGUAAUUAUAAAUAUAAAAAAGAAUGGCAAAAUAUUUACACAAAUGACGCUGGCAAUCUAAAUACACUAAUUAGUAAGGAUGAGUUAGCAAAUUCUUUCAACAAAAGCACCAAAUGAGAAUUAAAAAUUAAGAUUUGGCUCAAAGUCAUUUCUAGCUUUGUUUACCUCUAGAUCUGGUUGUAGACCCACCGUGACAUAGCAUAUAAUAGUACCCUUCCUUAAUAUUUACCCUUGACUUUGUGUAUUGAAUUGUUUCAAUUUUUACUUUCAAAAUCAUUUAAUUUCAUUAAAUUAGACCCUGCAUUUAAUUAAAGGUUGUGACAUUUUUGUUGCCAGUUACUCUUUUUUCCGUUUGUUAGUUCGUUUUUUACUACUUUUCUUGUAAGUUUAAGAGAUUACGAUUCUUCUUUUAUGAAAAGAUAUUCUUAAAUUGAUGGUGGGUCUCACCAAUUGAUUCUACGUUUUAAGAGAUGUUAUUAAUAAAAGUCGGAUAUUAAUUUCAAGCUCUUAUACAUUUAUACUAUAUAAUAUCAAUGACAUGUUUGUAAGUGAUUUUAAAAUUAUUAAAUUUUUUUUAUGUGUUCAAAAUGACUUUGAAACAUGUAUUUAAUCACUCAACAUUAAUUUCAUAUUUAAUCUUACAUUUUUUAACAUGACUUCCAUACCAUUGUAUUUGAUUUUGAAUUAUUAAAAUCAUGCUUUAUACCAAAUUAAAAAAGAGAACAAAAAAAAUUUAAACCAUUUUAGAAACAUUGACAUGAUGUAAAGGCUUUACUCGUAUAUAAAAAUUCAAUGGUGUAUACAUUUAAAUUUAUUCUCAAAGUGACUUAAAAAGUGAAAUAUGUUAUAAAAACGAGACACAACAAAAAUACGGAUAUUGAAAAAAUGUAAUAUUAUAAUAAAUAAACAAAUAUAUACAUAAAUUAAUUAAUUAAGAAAUAGUUUUCUCUACUAACUCUAAUCUAUUUGGAAUUUUAGCCAACAUGUGUAUCGCCUACAAAUCCGCCAAAUACAUCUAUUUAUAGGAUAAAUGACAAGUAGGUGGUGGAUUCAAUGUACACUAAUGGUGUGUCAUAUUGAGACACGUGAACAAUAAAUAGAUUAGUUAUAAGUUACCACUUGACUAUAAACAUUAAUGUAUAUUAUUUAUAUCAUAACAUACAGAUUAGACAAUAAAUAACUAUUUAAAUUAUUGUUUUAGUUUGUUUAUGUCAUAUGCUUAGUAAUUAUUUUUUUUAAAACUAAGCUAGUAAACAUUACUUUUACCUUUAAAUUUAUUAUUUUGUUAUCUACUUUCUAUCGGUAGUUUAAAAAGCUAAGUUAAAAGUUGAACAGACUGUUUUUAGAAUUAGAAGUCAACUAAAAGUGUUUAACUAUAUUUAAAAAAGAUAUGCAAAUGAUGGUGAAAAAUGGAGAGUAAAUGCAUGCAAUAUUUCUUUUUAAUAUACUAAAAACAAAAAGAAAUUAUAUGCAUUAGGCAUACCAUAUUUUUCAAUGAAGUUUUAUAUAUAUAUAUAUAUAUAUAUUAUAUAUAUUAAAGAAAAAAGGGAUAGGUUAUAUUGUCACAUUCCAAUUGAUGAAUUUUGCAUCUAAGCAUAUAAAAAUCAUGAAAAAAAUCCAAUAAUUUUUGGAUGGUAAAAAGGAGGAAACAUUGGGGUGUGGGAGGAAGGCUACAAUGGGUUAAGGCAUAUGGAUGGACACAUGGGGGCGUCGGGUUACAAACAAGGCAAAAUGAGAUUCUGUGUGUAUUAUCUGGACGACAUGUCGUACCCCUUAACUUUUGACUUUAUUUCACUCCAUAUCAACACAUAUGUAUAAUGUUUUGUUAUGGCGUCACACCAAUCAAAACUUUUGUCUCCUAACCAAAACAAAAAAAUUGGCUUUUGGGUUAAGGCAAAGGAUCAUAUGAACCAACAUUUUCUUAAGGGAAUGACCAUAAAAUAUGUUGACAAUCUAGAUUAGUUCUUUCAAGCGAUACACGGAUCAUUUGAAACGAGAGUUACGUAGUAUUAUAAUAAUUAUUUUUAGUUAGCUACAACAAAUACUAUUUAACAAUCAUCAAUUAGUUACGGUAAACAUUAUAGUAAAAUUUCUCAAUUAGUCUACGUUUUACAUACAUAUGUCAGUUGAGUUAAACUUUUAUUAACAAAAAUAAAAAUGUUAAUUGUUAUAAGGGACAUUUUCCAAUAUAAAAAAAUUAAUCAAAAUAUUUAUAAAAUAUAGUAAAAUUGUUGGGAGUGUUUAUAAAAUAUAGUUUAUUUGAAUUGCACGAUUUAUGCCUAAAACGAUCUUGGAUGAAUUACUAAAACUAAAUAGAAAAUAUUGGAUAGAAUCAUAUUACAUAGCAAAAUGACGGUAAAAAAUCAAAUGAGACCAUAUGUUAAAAAAAAUAUUAGCAUAUAUAUUUUGAAUUACUCAAAAUGAUGUUAUAUAAAAGAAAAGCAAUGAUUAACUAGAUGUACUAGAACUUUUAAUUACCAAAAUUAAAUAAAAAUUGAACGAUUGAAGUAAAAUUUGAAUUUAGACCAAGAGUUACGAGCAUGAAAAAAAGCAAGACAUGAAAAAUAAAAUUGAAAUGAUAGUAGUUACAUCGAGACUAAAAGAGUGUUAGACACGGACCAAUGGAGGAAGAGACCAUGAGAAGGCAAGGAAUUGGGUUGAGUGGCUCAAGAUUCUUGCGUUGACCUCAAGUCGAGCGAUCGAAGAUGCCCACAAAUGCCUUAGCCAAAAGCAUCACUCUAGAUUCUAACACAAUUUCAAAAUUCAACCGAAGCAAUAUAGGAUAAUUACUUUUAUAAACAAAUCACUAUAGUUUCAUAUAAGGCAACUUGAAUCUAAUCUUCAAACUCUACUUCACACUUUUCACUAUCUGAAGUUGAGUCGUGGACUAUGCUCUCUUUAAGAUGUAUUGCAGCUCUACCCGAAAUACAAACAAUUCGAUAUUACGCCACGUUGUUUCCAAGAUAAAAUAGUUUGUUUCAAUCAAAACUGCACCAGUAUCGAUCAUAAUACCAAUACCCUUCUAUUCAGAACGUGCUUGAAAACCGAAGAAAGAAAAAUAUGAACAAAGAAGGGGACGAGAGAGAGAGAGAGAGGGUGAAAUAAUUUUUCUAAUACUUUGAAUGAACACAAACGAGGAGUUUUAGUUCAAGAGUUGGUGAACAGCUAAAAAAUGUUAAUGAAGAAAACGUUUGGACGACCAGUGGAGAAAUAAUUUUAAUACUUUUAUUAAACAAUUAUUCAUUUUAAAAAUACGUCACCUCGUCACGUCUGAUUGGACGACGACAUCAACAUGCGUAGAGAGAUCAAUAAAUCUACAUUUGUCUAUCUUCUCGCUACCUCCUCGAAAAAGAAAACACGAAAAUGAAAUAAUAGAAAAUAGAUUAUAUGAGAGAAUUCCAAAUUUAGUAGAGAAAGGAUGUGAUUGAUUAUGUGGAGAGGAAAAAGGCAAUUCAAUCUUCAAUUGAUGAAGUUAGAAUAGUGAGAUGUAAAUGGAAUCUAAAGUCUAUGAAUAGCCCCAAAGUCCAAAGACAUGAGAGGCAAAGGCCCACCCACAAUCCAAACAAAGCCAACCAAAACGGAGUUUUCCCAAUCCUCUUCCCGAUUACCGCUAUCUUUUUCCUCCGUGGGUCCAAGCCUCAAAUUAUCAUCUCAACUCAUGUAAAACUAUAGUCUUAUUUAUUACUUUCACCUUCAAAUAACUUGUAACUAUCCAACUCAAAUUGUAGCCGUCCAAUCCAAUUGAAUUGAAACUUUUCUAUUUUUGUUGAGUUGAGUUUGGGUCUCUCGUUGAAUUUUUGUUAGUUGAUCCGAUUCGAUCAAAAAUCGUAUAUGUAUUUAAAUUUUUAUGUGCAUAUAUUUGUUUUUGUUAAUGUUUUUUCAAACCUUGUCUUAGAUAUCGUGAUGUUUAAUAUUUAACGUUUGAGUUUUAUGAUAUUUAACUAUUAAUUAUAUCUUGUAGAAAAACUCGGCAACCCAGCUAACCCAAUCGGAAUUUUAAGGAUAGGGUUGGAGAACUUAUUUGAGCAUUUUGGGUAGCUAACUCGACCAACUCGAAUUUAUGGGUUGACAUUGGUAAAAAACCACAUUUAAUUCAACUCAACUCAUAUACACUUAUAACUAUACUUUCAUUUGUCAAUUUUUAGUUAUCGUACUUUCAAUAAACCUUAAAUUGAUUAAAUAAUGACAAUGAAGAAAAAAAUGGUGGGGAAAAGUAGAUAUCGACUAAACAAGUUUAUAAAUAAUAAAUCAGUCAAUUUACAUAGUUUAAUAACGUUAUAUCAUUCAAGUGUGUAAGCAUUAUUAUAAAUGAUGUUGUCAAUUGUAUUAGCAUUUGGGUCAGUUUACACGCACCUUCACCUGACCCUACAACAUUUUAGUGUCAAGAAAAUUCGUAAAAAAUUAAUUUUUAGAUAAAUGACCAUCAGUAAACCAUGACUUAUUAGUUAGAUAUUGAGACUAUAUUUUCCUUUUUACCACUAAGUCAACCCAUGAUGGUUAAGUGUAUUAUUAUAAGUAUAGCAAUAAAGUGUCGAUUAGUAGUAUAUCGAUAGUAAUGAUAUUUACAACAUUGCAAUUGUUAAAAUAAUUUGUAUAUUUUAGAUGAUAUAACUAAACUGUAGCAGUUAAUUAUUAUUAGUUUGUCAAACACCAUAAUAUGACUUUUCAAGUUAAAAAUGAACAACUUUCCUACAAAAAAAAAAAAAUCAUCUUUGUGUGCAUUAUUCUUAGCUAUUAUUUUGAAAGCUACCAAAAAUUCCAAGUAAUAAUUCAAUUUUGACAAUUAAAUUUGCUAAAUAGUUAUAAAUUUAAAAAUAGAACUAAAUUGUUACGUUUUAAAACUAAAUUUUACAAAAACUAAUAGUCUAAAUAUGAAAGUUCUAAGACUAAUUAGACUUUUAUGAAAACUUAGGGAUAAAAAUGAUUUUUAAUCUUAAUUUCACGUUAAGUUACACAUUUAACCUUAAAAUGUUUAGAUUUGUGUAUAUUGGUUGUUUAAACCUUUAAAUUAAAAAAUUUCUUCCUUCCAAUGUGCUAAUAAUUUUUCAAAAAUCAUUCAUCUAUUAGACACCUAAAUGUGUUGAGAUAUCAAUAUUUUGUUUUCUUCUAUUGUAACUUGAUAUAUAUAUAUAUAUAUAAAACAAGAAGAACACAUCUUGAUAUUGAAAGUUUGACGUUGUCUUUGUUCUUAUCUAUAUUUUAUUUUUUCUUUAUUAAUAUUCUCUUAAACAUGAUUGAUUAUAGUUUCUUUAGGUUUUAUAUGAAUUCAUAUACACACAUAAUGCAUAGGAAAUCAUCAAAAUAGUAUUUAUGUAUUAUUAAUGAGACUAUAAAAUAAUUUUCAGCCAAUCAUUUUAUUUCUAAACAAUAUUACUCUUAUCUUAUUAAUAAAUUGACGACACAUUUAACCAAAUUAAGCACACAAGUGGUAUGGACAUAGUUAAAUUUUGAUACGACUUUAAUAUUAUAACCAAUACUUAUUAGACACAUACAAAAUGUUAUAUUCAUAUAUGUUGAGGAUUAUCCAAAGUAAACAUAAAAAGUGAUUCGUGAAUGUUUCCAUGAAAAAGUAAAUUAAUCUCAAUAAUUCUUUAGAUUGAGUUAUUUUUGUUUAAUUUCGUGAUUGUAAUGAUAAUUCAAUCAUAUGAAUUGCAUCUUUAAACAUAUUAAACUUCAAUAAUUAAUGUAGGAAAACAAUAAUUAGUUAUACCUAAUUAAAUUAAAGAUGGUUUGGUGCAAAGUGCAAAGUAUUGGAUAAUGAUGGAAUAUUAAUCAAAGAUGGGCAAUUUUAGUGGUGGGAUAAUGUCUUUUCAAUGGUUGACUCAUAAUAAAAAGGUAAAGUGAACAUUUAUGUUUAUCAUCAAUAUUGUUUAAUCAUAUCUCUCUGUUUCCAUAGGAAAAUGAUAAAUUAUUUUCAUCCUAAUUAAAAAUCUUAUCAAACUAUGCAUUGAAUUAUGUUCAGACAACGAAUUUUAUUUUAUUUAUUUUUAGUAAAACAAUACAGAAAGAGAUUAAAGAAAUAAAAACACCUAAUAAAUUAUUAUCUAACUCAAAAGAUUAUCUGAUGCAUACUCAAUUUUUUCUAUUUAAAUUUUAAGAAAAAAUGUAAAAAAAAGUACCAAAAUCAAAAAAUAUUUACACUGAGUGAUUAUAUGAAAAAAAAAAGUAUUAGUCCUCAAACUUAUUUUUUAAACAACUUUUUAUACCACAAUUUUUAUCUUUAUUUUUAACAUUCGUAUUGUUGGGUAAAUUUCAAGACAAAAACAAUUCUUUUUACUUAAUUUUUGAAAUUAACCAAAAAAAUAUAAAAUAGUUACAAGUUUAAGAAUUUAAUUGCUAAAAUAAAAAUAGUUCAAUUUAUACUAUAUGAAUAAUAUCCUCCUUAAAAUCUUAUGUUUGAUACUUUUGCUUCAUGUAUUUUAUUUUUUAAAUACGUUUGAAUUAGUGCAUGUAUAAUAGUUAAUUUGCUUAAAUAACGAUAACAAUAAUAAUAAAUUGGAUAAAUAUUUAGAAUUAACGAAAAAGAAAAAACUCAUAAUUUUUUUAUUUUUACAUUUUAAAAUGUUUGGAUUUCAAUCAACAAUUUAAGAAAUUAACUAAGAAAUGAAACACAUUGCCUGGAAAAAAGGUACACUAAACAGACACAUAAAAUUGGAGGCAAAUAAUUAUUGAUUAUAAUUUAUUUUGGUAUAAUUUUAAAUUAUAAAAAAUACCCAUUAAUGCAUGUCUUAGGUUCUUAACAUGUUUCAUUUUCACAUUUGAACUUUAUUUCUUUUAUUUUUUUUAAUGAACUUGAUUUUGAUUUUAUUGACAAAUACAUAUAAUCUUAAAAGGUGUUAUCUUAUUAAAUUUAUAUACACAUACAAUAUAUUACAAUAAUGUUACAUAACACAAUUCAACUUUUACACAUAAGUUGUCGUGUCAAUUUUUAUAAUAUUCUAGCAUAAAUAUCUUUUCAAAAUAAACUUUUUUAAACAUAGAUUUAAAUUUUAAAAUUCCUCCAGUAAUCGACACCUACAACUACCUUAAAAUUAAGAAGUAUUUUGUAUAACCCUACAACAAAAACCAUCUACUACGACAAUUAUUUAUAUCACAAAAUGGAGGGAGAAAAAACUAUCACAAAAGGAUAAAGAACGUGUUUUUGGUGGAAAAAUGCACAAGUUUUCGAAUAUUACUUUUGCAACAAUUAUUUGAUGUCAUAUUAGAGAAAUAAAAUAAUAUAUUUAAUAUAUAAAAAAAGUUAAAUUUUUAUUUACGAGUAAAUCUUAACCCCUAUUGAAAAACUCUCAUUCUAUUUGUGUUCGUCUCUUCACUCCACCGUCCAGUUUCACCCUCCAUCUCCAAACUCUUUGAAGGUCAUAUCCGGACGACGUGCAGUUUUCUCACCGUCAAUUGUCAUGAAAUGAUUUUUCAUGACUCUCGAUACUAUGACUGUAAAUAAAUGUCGCAUGUUUUAUUCGGAAAAUAAGUGAGAACGAAGAAAGAUUAAAAGGAAAUUAGAGGGAAAAUGUGUUAGGAAUUAAAAGGGUUAGGUUUUUGGAAGAGUUGAGUGAUAAUCCAUUUCCACCCUGUCAAGGAAAGACAAUGAGAGAAGGAAGGAACUAGAGAGGUGGGUGGCUCCUUGUUUUUUUCCCCCACGAAGAUAAGAAGAAUGAAAAAAAUAAAAUAAAAUAAAAUAAAACACAAAUAAAAAGAGGAAAAUGAAAAUAAAAAGAAAAGGGAAAAAAGAAAAUGUGUGGCUACAAAUUGCGCAUCAAUUUGCUGUAUCCCUCGUCCCUACUCCAUUAACCAAUCCACUUCACCCCCAUUUCUCUAUCUCUCUCUCAUUCCUUUUCAUACCCUUUUUUUUCCUCUCAACUUGUUUCAUAAAAUAUAAUAUAUAUCUUCAAUUUUAGAUUCAUUUCAUGCAAUUCACCCUCACCCCUAAGUAAAAAUACAAUAAAUAAAGUCAUAUUAUUAAAAAAAAAAGAACUCAACUUUAUCUUAUAAGAAACCUUAGUUGUAUUUUGGGAGAACUAUUUUAGUUUAAAGAUUGAAGAUGUGUGAAACUAUUUUUGAAAUAUUAAUUGUAAGGUAUAAAUAGUUGUAAAGUGAAUGUUACUAAUAAAUUUGGAGCUUUACAACAUGUAAUAAGAGAACCCACUUCACCAAUUUUAAAUUGGUUGACCCAAAUACCCACUUAUUUGAGAAUACAUUGUUGCACUAUUCUUUUAAGUUGUGUUAGACCUCAAUUUGUUGAAAUUUUAGAUCUUUACUUUAAUAUAUAUAUAAAUAUUAAUGGGGUGUAAGUUUUAAAAUGAUUUAAUAUUUUGAUGACAAGGAUAUUUUUUAUAUAUAUUUUUAUUUUUAUAUAAAUUAGUGAAUAAAAAAUGGGAAGGAAUUGGUAACUGAAAUAUAAUAAUAGAUUCUCCUAGUCCUUCUCGUUUCUCCAUGUAAAAUCCUUCGGGGAAUUGACAAAAUUAGGCCAAAAAUGGAGUAGAUAAAGACUUUUAGGAUUGAUUGUAAAAAAGUUGACAUUUAGGACAAAUUGAAGGUGAAAUGACGAAAAUACCCUUAUUUCAUAUUAAACAUUUCAAUUUAAGAACCUGCGAGAUGUCUGCGAGAUGUCUACCAGAUGUUUGCGAGAUAAAAUAAUAAUAAUAAUAAAUUGCUAACAUCCUUUGAAACAUCUAUAAAACAACCUUAAAUCAACCAUAAAUCAACUUGAUACAUUUAAGAUGCAAAUAUAUAUACAUAUAACACAAUUCAUAUUCAGAUUUAAAAAAAAAUAAAACAAUUAAAACAAUUUAUUAUUAUUAUUAUUUUAUCUCGCAAACAUCUGGUAGACAUCUCGUAAACAUCUCGCAGGUUCUUAAAUUGAAAUGUUUAACAUGAAAUGAGGGUAUUUUCGUCAUUUCACCUCCAAUUUGUCCUAAAUGUCAACUUUUUUACAAUCAAUCCUAAAAAUCUUUAUCUACCCCAUUUUUGGCCUAUUUUUGUCAAUUCCCCAAAUCCUUCCAACAGUGCCAAAAAAGCAGGGGGAGAAAAAUUAAAUAUAAGGUAAAGAAAUUAAAAAUUAAAAAAGAAAAAGAAAAAGAAAAAAACUCUGAGACUCACAGGAGAGAGAGAGAGAGUGUGUGUGUGUGUGAGAGAGAGAGAGAGAGAGAGAGAGGAAGAAGAUGGAUAUGGUUCAUUGGUGAGUGACAGAAAAAGGGUACGUGUUUUCUUGGGUGUUGGAUUGGUUCUUUUUUUUUUUUUUUUCUUUUUCUCUUUUGGGAGAGAUGUCAGGUGGCGGUUGUAGCAUAGUUUGGUUCAGAAGAGAUCUCAGGAUUGAAGAUAACCCAGCUCUUACCGCCGCCGUCAGGGCCGGUGCCGUCGUCGUCGUCUUCAUCUGGGCUCCUGAAGAAGAGGGUCACUAUUAUCCCGGUAGAGUUUCCCGAUGGUGGCUCAAACAAAGCUUAGCUCAUCUUGAUUCCUCUCUUAGAAGCCUUGGUACUUAUCUUCUCACUAAGAGAUCCACCAACACCAUUUCUGCUUUGCUUGACGUCUUUAAAGCCACCGGUGCUUCUCACCUCUUCUUCAAUCACUUAUACGGUUUGUUCUUCUUUCUGGGUUUCUUUGUUUUUCUUCUAUAAUUGAUUUGCUUGUUCUUGGAUGUGCUUGGAAUUGUUUGUAUAGUGAUCUAAUUUUUCUUCUAUUUGUGGGGUUUUUUCAAUGAUGGAAGAUAUUUUGUGACAUUUUACUGAGAUUUUUAUUCAUCUGCUUGUUAAUUUCUUAUUAAUUACCAGGUGAACUCUGCUUAUUAUUGAUAUAAACUGUCUUCUCGGAUUAUAAUUGGAAGUUUUGAGUUUUCAUAGGAUUGGAAAGAGGGAAGGGGUUCUUAAUUGGUUGUGAUGUGAAUAGAUUCUUCGUUUAGGAUUGGUGACUUAUGGUGUUUUCUUUGAUGUCUUGGUAAUGAUUUGGAUGUACAUAUAUUCUAAAAGUGAAUUUGUUUUGUUAGAUCCUUUGUCGCUCAUUCGGGAUCAUCGAGUGAAGGAGGUUUUAUCUGCCCAAGGGAUACGUGUGAGGUCUUACAAUGCAGAUUUACUGUACGAACCGUGGGAUGUUAAGGAUGCCAAUGGCAAUCCGUUUACUACCUUUGCUGGUUUCUGGGAGAGAUGUCUUAGUAUGCCUUGUGAUCCAGAGGCACCACUACUACCACCUAAGAGAAUAAUUUCAGGUUGCUUUUCUAUAUUUUAGUCGAACAAGUUUUGUGUUUAUAUAUAUUUUUUUUUCUUAUUGAAUAUUGAUUGAUCAGUAAUUCUCUAGUUGUUGUGUUUGUUUGUUGUACAUGAUGGUUUUCGCAAGAGAGAGCACUUUCUAGUUGUGAUUCUUUAAUGUUUUGCUCAUCCAUUUUUAUUUCAGUCAACAGCUUUGAAGUUUGAAGAGUUUUAAAGCCGACCCUUGUUCUUUCUAAUAUAUUAAAUCUGUUUUGGGUACCAAGUUGCAUAGUUGGUUUCGUUAGUCUAAUCUUCUUCUCCUUUCACACAAUUAGUGGAAAGCAGAUACAAUUACCCUUUCCCUACAUACUCUUAUACGAGAGAGUCCGGCCAUCCUGCUUUAACUUAUGAGGGGUGUUUUACUUGAAAUCCCAAGUUGUAAUGUUAUCUGUCCUAUUGUUGAAGGAUGAAUGGCUAUGGCUUCUGGUUAGAUUAAUUAAUGAGAAAGUAGCAUUGCUUGUUAGUUGUUAUAAGUUUGUGUGGGUCGUUCUAGUUUAGUAUUUAAGUUAGGUGCAUAAACAUAGAAGAACAUUUGAAAGCACUGGCCUUGCUGAUGUCUGAUUGAGAAAACAAACAGCCAAUGGAGAGAGGUGUGAUGGAAUUCCACUCAAGUAACCGAAUUUGAUCAACAAUCUGACUUUAUUUCUGGUAAUAUGAAAGUAUUACAAUAGGAAUGAAGAUCAAAUUGAUGGAAUAUCAAUUCGAGAAACACAAAAGAAAUUCCCUUUCUAUCUGUUAUCUCAUCUCUCAAAGAUGAAACAGAAAUUCUUCGCAAAACCUAACUGACUUGCCCUCCCUUUCCAAACUACUAUUUAUACUAACCGACUAAAGACUCUAACUCCCACUGUGGUCACCCUUUAUGCUACCCCUUUCUUCCCUUUUCUACUAUAUUGUAAAACGAUAGGUGGUCUAACAAGGUGCUAGGUCUAUGCGAUUCUAUUGUCAAGAUAUCUUAAUUAUAUUCUUCAAACUACUUUUCAAGUUUAUAUUCACCUAUAGAGUACUUAUUUUUCUAAGAGAUUGUUACUUGCAAACUAGUUGACCGUGAAAAGGAGGUUUCACAUUUGAAGUAUGUGCUUGGUGUUCAUUCAUUGUUUCUCUUUUAUCUAAAACGAAAGCUACUUUGGGAAUGUAGCACAUGCACUUUUUUGUGAACUUUGUCCAUCUUAAAGAUUCACUCUACGUGUUGUCUUUGCUCCUUCAGGUGAUGCAUCCAGGUGUCCAUGUGAUACGCUGGUAUUUGAAGAUGAAUCAGAGAAGGGAAGUAAUGCGCUUCUCGCUCGAGCAUGGUCUCCUGGAUGGAGCAACGCAGAUAAAGCUUUGACCACAUUCAUCAAUGGACCAUUACUUGAAUACUCAAAAAAUCGUAGGAAGGCAGAUAGUGCAACCACCUCAUUUCUGUCUCCCCACUUGCAUUUCGGAGAGGUAAGUGUGAGAAAAGUAUUCCAUCUUGUUCGAAUGAAACAGGUUUUAUGGGCCAAUGAAGGAAACAAAGCUGGCGAAGAGAGUGUCAACUUGUUUCUCAAGUCUAUUGGGCUUAGAGAAUAUUCCAGAUACAUGAGUUUCAACCAUCCGUACAGUCAUGAAAGACCUCUUCUUGGGCAUCUUAAAUUCUUCCCCUGGGUUGUGGAUGAAGGCUAUUUUAAGGCAUGGAGGCAAGGAAGGACUGGUUAUCCAUUAGUGGAUGCUGGUAUGAGGGAAUUAUGGGCUACGGGAUGGCUGCAUGACCGGAUCCGAGUUGUCGUUUCUAGUUUCUUUGUGAAGGUUCUGCAGCUUCCCUGGAGAUGGGGAAUGAAAUAUUUCUGGGAUACUCUCUUGGAUGCAGAUCUAGAGAGUGAUGCGCUUGGGUGGCAGUACAUAUCUGGAACACUUCCCGAUAGUCGCGAAUUUGAUCGCAUUGACAAUCCACAGGUACACACACUUUUAAAACUUUUCCUCAGAUGUUCACAUGUAUCCUCUGAAUUUAUCUAAAAGCUAAUAUCUUCCUACUCCUUGCUUGUGGAAAGAGGUUUCUUAUUGAGGGUUUUGGAAAUGAAUAUUUUAUAACUGCUACUUUUGCUAUCGUGUGCAAUUGACUAGACUUGAGUCCUCAAUUUGCUUGCUCAUGCUCUUGUAUUAUGUGUGUUUUUUGGAUGCAAUAUCUAUACUAAUAGUUGGUUUUCUACAGCUGGAGGGUUAUAAAUUCGACCCAAAUGGAGAAUAUGUCCGGAGAUGGCUUCCUGAACUUUCUAGAUUACCCACUGAAUGGAUUCAUCACCCAUGGAAUGCACCAGAAUCUGUGCUCCAAGCUGCUGGGGUUGAGCUUGGAUCAAACUACCCUCUUCCCAUCGUAGGACUGGAUGCGGCCAAAGCUAGGUUGGAAGAAGCGCUGUCGGAGAUGUGGCAACAAGAAGCGGCUUCAAGGGCUGCCAUAGAGAAUGGAACUGAAGAGGGACUCGGGGACUCUUCUGAAUCGAUCCCAAUUGCAUUUCCUCAAGACAUUGCAAUGGAUGAGGAAGACAUUGAGCCUGCAAGGAUGAACGCUCAUACAGUUCGGUGCUACGAGGAUCAGAUGGUCCCAAGCAUGACUAGUUCGGUGAGAUUAGAAGAUGAAUCUUCUUUGAACAUUCAAAGUACAGCAGAAGAUGGUAGAGCAGAAGUACCUACAAAUGCAAAUCUACCCCAAGAGCCGGCCAGAGAUGCAGUUAACCCAAGAGCUAUGCCAACUGCUCCGACACAGACUCGACGCCCCUAUACCGCAGGUAUAGCCCUAAGAACUUCUGUUGAAGACUCCACUGCAGAGUCUUCUUCCAGUAGUGAUGUUAGAAGAGAGAGAGAUGGAGGUGUAGUUCCGGUUUGGUCUCCACCAAGUUCGAGUUACACGGAGCAGUUUGUGGUUGAUGAAAAUGGCAUCGGAACUAGCUCUUCGUUCUUGCAGGGGCAUCAACAGACUCAUCAAAUAAUCAAUUGGAGGCGGCUAUCUCAGACUGGGUAACAACUUGUGAAUCAUAUGUUGUAGAGGAGAUAAAAUGUUCAUAUUCUCUGGUGGCUAUAUCCCCACAAGAAGUAGUUGGUAGCUUGGACUUCUUUUUCCGUCUCGAAAUUCUUCUAGGGAAAAAUACGAACGAUUUGCUGCAUAAUCAUCAUCCUAUAAUAUGAAAAUUUUCAUGUUUGUUAAAGUUGUUUCUGUGUCUUUGGCAUGAUUCAAUGGGCUUUUCUUUAACAGGUGAGAGGCAAAUAUGGGAAAACUAGCAGACAGAGGAGGACAAUGCAAUUUCACUCAAUGCUAUUUUAUUAGGGGUGGUCAGGUCAGCCAGAUGGUGAACAAGCAACAAACUAACAUGUUCUUCUAUUUUCUCCACCAAUCUGACUUGACCAUUGGUCACUCUCAUGUGUAUGAAAUUCCUAACUGAUAGAUGCAGUUCAUCUGCUGAUGGUCAUCUCCCUCCUCGCUCUCUUGUGCUCUUUCCGUUAUUACGGUUGUAUCAUAAAGUCUUGCUAUGCUGUAUAGUGAAAGUUGUAAUUUGUGUAGUUGUAACACCAAGGGUAGAGAAUUGAAAUAGCGAUUGUCAGUCGUCUUCGAAUAAACUCAAGUUUGCGACUAGCCCGGAUUCUUGUAAGCUCAUGCUUAUGCUAUGGAAAUAUUUCUCUAUCUUGCUUGCCUUUAAAGAUUAGCUGCCUAACUCUUUCUUUGUAGACAAGAAAAAAAAAAAAAGUGGAGAUUCUUGUCUGUUUUUAUCUGUCAAGCCGCCUACCCCAUGGUCAUUUUCAGAUAGCCUUGAGCAUUAAGAUUAGAUGGGGAGAUUGCUCUUAUUUUAUAUACUAAAGAUAAAUGCUGGAUCACCAAUUUUGGAAGAUACCAAGAUUUUUUUUCUCUCUUGGUGAUGAAGGUUUUAGAUUUUUUAAAAGAUGUUCUUCUGGGUCAUGUUCAAUCUCUGUGGUUGAGAACUAUAUUAUAUGUCUUCCCUAUCUUGUGAAUUAAGUUCACUCCAUUUAACUGUUUGAUUCAAACAGCCUUUAUUAUUCUAAACCAACCUAAUUAUAAAGCAUUUGAACUAGAGAUGUGCAAAAACCGUUGACUACACCAAACCAACGGUUUAGAAGAAGACGGAAACCGUAUAGUUCGGUUCGGUUCACGGUUCAGGAUCUCAAAAACCACAGAAAACCAAACCGUAUUUAAUAAAUAAGCCCAUCUUUUGUGUUAACCCAAAAUCAUGAGCCCCAGCCCAUUCUUGUUAACUCUUUUAAGGCACUCCCACCCCACCUAAACGUAAUCAUCUUCCUCCAUCUCCACUCUCCACCCGCACUCCCUCUCCAUCAAGUUGCUUCUCCUUGUUGCCGCCCCCGCCAGCCAUGGAAGCAUUGUCAUCGCCGCCGUGAGUUCUAUCUUCUUCUCCGCUCCCUCCUUUUUCGCCGUCAACCAUUAAAUGAGAUCUAUAGGGAGUCGGACAAGGAAUUAAAAAAACAUCGGUUGUAAGAUCUGAACCGAUUCAGGUUGGUUCUGUUCAUUGUUCAGGUUCGGAACCUCCUAAGUUCGUUACAAGUUAUUAAACUUAGGAGUAAUUAAAAAAAGCAAAUUGAAAUUGAAUUGGUUGAUCUUCACAUUAUUGUUGGUGUGUCUUCUUCAUGAUAUAAUCACCUUUGGGGAAGCUAAACAAAUUCUAGGUAAGCCUAUAAAUUAAACGGAUCCAUCAAGUUUUCAUUUAUUUGAACUCGAACUCAUCAAUUAAGAUGAGUUGAUAACUCAAUCAAACCGAUUAAGUUGAUAACUUAGUUCAAAUCCUACGAAUUGUGUUUAAUUGAUUUGAUUGAAUUUUUUUAACACGAAUCUAGGUGGGGUCAUUGCUUAGGUUAUAAUAAAAGAAAAAGGAAAGAAUCGUCUUCUCAAAAAUGACUUAGAAAUGAAUAAAGGUCAAUAUGAUAUAGGUUUGUUCCAUUGUGUUUUAUGCUUUGCUCCUAGGAAUUUUCUUUUUCUUCCCAACCAAAUACAUAAUACAUAACACUGCUCCUUUUUCCUUUCUUUUACAUGCCAAACAAAAAGCCUAUCUCUAUGAUUCAUCACUCAAACAUUAUGACACUAAAUUAGUGUUUAAUAAACUUCAUAUCAAGAUAUAGAAACUUGGCUUAUAGUGAUCAAAAAAUUAAUUAUAAAUUAUUGCAAAAUGAUUUUAAUGACCAAAAUAGACGUGUACUCAUUUCCUCUAAGUAUAUGACUUUAUAUUAAAUUUUAGGGUGCAAUCAAAAUUAAUUAAAUUACUUACCAAUUAUGACAAAAUUUUAUAAUAUAUUAACCCUAAUAUAAUAUGUCAAUUAAAAGCAGUUUUAGACUCUAAUAAAUCUAAAUUUUUUUAACAGUUUUGUUAUUUGAAAUGACUUUCUACCAGUUCCUUUCAUUUUUAAUUUCAAAAUAUAAUUGUAUAUUUAAGUUGAAAAAUUAUUAUAAAAGAUAAAAUUGUUAAAAAUAUUUAUAAAAUUUAACAAAUUUUCAAAUUUCUAAGUUUUGUAAAUAUGAUUGACAUCAAAACACCCAAAUUUUUUCUAUAAUUUAUAAAUAUUUUCCUUUUGUUACAUCUAAAAAUGUUGUUUAUAAAUGUUAUAUCAUACCUUUUUAUAAAAAUGCUUUAAAUGUUCAAAAGUGAUUACACUCAUUAUAAAUAUGUUUUUUUGUUUACAACAUUUGGUGAAGAUUUUCUGUCAAACAAGUAAAUUUCAAUUUCUUUUGGGGAAAAUUUAUUGAAAAGAACUUAUAAGUUAGUAAUAAAAAAAAAUAACAAUGGUUUUAAUUAAUGAAUUAAGAUCUCAUAUGAUAUUAUUAUUGUAAAAGUAGUUUGAAGGCGCAAAUAAUGAAUCUUCCUGGACUUUCUUGCAAAUAUGAAACAUUUGAAAGAAAGGAAAUGGAAAAAAGAGAGCAUAAAAUGAAGUAAACAAAUGUUAGGGAAGAGAGAGGGAGAGAGGGAAAGGCAUUGGAUUCCAUUUUGGGAUUACAAGAGAAAGUCAACACUUAAAAAUUGCCUCAAAAUUAUUAUUAUUUUGAUUGUUAACAUAUUUUUAUUCUCUUAGCUUUGUUCAGUUCCUAUAAACUUCAAGUUUAAACGAUUUUGUUUCGAGUUUUGUUUUUUGAAAAAAAUAAUAAAUGACUUACCGAUGAAAGAUACUGAUAAGAAGAUAGAUUUUUAUCAAUGCAUAUCAAUAUCAUUGGUUGAGACUGGUGGAUUUUAUCAGGGUUUAUCGAUAACACUUAUAUUUGCUAAUAAAAGUUUAAUAGUGUUUAUCAUUAAUCAAUUUUGAUUUUUUUAUUAUAUAUAUAUUUUUGUGUAUUUUAUUAUAUUUGAAAACAACUCUAGAUUAAAACAAUAAAUAAAAGUUUGAGUAAUUACAAUCGUAGCGGUUUUUUUGAAUAAUAACUAAGAAGAUAACAAUAUUUUCAAAAAAAUUGCAAAGACAACAAAUCAAUAAUAGACAAUAUUUGUAAUAUGAUCUAUUAGUGAUAGACUUUUAUAAUUGAUAGAAUUCGAAAAAUUUUACUGUAGUUUUUGAAAUCAUUACUAAUAAAUGGAUAACAACAAAUUAAAUUUGAUAAGUGAAGAUAAUUUAUAAAACAAAGUAAUCAAUAAGCAAGUCAAAAAUUAUUAAACUUCAAAACAUAGAAAUAAGAACUUUUGUUUCUAUAUAAUACAAAAUGUGAAUUAGGGUAAUGCUUUAAAAAGGGUCCUUAUCUAACAUUCUUAGUGUACCUUCAAGAUUUCUCUCUUGCCCUUGUUAAGAGGUUAAAAAAUCAUUUUCAUAAGAAUCCACGAAGUACGAUGAACGACAAAAUCUUUAUGAAAACGAAAUUUCAAAAGAAACAAUGUAAGUAAAUUUUUAUUCCAGAUAAAUGUAUAUCAAUGAUAGACACUGAUAAUAAAAUUCUAUCAACUAAGUAACCAGAGUUUACUAUUGAUAGAAAAAAAUUGUGCAAUCAUGGAGGCAAAAUUUUAAAGCUUGAUUAGUAAAAAAUUUGAAAACGAAAUAUGUGUUUGGUGGCAAAUUCAAAAUUUGAAUUCCAAUUUUAGAAAAAUGUUAAUCCUUAUAGUCUAACAACCUUCGUAAAUAGUCUUUACGAGUGAGACUAUUUUCUUUGAUUUUAUCAAACCAAAUGGACUAAAUUCUUGUUAUAAAUCAUAAUUAAAGACUAAAUUAUAUCCAUUUAAAACCACAGGGACCAAUCUUGUAAUUGAAGUGACAAAUUUAUAUAAUUAUUGUUUUGUAUUAUUUAUAAUUUAAAGGUUGAUUUUCAUAAAUAUAACCAACCAUGAAAAUAUUUAGGGCCGGUGUAACAAAAUGAAAAAGUCAAUGAAAUUGAGUAUUUUUUUUUAAACAUAUGAGGUUUACUCAUCCUUUUCAUUGUCUUUUUUCUCUUCCGCUAUUUUUUCUUUCUUUCCAUCGUCUUUUUCUUUUAUUUUUUUGCAUUUUUUUUUGUUCAAACUGUUAUUUGGUUCAAGAUAGUAUACCAAAUAUAAAAAAUCUAUUUUUUUUCAAAAUGUUAUUUGGUUUCAAAUAUAUAAAAGAUCGGGAAAAGAAAUCCAAAUAUAAAUGAUAGUGUUCCAAACAUAAACCACAAAUUCUUGAAAAAAAAAAAUCAAUGAGAUUUGACUACCCAAAUCUAAAUGAUCGAGUACAAAAAAAAAUAUGAAAAAAAAAUCAAUAAAGGGAACUGAGUUUAUAACUUGAUGUAUUGUAUUUUUAAAUGUUUAUAUAUGUAUUUAGUUUAAUUAAGUUUUAAAAAAUGUAAUAUUCAAAUUUUGGAUAAAAUGAAAACAUUAAAAAAAAAUUGUUUUCAAAAUUUGUAUUUUUUGGAUGACCAAAUUCGAAAACAAUUUUCAGAAACAUAAUCUAGAUUGUCUAUCAAACACGCAUUCAUUGAAUUCAGUAAAUCUGAAAACAUAAAUAGAAUUUAGAUUCUCUACCAAACAGACCCUUCACUUUCGACAAUACUUUCAUUAACUAAAAAUAAACCCAUACCACAACAAGUAUUCAAACACUAGUUUUAAUUAUUUCAAAUAUAAAGUUUGUGUUUAUUUGACAUUUAAACUCGUAAAAGUAUCUAUUAGAUAUUUAAACGUUUAAGUUCGUGUUAAGUAAUUAUAUGUGAUUUAUCUUUAAACAUUCAUUUUUGUAUUAAAUAAAAUUUUUAAUUUCAAUUUUGUGUAUAUUCGACGUAUUUAAUCAUUUUUAAAAAAUCGAAUUGUUAUUUAGUUGUUCUAAUCAACCUUUCUAUAAAAGCUCAAAUAUUUAAUCAUUUUAAAAACUUUUCCAAAGUUAAAAAAAGAACAAUCAUUCACCAAUCUUAUCAACAUAAUUUUUUCAUUUAAAAAUACUAAAAUUAAAAUUACAAGUAGAGUUUACAAAAAUAGCAAAAAAGAAAAAAGAAAAUUAUAUUAAUAGAGUUCAUGUUGCAAAAAUGAAAAAUUUAAAAUCAGAUUACCGUAAAUUAUUAGUCAUAUUUGUCAAAUUUGCAUUAUGCAAAAAAAAAUGUUGUAAGCGGUUUUUUUUUUUAUAAAAAAAUUAUCAUCUAAUACAAUUUUCCAAAUUUUGAAACAGUUAAAAAAUAAAAUAUUAAAACUAUUUACAAAAUAUAUCAAAAUUGAUAAAUAGUUUUGUUUUUUAUUCCUUAACAAUACAUUGUUAAAGAUUUUUGUAUAAAGGAAAAAAGAGAGAGAAAGAGAAAACAACAGAAAAGGAGUUGAGAUUUAGAGAAUUUAGAAUUAUGAAAAGAAAAAUUGAAGGCGAAGGUUUGACAAAAUCAACGGAGCGUAUGGUCAAUUCUCCAUUCUCACGCGCUUUUGAUUAUUUCUUUAUUUCUUUCAAUCCAUCACUUCAUCACUUCAUCACUUCAUUCCUUACUUCUUUUCUUUUUAUACAAAAAAAAAAAACAAAAUGUAAUUUAAUUACGUUCCCUUCCAACUAAACCUAUUUCUUUUCUCUUUCUAAUUUCUAAUUCUUUUAAAUAUUUUCUUUUCUUUUUUUUUUACAUGAACAACUACGACCUUCAAAUACACCAAAAUAUUCUAUUACCUUUACGUAAUCGAUGUGUUAUUUUCUCUUUGUUCAAAUCUUAUUUUUAAAAUUCUACUCGUUUCUUUUAUUGUUGUUUUAAAUUUUAGUCCAACUCAUUUAAAAUUUUGUGUUUUUCUUUUAUAAUCUUUUUAAUAACAUGUAGGUUUGAUGAUGUAAUGUUUUAGGCAUUUAAGGUAUGCUUAAUUGUCACUUUGUUCCGAUUUAAGCCACUCUUUAUUCGAUCAAAUCUCAUAAAUCAUUUCGUUUUGGGAGAAGUUCACUAAUUUCUCACUUAAUUGUCAAUUUUUUUUCCCUAAUAUUUAUUGGCCAAUUUAAGACUAUAGGAACAAGUAUAACUUUUACAUUCACGUAAUGUUAAAAAAAAUUAUAUGUACUCGAUUGCCUCGGGUCAUUUCCAUUCCCAAGACAAGUUCGUACUCCACAUUCGACUAUUUUCUUUAAGAUCAAUUCAACUUUAUAAUAAUGUUUUUCUAAAUAAAACUUAUACACAUGUUUUUCAUCAGGACUUAAAAUAUAUUGUUGUUGAAGAAUUUUCAACGAUCUUGUUUCCACUAGAGAGAAUCUCAUCAAGAAAGGAAUCCAUUGUGAUCUUUUGUGUAUAUAUAUAUUUUUUGUACAGAGCAGUAGGAAUCUUCUACCCACACGAUAUAGAAAUGUCAUGUUACAAGGAUUAAUUAUGACCUAAUUUUCUUUAAACUAAUAUUGAUAUUCUAUGUGAUAACAGGACGAUGUAGAUUAAUCAUGACUUUCAGAGAGAUGUUCAAUGCACGAAAUAGACAAAACUAGUAUCAUUGCAUGCUAAGCAAAUUUGAAAGGUGAGGAAACAAGUUGCUGAUUGAGAGGCUGACGACUUAUUUCGAUUCCAAACAAAAGGAUUCACUGACAAACAGUUGCACAAACCUACAAAAUACCGAUGGAAAGUGUGUCGUGGGUGUUAGAUUCUUGACAUCCUUUUGAACCAACUAAUUGACUCCCUUCUUCUACAAAACACACGUACGAAAGUUGAACUCUGAUGUCAAUUGAAAUCUCAACUCUCUUAUAGGGGGUGUUACUUAGGUGAUUCACGCUCAAUUUGAGGUGAGUUAUUUCUAGCCGACAUGUGCUAUACAUUCCUUUGUUGUAAAACGAUCAAAGACUUUUAAGAUACAAGCUCUUUUAUAAUGACUCGCUUAGACGGUUAGCCUCCAAAUUCGUAUUCAACAUCAUUAGUUAGAAUGGUUUAUGGUUUGUUGUGAUGUUUUGAAUGACUAAAUAUUUUAAUUAGUAUGAAAAUUGAAGGGGUUGUCAUCACUUAAUGUGAUAUAAUUAAUGUUUAUAAUUAUUAGUUACGUGAACACCAUUCUCUUCUUCUUUUUUUAUUUUUUUAGUUCCUUUUGAAUAUCAUGUCAUCGUCUUUAGUACUAAAUAUAAUUAUCAUCAUCAUCAUCAACGUUUUAGGUAAUAUAAUUAGUGUUUUUAUUAUUAAUUAAGUUUGACCCUUUGAAAUGUCGUAAUUAAGCAUAUUUGGUGGCAAAACGAAGAGUCCACUUAAUUACCUUUCCCCUUUUCACAAUUGAUGAUCGGAAAACUUUACUAAAUCAUAACAUUACAUUACUACUACAACUUUGUUUAAUUCAACCAAAUCCAUUUACAUUAUUACAAUUAAAUCAAUACCUCCCUUUUUAAUUAUUUCUUUAAAAAAUAUUUUAAAUAAGAAAAUCCUAACAAAUAUUUUCAACUGUAUCAAAAUAGCAUCGUCUAUCCAUAAUAGAUCACAUGUAGACUUAUAUCAUAGCCACCUUAGGAAUGUAAGAAUAAUUUGAAUAACUCGAACUAUCCAAAGAUUUGAGAGGGAGAGAAAAAGGGAAUAAGGAAGUUUCAUGGUUGCCUUCCCCAACUCACAAGUGGUCGGUGAUCUUCUCUAUAAUGCCAAUGCCACGUGUCGAAAUCGUGUAUUUCGUCUUCAACAUGUGGAGUUAUUGCAUGUUUCUCAUUAUUUAUUAUCACACUAUUCUUUCAGCACAAUCAACCAACAUUGGACUCUUCACUUCUAUCAAUCCAACAAACUAAUAUUUGCUCUCUAAUAUUUUAAAAAUUCGAGUUCGUUUGAAUGGUAUGUGAGGAGAAGAAUUGAACAUUUAACUUUAAAUUAAUAAAUAUUAUAUCAAUUGAGUUAUUUUAAGGAAUUGUUAUUGGAACAUUUCUGAAAAUUUAGAUAGGAAUGAAAGUGAAAUCAUAAAGAAGAACAUAAAAUAGAAAAGAAAAAAAAGAGAAAAAGUUUGGAUGAUUGAUGGGAGAGAGAAAGAAAGGAGAAAGCAAUAGUAGAAAACACAAGAAAGUCAGCAGAGAGGAAAGUCCAAGUCCCACUUUGUGGGCAGCAUUUUUCUUUUUAAAUUCAAACCAAUUUAUUAGUUAUUUAUUUAUUUAAAAAUUCAUCUUUCUUUCUUUCUUUCUUUCUUUCUUUAUUCUUCAAAAUCAUAUAAUAAAAAAUAAAAUAAAUGUAAUUUAAGAAUGCCAUUUAUGAUAAAACAAUUAUUUUUGUUGGGGGUAAAAUUAUUGUAAUUAAUUUGCUUAGUUAGACUUCCAAAACGGUUGCAUUAGGAAAUCAUGAGAGUGGAAAUAAAGGCAUCAUCUGAUUCCUUACCCUUUUUCAAACUUUCUCUUUUAUUUAUUUAUUUUUGCUUUUUCAUUGCACAAAAUUAUUUUUAAAAGAACAAAAAAAAGCUGUAGUUUGAUUUUCUCUCUCUCUCUUUCUUUUAAAAUUUUUAUUUGAUAAUUUUCUUUUAUUAUUAUUCAAAUUGGCAACGACAAAUUUAAGAACCAAAAACUGAAACAAUAACAAAUAAACAAAUUCAACAAGAAGAAAGCUGGAGGCUGAAGCAGCGCCGCACACAACGAGCAGCAAAACCGAACCCAACAGUUUUUUCUUUUUUCUUUUUUCUGCUUUGAUUUGAUCAUUCAACCGGAAAUUCAGAUACUUUCUGGUACCCCUUUUCAUUUCCUUUACUUUUUUUUUUUUUUACUUAUUUUCUUUGGUUUUUACAGGGUUUUAGGGUUGUGUUUUAAGGGGUUUCUUUGUUGUUCUUCGUAUGGAUUGCUAAUUUUAGGGAAUUUGAUGGUGCAGUUUGCUGAAUUUUGGAAGUGGGUUUGAUUCGGAUUAUCUAUUUGGAUUGGAUUGUUGGAGAGGAUAGAUGUUUAGAAAUUAGCAGAAGGGGAUUUUGGAAUUUGACUUAUGGAUAAACUGUGCUGUUUUAAUGCUUCAUAUUCUGGGGUAAGAACAAGCUUGUUUACCUUUUCUUUUCUUCUUCUUCUUUUUUUUUUUUUUUUUGGCUUUGUUUUUCAUUCCUCAAUUAUAAUUGUAUUGUUUCAACCUUGUGGUCAUUUUUGUAUGUUGCUGUUCUGUUCUUGUGUUUAAGGGCUUCUUCUUUUUAGCAACAGAAUUCUUGUAAUUCUAUCAAAAUUCUGAUGAACUAGGUAGACUUAUGGAUCAAUCAACUCUUCAGAUGGGUGAGGGAAAUCUUAUAAUUACAAUCAAAACUCUGUAUGAUCAUGGCAUAAUGCAUAGCUUUAGUUUUCUAUGUGUAGAGGGAAUUUGUUUAGUUUCUUGUUCUCAAGCUGAUGCUGCCACAAAAACGAAUGAUAUUUUGUAUGGGGUUCUGUUCUUUGGUUGAAUAAAUGUUUUCUUUUCAUAUCUUAUGUGAAUCAUCAACAGCUUAUAAGUAUGAUACUUUUGUUGGUAAUUUGGUCAUGUAGAUUAGAUCCGCAUUGAAUUACGGUAAAGGAAGAAGCCAUGAGGGGAUAAUCAAGUAUGGGUUCUGCCUGGUUAAAGGGAAAGCUAAUCAUCCCAUGGAAGAUUACCAUGUUGCUAAAUUUGUUCAGAUUCAAGAACAUGAAUUGGGACUCUUUGCUAUUUAUGAUGGUCAUUUAGGAGAAAGUGUGCCUGCCUAUUUACAAAAGCAUUUGUUUUCUAAUAUCCUGAAAGAGGUAGGGUGUUAAUUACCUUGAAACUUUCUAAGCUAAUCAUUCAUAUGGCUGCUCUUUCUAUGGUUUUUAUUCACUUUUUUCAUUAUAGGAAGAGUUUUGGGUUGAUCCCAACAGCUCCAUCUCAAAAGCAUAUGAGAAGACGGACCAGGCGAUUCUAUCCCACAGCUCUGACUUGGGUCGUGGUGGAUCAACUGCUGUUACUGCUAUUCUGAUUAAUGGUCAAAGACUAUGGGUGGCCAAUGUUGGAGAUUCACGUGCAGUUCUUUCUAGAGGGGGUGAAGCUGUACAGAUGACCAUCGAUCAUGAACCGAAUACGAAUACGGAACGUCGAACCAUUGAGAAUAAAGGUGGCUUUGUUUCAAACAUGCCAGGUAACUUACAUCUAAAGCUGAAUGACAUGCCAAUUUUUCGCCCCUUAUAUUUUGUACUGAUGCACAAUAUGCGUUUGCUUGUUUUCCUUUGGCAUUCAUUUAUCCGAGAAAUUUGUUUAGCUUGGGUUCCUAUCCAAUUGUCAUUCUUGAUGAACUUCCAAUAGUAGUUGAUAUCUUUAGAGAUUUUAGAACAGCCAGCCAAUUUGACCACCCCAGUUAAAAAUUUAAUUAAUCAUGAAGAUGAAAAUUGUCAUUGACCUUCCCUCCAUGUCCAAAGAUGAAGAGUACAACUUAAAAUUGUUUAAACCACUUUAUCAUUCUUUUUAAUAUCCUGAAAAGUUUAUAAAUAUAUUGCACUCCUAUGGGUUUGAACUGUAAGUCACGACUCAUGAUCAUGUUAUUAAUUUAUGUCAAAAAUCCUGAGAAAAAUCAAAGUUCGUGUGGUGACUUUUAUGAAGUUUACUCUUGAAGGUUUUGAGAAAUUUUGAAAAAACACAACCAAACAACCUAAAACAUUUGCAAAAUUCAUCCAAACUAUUCUUAACGUUGACCAAGAUUUUAGUCACAUUGAUGGGACAGAAUAAUUAGGAGUCCUCUAAUUUAGGAUUCUAAUUUAGAAACAGCCAUGAUACAAUAGGAACUAACGUGUUUUGUACUGUCCUUGUUUUCCUUUUGUGAUUUUUGAAUGGUUGAAAUCACCAUCUUUUGCAACUUUUCAAGUGCCUAAUAUUGAAAUAGUGAUAGUGAGGUUGCUUCCACAACGUUAGAAUUCGUGUUUUUUUCUUUUUCCUCUUCUGGUUCAUGUUGUGUCUUAGAGUACUAAUGUAAUGUUAAAUUCACCGUCAUCCAUCAACUUCAAUUUUAUGUUGAUCGGUGAUGUAUUACGGUAAUAAUAUAAGGAGGUCAUGAGUUUAAGCUUCUAUAAAGUUAUUUUCUCCCCAAUUAAUAUUAAAUUUCACUUGUUGGACUUUUAUCAAGUCCACAAGUGGGCGUUCAAGUGUUAAUACAAUAUUAAAUUUACCCUAACUCAUCCGUCCAAGUUUUUGUGUUGAUUCAGUAUUUAACAUGUUUAUUGUGUAAAACAGGAGACGUACCUCGAGUGAACGGCCAGUUAGCAGUUUCACGAGCAUUUGGAGACAAAAGUCUAAAAUCUCACUUGCGAUCUGAUCCUGAUAUACGUGAUAUUAAUGUAGAUGCCAACACGGACAUAUUAAUUCUUGCCAGCGACGGUCUAUGGAAGGUGCUAUUAUCAGCUUUCAUUCCUUUCUCUCUGCUGCAUUGCACUAACACCUAAUACAUUAACAGCAGCAAAGGGUGCAAAACCAAUAGACAACACAACAAAUUUCUUUCAUUACAAAGUUCUUUUUAAAAAAAUCCAUUUUUUGUCCACAUUUUUCGCUCUUCUUACGUAUGUGGUAUGAAACAGGUCAUGGCCAACCAAGAAGCUGUCGAUAUUGCACGAAGAAUCAAAGACCCACUGAAGGCUGCAAAGCAGUUGAUAACUGAGGCUUUGGAGAAAGAGAGUAAAGAUGAUAUCUCAUGCAUUGUGGUUAGGUUUAGGUGAUUUUAGCCUUCAAAUUUUUUUUCUCCCCGCCAGAUUCAGUAUAUAAAUCCCAAAUAAAGAUUUUCCUUUUAUGGAAUGGAAAUAUAAGUAUUAGGCCAACAAAGUAUAUACACACGUUUUGGGUAAUCCCUUGCAAAGGCUACGAUAUUUAUAGCCUGAAAAAAGAAGAAAAAAACGGAAAAAAUAAUAAAGAGUGACGGAUACCGUAUGUGUAAAUUUGAUUAGGCUGAUUAUGUUUAUAUUUUUUGAUAUGUUCUUUCUUUUUUACUGAAGUUGACUGUGGAGUUUUGGUGUACAAUAUGAUCUUAUUUAUUAUAUGUAAGGACUACGAAACCUUGUAGUCCAAGAAUAUGCCUUCAUGUUUGAUUUAACUUUAUAGGGUGUUUGUUCUUUAAAUUUCAAUUCUUUUUCUUCUUUCUAAAUGUGAAAUGUUUAUUGAGAUGGGAAUGAAAUUUCAUCCUUUUAUUAUAUAUAUAUAUAUGAAAGUCUUUCUAUCUCUGAGAUAAUUCUUUUAGUCAGUUCAUUUACGGAAACCAUAGACCUUGUAUUGUGUGUAUCAUAAUACAACCAUUGAACAGCAUAGAACAUUGCAUGUAAGUACAUGUUAUCUACAUCUAUAAUAACAUGUUAAAAUGUAAAUGCAAUUUUUUAAAGUAUGAGUUAUUAGCAAUAAACAUAGCACAUAAUCAUCAAUACAUAUUGUAUAUAAGAGAUAGCUGAUUGAACUUUGAUUUGCAAUAUUUUAGUUCAACUAUUUAACUUUUUUUAUUUUAAUUGUGUAUCAAUUUAAACAAUGAUUUAGUUCUUAUGCUUUCAAAUUUGUAACUAUUUAGUCUUUCGAUAUAAAUAAAAUUUAUCAAAUUUUGAUGUAAAUAUUAUCAAGUUUUUUAGUUCCGUUGAUAAAAUAGAGACUAGUUUGUUAUAAAAUUUAAAAUUUAGGGAUUAAAUUGUUAAACAGCUAAAUUGUUAGGUUAAAAAACCAAAAAUGAUUUUGAUUAUUAUUAUUUUUUAAAAAUUAGAUGUUGAGGCCCAGUCGAUAUAAGCAGGCGAAGCCCACGUAAAGAGUAAUAGCCAAUAGCCAUAGUUUAAUGAAAUUACCAACUUAUCCCCACAGAAGCCAUCGUCUAGGGUUUCAGACGCUCUAUAUAUAUAUAUAUAUUCAUCACCACUCUUUCACAACGCAACAGCUUCUUUGAGUUCGAAGAUCUCUCUGUCGCAUUAGGGUUUCGUUUUAGUUUAGGGUUUCAUUAUUUUUAUUGAAAUUUAAGUUAUUGGUAUUUUUAUUUGUGAUUGGUUUAAAUGAGUGAAAUCGCCUCUUCUUUCGGCUACAAGUGUUGAGAUCUUGCGAUCGAUUUCUUGAUGGCUUUGUUCUGGAGGCGUAUAUUGAUUCUCUAAGUUAUGGGGUUUUUUCUUUCGUCCAGAUUUUGUGUUAUAUCACAAUCUCUGGUUCCUCCUACUUAGGUACAUUUCAUGUGUACAUCUCUAUACCAAACGAGCAAUUUUUUCUUGUUUCUUUCUUGUUAAAUGGUUUAUUUGACUCUUGUGAUGUGGAUUAACCUAACCCAUAAUCCUUCAUUGGUUCUGUUUGAUGUAGAUUUUUUAAGGUAAUUGUAGAGUGAAUUAUAUCAUACUGAUUCGUUUCAAUUGGAAAAGGGAGAUUAUAUCUUAGAUUUGGAGAUGUAAAAUGGAAUUUCAACCGCACAUAUUUGAGUUGGAUUUGGAUUAAGUCUGCUAAAGUUCAACUUUGAGGUAUUUCAUAUGUCGUUUGGAUGAAGAUGUUAAAGAGGGUUUUGUUUGGAUGGAGGAGACAAUAAUAUUUUGUUGAGCUCUUGGGUUUUUGUUUGUUCUAAGAGGGACGUUGGAUUGGAGCCAAUGGUACUGUUGGUCUUAGGUCUAUGAAACUUUCACACAGGUAAAAAAGAAGGUUGUAGAGCGGAAAUACUUUGAAAAUGAUUAUAAGUUGAUGUAAAAUUAUCAAGAAUCUUGCGUCUACGAAAUUGUAAAUUUUAGACAACCAAUUUAAUUUGUUAUAUUGUGUGUUAAGCUCCAUUUUAAUAAAAUUUUGAAUAUUUGCAAGAGAAAUUUAUUAGACUAAACUUGUAAUUUAAUUCAAAAAAUUAAAUGUGGAACAUUCUGAAACCUACUAGAAGGGACUAAGUUCAAAUUAAAAUCAAGAGAAUUGUAAAACCUUUAUGCCCUCUAGAUUGUAAACCCUAUGCCCUAGUACAUCAUAAGGAUUAAAUUGUGAAAAUUUCAAGUUAGAAUGGUCAGUUCAGAAAUUACUUUAAUCUCCAAAAUUUGGGACAAUAUCAUGUUGUACUUUUAGCAGAAAAUAUGGGCUACAGGAUUGGAGAACACGGCCAGAGGGAUGGUGGAGAAUAAAUACGUAAAUCAGAUUAACUCCAUGUGUUGGAUUGGAGAACUCCUAUUGUGUAUUGCAUGGCCCUUCAAUUUCAUUCUUCUCCAUUCUCAUUUUUUCUACGUGGUAGAAGAAUUCGUAACUUGAACAUCAAGAGUUACAAAGCUGAAGAACAAAUCGCUUACCCCUCCUAACGAACUUGAUCCAAUUCCGAACCCCUCCGCCAAAUGCCUUCCUUUUGCAACUUCACUGAGCCGAGAAAUCGAUGUCUACGUUCUUCCAUCAUCAGAUGUGGACUUCGUUCCAUCACCACAGAUCUUAAAGAUGGGUUACAUGAACAUUGCUGGGUUCCUUAAAACUCAGGAUCAACACAAACCCAACCUCCUCAUCGUCAAUGGGGGAAUGCAAUACGCAUCUUCACCCCACUUGAAUGUGUAUGUGCCAGACCUUGUCUUCGUUUGGGAAUCGAUCAGGACUCCGCCAGAGUGGUCUGACUCGUUCCAAGCCUAAUGCAUCAUGCGUGUAAUGGCUGCCAACUCAGUGCUGAAGCUGAGCCUCGUCGGGUUGAGCUAUAGUGGCUUUGUGUAGCGAGAUACAGAGUGGUGAUAUGUAGCAGGGGUGUAUAUGGGAAGAGAAGGACCUGAAGAGGAGGCAGCUAAGAUUUUGGUGCCCCAAGAUUCUAAGUAAUUGAUGGAGUUGGUGAAGUUUGCCCUCUUCAGCGUCCCAAACACCUCUGAGUAUUUUCUAAAAGCGAUUUUAGAAUUUUCAUGAUCACUUUCGAUGUGUAGCCAAGCAUCUCCACCUUCAUCCAAGUAUAGGUUUUGGAAUCUUCAAAUUCAGUUUGUGACUGUUGCUCUUUGACAGUCUAUGUGUAGUGAAAAUGUAGAAGAAAGGAAAGAGUAAACGAAAGCCAUUCCGUAAGAUAGGAAACAUCCAACAGGCUGGUUUCAUCAUCUAACAUGCCUUCAUUUCGUCCAAGUUCUCUUUUCUUCCUAAAUCAUAUGCAAAAGAAUAACCUGUUAUUUGAAGCAGCCAACAUCGAUAAUUUGGGGAGAAGGUGAUAAGGUAUUCCUAUUAGAAAUGGGUCACAGGCUAAAAGGGUAGUGUCUCUCUCCAAGAUGCUUGGUUUAUUCUUUCCAAGUCGACAAGCUCUAGAAUUUCGGGCAUUUGGGAGAGAGUGCUGAACUUGUAGUAAUCGAGAAUGCAGGCAUGCGUGUGAUUUGGAAAAGCCCAAGGAGUAUUAUCACCACUUGAAGUCCUUCCUUGGCAUCAAGCAUAAAACCCAUAAAUGAGCUUUGAGUCUAAUUUCAAUCAAAAGAUUGGUCAAGAGGCCUCUCUAUAGUCUAUAUCAUUAAAUUUUUAAUGAGUUGGUAAGAUUGAACCAACUGUUUUUGGUAAACAAGUACUUGUUCAUACAAUGACAACUCCAGUAGCAAAUAUACUACUACUCGCCUAUAAAUGGUUAAGGAGACAGGAUAUAGAUAUACCUUGGCGCAAUUGUGCUGCUGAUAAAGAAAGAAAUAAAGGUUAUCACUCUCUCUCGAAUCUGAAGUAUUUUAUAAUGAUUAAUGUUUAAAUUACAUGUCUUUGGCAAUUUAACGAAAGGUCUAUAUUUAAAACCACCCAUAAGGUAAAUUAUAAAAUAAAAAGUUGCAGAGAAGGAUGUUAAGGAAGCUGGCAGAAGCAGAGUAUAAAUCAAACAAGCAGUGUAUAUAUGUAUAUUGAUGGGAAGAAGUGCUUGAGAGGAGUAAUUCGUAAAAUUUAAAAUAUGCAUGGACUGAAAAGUAAUUAGGAAAAUAUAAUGCAUAAAAAGAAAUUAAUAGUUAGUAGAGAAAAUAUUAGAAAACACUCACGUCAAAGUCAUCUGAUAAAGAAAGAUAGCAACCAGUUCAUAUUUAAUAAAGUCUUCUAGAUGUUGAACAAAAAAAAGUUUUCUACUUCUAAUCUUUUCUCUUUCCAUCUUCUAAUAAUAGCUGGAAAUGGAUAAUUGAAUAUUAUGUGGUGGAGGUACUUUUAAGAUUUGGAAGUUAGAACUACUCUCCUAUCAUGAGAUAGCAGAUAAAGGAAAUCUUAUCCUAUCAACUAUCAUAAAUUAGCCACGUGAACUAGAGUUGAUUGGCCACUAUACCCUCCCCCUAUGAGAAAGUCAAGAUAUUUUCCCCUCUAAUAUUUCAUGACAACUAAUCUUUUGUGUGGAUGUUUUCCCCUCUAAUAUCUAUAAAUCUGUCGUAAAGUUUAUCAGUCUUAGGAAUAGGAACAAAUCAAUUGUUCAAGGAGAGGGGCUGGAAAGAAAAUUAAACAGGUUGGAAAGAUGAGAAUACGACAAAUAUGAGAAAUAAAUCAAUAAAGAACAUACAGGUACACGUUGUUCAAAAAGGAAAAAGGAAAAAGCAGACAACAUCUCGAAACACAGAAUAGAAAACAGAGCUAAUAAUUUCAGUGAACCCUAUUGUGUCCUAUCAACAUGCCCAAAUAACAGUUAAUAACAACUAUUAACUACUGCAUGUUCCAUCGUUCAAUGCUUCAACCCCAGUAACCAAGUGUCAUGUUGAUUUAACUCUGCAAACAGAAUGUUUCAUUCGUGAUUUUUUUAUUAUUACAUGUUUAUUUUUAAAAAUAAAUGUUUGUUAAUGAUUGACUAGAAAUGAGAAAACAAGAGUUAAAAAUGUGUCUCAUGAAUAGAAUUGAAACAAACUUACCUCUACCUAAAGUUCAUCGGCAUUGGACUGCUCUCCUGUUAAUUGAACAAAUAUAAAGUCAACCACUGCAAAGUAAAAGUCUAAGUUUCUAAUUGAAAGCUAACUCCUACUACCAGACUAGAUUCAAAUGACAAUUUGAUUAACUUGGGAAGACCAACUUUAGGAGAAACCAUAAGUCACCAACUAUUUACAAUCAGAUCAUGCCUCGUUCUAUGUUAUCCUUAAUUCAGAACAUGAACUCACUGUAUAUGUAAAUUGAUUUUUCAUAACUACAGAAGAUCAGGGUCAAAAUCUUAACUAAUUGCGAAUCUGAACUCAAUAUAUUUGUUAAUUUGACUCUGGUCAACCAUGAAGAGACCAAGGGUUGAAACCAUAUGGAGUAAAACAUUAACAUGAAACCAACGAUAUACAGAAAUAGAGAAUAUGAACCACCUUCAUCUGCAAGAUCGGAUGUCCACAGAGUCAGAUUGUCCCUAAGGAGCUGCAUAAUAAGGGUAAUGUCCUUGUAGGAUUCCUCAUUGAGACUGUCAAGUUCUGCAAUAGCCUCAUCAAAGGCCUGCUUAGCAAGGUGGCAGGCCCUGGAAGAAAAUGACACAUUUAAAAGAAUAGAAUGAUUGAAAAAGAAAGAAUAUUGACAGAUCGUCUCUAGUGGUGUCACUAUGCAGAGGCUAUUGUACCAAGUAAAGCUUCCCUCAUCACGAUUCAUGACACAAAUUAGUGGUACUUUUUUAAAGAUCAAACAAGGAGAUGAUUCUAAUAAAGGUUUCUCAAGCCUUCCCAUUCAUUUAGUAAGUUUUCAAAAUGGAAAUGUAUCCCAGCCAAACAGAAAGCACAUUUUGCAAUAUUAAUUACCAUGGUCAGUGAUAAAACAAUUCCUCGUUUCAUUUUUUUCCUCUCAUGUUGUUGGGGAGCAGGGCCAGUAGAUGAUGGAAGAAACAAUAAGGGAGAGAAGUUCACCUUUCAGGGGAAUUCAAUAUCUCGUAGUAGAAAACAGAGAAGUUCAGAGCCAAGCCAAGUCUUAUAGGAUGAGUUGGAGACAAAUCAGAGUUAGCAAUUGCAGAAGCAGCCUGCACAUGUAGAAACAGUCAAUUGAUAUCAUUCCCGUGGAACUUUAGAUAAUAAAAAUAGACAGGAAAGGAUAGAGCAGUGAAAAUGCUAUUCCAGGAAUACAGGAAGAAAUAAACUUGCCUCGUAAGACUUUAAUGACUGAUCCGCAACUUGUUUAUGCUCAUCACCGGAUUUAAACUCAGCCAAAUACCGACAGUAGUCUCCUUUCCUAUAGCAGAAGAUAGAGGAAAAACAUGGUAAAACCCAUGAUAAUCAUGUGAAGUAAGCACAUCAAUUGAACCAAAGUCUAUACAUAAACUGCACAUUUAUGGUUUCCCUCUUCAUGAAAACAAAUAAACUAUUUGAAGAGUAGAAACAGUAAUUCAGUGAUUGUAUAAAAUGAAGGAGGUAGAGAGAAAUCCCCUUGAUGACAUCAAAACGAAGACAAUAAAACUGACCUAUUUGUUAUGAACAAGCAUAUUAAUACAUAUAAUUGCCCAUAUUUUUUUAAAGUUUAUUCCACAUUUCUACAUUAUAUAUCCAACCGUCCUGCAUAUUAAAGUUCUCUUCAUCUCUAUAUUUGAGUUGAACGGGGGAACAUUAAAAAUCUCACAUCUUAUGGUAGAACACAGUAGAUUCUCCAGCUGAGGAACAUGGAAGGAGAUGCUGGUCAAUGAUUGACAAUAUUUUACUGCAUAUUUUAGAGAGCUCAUCUUCAACCCCAUGCCUGUAACCAAUUAUCCGUUCCACGUUCUUCUCAUUAUGUUUGGUAGUUUCCUUCUGUUCAAUUGAAGACAAAAUACGCCAGGAAGCUCGUCUAGCUCCUAUUACAUUCUUAUAGCCAACAGAUAGCAGAUUUCUUUCUUCCACAGUCAAUUCCACAUUUAACUUCGCAAUUUUCUUCAUUUCCUCAACCAUCUCUGAAGCAUGGAAAAGGCAAUAAUGAUCCAAACUAUUAGAUUAAAAAAAAAGGAAUCCUGAAAAUCGUAUUAUAGAAUGAAUGAAAGUAGAUGUCUCAGUUUAUCCCAUUGUCAUUCCAUCUACAUCUCUACAAAUCCAGUCAACAUCGAAACCAUGAGCACAAACACUUCUCAUCUCAUUAUAGCUAAACUACGAUAAGAACAAUAGCAACAACCAGUGAUGAAAUUAUAAUGUCUUGUUAUAAGAAGUUAUAGCAAGUAAUUUCUAAGCCAAAUUGAAAUUCUAGAUUUAAGCGCCAAGACGCCUCAACCUACAAACAACAAAUCCUGAUUCUACUUCUUUUCAUCAAUGCUCCAUACAUUUCAAAAUAUAGCCCUAAGAAGUGAUUAACCGCCACAACUAUUUCGAAUUUACAGUAAAAAAACAAUCAAAACAACAGUAAUCACUAAAAUUCACAGAAUCGAUCGAGUAAAUGAGCAAAUAAAUCCAUAAUAAAGCAAUUGAUUGUAGAGAUAAACAAUAUCAUGCCUUCAUAUCUCUCAGCUUGUUCAGCCAAUUUAGCAGAGUAAACGAGUAGUUCUCUCUCUUUCGCCAUCGCUUCUCCAACUGGAACUGAAAUCGUGGCUUCGAAUUUGCCUCUGCUGCUUUUGUACUUCGGCUUGUACUCUCACUAUGGACGUUGGACUGAGUUCUUCAUUGUUUUUGUAUUGAUAUUUUGCUUACACUAUCACGGGAAGUUAAAAUGAUCUCAUGGGUUUCGGAAGCUUUUUGCUUGACACGUGUAAUAUUGGCGCGCGUGUAUAGUCAAAUCAGCCGUUGGAUUAAAUUGCAGUUUUAAAAGACGGUUCCAAUGAAUGGGAUUUGACGUUGACCGUAAGUUAGGUGACGGCUGGGUGAUGUAAAAAGAUCGAAGCGGGGGAUGAGAUGACAGUUGUAAAUUUUUUUAAUUUCCUUUAUUAUUUUGCCUUCGUUUUUUUUCUUUCAAUAUUCAAUAUUUAAGGUUUAAAUUCAUUAAAGUAACUAAUUACUUUUUACAAUCAUUUUUUCUUUUUGAAAAAACAUUGGAUUGCUAGAAAAUAGGAAUGAAAUAAUAAAAAUCUAUCAAACCAACCAUUACAAAAAUUUGUAGUAAUUUCGUUAGUAAGUUUUAAGAGUUGAGGAUUUAGUUAUUGUAUUUUAAAAUUGUAACUUUAUAGAAAAUUUUGAUAUUUAAUAAAUUUAACAAUCUACUUGUAAAAAUGUUUUUGUUAUCUUUAACUACAGUGACAAAUUUCAAAAACAAAAACGAAUAUUUAAAAGUUACAUUUGAACAAAACGAUUGGUAGGGGUAGUCAUAUAAAAGGUUGUUUUCGGACUAUCAUGGUUUCAUUCGUUUUAUUUUUUUAAUUCUAUAGAAUUAUGAGGAAAAGUUGAUACGUAUAUUUGUAUAAGAACAUGAUAAUAGAGAAAAGUAUGUUUAUGGUUUAUUUCCUUCUAAAUUUUGGAAGGGACAAGUUUGUAAGAAUGGGCUUGAGACGUGAGUACACAAAGAAAUAUUUUUGUAAAAACCUUGGGCUGGGCUUCGUUGGGAGGACAAACAAUUCAACAUGUCCACUUGACGAGCCCAAUAAUAUUUUGGGGAGAUUUCAAUAUGCCAUUCAAGUAAACUAUUGAAUAAAUGUUGAUUGAUUCUUAUAAACUAAUUAAUAAAUUAUGUGUAGAUCUCAAAUUUUGGUACAACAUCAACCAUAAAUUUGUUAUAAAAAGAAAAGUAGAAGAAAGAAAAAUAAAAUUAUAGAAUAUUAAAGAAGUCGGAAGUUUAAGUUAUCUUUUCAUAUAAUCGAAUCAUUUAUUUUAUAGAUUUUUAUACUCUCAAUUUUCUUUAUAAUAGAAACUCUUUAGCCCUCUAUAACAAAUAUCUCAUACUAUUUUCUCUCCGUCCUCAAUUUUCAAAUAGGUGGAAUAAAUCAAUGCUAGUUUUUUUUUGCAUUCUUUUAGACUUGUGCUCGAUUAUGGUUGGUUAAGCCAGACUGCAAUGAUUAUUUUGGGCUUGACUGCAAUCAAGUUGAGUUCGAGCAAAAUGGAAUGAAGUGAGAUCCUUUUUGCUAUCCAUUACUUUGUUUAGAAUGUUUCGUUCUUCUCUUCGGUCUAAAAUAUCUCAUAACACAACUUAGUCAAUCAAUUUAUUUAUUACAACAAUUGCAUAUAUAAAAUAUGAAUAUUCCAACUUAUAUUUAAAGAAUAUAAAUAUAUAUAGAAAGAUAUUUAAACAAUCUGACAUCAUUUUCUUAAAAAGAAAAAGAAAUAUGAUAUUAGAAAUGGUUAGACAAAUUUAUUUUAUUUUUUACUUUAAAGAUGAAAUAAAGAGAGUAAUUAAUAUAGAGAUGAGUGAAUCAUUCAAAUUGAGAACAUGGUCAUAUCUAAUGCGUUUGACAUAAGUAUAUGAUUAUUUUAUUUUUCUUCCUUCUCACUCACGAAUUAAACAUGAAAUUAAAAUAGCUACCAUAUGGUACCAUCAACCUUAUUUUAAAAAUUAAAUGUAUCCCUUAAUGCCUUUUCUUUUUCUUCUUCUUCUUUUUAAUAUAUACAUUUUACCUAACUUAUUAAACAAGUUCCGCAUUACAUAUAUAUAUAUUUGGACAUUUUCGAAUAUAGCGUAAUAAAUCAAAAUAUUUACAAAAUAUAACAAAUUUUCAUAUUCUAUCAAAUUAUAUACAUUGGUAAACUUUUAUCAGUAUCUAUCGUUGAUAGAAUAUGAUAUUUGAUAUAUUUUAUAAAUAUAUUAUUUCCAAUUUUUAGUUAUGGUUUUAUUUUACAUUGGUCAAGGAAGAGCCUAAAGUUCUAGUCAAAUUGUACAAGUGGAGCUGAUUUUAAGUUUUUCAAAGACUUUAUAUUUUUUAAAAACUUAAAAGUAGAAUUUAGAAAGAUAAUAAAGAACAAAAAUUUGUGGAUGUGGAUGAUAUGUGUAUAAAUUUAAUUUUCAAAAACUAAAUACUUAUAAUCUAGAUAAAAACUAUGAAUUAGAAAUAUGUUAUUUUUUUGAUAACCACUGUAUGUAUGCUGAAAGAACGUUGUAUAUCUUGUAAGUUUAUAUACUUUAAAAGCGUUAUUUGUAUUAUUUUCAUAUUUUUUGGACUUUCUUAAUCCUAAAUUGUAUUAGAAUGAUAUAUUCUAAAUGACUUCAUAUGUAAGAUUAAAUUUGUCUUCAUUCAUAAUUUUAAAUUUUUUUGAUAAUAUAAGACGAUUUCAGGUGGUAUCACUACGUCUGUUGUUCAAGUUAUUUAUUAAAUAUAUUGAUUUUCAAGUCUUCUGUGUAUUUCAAGUGAACAAACGAGGGAGAGUGUUGGACAUAAUUUAAAACGAUGAAAUAAGUUUUUACAACAAUAAAUGUUUUACUCUCUCGUUGUUAAUUUAUUUUGAGAUGAAAAUUAAAAGGUGGGUGCGAAUCAGAAUUUUUUUCAUUUUUUUCAAAUUCAAACAUAAGAAUAUUGUUUUGAAUUUUUGUCCAAUUUUUUCUAAAAAGAAAAAAAGGGUGUGUUGUAAAAUUUGCUCUUAUAGAAAUCGAAGUACUUUCUUGUUAAUAUAUUUAUUUUUGCAAUUUUUUCUUUUGAUUUGUGAUUAUUAGUUUUGGUUUAAAAUAUUAAUGUCGUGUUUAUCCACCUGUAAUUAAAAAAUCAAAAUCAAAAUAAUUUUAUAAUUAUAUAUAUUACUAAACAUUAUAAAAUAAUUUAAUUUUAUUCUUAUAUGAAAAUAUAUAAUUUAAAAAGCAUUAAAAUUUAUUUUUUUUUUAAAAAAUAAAUAUAUUUAUUUUUCAUUUGUUAAUUUGAAAAACAUAAAAAAAAAAACACUCAUUUUUAUUUAAAUUUUUUAUAACAACGUUUUAAAAAUUAUUUUUCGUGGUUGUAAAAUCGUGGUUCAAUUAUUUUUAAUACGACUAAUUUUUUAAUUUUAAAAAAAUAAAAAAAUAUAUAUCAAACCACACGGACGCCUCAAGGGUAUUAACUAACUCAAACUUAAUCUAAAAUUAACCUAAAUUGAAACCUACACUUAACAAGUAAUAAUGAAAUAUUAGAGGCAUUAUUAAACUUUCUAAUAGCCAAGGGUUUUGAGUUUUGGGUUCAUAGAACAUAUGUAUGUGGUGGAUGAGGAUUCCAAAAUUCACACGUAACUAAAUUUUAAUUUCAAUUAAUUAUCAUCCACUAAUCAACUUCUUUUCAUCCAUCCAACUUGCUAAAUCAACUUUUACCAAACAAUAAACAUAGUUUUAUGUAUGUAUGUAGUAAUUAACAUGUUUUAAUUUCAAUCUUCACAUUUUGGAACUAUUUUUUUAGUUUUAUACAUUCAUUAAACCUAAAAUUUAGUUCAUUUAUUAAAAAAACUAUUAUCGUGAUAAACAUAUUAAAAGCUGGUUUAUUUUCUUAUAUGAAAAAUAUUAUUAUUAUUAUUUUAAAGAACUAAAUUUAUGAUCUGUGGAAAAUAUAAAUAUUAAAACUGAAUAAUAAAAAGUCUAAAAACUAAAAGGGAAGAAACUUGAAAGUAUUUGAAUUUCAAAUGAUCCUUUUUAACUUUAAAAAAUUGUUUAUAUAUUUCUUUCAAACAAGAUUUGCUAUUUGCUAUUUAUUAUUUUAACUACAAAUAAAAAAGUUUAGUAUCUUUGGUAAUCUAUUAAUGAUUUUUUAAAAAAAAUGGUUUUUUAAAAGAAAAUUUUCUUAAAUUAUGAAAGAAAACUAAGAAAUAUGGAUCUUGGUUUUAAUUUAGUUACUAGACUUAAAUGAUUUUUUGUUUUAAUAAACAAUUUUUUUAAAAACAUAUAAAAUAAAAAACGAAAAAUGAUUAUCGAACCGAAGCGAAAGGGUAAGAUUGUCAAUUAGUAAUGAUAGAAAAAAAUAAAAAGUAGAAAGAAAUAAUAAUUUGAGUACUUUAUUAACCUCAACUUAUAUGAGACAUUAUAAUAGCCAAGUCUUUUCAAUGGUACACAAUUCCUCUCAUCCAUUGUCUCCCUUUUCAUUACUAAUCAUUAAAACUUAUACAAUUUUGUACUCUAACUUUAUCCCAUUCAUGUAUACUUGUUACAUACAAAUGUUGGUAUAAUUUGAUAAAUAUUGAAUUCUUACACUUUUCAUAAGUAAUCGUAGACACGUGAGAGGUUAUAUCACUUCAAUUGAAGAUUAAAAAAUUAUUAUACCGAUGAAUUUAGAAUAGGCUAAAAAGGUUAAUCUAAUAGUUGUUAUUUUUAUUAUGUUUGAAGAAAAAAAUCCAAUUUGUUUAAAAGAUUGUUUUUUAAUGUUGAAUUUCUUGAAUUAUUGAGUCUGACUGUUUGUAUAUAUAAAGCCAAACAAAAAACAGUUUCCAAAUAUUGACAUGCAGUUUUUUUUUUCUUUUUUUAACAUUAAAAGUGAUUUUGCUUUGAAAGAAGAAAACUUGUGCUUUUUCUUUAUAUGGUUUGUUCAUGACAUCUUCAAGAAAAACUUUCCUCAUAUAAACAAUUACAUGAUCUCCAUUAUGAUUCAUCACUGUCCAAACUUCAAAUAAUGAUUUAUAUUAGAAUAUUAGCUUUUAAAUUUAGGACUUUCCUUAAGAAAUUUUAUCUUUAACUUAGAUAACCACUUUACUUUUUCAACACUUCACAUAAUCUCUCUCAAGCUUGUAAAUUUCAUUAUAUGAAUCAACUAAUGUCCAUUAACAAUUUAUUUUCGUAACAAACUUGAUAGGAAGACUUUAAACUCCUACUUCAAAACAAAGAGUGUAUUGGAUAUGUGAAUGAUAUGUUCCUUAAAAUUGAUAUUUUCUUGCCAUCCACGUAAUUGUUUAUGAAAUUUGUAUUUGAUUAUUGCUAAAUUUGUAUUUUCUUUUCUAAAUUUUGUCUUUGUUUUUUAGGUGGAUAUUAUGUUUAUAAGCAAUAAUUUCCUUUCAAAUUUAUUUAUUUAGAAACUUACAAGAUCAUUGAUUGAGUAAAGAACAAGUGGACGGUCUGAUUUAAGCGUGGGUAGAUUGGGAUUGGGCAUCAUGAUGAGGUUCUGAUGUGUGGCGGAUUGACCUUCCACGUACUCCUUGUUAGGAUGUCACCCAUACAACAAACUUCUAUUGUUACCACUAAUUUCUUUUAAAAUAUUUUUUUAUAAUAAUGUGGAUUUUAUAAAAGAAAUAUGAUAUAAUAUAUAUAUAAUAAUAAUGAUAAGAAAAAGGUGAAACACAUUUUUCAAGUUUUCAAAAAUUAUUUUAAUAAUUUUAAAGGACGAAUUAAUAAAUAUCUACUUCGGUAGGCAUAAUUUGGUGGUUGUAUAAAUUGUAUUGAUUAUAUAAGUAUGAAAUUUCAAUUUUCAUUAUUUGUAGGUCCAUUUUUUGUAAUUAUUGUGAGUUUGGAGGGUCUAAAUAUUUAACACGUUUAGAAGUUUAGAGGUGUAGUUAAUAUUAUUAAAAAUUUGGGGUAUAAUUGCAACUACCACCAUAUUCUAUGGUGGUUUUUGCAAUUUACUAUUUUUAAAACUUUGUGUCGAUUUAUUGGUCAAUAAUGAAAAUUGGUUUGGUCGUAAUAUAUCUUAUUGAUAGAUAAACAAUUAUAGGUCAUAAUCACACAAUUGUAAUUUUUAUCAUGUUUACUUUGAAGCAUGUAUACGUUAGAUUUGUUAUAACUUUUACUGUUAUUGUUAUCAUUUAGAUUCAAACAGUAACAAUAAUAAUAAAUGUGAUAAAUUUUUACAGUAAUUUUCAAACAGUACGAAACAAAACCAAACAAGAAAAAUAUUUUAAAUUAAUUUUAACUUUUCCAAUAAUCACCGAUUUAGUAUAUUUGAAUCUGGUAAAAAAAGUGCUUUAAAACUUAAUUUAAAAAUCAAAGUGCCCGUUGCAUGGAAGUUUUAAAUUUCUACUUUAUCUUCAUUUAAUGGUUUUAAUUAUCUUGACUAAACACAUAAGAAUACUAAAAACCAAAUUCUCAAAAUGAAUAUGAGCAUUUAAAGAUUGAUUAUAUGUGUUUUGGUAAUAAUUUUCAAAUUUUAGUAGAACCUUUUCAUAAAAGGUAAAUAAUUAGAAACAAAAUAGGUAGAAACUUAUAUUUUGCAAAGAAAAAAAAACAUAUUAUUAUUAUUAGAAAUAACAUCAUUUUCAUUUUUUUGUUGUUAAAGCAAAGAAAUUAAUUACAAUAUAUUAAUAUAUAUAUAUAUAUGUAUGUAUAAAUUUGUGUAAUAUAGAUGGGAAAGGUUGAAGAGAUUGAAAAAGAGAAGAGUUGUGGCCAAUAAGAAAAAAGAUGUCAAUUUCUUACCAUUCAAUGAAUGCAUGUGAUCAUCUCACACUUCCCUUUCCCUAACAAUCACCCAAUUCUCCUCUCUCAAUUUUCACAUCCAAAAUAUAAUAUUCCCUUUAAACAAAGUUUUAGAAUUCCAUAAUAUUUUAUUCUCAUAAUUUAUUAGUGUUAUUUUGUAUUGGUUUAAUUGAGCAAAUCAAUAUUAACACUAGCGCCUAAAGCACAUAAAGAGUGAUGUUUAUCACAUACAAUUAACUAUAUAUAUUAUCGUUUUUAAUAAUUCAUAGGUAUCUUAUAAAUUAUUUAUAACACAUACUUCAAUUAAUAUUAUAGCGGUAGCAUGCAUGCAUCCUAAAUACAAUUAUUAUAACACAAACACUAUAAUAAUCAACCUAUCCCGACAAAUCAUAUGCUAAAAAAACAUUAGAAACUAACCAUACAAACAAUUCUUUUAUAUAUUAAAAGAAGAUAAGAAAACAAUGCAUCAAAGAGCCACGAAGUUAUUGGAAUCGAUUCCUCUGUUCACAUUUCAAUAAUUAAGAGGAAUAAAUUCUAUAUAAAAAGAAAAUCAAUGGCCUAACUUCAUCAAAAUCUCCAUGGUGUAAAAUUUAGUUGGAAGACAUUUUGUCUUUUCUUUUCUUUUUUCCGUAAAAUUUGUUGAUUCUACAAUUCUAUAAAUUUACACACAAAUGUCUUUUCAACAAACGAUUAAAAUCAUUUUCUCAUAUUUUUACUUUAUUUCCAAAGUAAUCCAAUAUACUAAUUUUUAACCUUAUUUUGCUUUAAAAUAUUCAUAAUUAAACUUUAUAUUAUUAGAUAAACAAUAUUUUUGUUUGAUUUUAAAAUUUGUGGUUAGAUAUCUAGGAUUGAAGAUGACCAAAUACACUCUAAUUUAGUUACAACAAAAGUUUCAUCAACUACAAUUUUGGUAGUGUUUUCUCCAAAAUAUCCAUCGCUAUCAACAUUUUUGUAAAAUCGAAAGCCUCGACAACUACAAUCGGAACCUUGACUUUGAGGGUAAAAAUAGCAACACUCUGAAAGUGGCAAGUAUGAAAGAGAAGAAGAAGAAGACAAAACGAAACGACAGAAAGAGCCGUACGUCUUCAUUAGUACGACCGACGGUGACGUCGUUUUGAUUGAUUUUUAUUUCAAUUUUUCAUCCAUGUCUUCCACUGACACUUAUUGGCAGUGGAAAACAUGGUACCUACACGUGGCGGGAAGCAGAUGCGGAAUGAUCUGACGGCGCUGGAUGAAAGUUCGAGAACAUGAUAGAGGGUGGAGCCCAUGGGCUUGCGUGGGCCACAGUGUGUUUAUGAAAUGGCCCAUGUGGCAUCCAAAUUUUCACCAUAUAAAAACAAAUAUUCCACGUCGUAUUGGCUGGCAGGUGAGAAUGAGCAGAAGACUUUAACGAUUUUGAAUUGUUUUUUUAAUCUCUUCUUUAUUAUUUUUUUUUCCCAUAUGAGAACAAAGAGGUUGUUACUUGUUAAGAUUGCUAUUUUUAUUGAGUCUCUUUCUUUUUUUUCUGUUGUUGGAGAAUAGAUUGGUUUUUUAAUCUGACUCUAACAACUUUGAUGGUUGAUUUUUUCAAAUGAGAAAUUGUUUUUUUUUUUUAAGGAAAUUAGAUAUUAAAGAUAUAUAUGAUUGACCAUCAAGUAGAAAAACAAUAUAAUACUUAUUAAAGUAAGCUUAAUUGAGUAGUAAUUAAGACAAGUUUUUAUUUUAUAGGUGAAAGAUUUGAUUCUUAUUCAUACAAUUGGUUAUGAUUUCAAACCAUAAAAAUCGAAUUAAAGGAGUUUGAUAUCAAUUUUGAUAUAUUUAAAAAUAUUUUAAGAUUUUCUUAUAUUAAAUUACUUGCACGAGAAUGUUAAUAACCACAAAAUUUAUAGCUUUUAAAUAUCUCAAUUCACAAAUGUCAAAACGAGAACAAUCGAAUUGUACUCUCAAUUCAUCAAUUAAAUAACGUUAUUUCAUUAUGAAUUUAUAUGGUCUUCGUGCAUAUCGCGAAUAAUGCAGAGCACAAGUACCAAAAUUAAUGGAACGAGAGCUAUUAUUUUAAAUUCCCAUGAAUCUAUUGAGUGAAGUAAAAGCUAGUGCAACUUGGAAUUAAAAUGAACAACGAUUAUUUGACUUCUUCAAAUGUCAAGCUUUUUGACACUAAUUAAUUAUACGUAAAAAAGAAUAGAAAAUUGACUAUAAAUUCAAAUUGGAAAAAGAAAAAAGAAGAAGAAAACGAACCGAACAAAAAAGACGUUAGAAAAAAAACAGUGUAAAGGUUAGGGAAUUGAGAGGUAAAAAAAAAGUGGAAGGGGGUGGGUAAGAAGGAGAAGGAUGCCGCGUUCCAUGCGCGUCUUGUAGUUCUCUCUAUCUCUAUCUCUCUGCUGUGUAAAACUUUGGAAGCUCUCUCUCUCCCUCAAAACUCUUUUAACUCCUCCCUCUAUUUAUCCGUACCACCCCCCACUUCUUCUUCUUCUUCUUCUUCUUCAUACUUCAAUACUACUCUCUCUUCUCAACCUCCUAAUUUGCUUCAACACCCUAAACCAACCAUUUUUUUUUUCCAUUUUCUCCUUCAUUUCUGGUCAAUCUGGAAGACCUAAUCCGCAAAAGGUACACUUUUCCCUUUCCCUUUUCUUUUUCUUUUUUACAAUAGAAUAGAAUCAUGUGGGUGUUCUUCUUCUGGUUUCGUUUUUGUGUUUUUGGAUUUCAGAUUUCGAAAUGAGAUCUGUUUUCUGUGUUGUGCUAAUUAUGGUAUAUGGUUUGGGUGUUUUUUCUUAUGUGGGUCUCUUCUGCUGUUUUUGUUUGUGUGAUUAGGUUUUUUUAUCUCCCAGAAUUCAACUUUUGUGAAGCUUCUAAGGAGAAGCUGCUUCGUUUACAACUCUGGCCGACAUCGUAGUCAUAUCCUCUCCAUCUUCCUCUACACUUGGCCCUUUUCAGGGAUUUUCUGGUUCAUGGGCGUCCUUCCAUUGCACUUUGUUGUUGGUUCGUCGUCUUCCAAUCGAUUACGGCUAAUCUCAAUCCCUUCCACAAUCUCUUAAAAAAAAAUUCCAAAAUUGUUUCGAUCAAUCAAAAUCAUUAGCGAUGUGAGCAUUCCUUCCAAUUUAACAAGGAGAAGUGUUGAAACGGCCAGGUCGAGAGGAUAGUACCAACGUAGAGCUCUUCAUUCCGAUCUUUUGAGGAAUUUCUUUAUAUUAUAUUUCUAAAAUUGUAUCUAAUGGCGAAAUUCAAUUGCUUCUCUGGCCGGACAGGGAAGAAGAAGAAAACCAAGGUAUGUCUUCUUUCAUUAUUCUCGUAUCUUAGUUAGUUGUUGAGUUUCUUGGGGUUGCUGUAUAGAUUGCGUAUAUCCUCUUAAUUGCAGAGUGAUUUGGAAUCGCAAAAACCUGCUGAAUUGAAUUACUUGAAGAAAACUUUGCAAGUCAGCAUCCAUCAUUCUGAGGAGCCUUUUCAAGUUGGAGAAGGGAAAUCGUCUACUCUAGACGUUGCAAUUCUGUACCCAUCUGAGAAUAAUUCGAAGCUGGAUGUUAAGGUGACGAACCAUGAGAGCCCUACAGUAGGAGGAGCAGUAGAAGCUGAAUAUGAAGGGGAGGAUGAGCGCGACGACAACUCUAUCAAGCGUAAUCCUUCCGACUUUGAUCUCCCUGCGCAAGACAACUGUGGAGAAGAAUUUGAGUUUCAAUUAUUGGGAAACCAUUUUGAUAAGAUCACUAUUGAAGGUGAAGGUGGUGAAGGAAUAGGAGUAGAAGGAGAAGGGGUUGAUGCGUCGAUCCAAAAUGGGCAUCUUAGUGAUCCUGGAAUUGGUAAGGCAGUAUGUUGGGCAUCGCCUAAACUUAAACGCUCCUGCUCUAAUCUUGAAACUAGGGAUGUGCUUAGAGAUUUAUCUCAUCAGUUGCCUCCUCCAAAGUCUCAGUCUUUCGAAAAAUUGCAAGAAUUGGCGAACGAAAUGAGGGACUAUGUCGAUCCAGGCAGUCCAGGGUCUACUAUGACCCAUCGCAGUGCUGAUAAAGUCAUGUUGAAGAAGCGUUCUUCAAGCCAGAUUCUUCCUUCAAGAAGUAGAAGGUUGUGGUGGAAGUUGUUCCUGUGGAGCCAUCGAAACCUGCAAAAGCCGUGGACUAUCAAGGCUACUCCCACCAGCUCUGCUUUCAACCAGCAAGGUGGGUAUUGCUCUGACAAUCUUGAGCCGAACAGAGCAGCCGGGAAAAGUAUGAUUGAAUCACCUGGAUCAUUUACUGAGGAAUCCUGGACCAACGGCCCGUGUAACAACAAAAGCGAUGAUCAGGAUCAAGAGAAAUUGUGCAAUGGAGUCUCUGGUUUGUGGCCACAAAAUCAGUGGGUUGCGUUUUCAGCAGAAUCAUCUUCGCUUAGAAGAGUGGAUGAGUGGGUGAAGGAUCUUCAAAUCGAACCAUGUAUUACAAUCGACGAGGUUGGAGGUGACAAUGAUGAAGCUACCGUCUUCCCACCCUCUCCUGAGAGAACUUCAACUCACACACCCCGACGUGGGGAAACCAAUCUGACAGAAGAGAUUUUGUAUGCCAAUAGUGUCAUCCAGUCAUUGAAUUCUUCGUCAACCGUGGCUCACAUCUCUGGUAUUGGCUUAAGAGCCAUACCCACAAUCUCACACCUAUCCGGUCUUAGAUCAGUCAAUUUGUCCGGCAACCUCAUACGUAACUAUUCCUUUUUAUAUCAUUCCGUCACGCUUUUCUCGUUGCUUGGUUUUAAUUAUUUUUCUUGGCACUGACAUGGCUGGUUGGUAUUCCAGUUCACAUUAACCCUGGAUCACUGCCCAAGGGACUGCACACUCUCAAUUUGUCCAGGAACAAGAUUAGUGUCAUUGAAGGGCUCAAAGAAUUAACACGACUUCGGAUACUGGAUCUGAGUUACAAUCGCAUAUCUCGUAUAGGACACGGUACUGUUUUGAAAACUUAAAAUGUGUUUAAAUUCUAUAUUGUUGGACUUGGUUGAUGGUAGAAGGAGGAGAAGGUGUAAAUUUUAUCAAUUUCUGAUUGAAUGCGUGCAUUUGUUUAACUGUGCAUCAGGGUUGUCAAACUGUACGAUUAUCAAGGAACUCUAUCUUGCUGGCAACAAGAUUAGUGAUGUUGAGGGACUGCAUCGAAUCUUGAAGCUGACAGUUCUCGACCUAAGCUUUAACAAGAUUUCAACCACCAAGUCCCUGGGCCAACUUGUUGCCAACUAUAACACUCUGCAAGCUCUUAAUCUGUUGGGGAAUCCAAUUCAAAGUAAUGUGAGCGAUGACCAGCUACGCAAGGCAGUUACUGGCCUUCUUCCAAACCUUGUUUAUCUAAACAAGCAAGCCAUCAAAGCACAGAGAGCUCGAGAAGUUGCAACUGAUAGCAUUGCCAAAGCUGCACUAGGGAACAGUAGUUGGAGUUCUCGUAGAAGAACAAGGAAAACAAGCCAUAUACCAUCGUCUUCCAUUAGUGGGCACAGAAGCACUGCAAGCGUUGCACACAAAGGCAGGCACAGAUCAAAAGCGCCAACCGUUCGCCAUUCUUCUCUAAAGAUAUCAUCGUCCGCUCUUGCCUCAACAACUCGUUAGACUUGGACCUUCCGCCGCCAUACAAAAAAGAUAUUCAUUAGGAAGUGUUUUCUGUUCUGUUUUCCGACUUUUUCUAUUGUAUCACAUUGGAUAUCCUGUUUUUCCUGUCCAUAGAACUACGUUUGUCAAUGUUGUUAAGAUAUUCUCUUUAACCUGAGUGAAUUAGUAUUCCUUUUCUCAAUAGCAAAUCGAUUUCUUUUGCAUUUGGUCCAUCUUACCAGAAUUUAAAGCACGAUGUUGUUAAUAUUGCAGAAAACAACUUAACACAAAUCUCAGAUUUGAUCAAUGAUUAUAGAAUAUGUUACUAAUCCCACUUUAAAUCAACUCAACAGCUUGAGAAUCAGCAAAUUACUAAGUAUUCACUGAAGAAGAUAUAUAUUAAACUCAUUGGAGAAACAGAAACAGUUCAUUCCUGAAUCAAUAUCAUUCACCUUCGAUACGUGACAUCAUUCCAUUUUCUGCAUUUGAGCAUAUCUACGCAACUUCUCAUUGAAAACCACUUGAGGGUCUUUAUGAAUCAAGUCGCCAUUUUCAUCGUAUGCAUCCUUCAAGAAAACAACCCAAUUCAUUUCUGUCCCAGCCAGAUAGAAGGUUCUGGGUUGUUUCAGAAGCAUCUGAUAAGUAUGCUUAGUCAAGCUAAACUCCUCCUUGAACUCCACAAUAUGAUGAAUUGAAGCUUUCUUCUCUAAUGUCAAGCUCAAGAACUCAUGCACCACCCCAACUCUGUACUUCUCUGCUUCCAAUGUCCAAAGCUCCAGCUUCGAUCCGUCUGAAUAUGGCGAAACCAAUGGGAGUGUAUUCAACAAAUUUAGCCUCCUCGUAUCAUCCAUAUUCAAAUCCAAAUCCUUGCCAUGUUUCACAGGAAACUUGAACAGCCUUUUCACCUUAUCCUCGUUCACCACAAACUCUCUCUCGAGCUGACUAACAGCCAAAGAAGGGUCCCAAUUCACCAAUUCCAACACCCUCUUCCCAUCAUCUUCAACCACAAGUCGGAAGUAAUCCGGAUACUGGCUCACUCGAUCUCUAAAAUCCUCUGGAAUUCCAAACACCGACCUGCAACGAUAGAUUUUCGUCAAUGGAAUUCGUUUAUUCGCCGACAUCAUCAGCAACUUCCUGACAGUUCUAACCCUAUCCAUCUCCAUCGAGUCCAUAAUCUUCCUCUCUUCCUCCAUCAACUCCUCCAUGAACUCCGUAAAUCCAAACCACAUUUUCCCAUCGGAGUGACGAUAGGGUUCGAAAAGAAGCGGAUGGCGUUCAAUAGAUCGAGCGACUUUGCGACCUCUUGGAAAGCCAAGUUCGCGAUAGAGCUUGCCGGCAUCAUCGAGACGAAGAACAUGCUCCGGCUGCUUGGAGAGAAAAUCCUUGGAUUUAAAAAGGAAUCGGAAGACGGUAUCAGUUUGGAGGAUGCGCUCGAAGUGAGAAAUGCGAUCAGGUUCGGAUUGGACGAGCUUGGUUCUAGGGCUAUCGUGUUUCUUGCGUUUCUUCCUGAAUUUCUUGGGGAGUUUGGUGACGAGGAAGGAGGUGGAGUAUGGAGAAGAAUGGCGAAGGAGGUUUGUUAGGGUUAGGGUUUGUCUUUGAGUAGACUUGAGGUUGGUGACGAGAAGGCGCCAAGCCAUUACAAUUUUGAUUUCACAAACCACUUUACUCGACGCCAGGAAGUAAGUAUUUCGAUUUUUGUUUCCAAAUUAAAUAAACAACAAAAUAAAUUAAAAUAUUUACUAUCGGUUGGAUUACUUCUAAUCUAAAUUUCAAUAUUUAUUUAUUUAUAUUGAUGACCGGACCAAUCUAUUUUUGAUUAGUCCAACAUAGAACUAGAUUGAUUUUUUUUUUGUCAACAGUACGUUUGAGUAUUCGAACUUCUUCACCUUUGUGUGUAUAAAUAUGGUAUACCUGUGACUCAAACUUUUUGUGAAAGUUACAUGCGUGGAUAAAUAUGGUAUUUAGUUAAUUUAAAAGAACAAAAUAAUGUAUCAAGUUAUCAAAAUAUCAGUACUAAAACAAAAAUGGAAGUUUGAAAGUAAUAGAUUUGGUUGAGUAAAAAGAAGAAACAAUAUUGCAUUACAAAUUCUAUAUACCAUGAUAGCAGCCAGCUCAUAAAGAAUAAAGUCAGGAUGGAGCAGGAAAAGAAAAAACAAACAAAUUUCUUUAUGCAUAAAAUGGAUGCAAAGCAUUUUGAAUGCUACAGCAAACAUCAAGUGCUUAUUCUUCUUCUUCUUCUUCUUCUUCUUCUUUUUUUUCUUUUUUCUUUUGAAUCCCAAUUUCACAACCUUUAAUCACAUUGAUGUAUAACAUUUCAUAAUAAAAAUGCAAAUUUCUACUAAUCAAAUCAAAUCAAAUCAAAUCCUAGAUUUUCUCACUUCUGUGCUCAUUUGCAUAAUUACAUUAUCCUAUUUUUUAGCCUUACGGCUUCUUCUAUAGCUGGCUAUCGUGGUGUGGUGGUUCAAUUCCAACAAGUAUCAAUUUUCUGUCCUCUCUCUUCUUUUCUGUUUCUCUCUUGUUUUUUUUUUUUUUUCUUUUUUCUAUUCUUUUAUUUUUUUCAGGAAUUUUGAUUCUACCUCUCCAAAAUAUGGUGGAGGGCUCUCCCUAUGAUGGUGUUCUUCCCAUCAUCCACAGAAUGAAUAUAAAUACUUCUUCACCUUCAAAAUUUGUGAUCACUUUGCUUGUCUCUUCAAGAAAGGUUUUUGGCAGAUCAGCACUCUUUCAUCAUUGUUAUCUUCAAUUUCUAUAACUCGUGCAUCCCACUUAAGCUGUGUAGUUACAGUUCGAGCUGACUCAAUAAGCGUGGUGGUGUCGCGGAUUAUCACCCAACCCUGGAAAAACCAGCAAAUGCAUCAACAUUAACAACUAUCUGGGAAGGUGAAAUACAAAUGCUAUUGAUCUCACAUAAUGACAUCUUGCUGUUUUGCCAUGGCCAAGAACACUCCCAAACAUAGAAUUGAUUAGAUGGUAAUGUUUUAGGACCAAAGUCCCUCAUUCUUUGUUCCCAUGUAGAGAUAUUCAAGUUUUGGGGAUUUGUAAAUAAAAGGGACUUUGGUGAUCAACUAAACCCUAAAAAGCAGUAAAGGAGCAGACUCAGGUAUUUUCAGAUGUAUCAAAAUGCAAAUGCAAACGAAUAUGCAAAUAUAGAAAUUUUAGAUUCUAACUCUCAAGGCCUAUCACGGGUAGAUUUUGUUAUACAUGCAAUUUAUUAAAAAUGUUGUUUAUACAUUUAAUUAUUAGCCCUAAAGGUACAAUUACUCAAAAACAUAUUGUAAAAGAAAAAAAAUUGAGUACCUCUGGACGAAGUAACCGAUCAAUCUCACUGAAUAAAUCAAGCAUGGAGCACCUUGGCUUCUUAAUCGCUUCAAGGGACAGAAGCCCUGCCGCAUGAACCAAAUCAUAUGAUCUAGGAUAUGUUGGAAAGGCCUCGCACCUGAAUGGGAGAAGGCAACUAGAAGAUAAGAAUACAAGAAACUAAAAUUCAUAACUAUGGGGUGAUAACAAAUAACAUUAAAGCCAUUGAAGGAUUGGGAGAAAAAAUUUAAAGUUUAGAAGAAUAGUAUUACCAAUCGUGCAAUACCCCAAUGAAACCUCUAUCCAUUAUCAUGGGAAGAUGAUUAGGUCCGUCUGUUGGUACAACGUUCAUAACCCAUACAGACUUCCCAGCUUCCAAUAAUGCAGAAUUGAAACCUCCAUAAUGAGCAUUCAUAUCUAGCACAUUUCGAAGCAUGUUGUAUGGGGGUAAAGGAUCCUCAUCACCUGGUCGUUUUGGAUGAUCUGAGAAGAUUAGUGGCGACAAAAGAGACCAAUAGUUUUUCACUGCCAUUUUCCAGUUAAGAGAAUCGUCUGCAACAUCAUCUAAAGCCAAUCCUGAAAAUAUGUCAACUUGAAAUGUCAAUGAGGUGUAGAAUAUAUACAUAUUCUAACGUGAAUGUGAGGAGGAAGUGAAUAUAAGAGUAAAGAAUAAUGAUAUCGUCCUAAGGUUCUCUUCGUAUUUACCAUGCAGAGCCAGUUCACUCUUGUUCAAAUUAGCCCUCGAAGGCCAAGUUUGUCUUUCGUAAAUAGGAACCCAACGACGACUUUUUCUUCCCCCUAUGCAGUCUUGGAGUGGUCUAUAAUAUGGAGAUUCGAUGUCAUGACCUUUACCACAUAUUGGAGGAGACGAAUCUGGCUUCCUAAAUAUAAAAGCAGGAAAAGGCAUAAUUAGGACUUUCCAUUGUAUUUACAUUGACCAAUAAUCAAGCAACACAGAUGAAUAAGAUUUGAAUUCAAUGUUGCAUAAUGUUAAAUCCAUUCUGUCUCUCAUGUCAUACCGUGAGCUAUAACAAUUACUUUUACUAGUUUUCUUCCAGACAACAGUUUCAUCUUGUUGAUUCAACAUCUCCCAGCACAGAUAUUCCACAAAAUCCUGAAUGAAGUUCCAACUUUUCUGGUUCUCUUUUUUGUUAAGAACGCUCUGAGUGUUUGUCAGUGGCGAUGUCCACACAAAAUACCCACCUGGCUUCAAAACUCUAUCAACCUCAAUCAGGUAUCUACCAUCUGUUUGGAAAAGGAAAAAAGAAUUAAAAGUUUCCUAGCUACAGUAUAAACAUUGGCACAAUGACUGGAUCUAAUUGAACACAGGAUGCCACAAUAUAGUGGACAUUUAUGACAUUCUUGAUAACCAAGGUUGUUCUCAUUGUAUUGACAACUUCUUUUGUGUUGUGCUAGAAUACACCACAACAGGACUAACUGUUUAUGAAAAGGAUAAAAUAACUAUUGUAUAAAUAAAAGCACAAUAAUAUUAUUUAUAACCCAAGAUCAAACUCCUUAGCUUUGAGAAAUCAGAAACCAUUUCAAAUUUGCAUGAUUCCAACUUCUAGUAUUAGCCAUUAACUAAAAUAUAGUAAUGUUAUAGUGAACUAAAUUCAACUGAAUCUCCUCAAAUGUUAGUUUAUGCUAUGUGAGAUUGUAAUUGUUUAUUCAACUAUUGCAAGACUCUGUUCACGUUCCACCCAAAUUUAUACUGCAAAAUGAAAGAAUUCAUGUUUUGCUCAUGCAAGUCGACAAGAUAAUUCUGCUUAGCAAAAAUCCGCUAAAAUCAACGUGAAGGAAUAACACCCAUCAAUAUCAUAUAACAAGGUUCUAAGUUUACCUUUAUUGUCCCAGUCAACGCCACAUCGUGCACAAUGAACCAUAUCAUAGGAAAGAGAUGGAAAUGGCAAUUGUUUUGAAGUAAAAGAACCAAGCAUUGCAGGAAGACCCCUUUCAAGAGUUAAUUGAACCUGACUGCCUGAAGCCUCAUAAUUUGCUAUGCACAUCGUUAAGAGAUGUUUUGAGAAAAGAUGUGCUCCAAAACUUCCAUAACCACACCCUAUAUCCAGAAUGGUUCUUACCUGCAAAUUUUAGGAAGGUGCAACUCGUUGUUAAAUAUUCAAGCUGGCAUUAUAAAGUUAAAGUAAACGUGUUUUGUCAGCAACAUAAUUUUUACAUGACUCCGUAUCUAGCAUCACUCUAGUAGACUGUUUAAAACAUAAGAGAAUGCAAAAAAUUUAAGGCUCUGAAAUUAAGUGUAUCCUUAUAACGAUAAUUAUAGAAGCGAAACAAUUUGGACAAUCUUUGUCAAUUAAAUUUUGUUCUCCUUAAAAUUACAGAAGAUAGCACACCUGCCUGUUUAUUGUGAGUGAAAUAAGAGAUACAAAAGAAGUCACUGGUCAAGGUAGAACAGUAAGUGUAGGCCCAUUUGUGUCUCAGCAAGGAAGCAUAGAAGAUCACAACUGACGAAUUGGCUUAAACAAAGCAAUGACAUACUUACCCCAAUUUCUCUGAAAUUUGAUUCAUUUCUCAGCCCAAUCAUUUCUGCAAUUUGGUGAGAAUAAUCUUCUACCCCAUCAAACAUUGGAGACGCAGAACGAAAAGAUAUUUGUUCUUCCUCUAGCAUCAUCAUCCUGUAAGUUAAAAAAAAAAAAAACAAUAAAUCAAAAUGGGAUAAACAGAGCUCAAUCGAGUAGAGGGUUUUUCCCCUUUCUAUGAUUAAAUUUAAGCAAACCUUUUGGUCAAGCUUCCUGAGUAAAGGACCUCAUUUGCAGUGAUUUUCACAUUUGACACCCAGAUAACAUCCCUUCCAGUAGGCCAUCUAAGUGGAAUCUUGUAUUUCAAGGGAGGUUGUAUCAAACAGUUCAGCGAUGAGUUAGGCUCACAAUGUCUAUCAUACUCAUCCUCUUGAGAGAGGCUUGAAUUGAAGCAGGGAACAUAAUUCUCAAACUCGGGCAAACAAAAUUCAAGCUCUUUCAACCUUGAAGGACCCAGGGAAAUCUCCCCUAUAUCCCAAAGGUCUGAAACAAGCUGCUCUUGUAGUCGCCGAUAACCAUGGAAGAUUUGAACUUGGGAUGAACCAGAAAUGGAGAGUGUCCACCAGAAAGAUCCAGUAAGAGCAAGAAUAAUAAUCAACACUAAACUGAAUCUCAACAUUUGCAAUAUAAAUUGUUGCCGACUUCUUGAGUUUCCAACUAAAAAAGAAUCGGAAGCAAAGCCAUUCUCAGUUCCACCGUAUUUAGAAGGGGAGUUGUCUGGAAGAAGUAGGCGAAACGGUAACCUCGGAGCCAAAUUUCCUCCAUGAUCCAAAGAACCUUUUCUGUCCACCUCUUCCUUAUCAGUUUUGUCUUUCAUUUGAGAGUCCCAUUUAUCAUCUCCAUGACCAUGUACCUUAACACCGGACGCACCUCGAUGCAAAGGCCUGGACAUUUUCUACGGUGGUAACCUCAAAAUCAACUGAAACACAUCAAAAUUCAUAGAAUCAAAUUCAAUUCAAAUAUCAAUUCAGAAACACAGCAGAAAAAAAUUGCAGUGUAAAUCAUUAAUACAGAAAAACCAAUUCAUUUACACUAACUCGACAAGAUUCAAAUAAGAUCCAGAUAUCACCAAUACUGAAAGCAACACAAGCUCGCCAUCAUCCAAAAAUCAGAAUUAAAAAAUAAAAUAAUAGACCCAAAACGACAUCAUCUUCUAAGAUCCGCAUCACCAACUCAAAGCAUCAGAUCAAGAAAACUAGUAGCACCACAAGUGGAUAAGGAUUCAAGAUCGACCCAACAAGAAAUGGAAACAAGCAAAACGUCAAUAUAGUUCCUGAAAACAAAAACAUCCAAAUCAAUUCAUUUAACAGAGAGCUCCAAAACCCCAGAAACGGACUUGAGUGGCGAGCCUUAAGUUAGUAAACAUGUAACAUAAUUCUUCUCAAAUACAUUAUCAUUAUCCUUCAAACAAACAACAAAGAACCCACCAAGCUACUUCAUCCAAAGCAGAGAUUAAACCCAAAGAUAGUAAGAAAAGGAAGAAAAAGAACAACCCAGAAGACAGUUACCUCGAAUUAAAGAGUAGAAUAAUGGGGAACGAACAAAAAAACGAAAAGGGUAGUUCUUAAAGAUGAUGAAAUUGAAUUUUAAGAGAGGAUUAAGACACCGACACCCUAAGCCGCCAUUGUCGUCUUGUUUUGACCUUGUGGGUAUUAUUGAUUUUUCUUCCCCCCUGUCUCUUCUCUCUUUAACCCUCCAUUGUUGGAUUUUAGAAGCAGAGGGAGAAAGAGAAUAAGAAUAUAAGAAGAAGAAGAAGAUGAAGAUGAAGAGGAAGAGGAGGAGGAGACUGUGUGUGUGUGUAUGUGUGAAGUGGGAGAAGGAGGAAAUGGAGAUUUUGUACAGAUCCAAUCACGACAACCUUGAAAGCUCUCGUGAAACCAAAAAUAUUAAAAUUAAAAAAAAAAAUUAUAUGAUUCCCAUUUCCUACUCUAUAUUAUUAUAUUCUUCUAAUUUAAUAUACUUCAAGUUCAUGCAUUAUUAAUUCUCUUAAUUACCUUCCUUAAUUAUGAUUUUGUUAAUUUAUUAUACACUCUCAAGCUCUAACUCUCACUAUUUAAUUUAACUAAUCUCACAGUCAAACUUAUUUACAAUUUCAUUCCCUUUUUCGUUUACAUAAAUCUUUUCAAUUCCAUAAUUUCUGUGUGUUUCUUUCUGCGAAUCUUUUGUUUUUUUCCCUAAUUAUAUGCUUAGUUCAUUUAUGUUUCAACCUUCAACUACUAACUUUCUUAAUUAUAAGAGUAAACUCUCAUAAUUAAUUACAUUAAUACACUCUACUAAUCCAAUUAUUGUUUUCCCAUUUUUAGCUAAACUACCUGCCUUUCUUAAUUUUAAAUAAUUAAUCUAGCUUUCCUAAUUCUUAGCCGUCCCGUUGUUUUUAUCUCUUAGUUUUAUAAAAUCGAAAUUCGUUGAAAGUAGUAAAAUUUAACAAAAUAUUUACGCUUUAAUUUUUGCUCUUUUAAAAUGGUAUUUAGUAGAUUUGUUAGACGUUUAAUUUUGUAUUUAAUAUCUUACAUACUUUAAAUUUUAUGUUUGAUAUACUAAUGUUUUUAUAUAUAUAUAUAUAAUUCAUCUAUGUUCUAGACAUUGAAUUGAAAGUUUAUGUUCGUCGAACGUCAAAGUCUAUCUUUGUGUCUACGAACGAGUUGAUUUUUUUCAUUUGUUCUCAUAGGACAAUUAUCUUAUGGGCACCAUUUUGAGAGUGAUGGUUAUAGAGACAAGCUUGAAAAUGUAGAUGUCUAAUAAAUAUUUUUUAAAGUUAGAUAUAUAUCUAAAUAAAGGUGAUUUUAAAAUUUCAUGAAAUAUGUUUAUAAUUAACAUCUUCACACUAUUUAAUUUAUCAAUUUAUUUUUAAAAAAAGUUUUGGUUAUAUAUAAUUUUUUGAACAAAUAAAUACUUUUACUCCAUAAAUCUUCUUGAAAAUAUCAUUUUUAGUCUCAACAACACUAACAAAAAUGGACACUUAAUUUAGAUAGAGAGAAAAAAAUUGCCAUAGGAAUUAAAUCACUAUAGAUUUGUGGAAACUAAAUUAUUAUUUACGGAAACUAAAUUAUUAUUUACUAAACGUUAUUGUAAUUACAUUCGAUUUUAUACUAACCGUAAAAUUAGAUAAAAACAAAUGAUAGAUUUUGAACUCGAACUUAUAAGAAGUAUUGUCUAAUUUUAAUAGGCUUACGUAUAUUUGAUCUCACUUUAUUUUUAUUUCUAAGUUUGAAAUUUAAAGAAUAUGAUUUGUAUUAUUUGUUUUUAGUCAAAAUAUUGAUUAGAUAUUGUUUUGUGGGAAACCAAGUGUUUGAUGAGCUCCCCACUCAUUUUUCCUACAUUAUAUUAAACUAAACAAAUAUAUUUUCUGAUAGAUUGAAAAAACGUUAUACAUUACUAACGGUUUAGAUAGAAAAAAAUCAAUACAAAUCGAUUAUGAAUAGACAUAUAUAAAAGUAUACUAGAGUCUUUUAGUGUCUAUCAAAAUAAAAAUUGAUAGAAAAGAGAAACUAAUACAAAUACAUCAUUAAUAAAAGUUAAUAAAAGUCUAUAAUAUAUUUUUUAUUUUCAUAAACUAUUUUACGUAAUUUUUUUAAAAAAUUAUCUUAUAGAUCCUCGGAUAGUACAUUUUAAAAAUAAUUUGAAUCAUAUGUAACUUACACACGGCAAAUCUAACACUAAAUGCAAAAAUUUAAUAAAUUAUCGAUAAAUGUGCUUCUAUUAUUAUCGAUAAAUGUGCAUUCUUAAUAAUAUAAAAAUUAUGGUUACUCGAGAUCCAAGUAUCCAUUUUACGAAGCAAGUCUAGAACAAUCAAAAUUCGAUCGUUUCAACCUAAGCAUAGUUUAAUUGAUUUAAAAUCUUACUUACUAAAUUAAUGAGUAAAACAAUGUAAUAAUUUAUAAUUUACUUAUUUAUCUAUCAUAGGCAUGUGAUAAUACAGUUUAUAACAUCAAUUAUUCAUCAAAUAGUUAACUAAAAAACUAUAUAUAUAUAAAAAAAAAGACCUUUCACAUGUCAUUUCCCUGUUACUAUUAAACAAAUAGUGUAAGCUACUGAGUUCAUUAUCUUAAGUAUAAUUUAUGUAGUCAUUCUUCAAACAUAUUAAGAUGACAAUUUAAUGAAGGUAAUUUGAAUUGUAUACAGAUUGAUAUGAUCACCAACUUUGAUAUAGAUAUGGGAUCAACAUUAAUAUGAUGAUCACGUGAGAAGUUAAAGAGGGGGAGGAUGAUAUUGAAAAUUGAGUUAUUUGAGGAAAUAUAGGUGUUGAUAAACGUUAUAAAAAUAGUAUAUAGUAUAGUAAUUAAUAUUAUAUAAAAAGAGGGAUAAUUUAUUUCACCGACUAAUAUAAGUAGUAAUGAAUAUUAAAAUAGGAAAGAAGGAUCUAGCAUCCAUUUAUUUGCUUGUAGAGGGUGCGGCUAUUAAUGGCAAAAUAAUAUAUACUUAGGAAUUAGGGUUACCUCCUAAUUAAUAAUCUUAAUCUUAAUUCAUCCACUUUAUUUUAAAUUAAACCUAACUAAUUAUCUCACAAUAAUUGUCCUUUAAAAGCUUAAACUCACUCUUAACUAUUAUUGAAUUGUGAGUUUUAGUUUCAUGUAAAAAAAAUGACAAGAGUGUGGAGAAAAAAUUUAUCAACCAUAAAUGAGAAUUAAAAUGUAUAAAAGAUUUGAAACCCAGGAAAUAAAAAGUAGAUUUAAAAAGAUAUUUAUUAAUACUUUUUCGUGUAAUUAAUUUCAUUUAAAAUGUAGGAAAAAGAAAAAGUAGUUGUUAAUUAAAUCAACCAAAUGCAAUAUAGUGGCUCUCGAUUUGAAAGUUUGACAACUAAGGUUUCUCACUGCCAAGUUUAAAUUUAAUAAAAACAAACAAAAAAACAAAAGGCUAAAAUUAAAAAAUGGCAACUUGUUUUAGUUAUUUAAUGCUUUUUUCAAAAUAUAUUCAAAAAAAAAAAAUUUGAAUCUCCACUCGUCUUUGACUCUUUGAGAUAUGGUGAGAGUCAACGAGAGAACAACGUUUUUUGCUGAAAUUAAUUAAUUAUUUACUUAAUUAUUAUUAUUUUUAAAAAUUGUUAAACUGCAAGUUUAGGGUUUAUAUUUGGAAAGCUAUUUAAUGGAUGAAAUUUAAUUGUUUUGAUUUAAUUUAAUAUGUAUAAAGUGAGAGGUAGAGUUAUAUAAAUAAAAAUGUAAAUAUGAACUGAGAAUUAAGUCAAAACACACAACACGUAAACUUUUAAAAUUUAAGAUUUUCUGCUUUUGCCAAAAAAAAAAAGUGCCUUUCUCCGACAAAAUUAACGAAUACAUUUCGUUUUUUUUUCUUCCCACGCCCUUUUUCCUUUUCCUAAAUGCCCCUUCCCUUCUCAUUUUCUUUCCAUUUUUCUUUUUCAACUUCUUUUUCUUUACUCUAAACUCAAUCAAAUUGCCAUUGUAUUGUAUGUAUUUGAAGAUCAACAGAUUUCAAUAAAAUCACCAUUUGAAAGAAUUAUGUACUUUCAAAUUUACGAACUAAAUUUAAAAAUCAAUUUUGAUUAUUGUAUGAAUGAGUUUUUGUAAUUUAUAAACAAAACAUCCCUAUCAAAUUUCAUUAAAUAGAGAAAUUAAAUUAUAUGAAUUUUCUUUUCUCAUUUUGUUUCAUGAUAUAUGAGAAACUUCACUAAAUCUUUAAAAUGUUUGUUUUUUAAACAUAAAAAUUAAAUUAUUAUAUUGACUAAAUUUUGGGAAAUUUAAAAAACAUGAAGCAGGAGUAGUAAAGCAUUAGUUGUUCAUAUUUUUUUAAAAAAAAAUUGUGAGUUGGGAAAUUGGAAAAAGGGAAGUUUAUUUGUUUUGUUAUUAUUAUUAAUAUUUGUGUAAAAGAAGAAGUAGGGGGCCCAGGAAGAGACGCGUAUGAGGUGUCGGUGAGGGUAAGGGUGAGGUGGCAAAGGAAGAUGAGAUGGUCCCGCCGUGGAAGGAAGAGAGUUUCUUUUUGGGAAAUGGGAAUGAGUGUGACGUGGCAGUUUCUGUUUCGGUGGACCAAACGCGGGGAUCUCAUUCCUCUUUACAUUUUCACUUCUUUUUCUUUUUCCUUUUUUUCCUUUUUUAUUUUUACUAUUUUUACAAAUUUACAACUUACCUUACAUACCACACAUUUAUGUAUACAAAUUUACAAUGUUCUAUACUUCAUUUUCACCCCAAGCAUAUGAAUCUAAAUUAUCUAAAAAGAAUAAUAAAAAAUCAAAAUCAAAGAAUUUUCACUUUCACUGUUGGAACUUUUUUUUUGGUCAAAAUCCAACAAAAUUGAAUUUUGACUUACGUAUAUUAUAAUUAAUUCGUAAUUAAUAUAAUAUAAAAUAAUUUUACGGAAUAACUAAACCUUAGGAUUAUGGAAUAAAUAAAUAUGUUUAAUAUGGAUUUUGAAUAAGUUCUUUCCAGUAUUAAUCAAAUAACAAAUUUAAGAAAUUCAACUUUCUUUGAUAAAUCAAUUGAUUAUUAAAUAAUUUUGAAUAUAUUAUCUUUUAUAUUCAAGAAUAAUCAUCCUGUUAAAUAAAUAAAUGAUUUCUCUUAAUUAGAAAAUUGUGAAAAAUAUAUAUGGUAAAAUUAUGUAAGGAAGAUCAAUUUACAUUUCUAAAUGUAAACUUGAAUUUUUGUAAAUGCAUGCUAACUUGCAUCUUCCAUGGUUGUAAGAUUGGAUAAACAUCCGACGAAAGUCGACUCAUAAUUAUAUCAAUUAAACUUUUACAAGCAUAUCAAUUCAACGUUAAUCAAAAUAUUGAAAAUAAUAAUGUGUAGUUUGAAUUUGAUUUUGAUUUACAUAAAUAAAAAUGUAUUGACCCUACAUUUUGGGAAAAGGUGAUUGUUAUUGUCUUUUUGAAAAUAAUUGAAUAAAUUGAAGAAUUGAAUGUAUGAAUGUAUGAAUGCAUGGGAGCUGGAGAAAUUGACCCUUGAAUGAGAGUUUUCUAUUUUAUAUAUAUGACAUUGUUAAUUCUUAUUAUUAUUUUGAGACAUAUGUGAAAUUAAUUAUAAGUCACAUUUAUAAUUUUGUCCUCCACAUUUUAAGCACACAACAUCAUUGACUAUGUAACCAUUUUAAUGUGCUUAAUCAUGAAUUAACUCUUUCAACUAACUUUACUUCUAAUUUAAUACUCUACAAAAUUGAUUAGAUUGAUUUAAACCUCAAUUAUAUAUAUAUAAAAUUCUAAAUCUCAUCAAAGAUAGACUACUGUUUUUUCCCACACAAAGAUUUUGAAUUCUACAAAUGCUUUUUACUAUUAUCAUUAUUACUGCUUCUUUUUAAAAAUUUGUGGGUCCAAAAAACAAUUAUAAAUGAUGAUCAAUGUUACCCAAAGAGUUUAGACCAUUAAGGUAAACAGAUUGAAUGUGUAAACAUUAGAUUAUAAUUAUAUUGAUUCACAUUUGAGGAACUAUUAAUAGAAAACUUAUAUAGACCCAAAACAUAAUUGAUAAUAGAAUCGAUGAAACUUUUAAAAAAAAUCAAUAAACUAAACUCCAAAUUCAAGUUACUCGAUCACCAAACGAUUACAGUGUUAAAUUAUGAUCCACUCAGUUUACAACUCAAGAGUAAGGAACGUACUCUUCUUCAAUGUCAUUGAAGCAAAGAGAUUAGUGCGGAGCUUUGUGGCAACGUCAAAGAGAUCCACAAAGAUGUUGUUUAGCAUAUUAAUGAUCGUUGUAGUAUAGUUAGUUAGCUUCACUCUUAAUACGUUGAACAUUGAUAGAUAAUAUUUUAAAUACCAUCACAAAUAGUCCUUACUUCUAGUCAGCACCUUGUCCUCGAUAUAUAUGGGGACAAAUUAAACUUAUAGAUAGCAAGAAAUUUUUGAUCAAGAUGAUUUGAACCAAGCACUCCAUUCCAAAAACUUGCUAGCUAUUGGAGCUCCAAGCGCAUCAACAUUAAUGUUCCACUUGUAUAGCGAAUGAGGCCACUAGCUACUGAAAAAGAUGAAAUAGACUUAGUUUGAAUCACAACAACAACUUUGCUAGAACAAUAACGUAUUUCUUGCUUUCUAAAUCCUCCGCACGAUGAUCACUCCUUCACUCUACUCAUCCAAAGAAGCGCACUUCCAUAACCCGUGACCAACGAUCUUGAUUACUCCACACCACAUCCUACCAAAACAAAAAAGAUACCUAUACGUUAGUAUAGAAAUACACUAAGACCAAGCAUUAGAAGACGAUAUAUAAUUACUCACACAACUAGUUGACUAUAAAUUUAUUUGAGUUCAGAUCUACUUUCAUCAACUAUCUAUUCCUUUUCCAUUUUUUUCGUCUCUUUCUAACCUUCUCUUCAUUCUUAUCCUAAUUUAAAAUCUAAAUUAUUUUCCAAACAAAGAGAGAAGAAGACCGAAGUUUGAAUCAUAUGGAAUUGUUUAAAAAAGAAUAUCAUGUGGGAUGUUGAUUUUUGGUUUGACUUUAAGACUACACUAUUUCCUUUGUCCCUUUAUUAAACUCCAUGUGCUAUAUGAACCGGCGUCGUAUAAGUUAAACUAAAUAUGUUGAUUUUAUUAUUUUUGUUUUUCGACGUAUAAAAUGUGAAAAACUAGAAAUGGUGUCGUCUGGGCUUAGCCGAAAAUUGGUUAUAGCAACUCUCGUGACCGUCAGUGUUUAAUUAUCCAAAACGUUUAUUAUAAAUAAUAUAUAUGAAAUUGAACUUAGGGAAUUAUUUUAUGGGUUUCAUAAUUUGGAUUUUUAAUCAUUGACAAAUAUUCUUCAAAUUCCCAAAAUAUGGCAAAGUGCAAAUAUUACUAUAUAUAAUAAGAAUAAUGAUAAUGAAAAAAAAUACAUCUUUUUUUAAUAACCUUUCAAAUUGGAGAAAUUACUUCUUUAAGGAAUUCCCCUUUUUCUUUUAUUAUUAAUGAUUAAUAAUUUUUGUUGUCAAAUGGGGACAUAAAUUAUUAGUUUUAUUUAAUGUUUCACGUUUCGGUCUAUCGAAUUAUUUCUUUUAUACUACAUACGUAAAAUUAGAAAUAAAAGUGUGAAUAUUAAAAAAUCAAUCCAAACAAUCGAUUAGUGGUAGAUUUUUUAUUUUCUAUUAGCAUUUUGACUAUAAUAUAUUUAAAAAGAAUUACUAAAAAUAAAAGAAGUGAAAUUGAAGCAAUUUAAAAAUUAUAAAGACGAAAAAUGGAAAAGAGUGGGGAAGGUGUAAGAAAAAGUAAAGAGGAUAGGGGUAGCAAUGAGGGGGCACAAAGUGGGUUUUACUUGAAAUGAAUAGAGAAGUGCAGCAGCCCAUUAAUAGGAUGAGGAUUUAUUGAAUACUCCAAAUAUUAAAAAGGAAUUGAUCGUGUUAUAUAAUUUACGAUAUUUUCAAAUAUACCAACGAAAAUUAAGUUUUUAACCGUUAAAAUUUAGAGAUAAAAUAAAACAAAAUCGAAAGGUACAAACGUAGCAUUUCCAAGAAUAAAACCGAAAACUAAAUUCAUCGAACUUUAUAACUCGGUAAAUAAAGAGAUUUUUUAUUUCUAGAAAAAGGAUGAACUUAAAGAGAAAUGAAAAAUGAAAGUAUUGAUUGGGAUUGGGAUUGGGAUGGGGAUGGGAAAAGGACGUAGUCCAGUUGUUGAGUUAGAUAAGGCUUAGGGCCAACCAUUCAUAUACACAUUCCUACAUACAUUUUGCCCAUAAAUCAAUAAAUCCAUUUCUUUCUUUCUUUUUCGAAAAAGAAAAAGGAUAAAUAAUAAACAAGUUAAUUAAUCAUUUAAUUUAAUUUAAUCAAAUUUAGGUAUUUACUAAAACUCCCCAUGUGUUAUGUUGCUUUAAUUUAAUUAUUUUCCUCAACUUUUGCAUUAUUUUGUUUGUUUGUUUAACAAUCACAUCAUUUUUUUUUUUAAAAAAAAAUAAUAAUGGCCAAUGUGUCACUUAUUAAUAAUGUACCUUAAUUUCAAUUAAUUAAGUAGCUUAAUUUAAUGGUGGAUUAAUGUUCACUAAGCUUCCUUGCCUUGUUUGUUAUAACAUACUUACAUAUAUAAUGCAAUUUAAUUACGUGCCACUCAAUUAUUUGAUGAAAUGUAAUUAAUUAAUUAAUAUAUAUAUAUAUAUAUAUAUAUAUAUAUAUAUAUAUAUAUAUAUAUAUAUAUAUAUAUAUAUAUAUAUAUAUAUAUAUAUAUAUAUAUAUAUAGUCUUCAAUUUUAAAAGCUAAUAAUCAUGAGGUUUUUUUUUGUGUUCCUUGUAUUUGAAAGUUUUAAAUGAAACUAAUUGAUUUUUCUAUACUUAGUUAAAACUUAAUUUAUUUAGACAUAUAGAAAAUUGAAGAUUUAAGUAUUAGGAAUUUUAAUUUUAAAAUACUAAAAAAAUAAGAAGAAGAAGAAAUGAAAUGGUUAUCGAAACAAGAUCCUUAAGUUUUUAGUUUUUGUUUUUGAAAAUUAAAUUUAGAAACACAACUUCUAUAUCUAUUGAUUUAGAUAUAUCAUAUCUUGUUGUCGUAUUUUUACGAAUGUUUUCAAAAUCUAACCCAUAAUUUAAAAACUUUAAAACAAAUUAGUUUUUCAAAUUUGACUUAAUUUAAAUGUUUUAACGAAAAAACAUGAAAUAGAAGUUGUGAUAAAGAAAUCAUCAGAAAAUAAGGUUUUUUUAUUUCAUUUUUAGAAGAAAAAACAAGUACAACUUUAAAAACCAGAUUUUGAUUAAAUAUAAUAUUUUGUCAUGCAUGCGUAAUGGUUGAGAAAUUGAGGGUUUAAUCAAACUCUCACGAAUAAAUCAAAACCUUCAAGAUUAUAAGAACUAAAUUGAAACAAAGUCAAACCGAAAUUUAAACUACGAACACAAGAUUGAAAAGCAUAUCGUAUUAACAAGUGAUAGAUUAAUAGAGUUUUCAUUAAAAUAGUAUGAUUUUAGAUAUUGAAAGGACAAUAAUGAUAUCCAAUUCUAAGAUCAAAUUAACAAAAUAGUUUUUUGUGGUCCUAAAGGAAGUAUGUGUAUUAUAUCAAUCUAUAUUUCUCAAUCAAAUUAGAAAAAUCAACCACCAAUUUUAUAAAUCAUUUGAGACAUCAUAGUUAAAGAAACAUCUUUUCUUUGUUUAUAUAAAAGAGAUUCAACAUCAAACUAUUCAAUGAAAUCCAUUAGUUUGUGUCCAUAGAAAGAAUAAAUAUAAUGGUCUUUACAACAAACCCAUGAUUAGAUUUGUUAUAUCAAAUUGACUCUUGGAGGUUUUUGUGGUGUAUUAUUUAUUAGGAUGUGUGAGCCCUCCAAAACCCAAUAUGUUUGCAUGUGAGAGAAUGACCUUUAUGACUUAUGAGUAGUAAGUUGAGUUAGAUUUUGACUAUAUAUCUCAUUCGUCCUUUCUUUUCUUAGUGUAUUGUGGUAGUUAAAAAGUAAACCAAAAAGCAUAUAUGAUAUAUUAUAAUGAUAGUGAAAAAUUUUCUAAAGUUGUGUGUUGUUUUUGUUCGGAAUGUCGUAAAGUUCUACAUUAGUUAGAUAAGAUUAGAGAAAUAUCGUGGUUUACAUGUCAGGACAACUAUCUAUAUUGAUAUCUAAUCUUUUGAGUGAAACCAAAAACAAAACUACAAAGAUUUAUGUCGAAAGUGGACAACAACAUAACCAUCUUCUUUACGAGUUGUGUUUCUUUCAAAAAUUAAAUUACGAGAAUGGCCCAUUUUGAGAGGUCAAAUUUUGAUAUCUUUUUUUCAUUUUGAGCCUCUCUCACUAUUGCAUAGAAACAACGGGUGGACAAAGAGAGGGAGGUAUCACGAAAAAACUGAGGAGCAAAAACGAGAAUUUAAGAGCAACAAUCAAAGCUAAGCACGAUCCAAGAGCGAGAAUCGAUGAGUGAAGCCCACGCAUCAUGUAUGCAUAUUUUAUCGAUUUUGGUAAUUUCUUUAGACGAUAAGAUAAAACUCAUUUAGACAUGUAAAAAGAGACCAUCGACGAUGAUCGUCCGUACAGUUUGUACAUUUUACAGUAUACAAAUAUUUGAACCGUAACAAUUUGGUAUGUUAUUCUAAAGAGAUAUGAUUCUAUCACGUAUAUACGCCCUAGAGUUCAAUAAUGGAGCAGAGAAAGUUUGAUGUGAAAUUAGGGCACUCACACAUAGCCAUUAUAUUGAAGAGACCACAAGCUAAGGCAGCUGCAAAGCAUAUACAUAUAGAAAAGGUUGUAAUAUGGACACAAUGGACACUUUUUCUUUUCUUUUUUAGCUCUGUAUAUAAGUAUCCAAGUUCAACAAACAAUCACUUUCAAGACUUGUUGAGUUGUUGAAAAUGUUUAUAGUAAUUUCCAACUAUUAAUAGCCUUUGCCCUUUGAUUGUAUAUAUAUAUAUAUAUAUAUAUAUAGCCCCACAAAUGAAAUUAGCCAUUAUUAUCCCAAGCCAACAUUUCCAUGUGAAAUGUGAUGGAAUUUCAUGCAUUAUAUACUUUUAUUCAUCCUUGUAAAGCCAUCCUAAUCCUUCCUCUAUGCACUAAAUAAUCUUCCCUUUUCAUUACAUCUUUCCGUGUAUUUUCUCAUUCUCUAAGUUAUAAAUUUUGUAGACAACAACCGUACGUGUCACUUUCUACCUCCCGCUUUAUCAUACUCUCGAUUGUUUUGACAAACAUGAUUAUCAAACUUUUUGAUAAUUGUUUACUAUCUCAACUUUUAAAUACAAUAUUCUAUUUCAUAACUAUUUAGUUUUUUGGUUUUAUAUAUACACAAACAAAUUAAAAGUUAUAAAGACUAUUUUCUUCUUGAACUUUUCAAAAAGUAUUGUUUAAAAAACUUAUUUGUUUUAGAAUUUAAACUACGUUUUAAAUAGAAAAAAUACAUUAGGACUAUUUUAAAAAACAAGAAUGUAUGAAAAUUGGACAUCAAGUAUAAAACAAAAGAAUGUAUGAAAAGUAUACAAGUAAUGAAUAAAAUAGAAAGCCACAUUAGAGAGGAAGAUGUAAGGUUGAAAUGGUGUGUGGGGUAGAUGUCAUGUGAUACCAAAACUCCAUAGUUUGAAUGCUUAGAUUAAGAUACAAAAUACUAGAACAUGUCAUUUUCACCUUAGUUUCUUUUCUUGAAUAGAAACCAAUUGAAAUGGAUGAUGGAAGAGCAUCAUAUUUUUCUCAAUAACACAACACAACACUUGGCUGUAUUUGAUUGUUUAUAAGUAAAUGAUAAGAAUUGAAAGUAAAGAACAAAAAAGAAAUAAGAAAUUAAGGCAUGAAAUGAGGAGGAGGGAGUUGAAAGUCCCACAUCAGUGCAUUUAUUGAGAAAACCAAAAGAGAGAAAACAAACAAAGUUAAGAAAGAGGGUAAUUCCAACUGAAAUCAUUCAAUGCUUCGACCUACCUCUCAUUUAUGAAAUCACCUUACCAUAUGUAUAAUCAUCAUCAUCCAUUCAACACACUAAACUAUUUCUCUCCUUUUACCCUUUUCUUCUGUUAAUUUGGAAGAUUAAGAAUAGAGAUGUAAAGUGAAUAAAUUAUUUUUGUAUUUGAGUUGAAGAACAGAGUGACAGGGAAAAGGGAAUGUUAGGAAUUACAAAAACAUUAUCAUUCCCUUCCUCCGACAUUAUUAUAAUCUUCCAACUCAAAUUACUGCCUUAAUUGUCGGCACUACCAAUAUUCACCGUCUCCCCUUAUUACUAUUCAUACUUUCAAUGGACCUCACCGAGCCCACACCUAGCCCCACUCCCCGGGUCCAUUUUCCUUUUAUUUUCUUCACCUUCUAAAAUGGGCCUAUGGGCCGCCACGCCCUAUUUUCCUCAUUGACAACGACUUCCUUCAUGCCUUAUCCCAUUUUCCUUUUAGUUCCAAUACAACCUACACACAUAUCUUCAUAUUAGGUGAUAGGUUUGGGCUCUGGCAUGCAUCGACAUUGCUUGUUGGGCCAAGACCCAACUUAAUUUUCUCUCUUCCGUCCAUUUUCAUCAACUUUCUUUUUCUCUUCCAAAUAUACUCAUUAUCCUUCACUUUAUUACUUCUCUAACCAUAUUUGUUGGUAUGUAAAUAUAAUUUCCAAAAAAGGAAAACUCAAGAUAUAAAAUAAUUAAGUAUACAAUUAGCAUGUCUAUAUAUAUAUAUAUAUAGUGCAAAUAGAUUGAAAUAUAUUGAAUCAAAUACAUACCUAUAUAACACACAUAUGUUUCAAUGGUAAGGAUAGGUCCCAUCUAGAAAAGAUCUGCUAAGUUGAACCAAACUUUUUAUUUUGUUUAAAGAAAAACAUGCUACAAAGAUGAACAAACAAAAAAGAAGAAGAAAAAUAGUGGAAAGAGUGUAGUAGUCAUUGUUAUUAUAUUUAUGGGAAAAUAUAUUUAAUAAAAUCACUUUUUUUAUGACUUUUACAGAAAGAAAAAAGUGGGAAAUUAUAGAAAGAACCAACUUUAUUUAAAUAGAAAAAAAAAAUAAAAAAGUCAAAUAUUUCUAUAUAUAUAAAACAAUAAUAUACAAAAUACAUAUGUGACAUUUUCAAAAGACCAAAUAAUUAAUCAAAAUGUGGCAUGUUACAUCUUCCAAUAUAAUCAUUUAUCACAUCACCAAACUUUACUAUAAAAUCCUUUCAUAUAAAUCAUAUAUAAAUAUCAUCAAUCUCAAUUAUUUGUCCCUUUUCAUGUUGUGAAACCCAAAAGCUAUUGUUGGACCAAAAUAUAUUAAACUAAAAUACAAAUUAUAUAUAUAUAUAUACACACACACACACACAUAACUAUCAAUUCCCUACCUUCGUUUUUACCAAGAAAUCAAAUAUAGAAAAUAUUUCUUUCAAUCAAUAAUUAAGUCCUUUUGUGACUUCCAAUCAAUAUUGUAAAUAUUAAUACUUUAUUUAAUUUUUUCAACAUAUACAUGUUUGUGUUGUGUGUGUGUUUAUGUAUAUAUAUAUAUAUAUAUAUAUAUGGAGCUAGCUGUCUCCUCCGAUGGUGACCAUUCCUCACAACAUCCAUCCAUAUAUCUCUCUACCAAUUUAAAGGCAGAAAAAAAAAACUAUAUAUAUAUACAUAUACUAAAGUUUAUAUUACAUCAAAAUUACUCAGUGGGAAAUGUCUAAUCUAUGGAUGGUCAUUUAAAGAUCGACUGUGAGUUCGUCUUCUAAUGUAUAAUCAAAACACGUUAUAUAUUUUGAUUGAAGAAUAAUGUGUAUUCAAUUUGAUUAUAUAUUAAAAUAUAACAAUAAAAUCUUAUUUGCAUUUUUAUUUAGAGUGUAAUUAAAAAGAAAAAGAAGAAGUUGAUAAUAAAGUAAUUAAUAUAAUGUCUGAUAUGACUUUGUUUGGUCAAUUUGUUCCUAAACUCUCAUCGUGGCUCCAUCUAUAUAUAUAUAUAUUGACCCAUUUUAAUGCCCCUCCACAUUUAUUUCUUCUAACUCCAAUCUUUAUUUUUAUGUUAUAUACAUUUAUUUCUUCCUUCCAAAAUUAAAUCUCUCUCCACAUUUUUAAUUUCAAUCUCAUCCUAAAUUCUUACUUUAAUUUUCUAUGAUCCAUUCUACUUUGUAGCUUAGGCAAGCAUACUUUCAUACUCAAUUAAUAUCUUUAAGAAAUUUGACUUUUGUCGAUGAACGAUUGAGAAAAAGGUUUUUUUUUCUUCUACUAGUAACGUUGGUCGUUUGUAUAGGCUAGCAACACAUGAUCAUUGACAUUUGAGUCCAUAUAUAGUUGCCUCUUUUAAAUUAUUUUUCGAGAUAAUCGUUGAACCAUGGGGUAUUAGGUGUGGUUACACUACCACCAAUUGAGGUUGUAAUUGAAUGGUUAAGUGCAUUACGAGCUUAACUUCUUUUCAAUAACGCUCUUGCAUUGUUUACACAUGUGUAGUAGCUAGCUAGAGGAUUCAUGUUGUUGUAAUGUCAAAUUUUUUAUUCAUCAGUGCAAAAAUUAAUCAUUGAUCCCAUAUGGAGAUUACGAUAAAAUUUAUAAAAACUGAGAGUAAAUGCAUUAAAACUUAAUUGAGAAAAAGAAAAGAAAUUGGGUUGAUGUUUAGAGAGGAAAAAGAAGAGUAACAAUCCCAUCCCAAAAUAUUGUCCAAACCAUUUGUUGGACAUUACGAAAGAGUAUAUGAUAUGAUAUUUGGCUAAUCCAAUUGGGUCAAUUUCAUUCUCAAUUUUUAGCUAUAAAUAAUUAUAUUAAUUUUCUAUCUAAAUCAAUUCCUAUAUUUCAAUCAAAUAAAUUAUCCUUUGUGUGUGUAUAUAUAUUAGCACAAAUAUCAAUUUUAUACCGUUUUAUAAAUUAUAUUCAUUCAAAGACUUAAAUAAUAUAAAAUUCUAUAUAAAUGUAUGAUUUAAAUGGAUAUAAAUUUGAAGUUUUUGUAUUAGUGAUUGAGAGUUUGAGAGAGAGAGAGAGAGAGAGAGAAGACAUUUAUGAUUUAUUAUUAAACAGAAAUAAUAAGCUGUCAAAAGCGAAGCACCAGAUCAUUUCUCAUUAAAAAUAAAAGAAGAAAAUAAUAACAUCCAAUAUAUAAUUAUUUUAUUCUAUACCAAAACUAAUUCCAAAUAAAUACUCCCAAUGUUUCUUCAUUUUUCCCCUAUUUACUUUACUCAAACUUUAUAAUCAUUUUAUAUCAUAUGCUACUCUACUUAAUCAUUCACUACAUUCUUAUUCUUAUUUUUAUUUUUUAAAAAAGUAAUCCAAGAAGAAUUAAUGGACAAAUUUUUAUAUUUGUGUGUUUAAUAGAAAUCAUUGGAAUACAAUUAGAUGGUUAGUUUGUAUUAUUUCAUGAUUGAAUAGCAUUGAGUAAAUGGAUCCUAAUAAGUUUAAUUAGCAAAAGUUUGAUAGAAAAACAUAAGUAAAUGGAAGGGAAGGAGUUAAAUAAAUAAAAAAAUAUAUAUAUAGGUGGGAAGGGGAGAAUGAUAAAUAGAGAGGGAGGGGGGAGGGGAGGGGGAGGGGGAAGGCAUUAUUUUGAAGGGGAGAGUGGAGAUUUUUAAUGGUAAGACAGAGAAGCAAUUCUCUCACUCACCUGUCAUCUCCUAUUACAUCACCCACCAACCCACUUCUUCCACCUCCCCAUCCAGCAAAUUAGAGUUUGCACCUGUCGGAUUUUCUUUUUCUUUUCUAUCUAAAUAUAUUAUAUCAACCACCACCAACGGCUUAAACCGUGUGUGCCACUCUCAUCACCAUUUUUUUUUUUUUCCUUCUUCUUUCUUUUUCCUCUACAACAAUAUGGACUUUCCCCUUACUACUCCAACAAAAUCAAUUCAAUUCCAUUGAGAACAACCACACACAAAUUCCCAUUUUGGUUUAAUUACUGGUUUUUACUUUAGAUAUAUAUAUAUAUAUAUAUAUAUAUAUAUAUAUAUUUGAUGCAGCAGAUCAAGAAUAAUAACAGAGAAAAUCAUCAUCAACAACAACAACAACAAGAAGAAGUAGAAACAGAAAGAGGAGGUUUGUUUUCUAGGGCGGCAUAUGGCUAAUUAUCCACAUUACCGAUCUCAAUUUGGAGAUACAACUUUCACUAAAGUCUUUGUUGGUGGUCUUGCUUGGGAAACUCCCACUGACCAAAUGCAAACUUAUUUUGAACAAUUUGGUGACAUUCUUGAAGCUGUUAUUAUCACUGAUAAAAACACCUCCAAAUCUAAAGGAUAUGGAUUCGUAAGUCUUCUCUCUCUCUAUCUCUCUUUCUAACUCUCUCUCUCUCUCUCUCUUCCCUUUCUUAGACGUGAUUUGUUUGAGUUAUUACAGGUCACAUUUCGUGACCCUGAAUCUGCAAGAAGAGCUUGUGCCAAUCCUAACCCAAUAAUCGAUGGAAGACGUGCAAAUUGUAACAUUGCUGCAUUGGGUCGACCUCGGCCUUCCCCUCCACGAGGUUGCUCAUUUACUUUAAUUAUUUACAUAUUUGUUAUGAAUAUUGUUGGUUUGGUUUUGCUUUUCUUAAUAAAAAUUGUUUUGUAUUUAGGACGAGGGCAAAGUAGUGUAAAUCCAUAUCAAGGAAGUACAAUGCAGGCACAAGCAACACCAUCCUAUGGUGGAGUCCCGUCCCCGUUAAACCAGCCACCCAUUCCUCCGCCGCCUCCGCCUGCACCCCCCGUCGUAUAUUCACCAUACGGGUUAGUUCAUUUUAUUAUUACUAUUAUUCAUUUGUAAAACAAUAAAAGUCUUAUACAUUGAUUACCAUUAAACUAAAAUUACUUUAGUCAAAGUUUAUUUAGAAGUAGGGUAUUGAAAGUUGAAAUUAAAAAUCAAAUAUUGGGAUUAUUGAUUGUAUAAAGAGAAGAUUAUGUGAGUGUAUGAAUUGGGUGUAUGAUGAGAGAAACACAUGGACUCAUGUGGGACUUUCAUGCAACCUUUUCCUUAUCUUAAUAAUUAUUAUAAGUGCAUAUACAUCAUCAGUAUAAUUCUUGUUUCACCUCUUAUUUAUAAUAUACACACACAUAUAACUUUCUAAAGUAAAUGGUAAAUUUUCCAUCACCGGAGAAAUUUAAUUUUCAGUGAAAGUGGUCCAAUCCAUCACUAGAAAAUUUUCAUUAUUAACUUUGUUUGUUGGUUGUCAUGAACGAUAACAUUAAAAUGCUGUUGUUUUUCUGAACCCAGAUAAUAUACAGCAGUUUUUCUUUUUUCGUAGACUUUGUUUAUUCAAACACAUUUGGAACGUUGAGUUUGUUAGUAUAGAGAUUAAUUAGUGUUGAUCUUAGUUAAAACAAGCUUAGAAAGAAACGAAAGAACAGUAGUGUGAGUUAUUGAUAUUUCAUUUCCUGAGGUUGUGAGGUUUGAAUAAGAAAGUUUGAGUUGUUGUGAGUUAUUGAUUUUUGAGCUAUUAUCCUCAAUGUGGUCAUAAUGAGUCAAAAACUGUAAUCACUGUGAUUUGUCAGCCAAUUUUUUUUACCUGAACUACUGACAAUGUAGAAAGAAACCAAACAGCUCCUCCCCCACCCACCAAUCAACAAACCCAAAACCACUACACAUCUGUACAACUGACCCACCAAACAGAAAUCAUGCACAUACUUCAAUAUUAUUUUACUAAUCAAUUUGGGUUUUGUUUUGUUUUGUUUUGUUUUGCAGAUACCCAGCUUACAGUCCAGAUUAUGGGUACCACCACCACCAUCAAGUUAGCCUCUUUUCUUUUCCUCUUAUAAACAUUUUUCAUUGAGAACAGUUGGUGAUGAGCAUGAACCAUAUAACUUACAGAAAAUGGUUGUAUAUAUUUGAACAGGCAGUGUACAAUCCACAAGUUCAACAGCCACAAAUGUAUCAACAAACUCCAUAUUAUUAUGGUUAUUCAUCAAGAGGAACAACAUUCCCAAAUCCUUCACAAUCACAUCAACAUCCUCGAUUAUUACUACCUCCUUCAUAUGUCUACUACCCUCCCCCUCCCCCUCCUCCUCAAUUUGAACCUUCUUCCUUCAAUUAUCCCCCUCAACCUCAACCACAGAUAAUUCGACACCGUUUUUCCUCAACAGGUAACUUUAUUAUUCAAAAUUCUUGAAAUUAUAUAUAUAUAUAUAUAUACCUGACAGGAAUAGGAUAAAUAGAGAUAAGUGGGGGAGAGGUAGGGGGCCAUGUGGGUAAAGGGGAAGGGCAUGUGAGUGAGCUGUCUUUGGGCCAACGAAAAUGGUUGAAAGGAAAUUGAUGACAGAGUAGCAUUUCCAUUAUAUAAAGACAGCUACUGCCACUCUCACCUGCAUUUCCAUGUGUGUGCCUUCAUUUCUCUUUUCCUAAACCCCCCUCCUAUAUUUUACUCUUUCUCUAAACUAACCCCCAACUUCUUUCUCUCUUUUCCUUUUCACUGUUUCUCUUAUUUACCACUAGAUUAACCCAUGAAGUUUUCCACUUAUCCCCUCAUUAUUCAUAACAUCCUAUCCUAUCAUAUGAAUAUUAUGAUUUUGGUAAAAAGGAAAAAAGGUUAAUGAUGUAUUGAGUUUUGCCAUUUUAGUAGAGUAGACCCAAAUGUAAUAUAGAUAGCUGUGCCCAGCUGUGUUUGAAAAUGGACCACCUUCAAAUUCCAAAAUUUGCAAACCCAUUUUUCUUUGCAUUCCAAGUUAGGAUUUUCCUUUUUCAUUUUAUUUAUGAGAUUGUUGAUAUUAAAAAAAGAAAGGAAAGGAAGAAGUGAAUAUUGAUAUUAAUUGUGGGUUUCAGAUUCACAGACAUCACAACAAACUCCAACAGAAGCUGAAGCUGGAGGUGUUACUUCUGAUAUUCAAAGUCCAACCUCUUGAGAAUUAAAUUAAAAUAAUUCAACAAAUUUUAAAUCAAACCCAAUUCCAAAUUAUUAUUAUGGAGAUAGAAAAUUUGUAUAAAGUUGAUGGAUUUGACAUUUUAUCUUUGAGAUCGAUCCUCCAAUUCUUUUUUCUUUUCUUUCACCCAUUUUUAUCUCUGCUUUUCGCAGAGAUUGGAAGGCCAAUUUUUAGACCAAAUCCAUCUUUUUCUUUUUUUCUUUCUAUCUCCAUUCCUCUUGAGAAGAACUUCAUCUAAUCCACAACCCACUUUUUUUUUUCUUUUUUUUUUUGUAUUAUUAUUAUUAUCAAGUUUAAUGUAUUGGUGUUAUCAUUAAUCCCAUGUUUGGUUUAAGGAAGAUAUGGGAAUUAAUUUAUGAUCAAUUGAACUAUUAAUUGAUGUAGUUGUCACUUUUUUCUUUUCGUUUGGGUUUAAUUCUUCUCAUUGGAAAUAUGUCUAUGGCUUUACAGUAAAGGGAGUUAGGUUGUUGUUGAAUUUGAUAAUUCAUGCAACCAAAAACUCAACUUGCAAGGAUCAUUAUCAUCAUCUCAUUUAUGGUAUGGUUUCAAUAAUUAGUUAAUGGGUUUAGUUUUUAAAAUGUUCAAUUGAUUAAUAUGUUUCAACCCCUUCCAUGGUAUGAUUGAGCUAGAGUUUUGUAGUUUUUUUUUCUUCUUAUUUUAAAAAGUGAAGAUUUGAAUCUCGUAAAUCAUAUAAUACAUUCAAAUUUGUUGUUUAUGGACGCUAAGAAAAUAUAUAGUUUUAUAGUUAAUUAAUUAAAUGCUAUAAUAAAAAGUCACCUAUAUUGAAAGAAAAUUGUUAAUAUAGCAUAGGUUGUUGAUAAUGUUGUCAUUUGAAUCUUUUGUCUUAGUCGCUCUUAUUGUGGAAUUGACCUUUGACUCACUUCAUUUGUUACAGUAUUAUGCUUACCAUACUCUGCUUAAGAUCACGCAAAUAGUGUAUAGUUCAAUUAAGAAUAUGAGAAGUAAUAAGGUUAUGGUUCUCACUUGGAGAUUAAUUACUCUUCUCUUGGAGGUCUUUAAUUAAUUGAAGUUAUUUAUAAUGUUUUUCUUCUUACAAUGACAUGUAAUUUGAGUGAUAUUAAGGUUAGUUUUCAACGCUCGAGUUUGUAAAGUGUUAAACUAAGUCAAACUUAAUUAUUUCUCAAUUGAUAGACAUUAGUUUAAGGUAGGCAUACCCAUGAAUUUUGAACCUUAGUUUGUACAAUCCUCAACCAUAUAAUAGGCAAAAGAAAGACUUUCAUACAUAUUUUGAAAUACAAAAUGAUUUAUACACUUUAGAAAGAAAAAUACCUAAAUUUAGUGCGAAAUUUCAUAAAUGUCAUAAAUUAAAAUUAAUUUUUUAUGUUUUAUGAUUUGUUACAUAUAUAGUUCUGCAUAUAUUCAAUAAUACAUACACAUAUUUUUUUUUUCACAUAUUGUCGCAUUUAUAUACCACUGUAUACACGGAUUAUGUAUCUAAUCUUUUUUUUUUUUUUUUGAAUUCUUACAUAUUAUAUGUGUAUAUGUAUAUUAUUAUGAUGAUGUGAUUUGUUACAUAUAUACUUUAUAUAUUUAAUAAUACGUAAAUGUUGUUAUAUUCAAUAUACUCAAUAUACCUCAAUGUAUUUCAAAUACGAAAUAUAAAUUCCUACUACCUUUAAAUUUUUGCCAAUUUUUUUCCUCGAAAAAUCACAGUACCAGUCAGCCGCCAAUGUUCUUCUUCUUUACUGCUAUACUUCCCUCAAUCUUCUAUCAUUCCGUGUCUUUUGUGAAGAAAAUUGAAUCAGUAUUCAACGUAUUCGAAGAAUGAAACUUUUAUAUUUUGUUAUUAAAUUUCCUAAACCGUAACCCACAUCCUUGAUUUAUCUCCUUGUCAAUCCACCUUCUAUAAACAAAUUGAUAUAAGAACUUUUAAUUCAUAAAAUAUAAAUCAUACUAUUCAAUAUAAGCUAUAAUUAUGUAGAAUAUAUUAAAAAUAAUGUAAAACGAAAGAAAAAAUGGACAAAGAGAGAUUGGAAAGUGAUAGAGAGAUCAAAAGGAAAAGUUUUUUUUUUUUUUGAACAAAAUCACCCAAAUAAAAAAAAUUAUGAAACAAUUUUUAUUAUAAUAUUAACACAGUCGGAUCAAUCACUUGUCAUAUUUACAUAAGAUAUCUAAUAGAUGUAAAUAUUAAUUAUGGUUCACUUUUCUUUUUUCUUUUUCUAUUUUUUAAUAUAUUAUUAAUAAUAUACGUUGAUAAAUCCCCAUUCGCACCUUAUAUUUGUAUAAAAUAUUAGUCAAUUUAAGACAUUUAUGAAAUUUUUUAAAAAUUUAGGUUAAUAUAACCAUUUUAUGCCACACCAAUUAAAAUCGUUUGAGGAAAGUAUAGAAGGAAGAUUAUGAAGGGCUAAAGCCCAAAAGAUCUCUCACUGCGUGGACGGCCCAUGUUUGGGACGUUUUCCCUUUUAAGGCCCAUGUUCUUAUAUAUAUUAUAUAAAGAGAAAUUUUUACAUUAAAAAAAUCAUGAUUUGUAAGAGUUCUCUCUAUUUAAAAAACGUCAUUAACCAACAUGAAACUCUAUGAUUAUGCAUGAGGAAGAGAGAAUCAAGACAUUAGCUCAACUUGGUUAAAUCUAAUUAUUUUCAUUUAAUAACAAUAUGUAUAGUGGGUGUUCCAUACCCAAAAUAUAUAUAUAAUUCAACUUUAUGUUGCAUAUAUAUUUCAAAUUUAUUUACCAAACUCACUAUCCUUUUACUAUUUGGCAGUGGAGAAUUAGAGCCCUCAAAUAUUGAAAUAUUGUAAGAAAAUACAUUUAAUAAAUUAUUCAAAUUUUGACUUCCAUUUUUCUAAUAAUUACUUAAUUAUGUUUUUUUUUCUUGGAAUCAUGGUUUUAAUUACCAAUCACAAUCAUACCCAACUUUCUACUUAAUAGAUAAAAAGAGGUAAUAUUUUUUAAAUACUUUUUUCUUUUCACACGCAAUUCAAUUGAAUAAUAUAUAUUAUAUGGUAUUAUUAUGUAGAUUAGUAUUGUAUUGAUAUGAUAUGAUAUGAUAAGAUUUUUGGGUUAAUAAUGGAGGAUUUGGUUGGGAAUAAAAGUUAUUUAUUUGUUACUGUCUCUUCCACAAUAAUUAUCUUCUCUUUCUUGCUAACAUCACAUCAUAUAUUUUACAAUAUCUAAGUAAAUCAAUUACUAUAAACGUGUACAUUUGUUAUUUAAAGAAUGUCAAAAAAAAAAAAAAUGAAAAAACUUAAUUUUCAUUUUAAAAACAAAUAUUUAGGGAGGGAAAUGUAGAAAAAAAAGUUAAUAAAACAUGAUGCUUUAAAGUGUUUGUUUUUAAAUACAGUAAAAUUAUUGAUAGAUUGAUUAAUUUAAUUCUUUUCUUCUUUAAAACAAUUUUUUUUUUGUUUUAAUUGGUGAAGUGAGUUUUAUAUAUAUAUAUAUUUAAAAUGGAAAUUAAACACUUCAAUAAAUUGAAUGCAAUAAACAUCUCAGAAUUUAAUGUAAAAGAAAUCUAAAAAAUCCAAUGCAAUAAUUUAUCAGAUAAAUAACUUUUUUUUUAAAAAAAAAGAGAAAGUUACAACACCUCAACUUAUUAUUCGUAUUGAUUAACCUAUUAGACAUUUUUUAAAACACUAAAAUUUUGUAAUUAUUAAUAAUUGUGGAAUGAGAGAAUACAAUAUCUAACUUUAAUGUAAUUUAUAUAAAAUUAUUAUGAUAUUUAGAUUGCAAAGUAUUCGGAAAGAAUUAAAGAAUGAUGUGAUAUAAUUAAGAAGUGACUUUAUUAUUCAAAUUGGAAGUGAAUAUCUCAUAAACAUUAGACCAUACAAUAGACAAUGCUUUAUUCAACUAAGUUAAAUAAUGUCGACGUAACAAUCAAUUUUAGAAAGAAAGAAAAAAAUGAAUUGAAGAUUGGAUUAAGGAGAUUGAAGAAGCACUUUAUGAACCAAAUCAUUGAGAUUCCGGGAAGACGAACCGGAGUGAGGCGUCGCCGCAUCGCCCACCAAUUUCUUCCAUUCUUCAGCUCUGUUUCUCAUCUCUUUCCCUUUCUCUCCUUCCAUUAACUCCUUCACUUGCUUCUCAAUCUCUUCUCUCUUAACAUCGCUAUCAACUUCCAUUCCAAUUCCCCAUUCAGUGCAACAAUACCGGCAAUUCGUUUGCUGUUCGGCGAAGAACGGCCAACAAAUCAUCGGAACUCCCGCCACUAUGCUUUCGAAGGUGGAAUUCCAUCCGUUGUGGGUCAAAAAUCCCCCUAUCGCCGGAUGUUGUAGAACCUCUUCUUGAGGACACCAGUUGGUUAACAUCCCUCGUUCUUUGGUCACGUCGAUGAACUCCGGUGGUAGUACCGCCGUGUCUCCGGCGACGAGAUCCGGUCUAAUGAUCCAUAAAAAGGUUUGGCCGCUGUUUGCGAGUCCCCAGGCGAAUUCCUUUAGCUGAUCUUUGGUCAUUACUGUGAUGCUUCCUGUGUGUUAUUACGUACCCAUUGAAGAUGUGAAUCAGAAUCAAUUCAAUGCCAAUAUAUCAAAUUUUAAUCUUAACUUAUUGGGUUUUUUUUUUUUCACUAAAACGCGAUGCUUUCAUCUAAUGAAGAAUAAAACAAAAGUGAUUUUCAAAAACGAAAAACAAAACCAACUAAAAGACGAUAAACUUCAGACAUGAACAGUGAUAAUACAUACCGAAGUUGACGUAAACGACAGAGUUGGGUGACUUUUGGUCAAGCCAUUGAAGACAAGAUGUGUCUUCUUUCCACAAGUUGGAACCGAGAAACUUCAAAUGAUCCGAAUCAUGGGAUGCAACUUGUUGGAGGAGAAGUUGAAGAGGACCAAUGGAGAAAACAGGUGGCAAAAGAGAAGACAUAGCAUUUAAAGCUUCUUGUUCUAAUGAAGCUACUGUGUUUAAAACAAUAGCAUUUGCUCUUUUUGCUCUUUUUGUUUCACUUAUUAUGAAAUCAAUCAUCCCGUCUUCUGGAUCUGUUGUUCUAAUAAACGUUGGAAUAUCCCUUAACCGAACGUCUUUCAUUCCUGGAAUCCAAUCUAUUUUUGUAUCCAAAUAUUGCUCGUUGCUUAAAUAGCUUUCAUCUACACAAACACACACAGUAUAUCAUGCAUGUGUGAGUUGAAUGUUAGUCUUAUAUUUGAUAAGAAUCAAAGGUAUAGCAGUAUUUUUGUAAAAAAAAUACAAAUAUAGCAAAUUCUAAUUAAAAUAUAUAGGAUAGGUACCUUUGAAAGGAGUGUAACCUCUCUCAACCAGUUGUUGAUAGUGAAGGUAAGCCAAAAACCCACAAGCACUGGUCGUCCAAAACAAAACAACUGGGACCCCAAGUUCCUCUGCUGCAUCAACUGUGAAACUCAUAACCCCAUCAGACACAAUACAGCUCACUUGUGGGACAUUAGGAUCACAAUUCAGCUUAGAAACCAGCUCCUUAAACGGUUGCAAGCACAAGCGUCUGGUCGACUGACACAACGACGGAAUAUCCUGAGUGGCAUCGACGUCAGUCGGAGGAAGACCAUCGGGGAUCGAUUCAAAUUGAAACGAUGAAAUACCAUCGAGAGCUGUGGGGCCUCGAGAUUUGAGGAGACGACGGUGGUUGAAGUCUGUGUUGACAAAGGUGAUGUGAAAACCAAAGGAAUGGAGAAGCUUUGCUAGCUUCAACAUGGGGUUGAUAUGGCCUUGUGCUGGAUAUGGAAUGCAAACGGCAUGGGGCUGUUGUUGAGAAGUGGAAAUGGAACCCAUAUCUCUGAUGUUUUUGCUGGUGAUGGUGUUGUUUUGAAUGUAGAGUUUGUGAAUAAAAAAUGGUGGAGCUCUUCAGGGGUUUUAUAGAGAGAGCCUUUAUUGGGAGUAUGGAGGUGUGAUUGUUAGGGGUUAUUUGUUCACUUUUGGUGUUUGGUCAAUUAUCUCGGCAUUAAAAUAUAAGAGAGAAAUAUGUAGAGAGAACUAGAACAACUCCAAAUUCCUCUCUAUGACACAAAUUUGACUUGUCAUUAAGAAUUUUACAACACACCAAGUACGAAAAUUUUCUCAACCCCUUUAUAUAUAUAUAUAAUUAAAAUUAAUAAUAUCAAUGUUAAGUAGUCUAGCUAUUUUCUUAAAAGAAAAAAAAAUUAAAAAAUCACUUGACAACAAUUACUUUAGAUGCUAUUGGAUGGAGAGGUAAAUGAACGUGUAGAGCGCUCAAGAGAGAUAAAUUAUGUAUACGAUAGUGAUUGAAAAUAUGUAGUUUUGUUGGUUUUUAUCUAGUGGUUAUUAGACAUACCCAUAUUGUAGCACAUGACAUUACGAAACAAAAAAUUUGUCACAUGAAGUUAGUUCAUGUAUAAAAUGAGAGCUUUGAAAAGGACAUCAAUAUCAACCAUAAGUAACACUUUGACAUUUUGUCUUGGUGUGAGGGUCUACUUAAUUUACCAUUUUAUGUGUAUUUCGGACAUAUGGUUGUUCAUUCGUGGAGAAUCAUUUUUUUAUAGAAAACAAAAUAAUUUCCCGAUUAAAAGAUUAGGUUUCUGAACAUGGUUUGUAUAGUUUACGUUCUUUUGAAAACUUAAAGAAGGUUGUUCAAACUCACAAAACUAUAGAAAUAAAAUAAGUUUUAUAUAUUAAAAAUCAUGAGAGCUUAUUGUGAUGUGAAAACAAAAGGAAAGAGUCGGAGGAGGAGGAGAAAGAGGGAGGUCGGCAUAUGUUAAAAGAAAGAAAGGAGUGAUGGGAAGUCCCAUUCCGAUACUGACCCAUAACUCCAAAUAUCGAUGCUGUGUUGUCCACAAACCAUAUAAUAUAAUAAACUUUGUUUUAUUUUGGAAAAGGAAUAAAAUAAAAUAAUCAUACACCAAUGUGAAUAAAAUUUGUCAAUGUUAGCUAUUUAAAAACAAUAUGUUCUGCUAAUAUAUCAAGUUAAAUAUAGUGUCAAUUAUAAUUUGGUUUCAUAUGCAAUGAUGUCAUUCUUACCGUACCUUACUUUUCCUCUAACUCAUUUCCCUUUAACAUUUGGCAUUUGCUAAAUAAAACAUAAAAAGGGACUUUUUCUUUUAUAAAAAGUUUAAACAUUUUGUUUAUUUUGUUCUUUUUUAGAUUUUCUAAAAUCAAAUUAUUAUUUUUAAAAAUAUAAUUAGUAUUUAUUGAAAUUGCUUGGACUAAAGUUUUACCCUUAAAAGUUUAGGGAUAAAAAAUUAAAAAUACUUUCUCUAAAUUUCUUCCCAAACUUAUUAUUAUUUUAUCAUAAUAUUUUAAAAAGUAUACACAAUAAAUAAUAUAUAUAUUAAUUAUGUAUUAUAUUGAUAAUGAAUUUGUGGUGUGAAGAAAUUAAUUAAACGAGGUAUUAAAUAAAAACGUACAAAUUAUUAAAAGUAAUUCGAGCUCCAUUCGAUUAUAUGUAUAUUGUAUGGAAAAAGAUUGAAUUGACUUUGAUGAUUUAUAGUUGUUGACAAUGUUGAAAAAUGGAUUGAUCGGUAACAUUUGAAUUUAUGUAGAAACAUAAUUCAGAUUGCUUUAAGAAACCAGAAAAAAUGAGCAACAGAAUGGUGUGAAGUCAUUAACAUUAUUCUAAAGCUCAUAUUAGUAGGAAGUUGAAAUGAAUGAAAGUAGGCACUACUCCAUGAUAGUAUUAAACAUUACAAGACCUCCAUGGUACUGCGACCAUGUGUUCUACUUUAGUUCUGUCUAAGCAAUCUAUAGUCUCUUGAUGAGUCCUCUAACCUAUUGUUAGGUUUUCUCGUGAGCUCCCUAAGCUAUCUUUAAUGCUUCUUUAUGAAUUUUCUCAACUACAUUCAAAUUCUACAUGGAUUCUUUAAGUUACCACUACACUACCUCAUGGGUCUUCUAAAGUUAUGUUACCCUCUAAGUUCCUUGUAUACCCUUUGAACUACCAUUUGGCUUCUUAAUGGAUAUAUCCAUGGGUCAGUUCUACAUUUUUUCACGAAUGUUUUGAGCUAUGUCUAAACUUCUCGUAAAUUCUCUAAGCUCUUUGUACGUCAUCUAAGUUACUUCUAUAUCCUCCCCCAUGCCCUCUCCAAGUUAUCAAUACUUUGGGCCAAUUCCUUUUUGAUUGGUCUCCCACAAUCCUCUUAAAUCCCCUAUCUUUUUAAAUUCUCGAUCUCGAUUAUUUGACUUAAGUGAUAAAUCAAGGGGUCCUAUCAUGCUAAUGAAAGUUUGGAUUAUUCGUCCAAACAUUAUAUAAUAAAGAUGAGGAACUUUAUCUUGGGAAUUAAUGAACCAAAUUAAAUUGGGUAGAAAUAAAUGUUGACUUUCUAUAAUAUUGAAUUGAUGAGUAAUAAAAGGAAAAGAGUCUACUUGGGCACUUCAAUUGAUUAAGAUAUGGAAUUGGUGGAAUUCCAACCCAUUCUGCCAAAUAAUUAAUGCCUCACCAACACUAACUAAUAUCUACCCUCAUUUUUCACUUUUUAAUUCUCCUUUUUCUUUAUUAACAAAAUUAAUAUUUAAGAUUAAAGAUUAUCAAAAUAUUUAAUUUAUAAAUAUAUUGUCUCCUAAUUUUAAAUAUUUUUUCAUGUCUUAUUGAUUGAGUUAAGUUCCAUUAAUAUUUUACUCAUCACUUUGAUAUAACACUAUUUAGACUCAAUUAGUAAAAUCUUAAUACUUCAAUAAAUUUUAAUUCUGUAUUGAUCAUCUAAUUAAAUUCUGGAGGCUGCCUUUAUUGAAGUCAUAAUUACACAAUAAAUUAGUUUUUAUUUUCAUUUGGUGGCAUGUAUUAAAAUGUUAGAAUAUUAGUAAAAAAAAUACUUGGAGAGUUAGUCAACAUAUUUGUAUUGAUUUAAAUGUUAAAUAUUGGUAGUGUAAUAAAUUUUAUACUUCUUUUAUGCAUUUUGUUAGAAACGGUAGGAUUUUAAGUAAUUUUAAUUUGUAGCGGACUUCAAAUAAAUUCAGGUGUUUGAUAUUAGUAGAAAAAAGAUUAAUUUUUAAAUUAAAAAAAUAUUUCAAAUCUUGUUUUUAUUUUAAAUUUUUUUAUAGCUAAAAUGGUUGGAUUUUGGAGGAUUUAAAAUUAUAUUACAUAUUUAACUUUACCAUUUUCUAAUUUUUAAUUAACACAAUUCUAAAUAAAAGUCUAUAUUAGUAAAUUCUUAACUUGCUUUUCCUUUUUAAUUACCAUAAAAAAAAAAUACAUGCAAUUUUAAAUCGUUUCAAAAAAUAAAAAGUAAAUGACACGUGGCAAUAUAGAUGCAUGGAUGUUGAAAUAGUGACGCGUGGCAUUUUAACUCUAUCUAUUUAAUAAUGUUUAUAAUAUUCCAUAGUUAAAAAGUAUUAUUUUAAUUAGUAAAUAAAUAGUAACUUAAUUUGUGUUAAAUUAAAUUGAUAUUUAAUUAUUUAAUUUAAUUUUCUAGUCGUUAUAAAUUAAACAUAAAUAUUUAAAUUUCAAAUUUUAAAUAUUUAAUGUAUGUAUAUAUAUACCUGAUUCAAAUCCAGAAUAUUGUAGAAUAGUGGAUAAAAUAUAAAAGAUAAAAGAUAUAUGAUUGAUGAAAAGAAAUUAAAAUUUGGUAAAAAAGGAAGGAGACAAAAAUUGUGAGAGAGAUAAAUGGUAAUUACAAACUUUGAUGCUAACCUUAUUAAUUAAUUUCAAUUUUGAAAGUGUGGGGAUGCUACCAAUUAUGAUGAUCACUUCCCCAUUUAAUUUAUUAAUGCUAUCAAUUUCAUAUUUGCUUCAAACUUGGGGAAUCACUUUCACUCUUUUUUCUUUCUUUCUUUUUUAAGCAAUGAAUAUGAAUACAAAUCUCCCAGUGUUUGGCAUAUAUAUUAAUAAUAAUAAUAAUAUACACAGAAACGAGAUCAUCUAACGUUUUUCCCUUUUCUUCUUAAGUUUGUAACUUCUUCGUAGAAAUAUACACGAAAACCUAAUUUUCUGCCGCUCUAUUUUUCUGUCUUUCGUCUUAAGUUUUUAAGCUGCGAUAUUCAACUUAUUCCAAUUCGUUUUCCAGGGAGUGUACGUCAGAGUACAAGUGUUAUGUGAACCUUGCGAAGCAAUUGGUUUAUUGUUCUUGCUUUUCAAGGAAGUUAACUCAUCCACGGUGCAAUAACUUUGAUCUUAAAUAAUAACAACACAAUUUCUUUUUUCGUUUUCAAAAAUUUUGACCAAAUGUUUAAGAAAUUUAAUUGUUAAAGAUAUGAUCACUCUAAUCUUUGUAAUGUUAAACUAAUAUAUUUUAUUAAAAAAGACGUUGUAAAUAUCUUCUUUGAAAAAGAAAAAAUAAAUCUUAUAAAGGAUUGAUAUUGAAUAUCAAGAAGAAAAAAUUAGCCAUGUUUGACAAAUAAAAGUAUGCAUUCAUGUGUUUAGGUGGCUAAUGACUUUUCUUAUCAAGAAGUAGAAAUAAUAAUAACAAAAAAAAUAAUGGAUCAUACUUAUAACACGACUUAGAGAAAUUGAAAUGACAAAAAAUCUCAAAAUCGGGUAAAACGUUGAUAAUAGUCAAAGCGCACUUUUUAUAAUAAUUACUACGGAUACAAUUAUUAUCGUUGCAAAGGUUGUAAGCAGUAGUCUAUGAUCAUCAACCCAACAUAAUUGAUAAUACAACGACUAGUCUAUAUAGAAAUGCAAUCUUGAACAACUUGAAUUUCAAGACUUUUACAUACUUAUCCAAGUGAAUAAAAAAGUUCAACAACAAACUCUUCAAAAUUUAACAAAGAAAAUAAAUGCAAACUAAAAGUUUGAAAAAUCUUAAAAAGUUAGUCGACAAAAAAUCAAGCAUAUCACAUUCAAAUAGAAUAAACUACAACGUAACAUGUGUGCACGCAAAUAUAAAAAGAAGGAAAAGUACAUAUUUUCGUCUUUAUGUUAUAUUUGGUCACUUUAGACCUAAAAUUUCGAGUUUGGUUUUAUUAUAAUAUCUUAUUUCAAAAUGUUACAAUUUUAGUUAUAGUAAGGUAUGAGUUUUGUUUCAAUUUGAAUACUUAUAUGUUAUACUUUUAACUUCAUUUUUUCAUUAAAUACUCACUUUAGUCAUUUCACGUACUCCAUUAAUUAACUCGAAAUAAUUAUGAAAUGAGAUUUUAUGGCACACUCAAAGGACUUCUCUACCUCUCAUCUUACUCUCUUGUUCAAAUCUACAUGCAAACUAUUGGAACUAAGAAAAUCUACAUCCAAAUCUAUUGUUGCAACGAGAUCCAUCACCCACGAUCAUUCAAAGAGAUAAUCUAGGACAGGGUCAAGGUUCUAUCAUCCUAAAGUCAAGAAAAAUUAUUUGUAUGAUAACUCUGAUUCUACCUCUACCAAAUCAAGAAGGGAAUUACACCAUAAUGAGAUGUUUGUCAUGACGGCUAAUGUAAUUAAUAAUUUUAAUAUUUUAAAUUAAAUUUUAAUAUCAAAAUAUAAGUUGAUAUUUUGUCAUAUAAUUAAUAGAAACGGAACGGUAAAGAAAUGGGCGUGCGUGUGUCCUCCCACGUGUCAAAGGUGUUGAGUAAAAUAGUGAAAUGACGUUUUAGGUGUCAAAUAGUCACAGGAUAUUAUGACGGUCAGUUCAUUUAUUGAAGAAUAUGAGAGAUUUUUAUUAUUCAAUGUUAAAUUUAUGUAAACAUUGAAGUUGCUUCCAUUUGACUUUUGAAAUUCUCCUAAACUUCUAAACUUCUUCACUUCUUCUUUUCUUUUUUCUACUAUGUUGCGUGAGUGUGUUUAUAUUUAAAAAAACAAAUAAUCUCCUUUAUAAAUAUUAAAAUAUAAUAUAAAUGCUGACCAUAAUUAUCAACCAAAUAUAGUUUUUAACGCCUUGUCAAAUUAUUUAUAAAUAAUGACGUUUAUUCGAGAGGAAUCCACAACAAUAACAAUAUAGUUUUUAACGCCUUGUCAAAUUGUUUAUAAAUAAUGACGUUUAUUCGAGAGGAAUCCACAAUAAUAACAAUCGAAGAAAGUAGAACUUUAUGAAAUUAUUUUCUUUAGUUCUUUUAUCUAACAUAUAAUAUUGAAAAUACACUUAUGAUUUGUUUUUUGAAAUAUAUAUUAUUAUAUAUAGAAAGAAUCGGAUAGAUUUUGUUGUGUGUAGUAAUAGUUUUAAUUUUUUAUUCAUAUUUUAAAUAUUUUUAUAAUUUUAGAUUAUAUUAAUAAUAAAGAUUGAUCAUAGAUAAAAUUGUAUUCCUAAUUUAUUAGUAAUAGAUAUUGCUAGAAGUUUAGCUAUCUCUGAAUUUUACUAUAUUUGUAAAUAUUUUAAAGUAAUUUUUAUACGAAAAUUUAAAAAAGUAGCAAAAUAUUAUAAUUAUUUAUAUUAUAUAGGAAAGUGAAUGGAAUUUCAUUAUUUUUCCAUUUUUGACCAUUGUUAAGAAGGAAAAAUAAAUAAAAAGGUUCAGAUUGUGUUAAACAUAAAAACCAAUUUCAUAUUUAAUAUAUCAGAUUAAAUGUAUCAAAGACCAUAAUUUAUUAGACCUUUUUUUUUCUUAUUUAUUUUUUGUUGAGAAUUUAAAAAUCAAAUAGAUCAAAUUUGAUGAAAUUAAUCAGCCCUCUACAUUUGUUAUAAUAGUGCCUAUUCAAAUAGAGUAGUUCAAACAAGCCUACUCUGUUUGAAUUGACAAGUUAGUGUUGUAAACAAAACAAAAAAAGCCAUCAAAAUAUAAUUUUGGUCAUCCAAUUGUCUUUUGUAGUACUCAUAACCCACUUUUUCAUGGAAAGAAAAGCUGAAUAAUCAAAUUUAAUAACUCGAUGUUGUCAAGUUAUAGUUUUGAAGCUCACGAAACAAUUUAAACAAUUUAAAAAAAUUAUAUUUUAUUUAUAAUAAUUGUUUAAAUUGUGAUGUAUAUUUGUAAAUCAUAAAACUUAAACAUAAUACUCAACAAUUUUGUAAUACAUAUUUUACCUUUGAAAAUUGAAUUGAAUUUAUAAGGUAUGCGUGUGUAUAUAAUAUGAAGAUUUUGAACUAUUAGAUUGUUAUCCAAUGGAUCUUAAAGCUUAUGGGCCGUUGCCACGGGCGUCUACAAAUGGGCUGGUACCGAAAAGCAUGAGUUGGGCCGGCUCAAGCCCAAAGAAAAUCAACAAAAUUUCCUACACUGUCACCUAAGCCAAAAAAAAAAUUAUAUACCAUGUUAGUUCAAUAAGACAAGAUAAGAAUGGAUUAAAUGACAUGAGAAAAGUUAUAGAAAAAUUAUUUAAGUCAUUGUAAAGACUUUCUACAUUUUUUUUUAACUUUUCAAUUUGGUAUUUAAUUUAGGAUGCAAUAUUGUUUUAAAGUUUUUAGGUCUUGUUUUUUUUCAAAAGGCAUUAAAGUGUAUUUGGAUCAUUGUUAGACUUCCACCACAUGCAUGUUUUUUCUUACUAUUAGGCUUUCACUCUAUGCACGAUCAUUUGGUUUAUAAAAUAGCUUGUAAUGCUCCUAAAAUAGUAGAAUGUCAUAUUAAAAAGAUGGUGCUUAUUCAAACUAUUUGGUGUUAUGUUUUGUAGAUUUUGCUUUAUAUUUGGUAUUAAAAAUUAAUUAAUUUGAUUAAUCUUGAUCAAACUAUUCAUGGAGUGAGUUAUUUUAAGAUCUACUAAAUUAUAGGUUUGAUCUUUGUGACAAACGCAAGAAAUUUAGAAGCACAUCUAGCUCUACAUCCAACGAACACAGUAGAGAACAAUGCAUUCUAAGCCCAACUAUCGGACUUGAAGUUGGCUUGAAGAUUACUUCAAAACAAAAGCAAUUGAGUUAAGCUUAGCCUGAUUGCACUCUGCAUUUUUAUGUGUAAUACCAUAAUUCUAAUUUUAUGUGUAUAAAAUUUGUUUUCUUCCUUAAUCUUGUCAUGAAAUCAUAUUGUUCUUGCAAGGGUGAGAACUUUAUAUCAAUUGUAUGUAAGAUUGACAUCUAUUGUUCAAGAAAACUAGGAGAACUGAGAUAUGAUAGGUGAACUAAGCUUUAAAACAACAACCUAGAGAUUUGAAUUUUGAAUGUUCUUUUAUUAAAAAUGUGGUUAACUUACAAUUUACAAAUAAUAAUGUGUGUAUUAACCAAAUAUACCAAAAAAUACAAAAAGAAAAAUUGUAUAAAAUGAAUAAAAGGAAUGAAUGUAAUUAAUCUUGAAAAGCCGAUGAUUGAAUACGCCGUCUGUUUAGCAUUAAACGAGUGUAGAACAAGCAGAAGUGGUGGGAUCAAACAGCGCUGGAAGCAGAUAUUUCCUCCCAUUCCCACCAUUCGCAUUGUAACUCCCACCGGUAACCGAGUCCACAAGAAGCUCCCCAGGAUAUCCGGGAUAUGAACCCUUAGCAAAGGUUCCGGUACAGGCGGACGCUGCCUCCACCGGAGCAUCCUUAGGGCCCUGAUAGAACCCAUUCCCAAAAGGGUUGGUUGCAGUUCCAGCGAGAAGAGCAGCGAGGUUAAUAACAAGGCCGUCCAUCCCAACGUCAUUGUUAGGCGCAACCAACGGCGGUGUCUGUGGGCCGUACAAGGGUUGGUGGAAAGGCCAAGCGCAGUAACCCGGACAUUGGGUUUGGGAAUUCCCCACCCAAAUGUAAGCGAAUUUGUAGGACUUCCCCUUAAUCGGAGCUCCGUGAGAGUAUCCAUGGGAGCCGCAUCUGUUGAAACAGAAUCCGUCGACAGUGACAUCGGCGGCCGUUAAGACGAGAUUGAUUGAAUUUCUGAGACCCCCUUUGGAAGCGAGAGAGAGAAUGUGGGAAUUGGUAAGGGAUUUGCCAAGGGAGUAAUUGGGGUCGAGGAUUUGAGAGGAUAAAGAAAGAGAAAGAGGUUUGGAAUUGGAAAUGGUAUGAUAUUUGAGAACAGAGUUCCACCAGGUGGAAACAGAGGGGUUUGGGGGGAUUGAUUUGGAAGAAGAAAGGGAAGAGAGGAAAUCGAGGACGAUGGCUUUCUGAGAAGGGUUGAAAUUGCCAUACCAAAUGAGAUUGAGGGAGAUGUUGGCGGAGAGAAGAGGGCCUCCGUGGGAACGGAAGAGGAAAGAUGGGUCUCUAGCAGCGGAGAUGAAGUGAACGGAAAAGGAGAGGGAGAAUAAGAGAGUGAGAAGAAGGGAAGGCAUUGUGAAAGGAUGGAGGAGUAGUAAGAUGAGAAAGGGAGAAAGGGUAUUUAUGGGGGAGAGAAGGAGAAGAGUGAUGUGUGAGAGACAGCAAGAUAACGCGUAAUGCUGCGGCGCUCUGUUACCAUCUACAUGUAGACACAGCCAGGUGUGGAAAACUACAAACUAAACUCAAUAAUUCCCAAUAAAUAAUAGAUAUAUACAUUAUAAAAUAUAAAUGACUCAUUUUAAUUAUUUGUUCUAAUGUGUCAACUGCUCAUCCAUUUCUAUUUCAUUCUUCAAUUUCACUUUUUAGUUUCAACCCUGAAAGAAAACAGGGGGCAAAUUUUGAUCUAACUGCUUAUAUUUGUGAGCCAAGUUAUUUAUUGUUGAAAUUUCAAUUUUGCAUUCUAAACUAAAAACAAAAUGUUCAAAAAUGAAACAUUAAAAGAAAGAAAAGAAAACGCGUAGCAGAUAAGUAAAACAAAAAGUCUAAAAUGGAAAUAAAAUCGAAUCAAAUUUGUAAUUGGAGCAAUAAAAAGGGGCAUAGUAUUAUUACAAAAUUAAAUUUGGAACAUAAUAAUAAAAUGAUGAAAAAGCAAAUAUUAGGUUUUGACAAUAAAAUAGACAGCUGUUGCUGAAUUAGACAUUCUCCUAGUUUUGUUCUUCCCCUUCCCUCUUAGCCUCCACUAAAUUAUUAUAUGGCUCCAUCCAUAUUUUGACUUCACUUCAAUAUCAUACACACACCUAUUAACAUUAAAUUUUGCUUGUAUUAAUCUCAAGUUGAAAAAGAAAAAGAAAAAACAGUUGCGUUCGGAGUAGAAAAUUAUAACACAAACUGGAUUCUUGUGUUUCUGAUUUGUACUCUUCUUCUUAUGUUCUCUUUCUGCUUGCAUUUAGGUCAGUCCCAACUUUUUAUUUCGUUUUUUCUCCCUUCCCAUUUUGCUUUUAAGAAACUUGCACCCCAAGCUUACUUCAUUACCCAAAAACCACUUUUUUCUUUCUUUCUCAGUUUCAAAUUCCCAAACCCACUUUCUUGGUUGAGAUGGACGACCUUUUAUUGACUUUAAUUUGCUGCUCUUCUCACAGGAACUAUAUACUAACCCUUUUGGAAAUGGGUUUCAUCAAGGCCAUAAGGAGGCUUCGAUAGAGGCAGCAGCAUCGGCUUGUAUGCCAAGGCCUCUUAUCUUGCCUUUCUUGUGUGGAGUAAUCCGUUACCGGAGGGAGUUACCAAUGCGAAAAUAUAUAUGCUUCCGUCGCUGCUUUAUCUCACCAUUUUUGCUUGGUUUUACUCUUUGUUUGAUAUCUACACUUUAGGCUACCUGCUUAUGACAACGUAUCGUUGUGAUUGGAUUUCGAAGAUUUAUUCUACUCAUUAUUCAUUUCUUUGUUCAGUGGAUUUAUUGUUCUUGUUAUUUUGUAUUUGGUAGUUUUUUUUUUUAUUAAAGUAUAUUAGAUUAAUACAUAAAUUAUUUGUAUUGUACUUUUUUUUUUUUUUAAUUUCAAAUAUAAACUCAACAACUUAAACUAAUGAUAAUUAUUGGUGUAUAGUUAAUCACUACUUAGGUUAUUUUUAUCGUAACUGAUGAAUUUCAAUAAAGUAGAGUUCUAUACAAACAUAAGUUAGACUAAUACAUAACUUUGCUAAAUUUCAUAAAGUUUUAACCUAACAAAAGAUUCUAUUGUUAUUUGUUGUUAUCUCUUGCGUUACCCUUCUACAAGCUCUCAAAUCUUUUGGUUGAAUGUGAUUGCUUAAAGGUUGUUAAUUUGCAACAAACGACUAAGGAACGAGGUUGUGAUCUAAGAGUCUCUUCUUUUCAUGUUCAUCAUAAACGACAACAUGCACUAACACAUUUUGUCAACGUUUUACCGAAUCAAAACUCUUCAAUUUUCCAUACUUCUUAUUUUGGACGGCUUACAUUACCUUUUAUGCCUUUAAAAACUAGACAUUUGUCCAACCUAACCUUGUUAUAUAAGGUUUGAUUUCCACUUAAAAUUGCAAGACAUAAAAAAUCUCACAUUGCUAUUUAAUUUGUUUAAAUUAUUGGUGAAUUGAAGAGGGAAGGAAGCUAAUAAUGUUUGUCCCUUCCCUUUAAAUGUAAAGGAAAUCCACAUGAACAAAGCUUGAUAAACAAGACAAUUAAACAAUAUUCUUAAUAGUAUGAAUUAAAUCUUUCAUAAACUUUAGAACUAAAGUUUUUGACCUAAACACCAUUAGAUUCCACACAUCUAAUGGCCUUGAAUAAGAUUGCCUCAAUUACUUAAACCCUAAAAUAAAUAUGAAAAAGUAUUAUAAAAGAAAUAAAUGUUGUUAACAACAACCUAUAUUAUAAAUUAACUAAUAAAUUUAUUUAUUUAAUUUGAAACCAAGGUUGUAUAGGUAGCACAAAGUUUAGCAAUAAAUAAAUAAACAAAUAAUUGAAAUAGAAUUAGUUGCACCAAAAAACUAAAUUGACUCAUAAAAUCAAAAUCCAUCAUGCGCCGCACUAUCACACCUUCAUCUUCCUUUCCCCUCUUCCAAUAAAUACCUAUUUUCUUCCCUUCCAUUUCUCUUCACCUUCCUUCCAACCAUCAUCAUCAUGUCCUCCAUUACUCUCCUUCUUCUCCUUCUACUCUCUUCCUCUCUUCACUCCAUAUCAGCCACCUUCACCGUCGCCGUUGCUGGUAACCUCGCCUUCGCCGACCAACCUCUCGAUCUCGACUCCUUCCCCUUUGAAUACCAUGGCGGCCCUCUUCUCUCCGGUAAUGUAACCAUCAAUCUCAUUUGGUAUGGCAAUUUCAGUCCUUCUCAGAAAUCCAUUGUUGUUGAUUUCAUCACUUCCAUUUCUUCUUCUUCUUCUUCUUCCAAAUCAAUCAUUUCCCCUCAUCCCUCUGUUUCCACUUGGUGGAAUGCGAUUAACAGAUUUUACAAGCUUGCUAAGAAACCCAAAUCCUCCCGUCUUUCUCUCUCGUUGGGAUCGCAAAUUCUUGACCCCAAAUAUUCCCUUGGAAAAUCUCUAACCGAUCGUCACAUUCUUUCUCUGGCUUCCAGAGGCAGGCAGAAAUAUGCUAUCAAUGUGGUUUUAACGGCGGCGGAUGUUACCGUCGAUGGAUUCUGUUUUAACAAAUGUGGGUCUCAUGGGGUUUCAUCCGGAGCUCCGAUUAAGAGGAACAGGUACAGAUUUGCGUAUAUUUGGGUGGGUAAUUCAGCAACUCAAUGUCCAGGGCAGUGUGCUUGGCCGUUCCACCGGCCAGUGUACGGUCCUCAGAAUCCACCGUUACUGCCACCGAAUAAAGAUGUGGGAAUGGACGGCGUUAUAAUAAACCUGGCAACUCUUCUCGCCGGUACUGCGACGAAUCCGUUCGGGAAUGGGUUUUAUCAAGGCUCCAAGGAAGCACCGCUCGAGGCGGCGACGGCAUGCACCGGAAUAUUUGGGAAAGGAGCUUUUCCAGGGUACCCUGGGGAAGUUCUGGUGGAACGAAAGACCGGAGCGAGUUACAAUGCGAACGGCGGCAAUGGGCGGAAAUAUCUGCUACCGGCGUUGUUUAAUCCGAUCACUUCCACUUGUUCGCCUCUGGUUUGAGACUUGGGACAAAGAGUAUAUUAUACGAUGACACAAUUAAACGACGACGUAUUUAUAUGAUUUGUUUUCUUUUUCCCUUAAUUUAUUUUAUAAUUUGUAAUUUGUAAUUUAUAUUUUUUCUUUUCAUCAAUAUACUUUCUAUUUGCUUUGAAGAUAUAAUAUGCAUUUUAAGUACUCACUCUUAUUUAUUGUUGAUUGGUGUUUGAAUGGAAAAUAUUGUGGAUUUGAUAUAAUCAUUUGUGUUAUACUAAACAUGUUUAUAUGAAUUCAUUUUAUAAAGAAAUAUACACAUUUUCAUUUUUUUAGAAAUAUAUUUUAAAAUUAAACAUACUUCUAUCAUCAAAUUAUCAAUAUUUUAAUCACUUAAAACAAAAUGUUAAUUUCAGUUUUGUACUAAUUUUUCUUACAAGCACAAAUAUUGUAAAUAUACGUAACUAUAAAAAAAAUGAUUUCCAACAUCAAAAUAUAAAUAACAUAAAUUAUUUUUUCGAGACAAUAUAAUAUCAACUAGACAAACAUUUCAAAAAUCAAUCCAAGCACAUUCUAAAUUAUAAACCCACAAACCUCGGUUAGUAAUUGAGUUUUUUUGUUUUUGUUUUGAAUAUUAAAGUUAUAAACACUUUCUUUGGCAUACAAUUGACUCUUUGCAAGUGUCUUAUGUACGUUAAUAAUAAAAAAAGAGUUUGAAAACUUUUGUUUUGUCUUUCGAACGUGAAUAAAUAUGAAAAUCAUAUGUUAGGUAACUGCUAAUGGUUACCCAUGAAAGGUCAAGGUCCUAUAAGAUUAUGAACCCCACAUGGUUCCGUGAGUCUCAUUAAGGAAAGUCAAGUCCUCAUACCCCAAAUCCACCAAUCUAAGACUCUUCAGGCUCGAGGGUCAUAUCUAUUUCAACACCACAAAUGUUAUACAUCUUUCAAGCAAGAGUUAAACAACGAGCCUUAUAAAUUGCUCCACACCAAUAGACUAUGUCGCAAGCAACCAUUUCUAUGUUUAGUCGAACUAAUCAUAUAUUAUCAUACCAUCGUGAGUGCUACUGCUUGUUUUCUCUAGUGACACAUUAAAGACAUAGAAUAGGGUUGGAGGAGCAAAAAUGGUAUGCCCGAGGUAUUUGUGCCAUCGAUAACUACUCUUUUUUUUUUUUUUAGUUUUAGAUUUUAAAAAUUAAAUUAGUAAACUUCACUUCUAGUUUUCUUUUUUUUUUUCUAAUCUUCAAGUCAAAAUUUGAUAGCCCAGUCCAUGUUUGGCCCUAGUAUUAUGUUCUUGCUCAAGUUAAAACGAAAAUUUAGAUAACAACAGUCCCCACAAAAGAAGCAGACAAAAGUUGAUAUAAUAUUAUGCACUCUAAAUGUAUACUAUUAUAAUACAUGGUCGCUUUGUAAAAGAAUAGUUUUAAAAAAUUUGAAACCUAAUUCAAAACCUUGGCUUAAAAAAUGGUGAAAGUAAAAAAAAAAAAACUUAGAAAAGAAAAUAAACUUGAAAGCAAAUAACAAAAGUGUAUUAUCCAACGGAUCAUAAAAGUACAUAAUUUAAAAUUUUAAAUGAAAAUGUGGUUUUCUUAAAGUUAAUUUAGCUUUUUUAUUUUUUGAAAGUGAAUUACAUCUUUUAUAAUUUUGUUCGUUGUUACGAAGCCGCGAGAUUGUACCCGAGCUUUUCUUGGGCUUCCGCCAUAGCCAUAGAGCCCCCGUACUCAAAGAUCCGGCGAAGAACCCCCAAUUUUCCGACAUUCCCCGUUCGUCUCAAACUCCAAUUUCAUUCUCUCCAAAUUAUAUAUCCCCCCAAAUUCUUUCCAGAAAAUGCAAUCCAAUGACUCCAAAUCCCCAGAAUUCCCUAUCCCUUCGCCUAAUUUCCACGCUCCGACGAAUUUCCCGCCACCAACUCAUCGUCCCACCCCUUCGCCCAAUAUUCCGGUCAACAACCGACCUAGUCAGUCCAUAAUUCUCUUUCCGGUCCCUCAGCCACAAAGGGUUUCUGUCGUCUCUCCCCCUUACCAUUUCCAAGCUCCUUCCAAAAGAAUCCAUUCUCCCGAUGAUAUACGCCAAUUCCACGAUUCCGAUUCCGGAAGAAAUUUUCUUGGUUUCAUAGUUGCUCUUUCCGAAUCAACUCGAGGCCGGAAAAUUUCUGAUCCUUGCUACCAAUCUGAAACCGUUAAUUCAAUCGUCUCUAUUCUUGAUUCUCUGAUUCAAUGGAUCGACGAUAUACCACCGGCGAGUAUGGCGUCUCGAUAUGGAAACCUUUCUUAUCGGAUAUGGCAUGCGCGGAUGGUGGAAAACAGCGAUUCUCUUAUGCUUCGAUUUCUCCCCGAGGAUCUUCAUUCAGCCACCGUGGAAAUUGUGCUCUAUUUCACUGAUAGCUUCGGGAAUUCGAGCCGAAUCGACUAUGGUACUGGGCACGAAACGAAUUUCGCAGCCUGGUUGUAUUGCUUGGCUAAAUUGGGGACAAUCAAAGAGGAGGAUUACCCUGCUGUUGUAGUUAGGGUUUUCGUGAAGUACCUUGAUUUAAUGAGGAAAUUGCAAUUGGUUUAUUGUUUGGAGCCUGCAGGUUCCCAUGGUGUUUGGGGCCUUGAUGAUUACCAUUUCUUGUCGUACGUUUUUGGAUCAUCACAGUUGAUAGACCAUAAGUAUCUGAAACCUAAAUCCAUUCACACUCAGGAUAUACUAGACAAUUUCUCGAACGAGUAUCUUUAUUUCUCGUGUAUUUCGUUUAUAAAGAAGGUGAAGAAGGGUCCAUUUUCAGAGCACUCGCCAUUGCUUGAUGAUAUUAGUGGGGUGCCUAAUUGGAACAAGGUCAAUAGUGGGUUGCUGAAGAUGUAUAAGGUGGAAGUAUUAGAGAAAGUACCCAUUAUGCAGCAUUUUCUCUUUGGAUGGCUCAUCAAAUGGUGUGUAUAAUAGUUUUUUGUUUCAUUUUUGUGUACCAAUUAGUUAAAUGGCUGUGUCUGUUGCAAGUUUGUGCUCUCCAUAUGCUCCUCUAUAGAAAUUUUGUUUUAGGAGGUUUUUAUAAUGUAGGUCUAUAAUAAUGUGAUCUAUUUCUUUAGAUAAUAACAAGCUCAAUGCUCUUGCUUGUGAGUUAUGCAUCUCUCUCUUCAGAAAGAAUAAAGUUUAUGGUUAUAAAUAGUAAUGCUUCGCUGGUUGGAGCGUUGAGGCUGACUUUAUGUUGGCUUUGUAUUCAUGGGAAUUGAAAUGGGAUUGAACUUGUGUUCUGCUUCAACUUCAUGGCUUUGCUCAUUAACUCAUGCUGAUAUAUGAAAGUAAAUAGCUUGAAUGGAUUAAUAAUGCCAUUCUCUAUGGAUGGGUUGAAUUGAGGGUGGUUUAUGUAGGCUAAAGCUACUGCACCUAAGCGAUUCAACUUCAAAGAAAUCUUUAGGAACCUUAUGCAACUCUAAUUUCAUUGGCACCGGCCACUGUGCAUCUGUAUUAUAUUACCAGUUCUAGAUUUCUCUGUCAUCAUAUGCCGUAGGUGGGAUUAUAUGUUACAAAAGAGGAAAAACUUUGUUUGGCGAGUUGCUUGGGAAACGUUUCUUUCUCAUUUUGUCCCAUGACAGGAAUCGAGCUGCUCAUAUUGUAGCUUGUUAUGUUGCCGGUUUCUCUCCUUUUUUAUUUUUACUUUUCAUAAUUAUUUGGAAGAUUCAAGAAAAACAUGGUUGUUGGUUAACUGAAUGUUAUUUUUACUGACCGUUUGUGUUGGUUACCACAUUUGUUUCUUUGAGAAAAAAAAAAGUAAGUAAAGACUUUGUUUGGGAGUCCCUCUACUUUCUUGUAGGAACUAACUUUGAUUGGUCUAGUUUCCUUGGUUGAACUGGUUAAUAGAGUAGUUUCCUACCUUGCAGAUAUGGCUGCGAGGAUCCAUCCAGCCAUUUAAGUUUCUUUGCAGGUUGUUCCCUUGUAAUCUUAUCAAUGUCUCAAGGCUUCUAUUUCUUUUUUUUUUUCUUUAAUUUUUUUCAUUUUUCCCUCUCAUAUUCUUCCAUGCUCGAUUACAGAGAACGGAUUGGAUAUAGUAUUAGAUCUUCUGUUUUCGCAGUAAACAUUAUGCUUAUAGAAAAAGUUGAAUUUGAACAGUAAAGAUAUAAAAGAGAACUGUUGAUGAAGAUGAAAUGACAUUUAGACUUUGGGUUUGCCAAAGCCAAACAUCUUUCAUAGCCAAGCUCCUCUUGUCUCUUUCCUUUUGACGUUGCAUGCCCAUGACAUCUCCAUAUAGGAACUUAGAUACAGCAUCAUCAAAGUGGUUGUCAUAAUUGGUUGACGACACACUCAUUUUACACAAGAAGAUUCGUUUACUGAAAAAUUACCUUCACUUUUUCUUCCUUUUCAGGAACUAGAUAGAAGAGCUCGGUGUUAAAUUUACAAAGGAAUCUUCUCUGAUGUAUGUAGAAAUUUGCUUCUUAUUACGAGCUUUCAACAUCUGGUUAUGAAGAAGAAAGCUUUUUUCCUCCCCUUGGUUUGCUUCUUUUUGUGGGCUUUCUUUUCUUGUUUCCAAAAUUAGGCCCAAUCAAGGAGAGGAGGGGGAUCCAUGGUUUCACGAGUGUGAAGCAUUAUUAUUUAAUAUUCUAUAGAAGUCGUAUAAAAUGUCACGUCGCUGGGCUCAGGAAAAUAAUGGAAUAAAAAGGACCUGCCUUGUCUGUUUCCUUCUCCUUUUUUUUCCUGAAUAAAGUAUAGAGAAGAGAACCAAACGGACGGUUUAUAACAGUGCUUCAAAGGAAGGAUGAACUGGGGUGUGGAUGAGGCUGAUGAAUGGUGAUAAGGCUGUGGAAUGUAAUAAAUUAUGAACUAAAUUUGUGUCUUGUCCUUUGGUUUACUUAGUACCAUAAUUCAGUGUGAUUAGGGAAACAUACUUGUCUUUUUAUGUGCAUUUGAGUAUCUGAAAUUUUGUACCAUAAAUUUCUCAGAAGUUUCUAAUUUCAAGCAAUUUUUCACUCUUCAUGCCUUUUGUCAUAAUCCUCCGUUUCAUACUGUUGCCUUUUUACCUCUUUUCUCCUCUCAAGCUUUAUCUUCUCAUUCAAUUAUUGAUAUGUCAAUAAAUUCCCUUCCACUUACAUCUUACCUUUUGGUAAAUGACUUCUCUUUUAUUAUUAUUAUUAUUUACAAAAGCAGGAUUACGCAUUAUUGGAUGUGAAAUCAGGACUAAUUUUGGAUUCAACUGUUGGUAGAGUGGAAAGGAUAAGAAAAGGGCACUGUUUUCUUGUUUUACUGGGGUUAAAUUAUAAAAUUGCUCUGUUUAUUAGGAAAUUUUAGAUAUUAAAUAGAUUUACUUUAAAGUUUCAAAACUUGUAAUUUUAUCCUGUUCUCUUUUCCAAGUUGUUUGAAAUAAGUCAAGUCAAGUCAAAUAGGGUAACCAAGAAGAUUUGAACUUUCAAAUUACCAGCGUUGAAAAGUAGUCCUACGCAUUAAUUUACAAGUUUUACUGCUUUUCCGGUUCCACCUCCUUCCUCUCCAAUCCUUGUCACCGACACCUGUACGUUUCCCUUAGUUGGAACUUGAAACUUGAAACUUCUUCCUCCGUUUCCUUCUCUCUCCAUCUCAUAUACAGUAAGUAACAGAGUGGUUAUUUACUGGCUUUACUGCUCCAGUCACCUCAGUAUUAAAAAAAAAAGUCUCAGAAGGAAAAGGAAAGAAAAGUUAAUAUUUUCUGAUAUCGAUGCCAUGCCAGUAAAUUUCAAGCAUCUCGUUUACUUGUUAUUGUUUUUGUAAUAAUUGUUUGUUAGUUUGUUACGCAUCUCCUCCUUUUCUUUUCUACGAAUCAGAUGAUACUGAAGGGGAGGGAAGAGAGGAGAGGUUAGAAAAAAGAAAAGGAGGAAAAACUAAAAUAACAGUUGUGUCAUUUUUUGCGUCUUCCUCACAACUAUGCAAACACACACAUAUCCCGUUUGAGCAUCUUUUUUUUUUUUUUAAACCCCAUACAUACGAUUACGUCUCUUUCUCAGUUUCUCUCUUCUCUUACACUUAUUGGGUUUUCACCUUUUUUAAUUUUUUUUGCUUCUCUGCUGCGUACUUACUUGCAUUCAAGCUCUGGUUAGGUGGGUAGAUAGCUUUCCCUCUUCUCCUUUCGGCUUUUGCUUUGUGUUUCUGUUCUCUGCCGUUUAAGCCGGUGAGUGUUUUUUUUUUUUUUUUCUCUCCCUCCUUUUGUUUCUGCAUCUUCCAUCUCUCACUCGAUUUCAAUAUGGGGGAAGAAAAAGUUCUCAUUUUUGUUAGAAAUUAACAGUAGUAACCACUUAGCUCCACUUGGGUAGCUUCUUUUUUAGAUUUAAAUUAUGGGUUUUGUGUUCUUCUAGCUAUUUUGUGUCUCAUACUUCGGAGAUUUACAUUUGCUGAGUCAUAUACCUCUGAUUUCUGGGGUUUCAGCCACUGAAAACUUUGGGUUUCUUUUCUUUAAAAAUAUAUAUAUUUUUUCCUUCACUUGUGAUGUUUUGUAUCUUAUUUUUAAAUAUUUUGGCUCAAGUUCUGGUGUCACUUACCUUUUUUUUCCACUUUUGAGGUAGUUGAUCUGUGUGUAUGCUAGUCCUUGUCUUUACAUAGUUCCCUUGGUUUAUGGCGUAGAUUUUAUUUUAGGUCUGAAAAUUUAUGCUUUCAAUGUUUGAAUAUCUUGGGGAGUUUCUGUUUAAUUUGGAUCUCAAGUAAACCCUUCGCCUCUUGGCGAUUUCUUAAGUUUCUGAUAGUUCGUUUUGAUGUCUUAUACGUCAAAUUUGGGUGUGUAAUUUGCUCUCUGGUUUACCCCAAAUGUUGCACAAAAGGGGGGUUUCUUUUUUCUCACACGAGCUAAUGAGUGCCUUACGGCAGCGAUGAACUGUUUAAUUGACUUGUGAUUUCUGAUUUCUGGUUUCUUUAGUAGACUAGAGAUGGCAGAGGGAAAUGAUCUGAGGCACUGGGAUGAGUUAAUACCGGAUGCUUUGGGACUAAUCUUCAGUAAACUUUCACUCCAAGAGAAACUGACUGUUAUUCCCAGGGUCUGCAAAUCAUGGGCCAAAGCAGUUCUUGGACCUUAUUGCUGGCAAGAGAUUGACAUUGAAGAAUGGAGUAGUCAAAGGCAACUUGACAACGUCGAUCGAAUGCUUCAAAUGCUGAUAAAUCGAAGUGGAGGGUCACUUCGCAAGCUCUGCGUUACUGGUCUUCAUAACAGCAGCAUUUUCUUCUCCAUCGCUGAUCAGUAAGAAAUUAAAUUUUUGUGGAUAUGAGUUAAAUUGAAUUUUAAUGCCAUGACGCAUUUUUUGCCUUAACAAAUAUAAUAUAAUAUAUAUAUAUAUUUACGUACUUGCUAUGAACAAGAUUUGGUAUAACUGCUCAUGAAGGCCUUGGGUUGGUGCUGACUGUGGAUUUGGUUUGUUAAAAUGGACUAUUUUGUGAUGUUGGUGUUUUGUUUGUGUAUUGCUUUUUUCAAGUGCUGGUUCUCUUCAAACAUUGCGACUACCAAGGAGCAAUAUAAGCGAUGCUGUAGCAGAACAAAUUGCCGGAAGGCUUUGUGCAGUUACUUUUUUGGAUCUAAGCUAUUGUGAUAAAAUCAGUGCCUGUGGUUUAGAGUCCAUAGGAAAGAAUUGCAAAGCUUUAGUUGGAAUGUGUCGUAACUUGCAUCCCCUACAUACAGCAGGUAUAUCCUCCCCGGACGAUGAAGCUUAUACUAUUGCAGCCACAAUGCCAAAACUCAAGCACCUUGAAAUGGCUUAUCACCCUCUAAGCACUAAAAGCUUACUCACAAUUCUUUCAAGCUGCCCCGAUCUCGAGUUCCUCGAUUUGAGAGGCUGUGGGGAUGUAAGGUUGGAUGACAAAUUUCUUGCAGAGAAAUUCCCUAAACUAAGGGUGUUGGGACCUCUCGUUAGGGACGUGUACGAGAGAAACGAAUGGGACGAAGGCUCAGACUACUCAUACAUAUCAGAAGACUUGGCAUGGGACUUUUCUGCAGGUUACUUUGACGAUGCUGGUAGUUUCGACGACCAAUGGGACGAUGAAGGCAGACUGGAAGGACUUGAGUUGAGAUUUUAUGAAGGAGUAGAUGAAGAUAAUGAAGCUUUUGGUUGGCCUCCUUCCCCUUAAACUAUAAUGUUUCUGAGUUUGUGAAAUUGUUUGCUCUUUUUCUUCCUCCUCCUUGGUAUCAACUCGAUGCUUUUAUAACUUAUGUGGACUUGUAAAUUCUCUUACUAGAAAUUGAAGUGUGAGUUUCUUUCUUCUUCUUUCUUUUCUUAUAGUUUAUGGAUGAAAAUUCUUAGUUUGUGAGUCUGCCUAUAUCAAAGUCUAGUGGUGAAAAUUUUCGAGGGGAAAAGAAAGUUGAAAAAUGGGUGAUUGUGAUAUCCUCGAAAAAGAAUUCAUGUUCAGUUUGGAAAGACUUAAUCCAAAAAUUAAAUUGUUUUUUAGUAACUUUUAAAUUUUAAAUAUUGUGAUUCUUUAUUUAGUUAUGUUUUAAUCCUAAUUCGUUCCUUUUUUCAAAAAAAAAAGAAAAGAAAAUGGUGUAUACGUCUAAUAUAUAAAUCUCAAAUUUGAGUUAUAAUUUAAUGUUGGAUUAUUAAACAACUUUUUGAUUUGAAAAAUGCACAAACUUACCAUAUAUCCAAUCUAAAGUUUAUAGUUUUAUUAGACCAUAAAACGGAUUCGAAUAUAUAAUAGGUAAAUAAAGUAUCAUUUUAGUGUAAAUUUGUGAACUACAUGAAACUUUUGAAAUUCAAUUGAAAGAGUAAAUAAUAAUAAAAAGAAAGGGGUAAGUGGGAAGUGGUGGCAUGGAGAAUUAGGAAAAGGGAAAGGGGAAUGUGUGUAUGGUUUGUAAGUUUGUGGAUUAGAGAAAUUUUAUAAUAUAAUUAAGUAAUAAAAAAUUAAAGGGAAGAGGGGCAGUCACGUGAAGGCACGUGAGGUCGAUCCUUGGGAUCUUGUAGUCUUGUACCCUACCCGAUGUCUCCCUCCCACACUUCCCUCGGUACUAGUGUUCCCACGUGUUCCCACUUGCUAUUUUCUUAUUCUAAAUUCUCAUUUUUCUUUUCCCUGAUUCCAAAUUCCACAUCUUCCAUUUCAUUACAUUUCCCUCUACGUAGUAAUUGGAUUCUCAUCUUUGUUUCUAUGGAUUACAUCAUGUCAAGAAGUUUUACCAUAGGCUUGGGCCAGGUUGGUUUAGCUUCGGCCCCAACGUGUGAGAAAAUGGGCCUGUUUGAAAAGACAGGCCGGAUAGAGAGCGAAGUACUAAUACAAAGCCCACCCACAUUAGGCCCAUUGGCCCAGAGAAUUAAAAAAGGGGAGAAAAACCCGUGCGUGCCAGCUAGUUUAGUACAUGUCAGGCUGGCAAAAACCGUAGAUUUCUAAAAAGAAAAAAAGAAAAAGAAAGGAAAAGGCUGUCAAAACAAUAGAGGGCAUAGUUUUGAACAUCUCUUAACCAUCCAUCUCAAUCCAACGCUUCACAUUCAAUCCAUCUAAUCUUCCUCCUCAACGCAAUUAUCGCUCCACUAUCAAGAAACCAAAAUUUUCCCCAACUCCUCUUCUCAUCAUCCUCUCCCUCUCUAUUUUCCAUUCCGCCAUUUCCAAACUCUUUACUUACAGAUCUAAUCCUUCCUCUCUCUCUCUCUCUCUCUCUCUGGCAAUGGCGGUCACCUCUUCCCCUCGCGAGGAGUAUGUUUACAUGGCUAAGCUUGCCGAGCAAGCUGAGCGUUACGAGGAGAUGGUCGAGUUUAUGGAGAAGGUUUCCGCCGCUGCAGAUGACGAGGAACUCACCGUUGAGGAGCGGAAUCUUCUUUCUGUUGCUUACAAGAAUGUUAUUGGAGCACGUAGAGCUUCUUGGAGGAUUAUUUCCUCCAUUGAACAGAAAGAAGAGAGCCGAGGGAAUGAUGAUCAUGUCUCUGUCAUCCGUGGUUACAGAUCCAAGAUCGAGACUGAGCUUUCUAACAUUUGUGAUGGCAUCCUUAAACUUCUUGACUCUCGUCUCAUUUCCUCUGCUGCUUCUGGUGAUUCCAAGGUUUUUUAUCUUAAGAUGAAGGGCGAUUAUCAUAGAUACCUUGCUGAAUUUAAGACCGGAGCUGAAAGGAAGGAAGCUGCCGAAAGUACUCUCACUGCUUAUAAAUCUGCUCAGGUUUGAUUCCUUCCUUUCUUGUUUAUGAUCCACCUACCGUAAUCACUUUGUUUCUUAGCUAUCUUGUACUCAUUCUCUCAUUCUUUAGGUCUUUCAUUUUCAUCUCGUUUAUUAAGCCGAGAAAAAAAACUGUUUAGAUCUUUAGAUACUCUAUCAAACUACAUGUGUUUAUGAGAAGCUGUUGUCUGAUUUCAGAAGUAACAAAUCCGGAAAACUAGACUUGCAUAGUUUUUCGCUCGCCCUUCGUUUUUCUUUUGACGAUUAUCUUCUGAUACUUUCUUUUUCGGUCAAACUAUAUCGUUUCUUGUAAAAUCAAUGGUUUGGGAAAGUGAUUUCAAUAUGCAUCAAAUUCAUUGGAUCCAAAUUCUUGGAAAGACCUUAAUAGGAAAAUAUAAACUGUUUUUCUCCUUCAUAUUGGGGAUUCUUUGCAAUUAAUGCGAGUUGCUUUUCUCUGAUGUUCGAGCAGUGAAGUAAAUCAUGAUUGCAUUGACCGUAUGCGUACUCGGCUACGAGUAGCUCUGUUAAUAAUUUAAAGUUAUUGUUCUAAUGAACUGUAACUACAUUUGUAGGAUAUUGCAAAUUCUGAACUUGCUCCUACUCACCCUAUACGACUUGGGCUGGCUUUGAACUUCUCAGUGUUCUAUUAUGAGAUUCUGAAUUCCCCUGAUCGCGCUUGCAGCCUUGCUAAACAGGUUACUCGAAUACAUUGAUCCCCUUAUAAUAUUAUGAGAUUCCGAAUUCCCCUGAUCGUGCUUGAAGCUGGUGAAUGAGUAAUUUUUUAUUCUGUUUCAAUAUUUGCAACCUACAAUUUGGUUUAACUUUGUGUAAACCAACCAAUACUGAACUGACCAUGUCAUGAAAAUAAAUCAAGCUUUAUAAAACCAUGUCAAGAUGAUCGAUCAUAACCAACCCAUUUGGUCAUAUUUGAAAUCUAGUUGAUAAAAAUCAACUGUAAAACUGAGCUAUUUUGGAUUGGUCAAUUUGCUCUGUUUAUUAAGUUUUUUUCUCGUUGGUUUUAAUUUGCACCCUUUACUUGAGCUGUCUGUUUCCUGUUCAGCUGUCUGGAAUGUCACUGUCCUUAUCCACUUAUCCCUAAGUUGUAGUCCAUAGAACAUUUCAAUUCAUUUACCAUUCUGCUUCUAUACCAAUCAGGCUUUCGAUGAAGCAAUUGCUGAGUUGGAUACACUGGGCGAGGAAUCAUACAAAGAUAGCACUUUGAUCAUGCAACUUCUUCGUGACAACCUCACCCUAUGGACUUCAGACAUGCAGGUAAUGAGAUCAAAGGUUGCUUCAUGUUCUAGAUCGUCAAUGACCGUCUGCAUUUGUGCCGACUUAUCUCUUGCCACGAUAUAUUUGCCUAAUAUUGUAUAAAUUUUUCUAAUGAUGGUUCUUUACAGGACGAUGGAGAUGAGAUUAAAGAAGCAGCUCCCAAACGUGAUGAUGAAUAGUAGUGAGCAUAUUGAUUCUCGCAAGUGCAGGAUUCAACUUCUCCUUUACAUGUUUUAUUCUGGAGGAGUGCUUGUUUGGAAAUUUCGCUUUUCUAUUGUUAUCUAGGUACUUCUUAGCCUUUUAUCAUCACCACACUCUGGAAAGGAAAAACAAAAAACAAAAAAAAACAAAAAAACACCCUUGUGUGUCUUCCCCCCACCAGUCUGUUUUUCUUUUUUGACCAUCAAUUCCAUGUCCCUGAACUGCCUUAUUUUUCUCGAAUAUAAAUUCUACAUAUUAUCAAGCAUCAUGUAAUUGAUCUACCUUUCGUCGUUCGUCUCUUACAAGAGACGAUAACAGAUGAUCCUUCUCAAGUAAUUAUAUAAAACUCUCUUUGAUGUCUGAUUCGAAUCCUGUUACAUGUGGUGUUGGCUAUUUUCCACUGCCAAACAAUAAGAAGAAAAGAAAAAAUUGUAGAUUAUUCUUAAUGCACAAGAUGUGGUUUAGCAUUAUCUUGUUUGAUUGAUAUGUCACAUAUUUGUGGAUUUGGUGGUCCUGACUCCCUUAAUGGCUACUUUGAAUUGGGCACAUGUAGUUGUAAGGCUUAUAUUGAUGAUUGGUGAAUGAAUGGUGAGAUGAAAAAAGAAAAAAAAUUGGCUCUAUCUGUCUGCCUUAGUAUUGAAUUUCUGCAGGCCUCUGAAGGCUUUCUUUUCACUGCUUUGUUGGUAUCUACAAAUCAAGGUAUGUUUGAAAACCCUUGUUUUGACUGGGACUAUUUUAACUUUUACUUUCGUCAUUCUCAAAAUUAUACCGGACAUGGAUUGGUUAACCCUUUACCCCCUUUCUUGGCUUAAUUAAAUAUACCACUAAAUAUGUGUUUAUAUAUAUGUAUAUAUGAAAGAAGAUUGUUUUGAGCUCUUACUGUCUUUUUCACUCAUUUCCCAAUAAGGGUAUGUUUGAAAUGCACACUAAUUGUGGUCAAGAAUGAAACAGUAGAUGUCCUCUUCCAUGGCGAUCCAUUUCGUCUCUACCAACACAUCCCUAUCUCCCACUCACCCUGAAGUCAAAGAAAUCGGUACGUUGACCAAUUCCAAUAAAUCCAAACAUUUUUAAAACGAAACUAUUAGUCUCCUCAAUGCCUUUGAAGUAUAGGUUUCAAACGUCUUUUUACCCUAAUGCUUUCACAAUAACAAAACUUCAAUCGUGCCAAUUUGUUAGUUUCAUAGUUUGAAGUUAUAUCAAUAAAUUCUAUCAAAAUCGAGAUUAAAUAAAAUGUAUAUAUAUAUGUGUGCAGAGGCAAAGUUAAAAACAUAUAAUUAGGUGAAAGGAAAAGCUAUUCUAAGCUAUAAAUAAUGUAUAUAGCUUUAUUCAAACUUUAGGGACUUCGGUCUUCGUGGAAUAAAAUUUGUAGUUUAACCUAAUAUUAAAAUGAGAGACAAAAGAACAUCAAUGAUUGCAAAUCCCACCUUUUUAAGUUCACAAGAAUGGGCAUUUGAAGCUAAUUUCUAUUGCUGCAAAAACCCAGCUUUAUGGAUCUAAAACACAGACACAAACAGACCUCCUUAUCAUCUUUUCUUUUUGCUAAUUUUGAUAAAGCUGAAUUCAUUACACCAACUAAUUAAAGGCAUUUUUGCUUCCCACUAAUAAACUAAAGCAGAAUCUUGAAAACGAACGAUACUCACUCCAAACUUACCCUAAUCUCAAUUAGCAACAGCAUCUCACACCUUCAAACCAUGUAGCGAACAUUAUUCGUUACAAACUCCAUCAACUAUUCUAUCAACCCAGUAAAGAGCUUCGUUUUAAGGUAAAAUAAACAGUACAGCCUUAUCAUAAAGGUAUUCAAGCAGAGUUGUUGAAGGAAAAGAAAACCCAUCUACAAAUUGAGGGAAACAAGUAUCACUCUCAAAUCAAAACAAGUUUGAAUGACGAAAGGGUCAUUAUACAAGUAAACGGGUCAAAAAGCAAGUAGCUCACCAUGGGAAAGAAAUUCACAACACCAAGACAAAUUGCUGGACUUUGAUAGCACGUGAUAGCACGUGACAAGCUUUUUACACCUCCCCCUUCCAAAGUUAACACUACAACUACUGAACAUCGUUUGAGACUAUGCAUAAAAUACUAUGAUUCCAUUUAAGAAUUUUUUUUCUCAGUAGUGAGGUUCUCAUAAGAACAAACAGCUACCAAAACACAAGAAAAAAUGUAUUUUUUUUGUCUAAACAGAUCAUAAAGUUUAAGGGACUAAUUCAAAAGGUCUUUGCUAUAAGAGAAUGAACAAAGUCUUGUGAGACUGAUAAACAAAGCUUGAGCUCAAAAAAAGAAAUGUAAUCUAUGGAAUAUGAAUGUUGUAAUGUAACCCAACCCACCAAACUGAAAGAACAAAAGAAAAAGGAUCUUCUAACAGAUUUACAGAACAAACUUCAGUUUCUGAAUCAGUUGUGAAAAUUCAUUCCUAUUUCACUAACUGAUGAUCCAAUUUAAAUUUUAACCCUUCACUUCGACAUGUAUACAAAAUAAUCUUAAAAAACAUGUGAGAAACUACAAAGAUUAAUGAAUUUGUGAUCUUCAACUUACCAUAUGAUUAUGAAUAACUCACAGAUUUCUCCACCUGGGGCUGGGCACUGGCACAGUUGGUGACAAUGGAAACUGGGGAUAUCCUAACGGACCAGCGGAUGGCGAAAACAACAAGCUUGGGGACAGCAAUGGGUAUGCUGAUCUUGGUGAAUUCAUACACCCGAAUGGGAGAGGUGAAGAGGGCAUCGGCAAUUGAGAGUCUGAAGUAAUUGCAGCCGAUGAAGGUGGCGGAGGAAUGGUUCCUGGUGCCAUGGCCGGUGGUGGAAGGUGUUGCUGUGAAGUUAAGUUGUUCCAACGAGGUGAAACCAGAGGAGCUAAAGGUGAGAAUCCCGAGAAUUGCUUCUGACUAGAAUCGAGAGUUGAAAAUGAGGUGUGAAGAUAUCUCAUAUAAGCCGAAACGGGUGAUUCAGCAGGCGCGUGGACGGCUGGUAACGGAGGCAGAGGCGAAAGUGGCGGCGCAACGGGCCGUCCAAAAUUGUUAGCCGAUGAAAGGGAAUUUCUAGGGUUCAGACCAGGCGGUGGUUGUUGUUGCUGCUGUGGCAACGGAACACCGCUAUUUAGCAUCGGGGGAGGACGAUUACUAACGUUUGCAAGUGGAGGUGGUCGGAUUCGUUGAAGGCGAGAGCUCUGAGGCUUGGGUGGAUGAAUCGGCGGCGGAUUCGAAAACCGCUCGUGCGCCGGCGACCCAGUAAGCUUCUGAACCACAUCCCGGAAAUCAUUUUUGUUGAUAUUGUAAACCGGUGGCUGAUGGUGCUGCGGUGGCUGUUGGGUUUGAGCUUGCACACCCAAUUCUGGCGGCGGUGGUGGCGGCUGCGGCGGUUGAGGAAGACUCUGAUUCUGAUUAAAACUAGGAUUAGAUUGACUAGAAGAAUCAAACCCAGGCUUCUUAACAAAACUAGGCUUGGAAAUUUUGUGGGAAAGCUUGUUUAGAUGCCUGAGAUAUUGGUCCCUGCCUGUAGAGGCCGUACUUCCGCCAUUAUUAGCGGCGGAGGAAUCCCCAGUCAGAGAAGAUUGGCAGCUUUUCUCCAUUUUUCAUACAAAAAAAAACAAAACCCAGAUGGCCAGACCUCCUGUUCUUGAUAUAAAAAAAAAAACACAAUUACAGAUCUAAUCUAAUCUAGUCUAAUCCAAUCAACCUCUCUCUCUUAGGUUGCUAGAACAGAACAGCUGAAAAUCUCCUUCGUGUUCUUUUUCCUCGGAGACCCAGAAGAAAAGAGAAUCGAAAAAUUAAAGAAAAAUAUUCAAAAAAAUGAGAUGAAAAAGAUAUAGUUGAGAGUGAAGAGAUGGAGGAUCUGUACAAAAAACUUCAUUGCAGAAAGAGAGAGAAAGAAAAGAAGUGGAGCCUCAGCGUUCUUACUCUUAUCCCAUUGCCUUUCCCCACAUCACCAAUAAUUCUUAUUAUAUCAAUCUUUAAUUUUCUUUUUCUUCUUUGUAUUAUUUUUAAAAAUUAAAUUUAAAUUUUGGAUCUUUUUUUUCAAAUUUAAAAUAACAUUUUAGUCCUCACAUCUUUGUAUUUAUUUUAUUUUACGUUUUUCUUUUACUUUCAAUAAAUUUUUUAUUAACUCACCAAAAAAAGAUCAUAACAACUUUAUUCAAAGAAAAAAAGUUCUCAUAGCCAAAAAAAAAAAAAAAAAGUCAUUUUAAAUAAAUUUCAAAUAAAAAAUUAACUUAAUCCAAACCAUAAUUGAUAUAACAUUCUUUCUUUAUAAAUUUGAGAUUAGACCUUACAUUCUCGUUAUAUCCGAAAAAAAAAGAUUCUUAACUAAAUUUUGUAAUAAAUACGAAAAAAUUGCUAUAAAUAACAUAAAAAAAUAAAAACUAUUUACAAAAUACAAAAGUCUUAAACAAAUUCAAUAUUUUCUUAUAUUUUUAAAAAAUGCCUCCAUAUAUAUAUAUAUUACUAAUAUAAAAAUAAAAUUUCACAAAAAUAAAGAGUAGCUUAGAAGAUAAUAUAAUUAGAACAACAAAAGUAAAAAGUAGAGAAAUAAAAUGGUAUAUUUGAAUUAAUGUAAUUAAGUUUAAAAGUAAAUAUAUAUAAUAUAUAAAGAGAGAGAUGGAAAUGAAGAAUCGUAAACCUCAUUAGAUAAGCAUUAAGUUAAGGAAUAUGUAACGUGUCUCAUUUUAUACUAAUCUUUUUCUAUUAUAUAUAUUUAUUAUUAUUGGUUGCUUAACCAAAUUUUAAUUUAUGGCUUCCAAAAACAUCAUUCCAUUUCCACCACAUCAACUAUUAUAUUUUAAAAACUUCACUAUAAGACAAAUAUACAUACAUACAUAUAUAAUUAAUUAACAUUAUUCUCUCUCUCUAACUCAAUCUUAUCUCAUAUCACUAUAUAAUUUCAAUCUUUCUUCUUCAUGCUUUUUAAUUCAUCUACUCUUUCUUUCUUUACAUAGUGAACCAAAUUCGGUUCAAUCAUGCCAAUACUUUUCCUAUUUUAAAAUAAAUUUUGUCAAUUUCCACCUCAUAUUUACUAAAUAUAGCAAACGUUUAGUUUAUUUAUUUUGAUAUAUUUAAAAGUAUUAUGAUAGGAUUGAUUGAAAUGAUAUAUAAAAAGAUAGAGAAUUAGAAAUAUAAAGAGGAAUGAAUUAAAUAUUCCUCUAAAAGAAGGAGAGAAUUAAUUACACAUUUAUGAGAUUGAAAAUAUUAUUUUAAAUAAAUUUAACAAAAACUUUAAAAAAAUAUUUUAUAAAUAUAAUAAAUAUUGAUUUGCGUUGCUAUUAUUAUUAUUAUUAUUAUUUUGUAAUAAAAUAAAAAAGAGAUUAUGUUUUUAGAAAAUAUAAAAGGGUAAGGGGUAAAGUGGUAAUAAAGAAAGAAAGGAAAAGUGGUGAAAGAGAAGUGUUGUUGGUCAAAGAAACAAUAGAGAAAGGGAAAGAGAGUUUGUUGUCACCAAAUUUCGUUCCUCUUAACAAAUUAUAUCAUUAAAGAAUCUUUUCGACUUCCCCUUUCUUAUUUCUUAUUUUCCCUUUCUCUUUUCUUCUUUUAUUGCUUCCCUUUAAAUUCCUUUUUUUAAAAAAAUUAUUAUUAUUAUUACUUAUCUUUUAAAAGUUUUUAUAUUUGUUUUUUACUAAUGGUUUCGAUAAAGAUUGAACCUCCGACUUUAUGAAUUGUGGAAAAAAAAAAGUCUUUAUUGGUUUAAAAAGGAAAGAAAACGAGAAUAUGUUAUCCAUUUUUAUUUCUAUCCUCGUCUAUUCUUUUAUAAAGUAAUUAUAUAUAUGGAUACACGUAUAAACAAACGUAUGAAAAAUUUGAUAUGUCAAAUAAGUGUUGCUUUGUAUCUGGUUCUAUUUUUGUUAUUCUAAUUUGUAGUUUUUGUAGUGGGUGCCUCGAGUUUGGCAUAUUUUAUGAUUCGUUGAGGUUUUUUUUUCUUCCUUCAAAUUCUUUCCUUUUGAGGGUUUUGUGAUUUAUUGUUGAAAUAUUUAUCUACAAUUUUGUAGGAUUUAUUUUAGGGGACAUGUAAAAAUGAUAAAGUUGACAAGAUAUUUACAAAGUAGAGCAAAAUUUCAUAUUUUAUCAAUGAUAGACAUUUUGUUUUUUUACUAUACUCAAAUUAUAUAUAUAUCAAUGAUAGCAAAAUUUCACAUGUAGUUGUAAAGUGGUAAUAGAGCUCAAAUUUUGUUUUUUUUUUUUUUUUGUAAAUAUUUUAGUUUAUUUUACUAUAUUUGUGAUUAUAUUUUAUUAUACUCAAUUUGAAAAGAAAAAAAAAAGAGCGGAUAGUCGGAAAAUUAAGUUUUUGACAAAAAAAGAACAAAAUUAGUUUUAAGUUCGAAUUUGUUUAUUAUAUUUUGUGGUAUAAGAGAUUUAUAGAAUAAAUUAGUAAGAUUUAUUGUUAUUUAUUAAUAUAAUUAAUACGAUCAAUUUAUAGUCUAGUUAUCAAAUAUAGAAGCUAUAUUAUCCGUUAAAGUUAAAAGGGACCAUUUUCGAAAAUUCAACACCAAAAAAAAAAAAAAAAAGGAUAUUUUGAUAAUUAGUUUAUUCUUUUGUUACUUUUAAAUGGCCAUUUAAUUCACCAUCUAAAUUAUUUUAUUUAAAUAGUUUUUUAAAAUGUCUAUAUUUCCAAUCUUCUAUUUUCUAUAACCAUAAUUUAACUUGAAAGUUUUAUGAAAAUAAUUGUUUUAAUAAUAAUUUGUUUUCUUUCUUUUUUGUUUUUAAUCAAGUCUCUAUAUAAUAUUUUUGCUUCAACUUUUUUUCGUAGAUAAAAAACCAAGUUAAUAUUUAAAAACUAAAAAAUUUAGCAUUCAAUAAGUUGUUUUUGUUUUUUAAAUUUAGCUCGGAUUUCAACGAAAAUAUUUCAAAAUGAUCUAAAAUCAUAAAUAUGAUUUGUUUUAAAAAAGAAAAAAGAAAUGCUUACCAAGCCGGUUAGUUUUCGUUGUUAUAACUUUAUUUUAUUAUGUUAUAAUUUAGUUAACUAAUGCAAAAAAAACAAACACAAUUCAAUUUAUAUAUAUAUAAUUUGAGUAUAGUUAGACUAAAUUUCCUUUUAAAAUAAUUAAUUUGAAACAUAUUCAAAAUGAUUCUGAGUUUGAAACUUUAGGAUUUUGAGGAAUUUCAAUUCAUACCAAAUUUAAAAAAUUUGUGUUGGUUUCUAAAAUGAUUUAAAAUAUUGUUUUUACCUAAAGAAUUUACUAACCAAAGCGCUCGAAUUUGGUAGUAUUUCAUAUGAUUCAAAAUUAAAUUACAUGAUUACUUUUCUUCUUUAGGUUAGAUUGUUACACAUUCAUAUAAAAUCAUUUAUUGGUGUGAAAGCUUAAACUUAGUCUAAAAGUGUGUUUCCUCCAAUGGGUCCAUUACAUAAUUUGUUGUUUUAAAUUCUCUAUUACAAAGUCAAGCCAUGAAAAAUCAAUUUUUUAAGUGUUAAAAAGGACUCCAAGUCUUAACUAUUGACUUUUAUAUCUAUGAUAAAAAUAAAAUAAUAGAUUAAAAGCGCUUUGAAUGAAAUGAAAUGAAAUCACGAGUCAAUCACGGAGUGGUUUAGAAAGAAAAAAAAGGUUGAUAGUUUGAACUAAUAAUAAAAAGGAAAUUGAAAAAAACGAGAUUACGAUUAAUUUUGUUAUUUCAUCUUGAGCAAUUAAUUACGUGGUAGUUACUCCAAUAAUAUUUGUACCGAAACACUACAUGAACUUAAAUGGUACUUCAAAAUUGUCUCAAUAACGAUCCUACUUUUUAAUUAAGAUAUUUGACCAAAAAGUUAAAUUAACUUAAUAGGAGUGAGUGUAUAUAGGGUUACGAGUGAAUUAAUUAAAUGAAACAUGCAAUAACACGUUGAGAAUCAAUUUAAAGUCAAUUAUUUGUAUUGCUUUUCUCCGUGAACUUUAAACCAAUUGUGGAAAUAAUUUUUGGUAAUAAUUUUGAGUCAUUGAUACGUUACAGUGACAAAAUAUUAUCAUUGAUAGAAUCUAAAAUUUUAGUAUAGUUUGUAAAUAUUUUAAUUUAUUUUACUAUUUUUAAAAAGGUUUAUUUUUUGAAGUUUUGAUUUUUAUUUUCGUUAUUUAGAUAAUUAGAAUAGAAGAAUGAGACUAUGUAUAUGAAAAAAAAAGAAGAGAAUAUCUAUUAUGUUUUAAAUUGAGUUAUUUUUGCAACACGUUGAUAUCGUUGAACUUUUUCUUUUCAAGUUUUGGAGUAUUUUUUUAACUUUAGAAAGUUCAUAUAUAAUUUCAAAACAAAAUACAAACCUUGAAUGUAUGUUUUAAGGGCAUUUUUAAAAAUAGAAAAAUAAAAUAAAUUAUAGCAAAAUUUUGGGUUUUAACGAUGAUAAAAACAGAGACUUUUAUUACUGUCUAUCACUGCUAUUGAUAGAAAGAUAUUAAUGUCUAUCGACGAUAUAAUCUGAAAUUUUAUUAUAAAUUGUAAAUAUUUUUUUCAAAUUUAGUAUUUUUGACGAUUCUCCACUGUUUUACGGUUCAAGAAGUUUGCAAGUUUCUAUUUCACACCUAAAAUAUACCAAUUUUUAUACUGGGUCAACUUCUUGAAUAAUAUUAUUUUACUUAAAAGUUAAAUUGUUAGAAUUUUUUAAAUAAAAAUUAUUGUAAAGGUGUUGAAAAUAUUUAUAAAAUAUCACAAAAUUUCAUGUUGAACUAAUAAUAGAUUUAUGCCAAUAUUUAUCAUUGAUAGAACAUAAACUUUGUUAUAUUUUUAUAAAUAUUUUGGUUCGUUACGCUAUGUUUGAAAAAUAUCAUUAUAUAUAUAUAAUCGAAAAAUGGUCAAAAAUAGCAAAAUACACAAAACCCUAAUGAAUUUUGGGUAAUUUAGUAAUAAAGUCCAAAAUAUUUACGGCACAUAUAACAAAAUAAAAAGUUUAUGAAACUAGCCCUUUUUUAAAAAUAUUACAGGUUUGCUCUUUGCCGCUUUUGAAUUUCGCCCGGUCCUGAUUCUUCCUUCUUCCUUUCCAUCUUCUUCAUAGCGACAGUUAGUGGCAGCGUUCUCUGUCUCUUCUUCUUAUGCAAUUUCUCUUUUAUAUGCUUUUGAAAUCAUGAUAAUUGUUCCACAAUUAUUAUUAUUCUUUUUCACUAUACUUCUACUAUUAUUAUCUUUGUUUUCAAUCAAUCAUCAAUCUUGUAUUAUUAUUUUUCAAUGUGUCGUGGAUAGAGAUGAACUACCUGAGUGUUUACUAUAAGGCUUUUCAAAAUUAUAUUGUUUACCAUGAAUGACGUGCUCAUGAUACAUGAACUACACGAUGGUUUGCUAGGGUUUUUUCACAACCAUCAUUUAUCACGAACAACUUGAUCGUGUAUAAUAAACUACACAUCAUCAUGUAUCAUCAUUUACACAAUCGUUUACUAGAACUUUUCAAAAUCAUCGUUUAUCAUGAGCUAGAAUUACAUGUGCACGUGUAGUAGUUUAGUUAUACCAUGUGUUGACUGAGAUAUUUUUUAUAUUUCUUAGUUCGGUAAACUUUUUUUGAUUUUAAAAUUGUUGGUAAAUAUUUCGUCGAUUUGUUAUAGUUAAAAGAAAGAUUGAUGAAUUUUUGUUAUUCAAUUAUUUUUGUUGUUCCUUUUUGGAUUGUAAAGAGUUUGCUUUUUCAUUAUAUUAUUAGAAGAAAGAAAAGCCCAAUCCUUCAUUUAAUUUUUCCCCUCACAUUUCCGUACAAGAGAAGAUGAAGAUAAUGAUAAUGGGGGAAAGGGGUGCCAUCCGCCAUUUCCAUUCCUUCCCGCCAAGCCAUACCUUCCCCAAAGCUUCAACAAUGGGAUUCCAAACCCUUAAGCUACCUGCCUUUCCAGCCUCUUCCACUUCCCGUCUAAUGGUACUGCCUCCCACUAAAACCCCUUCUCUUACUUCUCUUCAUCCUUGUGUCCGUACCCACAGACCUCCAUCUCGAUUACUCGUUCGGGCUUUCUCAUUGCCGUCCGUCGAAUUCGACCACCCUCCCUCUACAAUCGCCGGAGAAGAAAAGGGUAAUUUAAUUUUCUCAUCUUUCUUAUUGUCCUUGGCAUUUAUUUGAUUCCUCCAAUUUGCGUGGUGAGAAAUGGGUGUUUGAUGUUGUGUAUUGUUGUUCUUGAAUUGGAUUAGUUGUGAAACCUCAAUGGAAAGCUUCAAUAGACUUCAAGUGGAUUAGGGAUAACAAGGAUUUGGUGGCUUCAAAUAUACAGAAUCGGAAAUCUGGUGCUAAUUUGGAACUUGUGCUUCAGCUUUAUGACAAAAUGUUAAAUCUUCAGAAGGUUAGAUUUUGAUUUGGUUUUUCCUCUUUUCUUUUCUGGGUGUUGACUCAACUAUCAUAUGGAUUGAUUCUGUAGUCAUUCUUGCACCAUUGUAGAUGCAUUAUUACGUCUAUUGAUAUUUUCAUCAAAAUUUUAUUUGCCCAACUAUACAUGAGGACAGACCAUCAUGAUCAAACUAGUUUUUUUGCUCCUUUUUAAAUCAAUGCUUAGCUAACUGUUACUCACAGAUUCCAGGAAGUUGAGCAGCUUCGUGCUGAGAGGAAUAUGGUUGCAAACAAGAUGAAAGGGAAGCUGGAACCAUCCGAGCGUCAAAAACUCAUAGAGGAAGGUAUAUACAUUUUUCUGUCUGAAAAUAUCAUUUCAUUCUCAAUUUCUUUGUUACCAAAUUUACUCUGGUUUUCUCUUUUCAGGAAAGAAUCUAAAGGAAGGAUUGGUUUCUUUGGAAGAAAAUCUUCUUAAACUAACAGAUCAGCUUCAACAAGAAGCACAAUGUAUACCAAACACGACCCAUCCGGAUGUUCCUAUCGGAGGGGAGGACUGCUCGAUAAUAAGAAAGAUGGUAUUUCUGCUUUUCAAACUCUGAAUUAUACUUUCUUGCCCCAGCCUUUUUGGAUGGUACAUUUUACGCUCUGCAAUCUCUUUCGUAGGUUGGUAGCCCGAGGGAGUUCAGUUUUCCUGUUAAAGAUCAUCUUGAACUUGGGAAGCAACUGGACAUUUUUGACUUUGAUGCUGCUGCUGAGGUACAAUCCUUGUUCAUUUUAAGGUACUCAAGAGUUACUAUUUCACCUUGUUAUGUCUAUAUAAAAAUAUCAGUGAGAAAGCUACCAUUACGAGUCUUUAAAAGAUAAGUAACUUAAGCUUUUGAACUAUCCGGCUAUUACUGAUGUUGUAUGUCAUAAUAAGUUAGAUGUUGUCCUCAUUUACUUUGAUUAUGAGUAUUGGUUUAGAUGUCGACUGGUUCCUAUCUUCCUUUAAAAAGUGUUGUUUCCAUUUUAAAAAAGUAUUGGUUUAGUGGUUCAUUGUCUCUAUGUAUGACUUGACCACUUUUGUUUAGUUUGAGAUAUUCAAUCCAUCGCCCUCAGUCUGGCCUAUUCUUAUUUUAAGCUUAUAUUAGUUUCCUUAUGUUUUGUAAUGCAAAAACGGCCUUAAUGUUAUACUUUACUGAUUUAUACAGGUUAGUGGAUCUAAGUUCUACUACCUGAAAAAUGCGGCAGUAACAUUAGAAUUGGGUCUGAUCAACUGGACACUCUCUGAAGUUAUGAAGAGAGGCUUUACUCCUUUAAUAACCCCGGAAAUUGUUAGGUCCACAGUCGUUGAAAAGUGUGGAUUCCAACCUCGUGGUGAAAAUACUCAGGUUUUGCCCAUCUUUUCUCGGUUUUUUUUUUUUUGGUUUUUAUUGUAUGAUUACUACAUUCUAUGUUGCGUGAUAGCUUUCCAGUACAAGAUAAUUUCAUCUGUUCAUAGCAUAGCCAUAGACAUUUGAUUUGACACAGCUUUAUAAUUGCAGGGCUUAUUAUAACAUUCCUUAUACAUAUAGAUGUGAUUUAAAUGUCAUUUUUAAUCGCUGCUAUCCAAUCUAGACAAACCCCAAGAAGAAUGAAUGCCUUCUUCCCAACUAUAUUAUUUGUUAGUUGUUUUAGCUAGAAUCCUUUCACACCCUUGGCUUGUUGCUUGACAGGUUUAUUCCAUUGAGGGAAGUGACCAAUGCCUCAUUGGUACUGCAGAGAUUCCUGUAGGAGGGAUUCACAUGGACUCCAUCCUUUCUGAGUCUUCAUUACCUUUGAAGUAUGUUGCUUAUUCUCAUUGCUUUCGUACUGAGGCAGGUGCUGCUGGAGCGGCAACAAGGUACCAACCGACAUACUUCCUUGGUCGUUUUCGUUUUCCUCAGUUACUCUAUUUUGUAUAAUGAAGGCAUGUUUAUGAGUGCUUUUGAAGCGGUUAAAAUAACUUUCUUUUUCAUCGUUUGAAAUCACUUAGGAGUUAAAAUGUAACUUUAAUCAACCAAAAUCAGUUUAAUGUUUGAUUUUUCGUUCUUAAACUUAAUUUUUAAGACAUGAUUUUCAACACGACAAAACUAAUGCUAACAAUUUCAAAAUUCUCCAACAUGUACCGAUUCUUUUUCCUAAAAUCAUCAUCUCUAAAUGAACAAGAACAAGCCCUGAGCCUAUCCCUUACCUCUUUUGUUUCACUCACAUCAUUAACGUAGUUGCCUCUUCUCUAACAAGCAUUUGAUUUAUUAAUCUGAUGAUGAACAGAGGCCUGUAUCGAGUUCACCAGUUCAGCAAGGUAGAAAUGUUUAUAUUUUGCCGUCCUGAAGAGAGUGAGUCUUACCAUGAAGAACUCAUAAGGAUUGAAGAGGACCUGUUCUCAUCACUAGGAUUGCAUUUCAAGUAAAAAAUCUGCUUUUAGUUAUAUAUUCAUUGUCAUUGUAUUGUUUGAACAACACAUCUGUUUUUUCCUUUUAGUUGCCCCAUCACACUUCAUUUCUAUUAUCGUAGGACCUUGGAUAUGGCCUCAGCAGAUUUAGGUGCACCUGCUUAUCGAAAAUUUGAUGUGGAGGCAUGGAUGCCAGGUUUGGGACGAUAUGGCGAGGUACUUCACUCUCUCCCUCCCUUUGUGUCCAGUAGGUACAAUUAGAGUUAAACUGUUGUGAGUCACUUCGAUCUUAUUUAUAAAUCAUACCUGUCAACAGAUAUCAAGUGCAUCGAAUUGUACAGACUAUCAAAGCCGUAGAUUAGGAAUCCGAUAUCGUCCCCAAGAACAGGUACCAUCAACUUUGAAGAAGGGCAAAGGCAAUCUAGCGCCAACACAAUUUGUUCACACGUUGAAUGCAACAGCAUGUGCUGUGCCUCGAAUGAUGGUUUGCUUGCUUGAAAAUUAUCAGCAGGAAGAUGGGUCUGUUAUUAUUCCUGAGCCAUUGAGGCCUUUCAUGGGUGGUCUUGACCGCAUUUCUCCCGCAUCUGCAUAGAGCAUCCUGAGGCAAUUUCAACGUUUUCUUAUUCCACAAGUUUCAAAUUUUGCAGUCUACAACAUAUUUAGUGAGUAAUUCAAACAAUCGAUAUUUACCUGAUUGAUUUCCCAAUUGUAGUUUGUGGUUUAAUUAUUGGCAGCUGAUUGCUAAAUUACAUUUACUUGGCUAUGAUUUACAUAUUUCUGAGUAGUGAAUGAAAAAAUUUGGAUUAAUCACAGAAAUCAUGCUAUUUUUCAGAUCCAGAUCGAACUCCAAAUUCAAUUCGGAUUGGAUUUGAGACUAAUUAAAACUACGUGUAUCCAAAAUUUAAAUUGAAAUUUUGGAUAAAGUAAAAUAGUUUCAAUUACAGAUCGAAUUCCAAAUUCGUAUUAGGUUAAAGUAAAAUAAUUUUGUCCAAUAUUUAAGCUUAGAUCAAUUGAGUGUGGUAGUUCCUUCAUUAAAAAGGUUCAGAAAGCAACCUGGAGAAUUUAAUUCUCCCUGAAAUGGUUAAAGUUUACCGAAGAUCAUAAACACGUAUGCCUUUUCAAAUCAAGCGUAUACAUUCAGUAAAGAAAAUUCUAACGGAAUUUACAAAAACAUGUUUGUCUGUUUCUGUUUGAAAGAUGAUAUGUAUUAAAUAUAGUACUAUCCCUGACCGGUAUUAAAUGCUUGCUCCCCUUUUGGAUGGUGUACGUUAGCUGAGACUUUUGCCUCCUAAGGUAUUUGAAUUGAAGGGGAAAGAAUGUGAACAGAAUUGGAACCAACAAUUUUAGUGGAAUUUCAAUUGUAAAUUAUGGCCAAUGCCUACAAAAACAACUCUUCCCAUACAAUUCUUGAGAAGCCUGCCGUUAUAAAAUCGGUUUCAGAGUAGCUUUCUUCACCUUUAUCAAUCCUUUCAAGACUAUCCAUCUAUAACUUGAGUUUGCUCAAAUCAACUUUCUUAACUGGAUAGCUAUAAGCCUCGUAAUUUAUCUGCUGUCCCAAGCUACUUAUUUUUGUAAGAGUGGUUAUUAGAUCAACCUGAAGGAAUAGAUCAUAAAGCUAAGUGUGAGAAUACGAGGUCAAAUGGAGAUGUGUAUUAUAUUGGGUUCAUAUAUGUAAAGAAUGUGAUUAGACUGAAAACAAAAGCAGUUAAUAGUCACGUACUCACCUCAUAAUCAGUUUGAGAAACCGUUUCACGGCUUCGUUGAUACUUUUGAACCCAUGGAAAAACAUCAGGAUCUGAGGCUAGUAAUUCCUCAGUUGCUGCCUGAUCAGGACCCAGAAAUGCGGACAGAACUGCCAGCUGCCGGAAGUCCAAACAAAUUUUUAGCAUAUUAUUGUUAUUACUAUACUUCGCUGCAGAGAUCAAUUUAAGUUUUUUGACAUAUAUAAUCCGCAGGGAAUAUUGGACAUGUUUACUAUACUUGUAAGACAGCAAAGCCAAAUAUUUCAAUUGGAACUUUAAAUUAAGGAGCAUACCUGGCGGGGACCAAAUCCAAUGGCCGAUAACUUUUCUUUCAUUUCCUGAACGCUAGCUUUCUCCCAGAUGGGGACCCUUCCCUCAGGAUCAGGCGCUUCGGCAUCUGAUCUUCCAAAUUGUCUUUCAAACAACCCCCACUGUAGGCACAAGGAGACACUGUUGUUUGCGUUAUGCCCCCAAUAGUAAAAAUUUGCAGGAUGAUCAUGUUCUUUUUUAACACAAAAUUCGUAGCUGCUAUGUGUAGACUACAAUUUUCAGAACAAAACAUCUUUUCUAUCAAUUUGGACGAAGGCAAAGAUAUGGCCAAUCCAUUAGAAGGAGAUAGAAAAAAUAUCCUUAAAUCAGCUCAACCAAAUAUCACACUGAACAAUUUGCUCAUUCACCAAGAAAUUUGGUUGAGUUGAUUAAAGAAGAUUUAAGAAAAAAUGUGAACUUAGAGAACUGGACCACAUAGAGGAUUGUCAGCUCAGUGAGGCAGUAUCACUACAUUCACUGUGUAAUUGCAAAAAGAAGACGUCAUUAAUAGGGAAUCACGUCAACCCUCUACUUGAACUGCCAAAAGAUCCUCACUUGGUGGAUGGAUGUUAGAAUGAGCCUGCGUAAGAUUGUCAGUGGGUGAUCCACAGACACACUUGCACAGGCUCAUACAUGUACUGGAUGAGUAUAUUUGUAAUAAACAUUCAGAUGUCCAUGCAGCAUAACUGACCUGCCCGUUGGAGCCAUAUGCACUAUAUAACAAACUCCCCUUUUCCUCAUUCCCACCACAUUUUCUGAUGGCAGAUGCUAGAAAGGUGGAUUUAACGCCACUUUGUGCUGCAUGGAGAAAAUGAACUUGAUCUCAUUGUUAUUGUUUAUUCAGAAAAGCCACAAGCUAAUUACCUCUACUCCAACUCAUCCCUAAAUAAAUCUGAAAUUUUCUAUAAAUUUGAGGGGCUAGGAAGGUCACAACUUAGCUAAUUACCUGCAACAUUUUAAUUUAAAAAUAAAAACUAAAAAAAGAAGAAGAAAAAAGGGUAUCAGAAUGCAAUUGACCAAUGCAUGGAAGAAGUUCAGAGACGGAAAUUGUUAAGACAUUAAACCUGCGAGUUGAAUAAGAUCUGCGUAGGAAAUAGGUCCACCCUUUGAAUAAGAAUCUAUCUCCUUUUUUGCUUCCUCUAUUAAACUCAUAGCAGCAGACAACUUGGCGUUUUCAGGUCUGGAAAUCUCUGAACUUCAUGGCAAAAAGCAUAGAAAAAGAAGUUAAUAGAUUUUAUAAUGAAGAAAGUGCCAAGGUAGUUAAAUAAAACCAAACUACGUGAUGCAUGACAUGAUGCCUGAAAAUAAUUUUGAACUGGAAAACGUGGAAGGAUAAUGAUUUCAAUCUAUUUAUAGGAUACCAUACUCGAAUCAUCAAUGAUGCACCAGACAUGCAAAGUCUUUUUUGAAAAUAAUGUGAAUGUUAAUAAUUUAUUUCCCAGCAAGGACAUAACAUCUAAAAUGUAGUACCUAAAGCGGAUGGAUCCAUUUGGCCCUCCAGAUUUAGUAGCCUACAAACUUGAUCAAAUUGUAUUAGCAUCUUCCUUCAAAUCUUUUAGUUUGUCAAUGCAGUAAAAUCAAACCCAGUUGUGUAAUUUUAGGAGAGGAAGUAUUUUUGUCUGACCUUAUCGUAAGUCACAGCAUCAUUUAGUGCCAAUGUUAAAAGGGAGGGAACAAUGUCUGGAUUUUUCUGAGAUAAACAAACGAAAACAAAAGAGAUAAGUAUCUACUCUGAGAACCGUGUAUGAUUAUAAGAACAUUGAUCCUUCAACCAUAGCAAUUAAAACCAAAAUUUGUUGAGAAUAGGAUUAAAUGUACACUAUCCCAUUUAAGCUUCUGGGCCUACUGAUGCUAGCAUAGGUCUAAUAGCUCAAAUCCGUAAAAUGUUGUUCUUCCUUGUUUCACAUGUUGAAUCUCAAUUCAAGUAUCCAAGCCUUAACAUUACAGGAUUUGUUGAGAAUGUACUAAAAAAAAUGUAAAUUCCACCUUAGUCUAUCAGCUUAAAUCUAGUAAUGAAUUAUGGGACUUAUACCUUAAUAGCUGUAUAAAGGGUGCUCUUGAUACUUGCUGCAAUCAAUAAUGUAAAACCAAAAUAAGUAAAAUAUGCGUUUGUAAACAUGUAACCGCUUGAAUCAAACUCAUAGACUAGAAUUAUUUACUAGACAUUUCAAGCACUAGGGAAUGGUAAGAUUAAGAUCAAGCAAACAACCAACUGAAAAACAGUAAUGCAGACUAAUAUAAACUUACACAAAAAUUCAGAUCGCUGUCUACGCUGUAUUAAAUCAGCAGCAUAAGCCGGCUCUACCAUUAGGUCAGAGUUCACCAUUAAUCCCUAAGGAAGAGGUCGCAACUGGCAGAAACUCAUCAUCAUAUCAUUCAAACUCAUUCAAGCUCAUAUAUAUAAUUUUCUAAAAGUAACAGUUCGAUCGCUCACUCUCUUCAUACAUUAAGUUGUAAGGCACUAGUCGAAUUAAUUCACUGGCGAAACAAAUAUCUCUUAGUAAAGAGAGAGAGAAGAGAGAAAAAGAAAUAGCUCUCACCAGGGCAAGAGUACCGCCAAAACCUUGAAGAACAUCUCUUCUACUAAUACGAUCCUGGUUGCUAGCAUCCGUUUUGACGUGAGCACAACGAAGUUUGACCUGAAAAUGAAAAAGAGAGAAUGUAGGAUGAGGGAGGAAUUAGAAGGUGGGAUCAGAAUGAAAUUAAGAAAGGGAAGAGUUAGUUACAGUGAGGGAGGGAAAUGAAGAAGUGGGGGAGGAGAAGGCGGUUUGAGGAGGAAGGAGAGGGAGAAAGGAAGGGAGAGAAGAGAGGAAAGAGAGCGCCAUUGUUGUUGAUAAAGUGAAGUGUAAAUGGAAGGAGUAGGGAAGAAGAGAGAAAAGUUGCAUAGGAGAGGAAAACAAAGAUUGUGAAGCGCUAUAUUUGUGGAGAGUGAGAGUUUGUAAUCAUAUCCUCAUCGAUCCAGACUUUGAUGCAUCCAUCUCUCCUCCACGUCAUUUCCCCACGCCCACUUUGUUCUUAUUGUUCUUUUAAUAUAUAUUUUUAGGAUUUACUAUUAUUAUUGCCAAAUUUCAAUGUUUAUCAAAUUCAAUUUUUUUAAAUCAAUUUCAUUACAUUUUCUCUGCUUUUGAUGUAUUUCUUUCAAUAAUUGUAGUUAUAGUUAACUAAGUAAAUUUAUGUUUCAUACAAACAACAUUUUAGUCCAUAAUUAGGAUGUAUUGAAGUAAAUUAUUUCUCCAAUUAACCCCACUUUAUUCAAUGAAUGUUUGUAAAUUUAUACAAUAUUAUCGACAUAAAUCUUUCAUAAUUAACUUCGUUUUUCGUUUUACUCGAAAUAUUUCAUUAUGGAAGAUAAUAGUUAUAUAGUCAAUUUUUUAUCUAGUCAAUAUAAAACCAACCAUCCAAUUAGAAUUGAUACAAAGAAAAAGAAUAUAUCCAAAAACGCAAUUAAAUUAUUAAGAAAUCAACAAUCAAUAUAAAUGAAAAAUCAAAACAGAGAAAAUAUCAUAUUACAAACGAAGAGGCACCUUUCAAGGUUAUAGAGAGUUUGUAUAGCAAGCUCCUUUUAAAACGUUCCAUGCUCAUACUCAAAUAAAAGAGGCAAAACUCGUCUAACUUAAUUGAUUACAUCAUAUGAACAACGACUAUCUAUAUAAAAUUAAAAGGCAACAAGAAGGUUGCGUAAACGUAAUGGUAAUUGGUAACCUCAGCAAAAGCUAAUUUAGCCGAUGUCAGCUUCCGAUAUACAAACUCUCUAUAUCCUCAAUGCCCUCCCAUUGAUAUCAAAAAGCCUUCUUCUUCUUCUUCUUCAUGCCACAAAUUUCCUCUGUUAAAUCUGAUAUUUAUAUGUACUUGUUUUUUCUUAUCGACGAAUGAAAGAAGAAGUUUGUGAAUUUGGUUGUUCUCUCUGACAUAAACAGUCAGGCAAAGGAUUAACAUAAAAAGCUUCUUCUGAACGAAACCUAUCCAUUCCUCUAGUUCCUGAAAUGGGGCCUUUUCUCUUCCUUGCAGAUCCUUGCCUAAACAACAACACACGACACUGUUUUUCAAGUACAUAUUGUAUUAUAAUAAUCGGCUUUUGUUCAUCAUUUUCUUCUGUCAUACAGAGGAUUUAUACAACUUCUCUUCGAAUAUAAAAAAAAAAAAAAAAAAAAUUAUCGUCCCAUUGGGUAAUAGUUUCAUUUUUGUUUUCUGAAUUUGGCUGAGAAUGCAACUCUUUUACUUAAAACUAUAGCAGGAAAAUGAAAACAGCUAGCAUAAUUUGCAAAAACUAAAAACGAAAUGGUUACGAAAAGGAAUGGAUGUAUUCUUUAAAAAAAUGUACCUUCUUUUAUGCAAUUCAAUAAUUCGGCUGGCUAAGUUAUUGCCCUCUUGCAUGGUUCCUUUUUCAAGCUUGUCAAACAGACGAACAAGGGAUUUUCUGUUUGGUAAUGUUCAGAAGUUAAAGAUUGUUUUCACCACCGAAUUUGGUAAUAAAAAGUUAUGGCUAAUGUGGACACAAAGGAAAUCAAAAUAUUAUGUAAAAAGGGCUUGCCUGUCUGGUGAUAUUGUUCGCCUAUGUCCAAGGAAACGGCGGUGACCUUCAACUGCCCUGGCCAUGUUUCCAGAAUAUGAGGAUAUAAAUACAUCACUUUCAACAGAUACAAUGUAAUCCAGAGCAGCCAUUUGAGAUGCAUGAUGAACAAAAGGUUCAAGCUCUUUAGAAGAUGCCAAAAAUUCCUGAAAAAUUUUGAGAUUAGAGGAAGCAACAUUGGAAGAGUAUAAUAGAUAACAAUAUCAUUGCACAAUCUAUUAACAUUCUUUCAUACCAUUUAACUAAACUUGAUCGAUGCCGAUUGUUUCCUAGCUUAAGGUGAGUUUUAGAUGUCUCUUUAAUCACAUUAGAACCAUUAUUAAAAAAACUUAUAGGGUUUGGUUAGAUAAAUAAAAGUGAUUUUGAAACUUUUAAAAAUAUUGUAAAAGAAUACUUAAAUUGCUUAUGGAAGCACUUAAUUAAUGCUUGAAGAAGAAAUACUCACUUUAAAACACUAUUCCUAUAAGGCAUUCCAAAUUCAUCCAAACAAUCUUCUACUAAAAUAAUACAAGAAGUGAAAAGCACCAAACUGUAUGUUACUGUAACUCCUUACCUUCCUCAUUAACAAGGGAUAUCGCAAUUGGAAAUCAGACAUGUGUGAUUCACCCCCAUAUAUAUCACCUGCGGCAAUGUAUAUAGGAGUAUUUGAUGGGUAUCCAAGAGCGUUUAGAAAAAUUCCGACCUCUUUUGGAGUAAGGGGGCAAUACCCCUUGGCUCUUUGUUCCUUGGGAUCAAUGUUUUUUACUUUCCAGUAAGAUGUGUUCUCCCUGACAAUUUAAUUUAUAAGCAUAUGUUAGGCAUCAAACAGUCAGCAACCAUACUGAGUUGCUGCUUGGUCCUCCAUACCUAAUCAUCUUUAGCUCGUCAGCUUCUGCAGGAGACAAAUCGUGUGUGCAUCCACUGAAUGCUAGCAUAUCCUUCUCAUACCGUAAAUGCAAAGCAAUGUAAGGACCAUAAGACCUCAUACGGUCCACCAAAAGCUAUAUGACAAAUGAGGUCCAUUAAUUUACAGGAAAUAUUUCACAAGGAAGAAAGAUGACAAAUUCAAUCCUCCCUAUAGGGAAGAAAAGAAAAAGGGCAAAAGAAAUUCAGGUAUGUUAGGUAACCUUUCCCAUAGCUUCAAUUUUAGGUGAAAACCGCAAGGCUUCAUAACAAGCAUGACAUCGCAGCUUCUGUAUGUCAGCAGGAAGAUUGUUAUUUGCUAAGCGAGAAUCAGACUUUGCAGCUCGAAUAACCUGCAGCAGAAAGUAGAAAAUUAGCAUUUGUAAUUGUUGAUAAAAGGUCCGUGGACAGGAAAUUAUUAAACUACCCGAUGAUUCUUCCACAUGCUAGCUAUCUCAUCUCGGUAGUAAUCAAUGCCAGACCAGCUUCUAAAAUGCUUAACUGCUCUUGCAAUGGUAGCAAACUCCUUAGGAAGCUUCUUAAUGACUUUUACAUCAUUGGAAAGAGCAUUAAUAAAAUGAUCUUCAUCAAAAAUAUCUGAGAAGUUGCUGCAUAACAAACGAACGUGAAUUGAAAAACUUCAGAUAAACAACAAAAGAAGACUAGAUAUGAAAAAAUUCAAAUUUACCUAGAGUCGUUCCAAAAUGAAUGCUUGUCAAGAUCAGGAAUCACGAGGGUUGCAUUAAUUAUACGUGCUAUUGCAACCAUGUCACAUAUCUGCAAUCGAAGGGUAGGAACAACCUUAGUUCUCAAACAUUUGUGCUGUAUUUCAUAUAGCGGACACAAUGUUAUUCACCAAAGUUUAAGAUAUAUAUAUGAUGUGAAAACAAAAAUUACAACUACUGCUUAAGCCUACAUCUGUGAAGUAAUUUAUCAGUUUGUCUCACACAUGAAUUGAUGAAAUGAAUACUAACUCAAGUCUCUCUCUAAGAUAGAAAAUGAACAUGCAGUACAAACUAUCAUCUCCAUGACUUUUUAGAAAAUUUAUGGGACUAUAAAUUAUACUAUCAUGAACUGAUCUCAUUAAUUACUGGGAUUUUUCUAAUAUACCACCAGAAUUAUUUAUAGUUAUUUUGUGGGUCCACCAAACUUCUUCUGACUUUAUUUAUUAGUGUAUAGUUGGAUGUUUAUUAGUAACUAGGGAUACUUAAGUAUUCCUGUGUGAUGUUUCAACCACCAAAAAGCAUUAAAUCGACAUUUUCUCCUAGAAUCAAAUGAACCUUAAUUUGUAUGAACAAAAAAAACUUAUUCCAGACACCCAGGGACCAGAUCAUGUGAGGAGAAUGAGGAAGCCGGUGCAAAAAAAAGUGAUUACAAACCCCAGCGCGCAUUUGAUUAAGCCCUCCAUUUGUAUGAACCAGAAGGAAGCCUCUCGUCUUUCCAGGAGCUGAAAAAUCCCCCAAAAUGAAACAAUAAUAACAAACAUACAAGUGUAGGUACACAUAAUAGUAUUUUUUUUUUUUUUUUUGAAGUAGAGAAGCAAAUAACUCCGAACUGUCUUACAUGAGUAAUUAAGACUAGGCUUAGUGCAGGGAAAGAAAUUACGACUCGACGGAGGAGUCCAAAGAUCAUCCAAAGCUGAGGUCUGGCUGCCACAAGCCAACUGUCAAGUCUAAAGUAGUGAAAAGACAUAACUACUUUCGCAUUGUAAAAUGAGUUAAGCAACCGUCUAGUCUUCUCCCCUAUUCUAAUAAAAAGUCAAGAAGAACAGCAAAUCGGAAUGAAAGCUUAAAAGUAUAUAGUUUUUACCUUGUGGAAAAGACGAGGAGCUUUGGACCAACGAAGUGGUGAAAGCUCUUGUGUCAAGCUUUGCCCUGUAGCCGGUCUCUGAAACUUUAAUCCAAGUUGCUACAGAAAUGAAAAAGAAACUUAAAGAACGCAAAAAGAAGGAUGAGUCCAAAAAACGUUUUAUUCAACUACACAAUCUGUCUGGUCAUUGAGUAAGAAACAAGAAAAAGAAAUAGGAAGUAAAGAAAUCAACCGGCAAAGAUACAUAAAUUUAAUUCCAAAAUCUGGAAAGUAUGAAGAGUAGUCCGAACAGUAACGAAAAACCGCAGCGCACGCACAAACAGAAAACAGAGAGAAGAAGAUGAAAUUAACAAAAAGAAUAAGAUCGCAACAGAAACAAUCAAUAAAGAAUAGAAGACACUGAAAUUGAAUAAACAAGAAAGAAAGAAAGAAAGGAAGGAAGGAAGAAUAGGCGAAAAACGAAUUGAUCAAGGUCCAUGAUGAAUCACCUCAGGGAGUUUGUAAGAUCGAGAGAAGAUCGGAACGUCUCUGGAUGAAGGAAAGACCUGGACGGGAACGGACAACACAGCAACUAAGGCCAUUGAGCAAAUAGUACAUGUUAGAAGCUUCCUCAUGAUCGAAAACGCUCUUCUCCGCGGCUUCGGCAUUUCUCAAUCUCUAAAAACAGAAACUAUCAAGAAGACGACGAUUCUCUCUCUCUCUCUCUCUCUCUCUCUCUCUGAAGCUCAGUCGGUGUAACAAUGGCAGGCGAGCGUUUUAGAGAGAAGGAAAAGAUGGGCGAAAGCAAUGGUGGGGGGUUACGAAUUUGGGAUGAGCUUUUGGUUCUUCUCUUCUUUCACUUCACUUUUGCCGCUCUGUUUCCGGCGGUUUUUCUGACAAUAUUUCUCGUUAGCGUUCGCAAGGAAGUUAUUAUUUAUACGAAUUAAAACAAAAUCGCAUCAAUACUUUUUUCUAUUUUCUUUCGAGGCUUUUUAAAAAUUAAAAAAAAAAAAAACUUAACUAAAUUUCUUUUUUUCUUUUUAUUAUGAAUUUAACUUCUAAACCUCCUAAAAUCUCACCUUUCAACCAUCACUCUAAAAUGUACAAAACAAAAAAACUAGUUAGUUAGUAUGAAAAAUUCUACCUCCGUUUAUUACUUGUCACACUAAUACUAAUACGAUGUGUAAGUCUAUCAGCAUCAAUUUGAGCAAGUGAAAUUGACCUAAAUGGAAGCCAACCAUGAGUGGAAGGGUAUGAAGUUAAAAAAAAAAAUGGAGUGUUGAUCUGUUGUGGUAAAAAAAGGGAAAAGUAAUGAAUGAGUUUGAAGGAAGGGAAGAAGUGUUAAGAGGGGAGAGCAUGGAUCCCAAUGAAGCACAUCGGGUGAGGUGCGUAUAUUUAUGUAGCCUCUGCCAUUUUAAACCACGCACAUGUCUCCAUUAUAUAUUUAUUAACUCACUUCCAUUUCCAUUUUUUCUCUUAAUUAAUAUUACAUUAUAAUAAAUAAACAUUAUUUUCAUUCAAUUCUCUAUUUCUCUUUUCUUUCUUCUCUCACAUCUCAUCAAAUUAUAUUCUUUUCCAAUUCGUUGAGGAAAGUGCUGUCUAUCAAAACAAUACGAAAAAAAAAAUUAUAAAGAUUUUCCUUUUCUUUUUUCCAUAUAAGAAUAAUAUUUUUAUGCUUCUGCUUUAUAAUUAAAAACUAAUUUAUUUAAUUUUAAUUAUUCUAUUCUUAAUAAUCCUUAAAUAUAAUCUAAUCUCUUCUUACCUUUUUAUUCAAUAUAUAUCUAAUAUAUAUAUAUAUAACUUUUAACUUUUAGUUUUUUAGUAAUAAAAAAUAUUUUUAGACACAAAAUUGUUUAAUUUGUUGUAUAGGAUAGUAGUUAUUUGUGGCAAUUUAAUUAGCUCAACUUACAUCAAACUUUAUUAAAUUGAAAUAUAACAAAGGAUUGAAACUACUUCUAAAAUAUAACCAAUUUAAUUUUAAAAUAGUUUCAAUCUUUUCACUAUUAAUAAAUACAAUUUUUCUUAUUAAUAAUCUUAUGUUACUAUAAUAGUGUGGUCAUAAUAUAGUUUGUUUUGAAAUUAGAUUAUUUUUGUGUUUGGGUCAAAUAAUAAUGAAUAAAUAUUUUGGUGAUGUGAGAGUUUUGAAAUAGGGAUUACAAUCAAGGAUUUGAAAACUUUUUAAAUAAUAUUUACUAUCGUAACCUAUUUAUUAGUUAACUACAGUUUUAUGUUAUUAUAAUUGAGUUGUAAUAUUUGGAGUGUUUAUAAUUUUGAAAUAACGUCCGUGAAAUGAAAUUACAAAAUUAUAUAAUUAAAUUAGGUAAUUAUUAUUAUAAUCUUAGAUUUUAUAAUUUACUUUAAUAUUUUCAUUUCCAUUAUCUUUCAAUUUAGUUUCUGACAUUUUUGUUUUUGGAGUUUACGUAAACAUCAUUCUGUUUUCUUCUCUUUUCCUUUGUUUUUUGUAUUCAAAUGAAAAACAAAUGAAUAAAAGUUGGAUCGAAACUUUUUCUCUGACAUGAAAAGAAAAAAAUAAUAAUAAUUUGAAGGGAAAAGAAAGAAAGAGAAAAAAAUUAACAAUUUAUGCUUAAAACUUGAUUGCGUGUUGUUGGAAGAGAAAGAGAAGCACUUUUGGAGUGCUUCAUAGGUCAGGUAUUGUUCUUUCUCAUUUUUUGGAUAUUAAUUAUACCUCCGGUAGAGAGAGUUUUACGUGACUUUUAUCGUUUUUGUAACGUAGACAAUUUCGAACGUAAUCACUUUGUGAAUGUAUGUACGAGUUCCUCAAAAUUAUUUACGAAGGACUUUUGAAUUACCCAUGAGUUAUUUAGAGAUUUUUUACGAGUCUUUCCGCAGAUUUGCAUGAGUCUUUUCUUUCAAGAUUUUUCACGUGACUCCUAAGUUCUUCGUGAGUAUUAUUGAGCUUUCCUGGCUUAUUUGAGCCUCUCUACUUGGCUCUCUCGUAGAUCUUUUGAACUAUCAUUGUCUGCACUCCUCCCUCGUGGAUGUUUUGAGCUAUGGUUUAAGCUUCACAAGGAUCAUUUGAGCUACCACUAAGCUUUCUAUGGGUUCUCUGAGCUACCUCUAAGUUCUUUCUCAUGGUUCUUCUCAACUAUCACUUGAUUUUCCACUUUUGACUCUUCUAUAGAUCUUUGAUUCUAAGUUGUCUUACGAGUCUUUUAGUUGAUACGUAUUUGGCAUAGAUUAAUUAAAUUAUAAUUUUUCAAAAAAUAUUUAAUAAUAUAUUCAUAAACCAUAAAACUAACCAUCAUUGGUCGUCUAAAUUCUAGGUUUUCGUUAAGUUUUUUAUUAUUACAAAAGGUAAGCUAAAAAAAAUCAAUAUAAUUUAACCCAAAAAAUCUUUCUAGUUUCAACUUAGCUAGGUAUUUUCUUUUCCUAUUUAGUCUUUAAAUUUCAAAAUUUUAAACUUAUAAUUCUUCAAUUUUGGUUUGAUUUCAAUUAAAUCAAUACAUUUUUAGUUGAUUAUUAACUUUCCUUUAAACAUUGUCUCUCAAACUUUUGAUAUUAAUAUAUAUAUAUAUAUAUAUAUAUGUUAAUUUAAAAUUACUAAUAAAUGACAUUUUAAAAUCAAAUUUAAUGGUGGUGAAAAACAUAACAAAUUAAAACCAAAUUAACCAAAAUUAUUUCAAUUCAAUUAAUAGAGAUAAAAAGAUAACUUUCGAAAUUUAAAAAUCAUUUUCAUACAAUACUCAAAUGUGAAAGCUAAUACUAAAGAAUGAAAAUGGUAAUAUUUUGAAACUUGAAAAAGACAAAAAGAGAUUAGAUCUAAACCAUAGGAAUAAAAAAAGAAUUUUCUUUUCAUUUUUUAUUUUUAUUUUUAUAUUAUUUUAUAUUUGUUGAUAAAAACAAAAGUGUUAAUUAAAUGGAAGAGAUUAAUUAAUUAAAUAAAAUUAGUGAUCUAAGUGAGCGUAGUCAAUACGGAGCAAAAUGGAAUUAUGGGAAUGAAGACCCACGCUGAUUAAUGUUCUUAAUUACUUCAACUUAUCUCAUUAAUUAUACAUUUUCUUCGUCCACUGUGAGACUUACACUUUAGACUUUGUCUCUCUUCAUUUUUAACCUUAAAAAAUAUUAAAAAAAAAAAAAAUUAAAACGCUCUGAGUUCUAAUACGUUCAUAAUAUGUUCAUGAAAGUAACAAUUUAGUCUCAAACAUUGUCUCUAAUUUACAACAACUUAGUUCCUAUACUUUUAUUUUUGUAAUAAUUUAGUUUUUGUAUUUUUAAAUUUUUAACAAUUUAAUACUUAACACUAAUUUCUACGAUAGUAACUUACAGAAACUAAAUUGUUACAAAAUUAAAAGUACAAACUAAAUCGUUACCAAUUAAUGUUUGAGAAUUAAAUUGUUAUUUUUAUAAAUUUCAUACAUUGAAACGUAUAAAAGAAAAAGUUUGUGAUUGAAGAUUAUAACAUCAGUUUUUAAAAACAGUGUUCGAAUUAUUGCAAAAUGGUGAACUCAAUAAAUCUAAAAACAUGAAACUAAUUUGGAUUCUCUAUUAAACAUAUAAAUUUUAUUUGGUUUUAAGUUUCAAAAUAUUCUAGUGAAAAGGUGUUGCCUCGAUAUCUAAAUAUCAUACUAAAAUUGACACUACUGAUUACAAUUUCUUUUUGAAAUUGUUAAUGCUCUAAUUAUUUAGAGAGAAAAAAAAUUAUGAUUUGUUACAUUGGUGAAAUUUUGAAAAAGAAACCAUUUAUUUAGGUGAAGUUUAGUUGAUUUUAAAUUAACACCACUCAAAGUUGAAAAUUAUAAAUUACAUUUUGUUUGUUAAUAUUAAAUUAUACUCCAUAAACUAAGUAAAAGUCAUGUUUUUUUCUUAAUACAACAAUGAAAUUACGAUCAUAAUAUGUUGUUGACACAACAUUACAAUCACCUCAUCUCACAAAUACAAGUAUCUUUCCAAGCAAUACAAAAUGUUAUCAUAACAAAUAAGAAUAUAUAUAUAUAUAUAUAUAUAAAUGACAAACAAACAAGAAGGUUUAUUGUUUGAUGUUAUUAAUGGUAGUGGAAUGGGUCCAAUUUCAAUAGAAAGUGCCUAAGGGACUAUGAAGGGCUAAUGUGUUGAAUAAAUAUUGGCAAUAAAAUCCACAAACCCAUAGUGAUUCCUCUUUAUUCACUUUCUUUCUUCCCCCACAAUAAUUGUAAUAUGGGUGUGGUUGAAAUUAAAGACAUUUCACUUUUAUUAUUUCCCUUAUACUUUUGAAGGCAACAAACAUUUAGUUCAAUUGACGUUAGUAUAAGUAUUUACACUUCGAAUUCUUUUACUCUCAAUUUAUACUAAAAAGAUGAAAGACAAAAGAAGCGAAUGAACAUGGUUUAUGUUAAAUGAUUUUUUCAAAACAAUAGUAAUUAAAGAAACUCAAUUAAUCAAAAACUAAUUAUGGGGUCAAACAAAAUAAGAAUAAUAAUGAUAUUACUUAUAAUCCAUAUUGAAUUUGAAAAAUGUACUGCUUAUGUGCAAGGCUUAUCUACCUCCCCACCUCCCCAGGGGAUGAGAGAAAGAGAAAAUUGAUAUUAGUUUAUUACAAAUUUGAUUUAUCGCUAUUUUCUGUAUUCAUUGUAUUAAUAAAAAUAAUAAUAAUAAUAACUCAUCAUCCGAAUUAAACUAGAUUUAAACUUUAUAGAUGACAUCUAAAGUUUCAAACUCGGACCUUAGACUUAGAGAUGUAUAUUUUUUUGUACAAGAACCCCACGGUCCCCUCCCCAAUAGUUUUUAAAAUUAUUACGAUAAUGGUCAAGAUAAUGAGUAAAAUUCAAAUGAUUUUUUUUGUUUAAAUUCGAAGGGGUUCAUAACGAACUAAUCAUAUAAUGAUAAAUUUAGCUAAUUAGAACUUCUCUUGGUAUUGAUUUGUAUUUUUAAUGGUUCAUUCGUUAUAUAAUAAAUAAAUAAAACAAAGAAAUCCAUAGGAAACCGAUUUCCAAAGAUAAUGAUAAGUGUAAGGAUGGGGAGAAGCUAUCCCAUACCCUAUAAACAUCACCACAACCUCUUUAUUUAUGUCAAUAAUGGCUGUGGUUAUACUAUUAGAACAAUUUCGAAUUUGAUUUCCUCACGUUAAGGUAAGGUUUUUCAUUUAAAUCAAAUGUUAUAAUCUUUUGAGAAUUAUUUCAUUUAAAUCAAAUGUUAUAAUCUUUUGAGAAUUAUAGUUUAAUCUAAGAUGUGCUUACCUUGAAUAGUAAAAUUAGAUUAUUGAACCAAUGAAAGGCACAACUACUAGGAAUGAGAAUAAGAGACUGAAAAAUCGAACCAACUAACCAAACCGAACAUAGUUGAUCGGGUAUAAGGGUUCGGUUAGAGUCAGUUUGGAAAAAAUCAAAACCAACAAUACUUCUUAAAAUUUUUAAAGACUUGAACAAUCUAUAGACUGAUCAACCGACCAGCAACCGAUUUGUACUCCUCUCGACAUAAGGUUGGUUUGAACAUUUACUAAACCAACCAUAGUUGGUCUGACAGAGAUUGGUUAGAAAACCGACACUAACUGACUGAUAGGGGCUACAAUGAUGUAAUUUAAUUGAAGUAGUCUAUCUAUAAUUCCAUCACUAAAAUAAGAUUAGCACAUCUCAAUCAAACAAAAUUGCCACCAUCCAUUCACCAAGCUCCAUCCUACUUUUAUUCUAAACCUGAAAACGCAGUAUUCAACUAUGGUUGGAUCAAGACCCUCUAGCCCUAUUGUCUUUCUCGAUCAAUUAACAAAUAUAUCAACCAAGAAUUCAAAAAAGAAAUGACUCGAUGUACAUGGAGUAUCCGAAAGGAUAAAUAUGAUACUUAAAAAAACAAUAGCGUAAUGGCAGCCUUUAUGAUCUCUCAAAACAUAAGCUGAAUUCUAAUAUUAUAUAUUUAUAUAUAUUAUCACACAAAACAAAAUUGAUUGCUCAUGCACAGUUUGAAGAAGACGGCAAAGGGAUUCAUGAUUUACUUGGAUAAAUAGAAGACAUUGAGAGGUUGGUACUAAUUUCUUGUACCCCUAUUUCUUCUUGAUGUGACUUGAACCCAUCCAUCUUCAGCUUCAGCUGUAGCCUCUGGAUUGAGCUGAGGAUUGGCAGGCCUGGAUUGCGCUGGUUGAACGGCAUCCACCAUCAUAUCAUUUCUAUUGACAUCUUCUUCUACGUCGUCGUCGUCAUCGUCAUCACUCUCAGCCUUAAAAUUCAUCAAUGUCAAGAUUAGAAGAUAUUAUAUAUAGCAAGCAAAUGUUUGUGUUUGUAGUAUGAAUGACAUUGUCAAAAAUAUGCAAUUCAUGAUCCAUAAUAAGCUGAUGCGGGAAACUGCAAAAGUGGGCAGUAGUAAGGGAAUAAAAAACAACAACGCUGAUCUGUACUCUCAAAAUCAUACUAUUGAACACAAAGGUCCUUUUCAACAAAGUGGAUCUAUGAAAGAAUUGAGCUACCUGAUUAACGUGAGCAUGGGCAACUUGAGGACGAGGGGAUUGCCUUAACCUUUCAAUAGAGCUAAAGUUACCAUCUACACAUUCCUCAUGCAUGAUAAUCAAUUUUUCAGCUACCUGCGUUAUUAAAGAAGAAACACAAGCAACAAAAAAUCUGUUAACAAGAGUAAAUAAUCAAUUCUUGAAGGAGGCUAGAAGAUGAUAACACGUUUCACUCUUCAGAGUGGAUGUUAAAUAGAAGAUGAAACAUCAUGAUCUCACUCCAUGGAUACUCCCACCCAUCCUCAUUUUCUCCAUCUGUUUCAAUUCAGGAUCUCAUUCUUCUACUUCAACCAAGCAUUCUAAUAUAAGAGGAAAAGAGCAAAAAGGAGAAUAUGGAACUGGUACUAAAUGUUACUGGACAAAUCUAUUAGAAAUUAUGAUUAUUUUACAGUUACCUCAAUACCUCCUACAGAAGAUUGAAUAUGACUACAAAGAAAAGAAAUUCACUUUUAGCUUAGAUGGAAGAGGUUAUUAGAUGGAAAAUUGACGAACUACAUAGGGUUCUGUUCUACUAGGAAGGUAUUUAUACAAUCACCACUGUCUUCCAAGCAAUAUCUUCGAAGGCCACAACCAUAACAAUAAAUAGGUAAAAUUUUGAUAGUAUUGGUAAGUUUUUGAUAGUAUCUCAAGCUAUUCCAACCAAAAGCAUCAUGCCAUGAGACUAAGAGUUGGGUUGGAAGUAGAAUUUUAACGAUAUUUCUGCCUCCAUUUUCACAAGUCACGUUGGGAAGGGAACCAUCCAGAGUUCAUUUGGGUAGGAAAAAACCAUCCAUCAGCAGUAGUUAGUCAUAGCAGCUCACAAAAAUUUUCAAUAGUAUCUCAGACAAAUAUUUGUGUUAACUUAUUCUUAUGUAACAGCGGGCUAUUUCGUCAUGUGAAACAACAAAAAAAAAAAAGAAGAAAAAAAACCAGUUAUGAGACAGAGAGCAUUCCCCGAAGACUGAAAAGGACUGAGAGGGGUAUAAACUAUACCUCCUCAAUGCUGCCAUCGUCAACCUGUGUACUCAAUGAAAGCAUAGCUUCAUCAAGAAUUAUUUCUAAAUCAUCAAUAUAUAGUUGCUCUGCAAGAUAAAAAUUAUACAUCUGUUAGAUCAAGAUAACAAAAUCCUAAAUAUGUCAGACUCACAAAAUACUAAGUUCUACUUCUACUAUAAAUCAACAAUCAUUAGCUGACCAGGGAAUAUCAAGGACAUCUUUUAGGAAGAGAAUUAAAGCAUUAGCUGGAUUUCUUUUAGGGUUAAACGCUUAGCUGACCAGGGAAGUAAAAAAUAAUUCAGAGUAUCUGGAUUUCUUUUAGGAAGAGAUUUAAAGCAUUAGCUGACCAGGGAAUAUCAAGGACAAAAUACAAGCUAGAACCUAUAUUUCUUCAAAACUUGAGGUGCAGCCAUAGCCCUUUGAGGCUUAAGUGUGAGGAGCCAAAAAAGAGCAUGUUAGGCGGAAAAUAUAAAUACUUCAUUAUAUAUAUAUGAAGAAAAUAUAACUGCAAAUAAUAAAAUGAUAACAAGUUCAAAUAAAUGGAGCUGUUCUUUCAGAAAAAAUAAAUGCUUUUUAAGAACAUUCAUCAGUUUCUUUCUUAAAAGUUAUAAAUUCUUAUUUAAAAAUUAGUAGAAACAGAGUUGAAGAGCAGCAUUUCAGGCACCUUCAUAAAGGGAGUCAUGUCUCGGCACACGCCUCAGAGAAAUUAUCUAAACACUUAUCUAGCCAUUUAAUAAAUUCCCAUUCCAAUGUUUACAAAAACUCUAAAAUCAACAAUUCAACUCAAAAGGUUGAGCUAACACUUCCCUUCGCUUAGACCCAACAAAAGGAAAUCAAUAAUAAAUGAAGAGAAUAUCAUUUUAGGGGGCUGAACAGAACCUCCCUGUACCACCUGAUCAUGUACCAUUUUAAAACACCAAUUCAUCUCAAAAGGUUAAGCUGGUAGAAGAAGUUAAAUUUAAUAUAAUAUCUAACAUAAACUACUUCUCCAAAGAGUUACAACAAAGAAAUACUCAAUUGCUUGCAAAAUAAAACACUACUGAAUCCGAGAAACUGGUCAAUCUACAGAAAGACUGAAAGAGAAACAAUGCACGAAGAUAGGAACCAAGAUUAUCCAAGUGGAAGGGAGUAAAAUUACCUUUGUUCUGAGUAAACCAUGUGAAAAUUUCGGCGCAUAAUAGUUCGACUUUACGACGAGAGUCACGACCACCCCACUCAUUUUCCACGGCCAACUGAAGAGCUGACCAACGAGAUAAAACCAACCCGAUACCUUCCUGGAACAAUGGAAAAGCAUGAGCUGGGAGAAGACGGUUUCCCCCACCUUCCAUCUCUCCGCCUCCAAGCGUUUAACCCUAAAACCAACGAAGUGAGGAAUUUCGUAAGAAGAAAAAAGAAAAACCGUGUGCAACGAGUUUACAAAGAAAAUGAAAAGAAAGAGAGAGAUUCGACACAUAAUUGCUCACUUCAUACCAAGAGUGAGACAAAGAGAUCAAAUCUAGAACAAGCAUUCAAUUAACAAAGCAGAACCUAAAAACAAAAGUACUACGAAUAACAAACCUUGAAGCGUGUUAAUGAAAUCGAGAGAGAGCUGCCACUACGAUUCACAGGGUUUCACAAUCUACAAAAUAAAUUGCGAGAGGCGGAUGAGCCGAGAGUUGUGACAGAAAAAUAUAAGGGGGAGAGAGAGAGAGAGAGCUUUCACCAGCGUGCGGCGGUGCGGACUGCAAUUGAUCAAUGGCAGACAAAGACGGAGGCCCGACGGUUGGCGAGUGGCGGGCGGCGAUCAGAGGUGGAACAGUGGCGGGCGGCUGAAAAAUGCAAAACUGGAGGGUGAGGAGAGGAAAACCUAAAUUUAAUUUUCUUUUUAUUCACACUAUUUCAAGCUAAUUUAUUGUAGGAGUAAUAGUUUAUAAUUUUUUAAGUAUUACCAUUGAUUUAGAAUGUGUUUUAAAUGUUUUGGAUAGUUGCAAAUUUAAAUUUAAAAUUUAAAAUAAUUAAGUAUAUAGCAACAUUCUAAACAAAUUAUAAAUAUAGCAAAUUUUGUCAAAUUUUAUCCAUGAUAGAAGUCUAUAGCGAUGGUUUUGUUAUACUUGCAACAAGUUUUAAAUGUUGUUAUAUAUUUAAUUAUUAUUGUUAAAAUGGGUUUAUGAAUACACGAAUUCAAUAAUUUCGAUCUUAAAUUAACAACAAUAGUGUUUUUGAAAUCCCGUUGGAAAUUGGUUCAGUGACAUUUUUAUAUAGUUUAACCUAUUAAACUACUGUUUCGUUAUCAAAGAUAUCGGUCAUGCGUAUAUAGACAAAUAAUCAUUAUCAAGUUUAUUAAUAAUAUAUAAGCAAGUGUGUAUGCUCUAUAAACGAGUGCAUCAAUAUCAAAUUUAUUUACAAUACAUCACUCCAUUAUACAAGUAAUAUAAACCAUUGCAUUGCAUGUCAAUUUUAUAAUCAAUAUAAUAGUAAGAUUUAUCAAUAAUCUAAAAAGUGCAUCGUUAUGAAGUUUAUUCAAUAGUACAUCGGUCAAGUCUAUUAGUUAAAUAGGUCAAGUUUACAAGUAGUAUAAGUUAAAUAGGUCAAGUUUACAAGUAGUAUAAAUGAGUGCACAACUAACAAAUAUGGUAAGUAUAUCAGUUAAACACGUACAUAUACCUUAUAUUAGGUAAGCGUAUCAAGUGUACAUAAAUAAUUUUUGAUGCAACAAUCGCAAUAAUGUAAUGAAAAAUGUUUAAUUGCAUGCAUUAAAGGUUGUAUUAAACAAGAGUUUGUUUUUAUUGAAUUUAAAUUAAAAUAAGUUAGAUAUUUUAAUAUUCAAAUAAAUGGAUAUGCUAUAAAAUUUUAAAAUAAGAGGAUAGAACCAUUUACUCUAUAUUUGAAAAGUUUAAAAUAAGUCGAUAGAGAAUCAUUAGUUCACACGAGUUUUUUUAAGAACUUUAAUAACUUUGAUUUGUGAAGUUGAAUUUGUAUUGAUGUUGAAACGUGCGGUUGAACCUGUUUGAUGUUUUUGAUGUGAUGUGAUUCGAUUAUCUAGAACUUGAUCCUCUAGCUCUUUGGAGAAUUGUCUCUAAACCUACUAAAUUAAAAAAAUUCAAUACAUCUCCUCAAUUUAUAGAGUUUGGCUUUACGGACUUCAACUUGGUUGGUCCAUGGACUUGAUCCAUGAAUUCAAUCACGUGGGUUUUUGUCCUAUUUAGCUUUUAGUUAAAUUAAACUUAUUUUUUGAGUCAAAUGAACUUAGCCUCGGUGAAUAAUAUUUAAUUGGACCAAAAUCAUUCACUUCAUUCAACAAUUAUAACGAAAACAUCGUAUUUGAAUGGUAACCAUUUGUAGUUACUAUUUGAUUGUUUUUUCUUAAAUAUUAAGCUCGUAAUUAGUUAUUUUAAAAUUUUCCAAAUUUAGUAAAAAAAUUCAAUUUUUUAUUUAUUUAAGAAUGAUUGAAUUAAUAAAUCAAAGAAACAAUAGAAUUUAAUCUUAAAAAUAAAAUAAAAAUUUGGAAACUAAAUAUCCUAGUUGGAUAACUAUAUUUUAUGUUUUUCCUUUCAAAUUUUUUGUUAGAAAAACAUUUGAAAAUGAAAAAUAGGAAAAAAAACUAAUAUAUAUCUAUAUUAUAUAGAAAGACUGUAAAAAUAAUUUUUACAUUUGACAAAAUAUUUAUAAAUGUAAUAAGUUUUGUCUUUUUUUAUAUACAUUUUUGAAGAAAUUCUAUAAAAUAAAAAUAAAGUAAUAACGUAAAUUUUAUUUUUCUCAAUUAAUAAAGGUGAGAGAUUUGAAGCAAUUACGUUUGGUUUAAACAAUACAUAAUUAUCAUAAGUGUUUUGUUUAUGAAACGUUGAUAUAAAAUAACUAUGUAGGUUUCUCUUUUACCUGUGUAUGUAUUUUUUAAUUAAUAGCCAAAAUUAAAAUUCCAAAACAUAAUCAUAAGAGAUAAUCGUAAACCCUUUCUUCAAUCUUCACCAAUCUCCCGUAUGAUUUCAAUUCAUAUUUACACAAACAAAGUCUUAUCAAACCCUAACCAUCUAAGUAAUCGAAUCUGUUUAAAUGGAGAAAUAAAAAAUGAAGAAAUCAUAAAAUCUUAACGAAUCUUCAAGACGUGUUCGAUUGAUUCUAUUCAUCCAUGCACGUUAUUCCUCUGUACAACAGUUCUCGAACGCAUCAAAACCUCUUGAAAUUCCAUCCUCUUCAGUCUAUGCCGAUUCAGAAACCUCGACCAAAACCCUAAGUCAGUAUUAUUACUCUUCUUUCCACAAUCACUCUCCGUUGUCGUUAUUCCUCGUUUCAACCUCGCCAUCGUUUUACUCUUCUUAAAGAUCGAAGACGCAGAAAACACAAAAGCCGUCUUACGACGAGGAUGAUGAUUAUCCGAAUUGUAAUAACCGUAAAGCUUCGGCGAAGAGGAGGAAGAAGAAGAAGCAGAGGAACAAGAGGAGUAAUAAGAAGAGGAAGAAGAAGAUGAAAGAGAAUUGGAGAUCUUAUUACGCGAUGAAGCGGCGGGGGCGAUAAUUCUCGAGAGCUUUUCGGUUAAACACAAAGAACAAACGCCGGGAGAUUGGUGGUGAUUUGGAUGGCGUUGGCAGUGGUGGUGGCGGUGGUUGCGGGUACGGCGGUGGUCGACGUCGGAUUUGGAAGAGUGAAAGUUGGCCAUUGGGGGGUUUUUGGGUUUAAGGAGGAUUUGUUGGGGUUUGAAAAUAUAAAGAACGCGGCAUUGCUUUGGUGUGGGCUUCAUAUGAGGUUUCUUUGGAACUUCUAAGAAACAGAGUGAGGUUUGACGGUAAAAGUAUGAUCUGGACAAAUGGAAGCUUUUAAUUGGCUGAAACUUUUCUUUUUUUAUUUUAUUUUCCGCCGCUAUGAAAGAAAAGGAAAAAAAUAGUUUUUUUUUUUUAAGAAGGCGGCGUGGAAAUUCAAAGGAAAUAUGAAACGACUUCGUUUUUGGGAGUUGGAGUGAAGGGGAAGGAAAUUUUGAAUUGGAAUCUUUCAUAUACUUUUCUUGCAAAAAGGAUUUGGAAUUUUCAAACAUUUUCUUCUUUUUAGGUUAAAAUAUGGUUUUAGUACGUAAACGACGAGGUAACGAGAUAAGAAUCAACAAAAAGCUUAUUUGAAUGACUCUAAUUCAAUGAUUUCAUUUAAAAAACAAUUCAUCGAUAUAAACAAAAACAAACCAUAUAUUGAAACUCAACAAAAAAAAAAUCAAAGAUUUGUAAAAAUUAUGAGUGAGUCUAGUUAAGAGAUCCAAAAACCGAGUAAAUCAUAAAUAAGUAGAGGUACGAUGGAAGUUCGUUUGAAAAAAAGUUUAAAAUAACCAUGUUUUUAAAAGGUUUCAAAGACUUCAAACCGACCCAUAAACGAUAGUGAUAGUGUUUAGAAUAAAAAAGAAAAAGAUUGGGAAUUAGAAUAGUCGACUCGAAAUGGAAUUGGUGGAGAAAUUUGGUAGGAAAAGGGAACAAGAUGCUCAUCCUUGGUAUCCUUUAUGUGGUCUUUUUUUACUCUUUUUUUUUUUUUUUCCUUUUAUGAGUGUUCAAUUUUUAUUUUUCUUUUAUUCAACUUUUUUCUUUCUCUUUUGGAGCUUAUUUAAUCCAGUCUUUUAUUAAUUCAGUUACCACAUCAAAUUCUCCACUAACAUUUCUUAGGAGAAAAGAUUAUAGUAUAUCGUAUGCAUUAAGAUUUAAAAUAAAAAUAGUUUGAUUUGGUUUUUGGUUUUAUAAAUAAAUAGGAAUUAUAAUUUAAAUAGAAUAUUAUUGAUUUGGUUAUGCAAAAGGAAAAGAGAGAGAAAAUAGUAAGAAAAGAGAGUUGUUUUAUUUAGAGAGAAAUGGGAAUUAGGAAGAAAAGAAAAAGGAGGUUUGGUUGGUGUGAGAGUACCGACGUGGAAAGACGAGAGUGUCAAAAUAAAAGAGGCGAAUUAAAUAGGGAUUUUCCCACUUCUUCUUUUUUUUUUUUUUUUUGUUUUAAGAAACAAAGUUCAAAGUCAAAGAAAACCAUCCGUCGGUUUUGGAAAAACUCCCAAAUUCUUUGUUUUCCCCUUCAAUAAAACGUGAAACCACCACUCAAAUCAAAAACAUUUUCCCGUUUUCUUACAUUUUAUUCCAAAUUCUAUCCCAAAUAAACACUAUUUACGCUUUAUCAUACAAUUUUAUUACAUUUUAUUUUUUCAUAAAUUAUAAAUAGUUUGUUUAUCGAUCAUUUUCUUUCUUCUUUAUUAUUUUCAAUUUUAAAGACUUGUUUUAGAGGGUGAUGUUGAAUGUUUAUAAAAAAAAUUUAUUUUACUCGUUUUCGACUUAGGGGCAGAGCCAAGCAAAGGGCACACGUCCCCCUUAAUUCAUUCAAAUGAUACUAAUUAUAUAUACAUAUUUAAGUUUUAAAUUAUCCGAUUUAAAAUUUUAAUUUUGUAUUUAAUAAAUCAUAAUGUUUAAUUGGAAUUUUAUGGGUUAUAAUUGUAUUUUUAAAUAUGUUGAUAACAAAUAAUGAAUAAAAUAUUUUGAAAAACCAUACUAAGUAGAAGUUGAAAAUGAGGAAUUGUACUUUAAAAAAAUUGUUUAAGAAACUAUUGUAUAUAUUUGUAAAAAUAAUCAUUUUAAGAAUGGAAAAUUACAAAAUAUUAAAAUAAGUAUUCAUAAAACGUUUAUUAAUCCCUGCCAAUGCAAGUCGUAGAUAGUAAUAUAAUUUAAAUUUUUGCUAUUUGUAAAUAUUUUAGUUUUUGUUCCAAAUACCCGUUUUAAGAAUUUAUUUGUAUUUUUAUUUUAUUUAUUAAAUAGCGUAAUAGUAAUCAAUAGUUUUAGAACUUAUAAUAAAUUAUUGAUUAUAUAAGUUAACAUGAACAUAAUUACUCUUAGGUUAUAUUUUUGCACAUCGACUUCAUUCCUACAUAAUUCAAAUUUAAUUUAUAUAUUUAUCAACAAAACUUCAUAUUUUCCCUUCAAAUUUACAAAUUUUGAACGUCUUAACAAAAUUUGAGAAAUUUAUAACAAAUUAGAGAUCUUUAUAAUUGUUAUUACUGUUUAUUUAAAUGAUAAAUAUAGACUUUUCAAACAUAUUAUGUAUUCCAAUAUUUGACUAAGAUACUAUAAAGAGAAAUAUCUUAGCAACUUCAUUUGCACCAAAGUCACGUCCACAUUUAUGACUUAUGAACACUUUCUGUCUACAAACCAUAAUUAAUAAUUGAACUUUUGUGUUUAAACCAAAAACCGAACUACAUCUAAGAAACUGUCGGGCAUCCUUUGAAACGAAGAGUCUAAAAUCAUAACCAUCAUCAAUAAGUCAAUAAGUCGAUUAUAUUAUGAUUCGAUCAAGAUUCAUCUUUAUUUUUCAACAAAUAAAAAUAAUCACAACUAUCAUAACUUCGAUCAAUGAAAAUAGUCAUUCAAAUAAAUAAUGUAUAUUACCUACAUUGAUUAUUUGACACGUCAUUAAAUGAUUUAUUAAUGUAUUACACAUUUAUAUCUCUUGUAUCUCACACAACUUUUAAAAGUUGAUUAGGUGAUAGAAAAAUGAAGGUAAUAGUAGAAAUUGUUGUUGUUAUAUUUUGAGGUGUUUAUAAUGAAUAACAAUUUUAUGAAUAAUAUAAAGAGUGCAUUUAAAUUAUAUUAGUGUUUAUAUACAUUUUCUUUUAAACACUUUAUUUAAAAUGAGUUUAAAAUGUAAAUAUUUUCUUUACAUGUUUGGUUAUAUAUUUUUAUAUACAUAACUUUGUUUAAAAACCUAUUUUCUUAUUCAAAUUUGAGUGAGUUUUAUUUUUUUAAAUUGAUUAUUUUUCAAUCUUAUUUUCUAAAAUGCAUUCUCAAAAGUCACCCAACACCUCAAUUUUUUAAAAAAUUUAAACACAUUAAAAGGUAAUCCAACAUUUUAAAUAAAUUCUAUCCAACAUUUUAAAUAAAUUCUAUCCGUAGUGAUAAAUCAAUAUUUACAACAUGGUGAUAAACUCUUAACCGAUUUUGCUAUAUUUACGAUUUAAAAAAAAUAUUAUUAUAUACUUAAUUAUUACAUUUCAUAGGUUCUAUUUAUUUAUUUGGUUUGGAUUGGAUAUGAUGGGCCUUAAUGGGUUGUGAAUAGUAAUUUGCUGUUGGGCCGUACGUUUAUUUGGGCCCAACUAUUUAGGUGCAACAAUUUUAUUAAUUUUUUCAAUAUAUAUAUAUAAUGAAAAGACGUCAAAAAGUGAUUCAUUCCCUAAUUCGUGUUUUUUCGACUUUAUCAUUACACUAAUUAUUUUUCAUCUUUUUCUUCACAUAAUUAAUUAUAUAUUAUCUUUUGCUAAAACCUUUUAAAUCUCAAUUACAAAAGGACACGUACACUAGUUUUCAACCUUUUAUAAUUUGAACACAUUCAACCAAAAUCUAUGCACCUAAUUCAACUUACCUAUACAUCCAAAUUAAAGAUUUCAUUCUCAUCAUGUUAUAAUAAUAACAAAAUCAUAAAUAUCAUCGUUUCUUUUGUCGCUAUAAAAUAACGAUAAAUUUACAAUAUACUUAAAUUGACUAUUAGUUAUCCACUUAAAAGUUGGAAAAAAAAAACAUUUAUAAAACGAUAGAUAAUGAGCUAUACGACUCAUUCAAACGUUCAAUCACAAGUUAUCAUGUGAUUUUUUUUAUAUAUUUUUAUUUUAAUUUAAAUAGAUACACGUAGAAGAGGUUAAUCCAAACGUUACUUUUAAAUUAUUUUCAUAAUGUAACCUUCCAAUCCAUUGAUUAGAGUUGAAAGAGAUGGUGUCAUGUGAAAUGGAGAGUUGAGUACACAUCUUUCUGCCAAACAAAAGAAAAAGAUAAACAUUUAUUUGUAUAUCAAUUCUUUUGCUAUGUUGUGGUCCAAAAAGCCUUUUGAUGAGAUUUUGUACCUUCAAAAGUGCUUUUUUCUUCAAUCUUUCUAAUUUACUUUUUUUUUUUUGCUUAAUUAUAUAAAAAAUUUCAAUCAAGUUUGUGUUUGCGUAAAAAACAACUCUAAACAUUUUUAAAAAUUUCAAAUAUGCCCUUAAACUUUUUAAAAUUGUACGAGAACAAAUUUAUCGUAAAAGUUUCAUUUCAAAAACACAUGUGAACUAAAAAAAAGUUUUAAAAAAAAUACUCAAGUUAUGACAGUAAAAGUUUGAAAUAUUAAUAAUUAUAGAAACCCAACUUUCUUUUUAAAAAAUAUUUAGGUGCAUUUUGGAUUUUACUUAUGUUCGUGUGGCUCGUUUGAAUCUUUAAUCACAAAUUAGCACGUGACAACUUUUAUUCUUAGAUAUUAUAUUAAAUUCAUCUUCACCUAUCAACUUAAAAGCUUUUAGAUUGAAUUUAUGACCUAAGAGGUAUUAGUUCAAGUCUCUGCAAUGUUAUUUCCUUCUCGUUUGAUAUCUAUUUUCACCCGUUCAAUCUUUCAAACCUUUUUUUUUUUCAUAUUUCAAGCAUGUAAAUGAGAAAUAGUUUUAAAUUUACUUGCUAAAGCUUAUGUCGUUGUAGAGAGGUCGCAUCUAAAAUAUUAUUAUGAUUAAUUAACUCACAAUUUUUACUAGGUUGUGGUCCAAAAAGCUCUUUUGAUGAGAUUUUGUACCUUCAAAAGUGCUUUUCCCCUUCUUUCUUUCUUUCUUAUUGAUUUAUUUUUUUACUUUCAUGUCAUCUCAAAAGUUAACAUCUCCACAAAUGUUUUAGUCCAAUUAUUGAAAUAUAUACUUAAAAGGAUCUUUAAACCACAAAAGAAAAAAGACGAUGUGUAUUAACCAAAUUACGAAUUAGUAUAAAGUUAUCCUAAGGAGACUACAUGAUUAAUUACAUCAAGUAAUUUUAAUAUUGUUUUCUCCGAGUUUACAAAACUUAUAUUUUAGUUGUUUUCUAUAUAUUUAUACUACAAUCACUCGUUUUAAAGAUAAUUAUGUUCGAAAAAAUAAAAUAAAAUUUGCUAAAUUACCUUAUAAUUAGAGACUGUUUAAAAAAUAACAAAAUAUUAAAACUAUUUAAAAAAUACAGCAGAAUUCAUCAAACUCUUUCUACGUGUUUUUUGACUGAAUUUCGUAAAUAGUUUUAAUAUUUUACUAAUAAUUUUCAUUUCUUUUUUUAAUGUUGUUAUUAUUAUUUUGCAAUUUAUGGGCACAUGAAAUUUUCUAAAAAACGUUUUUUUAUUUGCAAAGAAAAGGUAAUAAUGGGGUCCACAAGUUUUUCUUUUCUUCGUUGCUUUAUUUGAUGAUUUGGACCUAAAAAAAAUCAAAAUAUUUAACUACAUCUUAUGAUUAUUUAUUUAUUUUAUAUCUCAUCCAAUUAUUGGAUAAUAAUUUAUCAAAAUGUCAUUUUUUUUUUAUUUUUAAAUGAAUUGUUUUUAACAUGUAAUUAGGGGGAGAUUUAUAAACAUAAAUACAUUCGAGGAUGUGCUAAAGUAUUGUCGAAAAAAUAACGAACGAAUCUUAGUUUCUUUUUCCGUUUUCUAAAACACCCUCUCUCUCCCUUUUUUCUCCUCAUUUUGCCCUACAACUCACUCACAACCGUAAAGUUUGUUCCAUUCUUUUCACAAUUCUGACUUUGUGAGACCGUUGUCGUAUUUCACUUUCAAAGUUUUAUGCACAUUAGUUUUAAGACAAAAAAAAUAGUAUAUUCGAAAUUGCACAUAUGUUUGUGCAUGUCAUUCAAUUACCUAAACACAAUUUGUCACCGAACUAAUUCAUCUAUCUUUUUUUUAUGAGAGCUACAAAAGGUUCAUGAAAACAAAAUUGCAUUCAAGCAUUGCUCUUGCUUUAAUGUUUCCUAGUGAUUACAAUAAAAGAAAAACACUUUUUAAAUAACUUUAAAAAUUGACGAUUUCGAGGAGAGGGUCUUCGGAGUCAUGCUAAAAGUAAAAUUUCACCUUUAAACAUAACUUUAAAUCAUUAACUUUUAACUUCGUGAUGUUAAACAACAAAAAGCAGUUAAUUGCAUCACAUAAUACAUCAAUCUUGUGCAUCUUACUAAAUUCUAAAAUCAUAAUUAAGAUGGACUCAACUGUUAAUCUUAACGGCAUAACAUUAUUGUCGUUAAGAUUCUUUUCCUUUUAAGAUUUAAACUAAACAUAUAUCUUCAACACCAAAUGAACAAACACUAUUGAUCUUAACUAUACAUUUCAUUAGCAUGAGACUUACAUUUAUAUCCAUUACUCUUAAACAAGAAAGAAGCAAAAGUAAGAACCAAAAUGAAGAUCAAGAAAUAAAAAAGUUAUAAGAUGGAAGAACAUUGGUCAUAUGGUUGUUUUUACCAGUAAUGGAGAGAAGGAGCUUGAUCAACAGAACAGAAAUUAACCAAACUUUGAUCCUCAUUCAUAGCCUUUGUAAAUUGGAAUUGAUUAUUACUAUUCAACAUUGAAAUAUAUGAAUUCCCAUCUCUGUUUGAAUCUUUCUCCAUUGACCCUUUUUUCAUUUCUCUGUUUACUUUCUCCCUCAACUCUUUCACCUGCAACAAGAGAACAAAGAAAAAGCAAAGAAGAGAAUUUAUUUUCAUUAAUCUAAAGAAGAAACCCAAGUUGAAAAUGGAGAUGAUUUGUUAUCAUUACCUUUGAAGCAAGAGAAGCAUUUUCUUUUUCAAGAACAUCAUAAUCAAGUUUAAGAGCAUCAUAGUUUAGUUUAAGAACUUCAUAAUCUUUCUCUAAUUGCUUGGUUUUCCACCGAGCUCUUCGAUUUUGAAACCAAAUUGUAACUUGUCUUGGUUCAAGUUCUAAUUCAGCUGCGAUCUUCAUUUUUCUGUCUGGUUCAAGUUUGUUUUCCACUUCAAAAUGUCUCUCUAAACCCUUCACUUGAUCCAAUUUCAGCCGACGUUUCCUCUCCGGUGCCGAACCCCCACUGCUCCCCCCGUCUUCACUGUUGUCUUCUUCCUCUAAACUGUCUAACAUUGCUUGAAACUCCUUGCUGUAACCACCUAUGCCUUUGGAAUUUUGUUGCUGAUCUACAAGAAUAAAAAAAAAAGUACUUUUAUAACCCAAGAUAUAAAAAAGAUCAUUCUGUUUUUUCCUUCUUUCUUAUGGGUAUUUUGAUUUUGAGGAUUGUUUACCUUUAGGAGAGAAGAAGGAGAUGAAAGAAUCUAAGGAAUCUGAGUGGCUAAAUCUCUUCAUGAUCACUGAAAAUGAAGAACAAAAAAAAGAAAAACAGAGGAAGUUUUAUGGUGAAAGCAAAAUGAUGGGUUUCAUUUUCUUGAAUUUUUGUUGGAAACACAACCCAAGCAUUUAGCUGAAAAGAAAUUCAGAUGGAACCUUUGAAGAACCUUUAAAGUGGGAUGGCAGAGAGAAAAAGAAAAAUGGGAUUGAUAUAACUUUUUAAUUAUUGGUUAAUCAUAUGAACAUGAUAGAUCAAAAUAAAUAACCCUAAAAAGACAACAUCACUUAUAUUUAUUCUUUACUUUAUGCAUUGCAUCAAAUUGUUUAACUAUAACUUUUGUUUGCAACAAUUUUUUACGCGAUAUCCGAGAUGUAUCUAAACUUUACCCGAGAAAAAAUAUAUAUUUUUGAGAGAGUAAAUAAUAAAAAGGGGUGGUCUUUUUUUUAAAAAAAAAUUUACUUUUGAUGUUGUUUUUAUGUAAUGAGACUUAUUCUCUUAAAAAGAACUAAAAAAAGCAUUGGCUUCUGCUUUCAAAAUGGCUUUUUCUGGAGACAGUUCUCAUCAAGGACCAGUUUUUAGGUUGGUGGAUUAGGGUUAGGCUUUAGCCCAAAUUUCCUUUUGCAUUUCAUGGUGUACAUAUGUUUAUAGCAACACUACGAUCUUUUUUAACUUUUGAUUAAUGAGAGUGAGUUUAGUUUAAUAGUAACGAAAUAUGAUCUUUUUCUCUUUAUAUUGAAAAUUCUAUCACUUAACCAUGCAAUUGUUAUACUAAAAAAACAAUAUAAGUUUGAAACGUAAUAAAUCAAUUGAUAUUCAAUUUAGCACUUCUAACGUUAAUAAAUCUUAAAUUUAGUUUUAAUUUCUUUAAUCUAAAUUGAUUGUUUUCAAAAUCUAUAGUAAAAGAAUGUUAACAAAAUAAUUUGAAAAAAAAUCCAAAAAAGUAUUUAAAUACACUAAAACCAAACCAUCUUCUAAUCUAAUAAAUCCAUUAACAUUUUGCAAAAUAACAAAACCUUAUUAAGUAUUUAAGAAAUCAAUAUUUUUUAAUAUUAAAAACCUAUAUUUAAACUGUUUCGAAAAUUAAACUAAUACAUUUAAAAGUAUAUUUGUAUUAAUAUAUAUUUUUUCUUGGCAUUGAUAUCUAAAAGGAAUCAAAUAAACGUAUUAGAAAUAGUUUUACAAAUAAACAAAGACAAUUAACUUGGAAUUAUUAUUUUUCAAAGAUAGUGUUUGUCUCUUUGUCUAAAUAAACUAAAUUGCAUUGGAGUCAAAUUUUCUCAACGUGUGCUAUAUGGUGUGGAGUAGCAGUGUUUAAACUUUUACAAUGUGACUUUUUAUACGUGAAUAUUAAUAGAAGAAAGAUCACUAAACAUGAAAACCUAUAGAUGAUAAAUGUAUUUAUAAGCUCAAAUUUUAAAAUUUUUAUAGUAGAUUCAAUAAAAACUUACACGUUUACUUAAAUUUAACCAAUGAUCUCUCGUUUAAUGACCAUUUUAAUUCUUUUGUCUUUUAGCUUAUGAAAAGUAGACUCAUCUUCUCUCAAUUUCAUGCACCAAAACUUAGGUAAAAGAGUUAAUUUCUUAUUGCAAAUUCCGAAAACAAAAAAUGUUUCUUACGGGUUAUAAAAUUAAGCUUGAUUAUUUAAAACAACGGCAGCAAGAAAUUUAGAAAUGCUUGGUAAUCCAUUCACUGUAUGGUGUUUUUAGGCAAGUAAUUCAUUUUUUUAAAAAAAAACAAGAAAAACUAAAAAUGAAAAAAAAAAAUCUUGAUUUUAAAUCAAUUAGCAAACAUAUAUGUUUUUUGUUUUUAAUAAACAAAAAAUUUAAAAACAUAAAAGAAACUAAAAACUAAAAUAGUUGCCAAACAUCUAGCAGAAUUAGUAUACAAGAGAAGAGAAACAAUUGGACACUAAAUAAUUUUGUAUUCUAGCCCUACAAAAUUCAAGUGUCAUCAAAAGGAAAUAUCAUGGGAUUAUACAAAUAAACUUUUCUUUUAAAGAAUCUUUCUUUCUUUUCUUUUCUUUUUUGUUUAAAAAAAUGGAUGAGCAUGAGUUUAGGGAUCAGUCUUAUCAGAAAUGAAAGUUUGUGGGAAUUGAAGGAAGCAGUACACCGCAUAUACUAAAAGAAAAAUCUGCAGCAAUCUUUGUGACUCUAAUUACAAUAUAAAAUCCACCAAUGAAAUAAAAAAGAUACCAUGAAUGAUCUAAAUCUAUGGUGGACAAACACAUUUCUUAUACAAUGUGGAAUCUAAGUGUACUCAAAAUAGCGUUAGGUUGAGAAUUUGAAAACAAACAAUUCAAUGCAAACAAACAAUUAUUUAAAAUCUUUUCGAGAUUAUCUAUACUACUAUUUGGUUGUCAAUAAACUAUCAUUAUAAUAGUUUACUUAGAAAUAUAAUUUAAGUUAAAAAAGUCGAAUAUAUCUUGUAUAUAUACAUUACCUAAUACAUAUUAUUUUUUAUAAAAAAAUGUAAAUUAUUUGCUUGAUACAUAUUUGUUGAACUCGGUGAAUCAAUAAAAUCUGGUUUUCUACCGAACAGAUCAAAACUCUCCUAUGUCAUGUGUCAAAAAAAGAAAAAAGAGUUUAGGUAGACGUCCAUUUCUAAUAAGACAUAAUAGGGGAGGUCAGGUUUUCUGUAGUCAAUGACCAGAUCCCAUCAAAGAUAAAAUCACAAAUCAAGCAUUAAUGGUAGAAAGCGAUUGAUAGAAACUCCUACUUGUAUGAAUUAAAUAGGAAAUUAUAAGGAAUAUGACUAGUUUAAUUAAUAAUUAUAGUUGUGGCUACUUUAUGGAAUAAUUUUACAAAAAUAAAAAGGCAAAUAUGCUGUAUUAAUUAAUGAAGUUAUGAAGCAGCAUACUAUGGCCUACAAAAUUUAUGCUGCAUUGCAUUUUGGUGAACAACUCGUGCAAAAAGAAAAAUAUUUUGUUUAUUCUAUUUCUGAUAACUUGGUAAAGCCUACCUCACAAAUUUCGGACGUCAGUGGUGAAGACAUUGGAGCACAACAGGAGGAGAUGUCGAUACCGGCGACCUCCAUUGCAUUGCAGACCCAUUGUGGAACAUCGCCAUGAGGGAACUAGUAAGACAGGAAAGAAACUUAUAUGUUAGGAUACAUAUGGACGGUGGUGGUUGUUGAGUUGAGGUCAAGACAAAAUAACUAGUACGCAACCAAUUGAACCAAAAUAGAAAGAUGCAGAAUUCAGUUCAUUUGAAACGGCUAUUGAUUUUCAUCACUUCUUUUCUUUUUCGAGUUACAAAAAUCUCUGAUGUCAUAUCUUUAAAAUAUUCAAGAUACCGAAGCAGUAUAUGAACUAAGCACUUAAAUGAGAAUUGGGUGUGCCUGUGUUUGUGUGUGUAAGAGAGAGAGAGAGAGAGUCUUUCCAAAAAAAGAACCCAUACCAUUCUCAGCAAGAACUUGCGAACGAACCUGCAAAAGUUUGAGAAGGCGUGUUAGGCUAUAACAGGCUACUAUUAGAAGCAAUUACAAACCAUGCCCUGUACAAUAACUUUUGUGUAGUGUAGCUUUUUCAAAUCUUGGUGAAUAUAUUUUUCCUUCUUUUGAAGAAAAGUAACAUAGAUACUUUUGUUAUUUGUUCUUUAAAAAAUAUAUAUUUCGAUUUUUUUUGUGUGUAAUAGAAACAAAACAAUUCAAUCGAUGGUAUGAAAUUACAAAAUAAGGGGGAGUCUCCUUAAGGAGGUUUUGAAUAAGAGUUUCUAAAGCAUAAAUGAGGGUAAAUUACAUUUGGCCAUUGGAUGGAACAAAAUGGAAAACUUACUCUGGGAAUUGCCCCCGAACAAUUGAAGAAUGUAGAUCUCUGCUAAGCUGUGAAUUUUCAACACUUUCUACAGUUAGUUGUAUAGAACAAACAAGAAAAAGGAAAUUUAUUGUAGGCAAGAUAAUGGCCCAUACCUUCAUCAUGUAAUACAAAUUGUGAAAUGAGAGUAGCUGAGAACCCAUAGCAUCUUUUGUAACAAGACAAUGGAUGUAGGCCCUAGAAUAGUUCCUGCAUACCUAAAGUCGAAAAUGAUGAAGCAGAUGCAUGAUGUGUCUCCUUAAACUCCAAAUAACUAAUUACUAAGAAGCCUUAAAUGUCAAAGUAUACCAUGCAAUCACAUGUAGGAUCAAUGGGACGGGUAUCAUCAGCCAUCGCUUGGUGUUUUAGUUUUAAAACUCCCUGUUGGUGAAUAUCACAAACGGAUUAUCUGUCAAGUAAAAAUGAACUAAAACAGAAAAAGAAAAGGGGGGGGGGGGGGGGGGGGGGGGGGGGGCUAUCCCUCAUUUCCUCAAUCCCAGCGAGUCAGCGACUCUUAAGUCCACAAAUAAAUAAUGAUAAUUACGCAAUACACAAAAUCUUACCUAAGUAACAUGCAAAACAGAAAUAGAGGUGCAGCCUUCCUUCAAGACGAUAAUAGUUCAAUAAUUUAUAAUACUGGAGGAGGUAACAAGUAACCAUGCACCAGGAAAAGUUCAUUACUUAACCAUUUCCUGAUAAUGGCGUUGGUAUAUGCCAUGCCAAUGAACAAAUUUCUCUCAAAGUAAAUCGUUAAUUUUUGUACCCAUACAUAAUCGUUAAUAGUUAAUUUCACUUUUUUUUUUAGUUUUAAUUAUUUUAAAACUUUUUAUCCAGUUCCAAUGACUUUAUAGCAAAAAUACACGCAUACAAAUUGAUAUAAGUACACCCCUCACCCCCCCCCCCCCCCACACACACACACACACACACACAGAAAAAAUGAAAAAGAAAAAACUUUAAAUUCAAAAGCUCAUAAUGUACUUACCUCAGGUAUGAGCGCUGUGCCAAAACGAGCAGUACGGGUUGGAUAAACACAGUCAUACAUGUCUGCACCCAAAGCACUACAUACAACAAUGUCCAGUGGAUAACCGACGCCCUGACAAGAUAAAAAAAAAUAAAAAUAGAAAGAUAAGGAAAAAGGAUAAAACGAACAAUUAUAUAAGUAUAAAAGGUUUUACCAUAACAUAUCUAGGUUUGUCCUCAGGCAGUGAAGCAGUGCAUUGGGCAACAACACGCCAAAAUGAAUCUUUAUCUUCACCACCUGCUAGACCGCCAAUUGCAUAACUGUAGAAUGAAACAUGCAGUCUGAAUACCUCAACUAUUGAAGCACAUAACACCAUAAAAACAGACAAUGUGCAUAAGAGAAGUAGGCAGCGAUGUUGCGGCUUGCACUGAUAGAUCAAUGAAGAUAAAAAAAGAUGCAGUUCACAAGAAGACAUUUUUUUUUCAGAUGGAUGAAUGUGAGAGGACUACACAGUAAUUAAAUAAGCAAAGCAAGAUGAAAGGGGAAACAAAUUCCCAAAGACUAUCUAUUGUAUCAAUUGGCAAUAACAAGAGAUUUUUCAACUCCGGGAAGAUGGGUAGAGCAUUCUCUCUCUAUCUGGUGAAAAUGGAAAAGAGAUUUUAUGCAUCCUACAAUGUCCAAAAUACAAUUAAAGAAUAUGGAUUAAAAGUGGUGCAAACUUGCCCUGGUAAAUUGCGGUCAACCAAGCCUCUAACGCAUAUGUCCCUGCCAUCAGAUUAAAAAAUAUAUAUAAAAAAACAGAUCAUGCAAGGGAAAGUUCUGGGACCGGAGGGAAGGACCAGAUCCUUGAUGAGAAACAAUUACCUUAGGACUGGAUCCAAACCACCUUGCACAAUACCAAACAAAUUCUGCUCAUGAGGUCUCUUGUGUGCUGAAUAUAAAAAGUAUCUCAGCAAACAAUUCUAAUUACUGAAGUAAAAAAAUAAAUGAAUAUAAAGACAUGUCUAAAAUUUAUUUAUGGAACAAACAGUAUGCAGCAUAAAAGGCUGCAGGUGAACAAAGAAAUACUAAAUCCCAAAUUAUAAAGAUAGAUGAUCUAGGGACAGGGAAAAUGCAACAUUUGACCAUGCGAGUGAAUAAUGCUACGUUGAAAUAGAAAAACCAACAAAUUACGCAAACUUAGAAUAUAAAAGUAAGUUAACUCAAUAUGUCCAAUAAAUUCCGAAGUACCAGUGCCAGCACGAUUAGAGCUAACUAUUGUACAUCAACACUCAAAACAGAAAUAAAAUAUCUGCGGUCAUGAUUUAUAUCAGCGCUGAAAAAUUUAAAAAUAUUUAUGGUCCAUGUUAUGCAAAUGCUUGAAACCCUUUUUAAAACACAAUCUCUAUAUACAUGCAAGUGCUAGAAAAUUUUACCUGCUAUGCAUCUGUCUAUCCAACGAAGAGUACGGUACAUGGCCUCCUCAAUUCUUGGACCUGUAAUGGUUGUUUUUACUACAUCAUCAAGAGCCAUAAUAAUAUCUGCUCCUAUUCUGUUCUGUGCAAAAUCGAGGAGAAAUAAAGCAUUAAAAUGAAGAAACAAGAGGGAAAAAAGAGUAUUCAGUGCAUUCUAGCUUAUGAAAAACUCAUGCCAGGUCUUGACAUAGUGGGAGCAAUAUUCGACCAUACAACAGUAAAUGUCAUGCUAAUAAAAUUAAUGGGCCUGGUGAAGGAUAUUAAAGAUCUCCGCAGUAAUAACAUCCUAAUAUUCUAAAAAUCAAGACAGUAGAGAGGGAUGAGCACUAAAUUACCAUGAUGUGUGUGUGAGUAAAAUUUCUUUUAAAAAACAAACAAACAAAACAAAAUGAAAAAACUAUGGAGGUACAAUGUACAUUAUCCCAAAACUUAUUAUGGUCUAUAUAUUCAGCUCACUUCUUGUAAUGAAUAAGAAUGGAAUCGAUGGACCAUUCUUAUGUUCAUAGUCAGCACAUCCACAUUGUGGCCCAUCGGGAAGUUCUUAUAGGUCUUUUGGAAUGAAAGGUUUUCCAUUCUUAUCAAUAUCUUUUCAUGAUUAUUUAAGUAUUAAGAACAAGAAUAAUGUCAACAAGUUAACAUCAAGCAACCAUAUCUUAACCUACUUGAAUUUGAAUUGAUUCCUCAGGAGUCAAAAGCAUAGGCUUCCCAUCAACUGGAGACUGAAGAAAGAGAACUUACAUUAGUUAAUUAGUUAUUUACUAAAAUAUUAAAAAAUUAUUAGAGAAUUAAGCACUAUUCUAUAAACCAACAAAAUUAUUGGCGGGAAGAUAGUGCUAAAGACGACUGUCAGCUAAAAUCCUUCAUAUGCAUAAAUAAUGUAUAACAUUUCAGUUAACAGCAUAAUCUUCUGGCUGAUUUUCGUCAUUAUUUUCUGAACAAUAAAAAUAAUGAUAAUGAAACAUUGAAAAAGUACCUGAAAUGUAACACCUUUUUCGGUGAUGUCAGCUAAAUGUAACAACGAAACCUAGUGAACAUUGAACAGAAAAUAAACUUCGUUAAGAAGAUACCAUCAAGAAAGCUAAUAGAAAUAGUAUAAAGGAAACUGUUUUUUCGUCUAAAACUUACUGACACAAUACAGUAUCAAGAAAGGUUGGAAAGUCUUUCACUUUUUGAGAAGACAAAUAAACAUAAAAAGGAAGCUAACAGAUACUAUCAAGAAAGCUAAUUUUAAAUCCUUCCAAUCCUUUUUUAAUGAAAAGCCAACCUCUUUCAAGGAGGAAAAAGGAAAGAAUUCCUUUCCACCUUCCAUAAAAAUGCAAGAAUGAAAAGGAGUUGUAAGUUGAAGAAAACAAACAAAUCAGAAAUGGAGAAGAUGUAUCAACAUUGAUAAACGACCAUUUGAAACCCGCCAGAAUCAGUAAGCAUUGCUCUGGGCCAGUUCAUAAACUUGUGGAGACCUCCCAGUUCAUCAAUAAGCUCAGAAGUGGGACGAAGUGCCAAGUGAUAUGUAUUUCCAAGUAUAAUUUGGCAACCAAUCUCUUCAAGCUGCUGAGUCGUUAACCCUUUGAUAGUUCCUAUAGGCAGAUAAACUAAAUUUCAAACAAAACUGUGCACAAUUGGACAAAUGGUGGAGAUCAUGAUUAUUAAUUUAUAUGCUUUCCACAAGGGGUGCAUAUGUAGGAUUGGAUUGGCAUUGAAAGUCAUACCUUGCGUUCCUACUGGCAUAAACAGAGGUGUCUGGCAGGUAAAGUGGGGGAGAGUGAGCUGCGCAGCACGAGCACGAUUAAAUCUUCCCAAAAUCUAAAGGCACAGGUAAAGACCUCGUGUAAGCAUAGACUAAUCUGUCAAGUAUUAUUCAAUCACGGAACCAUAUAUUGUUUGGCAUGAUUCUUUAAUGUGUAAGAUAAAUGCAUGUCUAUUAUUCCUAAACAGAUGCAAUGUUUUAACCCACAUAAGUUACAUAAAACUCUAACUAAUUCCUUCAAACAUCUUAACAUCUAAGAAGCACAAACAUGGAUAUGAGACAUGAAUACAACACAACGUGUUAACAUCUAAGAAGCACAAACAUGGAUAUGAGACAUGAAUACAACACAACGUGUACACAGCGACAUGUCAUUUUUUAAAAAUCUAAGGCAUGAUAUGGCAAGGAAAUGUUUAUUAAAAUAUUUAUUUUCAAUAAUAUAGAACAUUUUUAUAGUAAAUGAAUUGAUGCAUUUAUAUGUUAAAAAGACUUAGUUUGAUGUAUUUUACACCCAAAAGUUCUUGUUAUUGUCAUAUUUGUGUCUUCUUAGUAUACUCAACGAGUGUUCUAUCUAUGCAUGUCUAUGUUUAAUGCAUUUAUUGCACACACAGAGAUCCGAUACAUGUCCACCAAGCGUCGGAGUGUCCAGGUGUCCAACAUGUCAGGCAUGGACAUGCUAGCGAAACGAGAGUGUUUGUGCUUCUUAACUUAACAUCUAUGUUCCACAAAACCCAUGCUACAAGGUGGAUUUAUUAAGGGGCAGUGUCCCCUUCACAUUAUCGAUUUUUGUAUUUUAAUAAUAAUUUUGAAGUGUUAGAUUACAAUAUAUAUUAAAUUUAGCUUCAUUUUGCCUAAAUCCUGCUUAUGCGGUAAUGGUUGUGCCUCUGCACAAUCCUUUGGUUAUGAGUUUAAAUUUUGUCUACUACAACUAUUUUUACGAAAUAGAUUUUAUUCAAAACAUCAAUAAUUUUUUUUCUCAAAUAUCCAUAAUUUGAUUUCUGAAAGGAAUAUAGUUUUUUAAAAAGAGAAGGAAAAAAAACUCAUCUAAGAUAAAAUCCUAACUUAUUUUCUCUUAUUUCCUAGCCCUCAUUUGUUAUCUAAUAAAAAAAUACAACAAAAUCGAUGAUCUAAAUUUCCACUCUCUCAACAAUAUUCGAUAAUAAAAUGUAUUAUUCUUUAUUUUUUCUUUUCUUUUUUUCAUGCAAAUUUUAAAUUCACAUAUUUUUCUCCAUGAAACGUCGAGAUAUUUUUUUAAUAUUUUUUAAUGUGUUUAUUUUAUAGUGUUCGGUACCCCUAUAUAAAAUUUCUGGAUCUGCCAACUUAAAAAGAACCUGAAUCAAAGUUGUCAAACAUCCAAAAACAUCCUCUGUAAUUUGCAUGUAUGGGGCAGGGCAGAGCUGCUGAGGUAUUAAUACACACAUCAGAUCGACAUGUAAGUUUAGGGUGAAGAACAUGAUUACUUCCUCUAAUGACACGUCAAACCCAAUUAUUCAUUACAAAUAAAUACGAAAAUAAAACGCAUUUCAACCACAAUUUAAUUUAGUUUUUUACCUUUCAGUAAGUAUAUUGGGAAUGGGAAGAUUCAAACCACAUAUUGAACUUGCUAUAUUCAACUUAAAUAUUUAAUUCUCUUUUCAAACCAAGACUAGAAAAAGUUUAAGUUCGACAAUUCAUCAUAGCAUUCUAAGUCCAACCAAAGAAAGCAUGAAGCAACCCACGACAAUACUUAAACACAAAUUAAUCAACAGAUAAAGACACCCAUAGGCCAUAUCCAAUCCAACAUCAAAAGGCAAAACGCUCAAACAUUCAAUACAUCAACAAGUACACUCGCGGAACUAGUCUUAUGCAAUCACAAAAAUGUCUAAAUAAAAGUCACUCGCGUCCAAUUUAAUGAGCACAGCAGCUUAAACCCUAAAACAAAAACCCACUUAGCUCAUCUUCUCUUAAUUGGGAAAUAACGUGCGAAGGAUGAAAAAUUUUGGCAUGAGAAAAUGGAAAUUGUUUUCUAUGAGAAACAUUAAUGAAACAAACAUUAACCCAAAACUUAGUAAAUAAGUGCCUAAAUCACUACUCGAAAUUGCUGGAAUACUAAUUUAUUGGAAAGUCCUUAUAUCACAAGAGUCUGAACCUCACCCACAUUAAAAAUCGUCAUGAAUUAACAAGUUAACUUUAAACAAAAGUUGCGCAAAACGAAAUAAUACCUCAAAACGUAGCGCCAUUAAAUCAAUAUUUCAACUUCUCAACUUCCCCAGAUGCCGAAGCUGCUCCCAAUUAGCACUGCAUUUAAUAAAUGAACAAAAGAUAACUCCACGAACAACUAUGUUCUCCAGAUUGGGUUAAUAAAUUUACUGAAAAUGCGUUUCAAUACCAUCACAACACAAGCCAGUGUAUAUGGCCUAUAUUGCAACGGGAAUAAAAUCAAAUCCUAGUUUACGUGAAAGCAACCGUACCAGCUUUCUUUCUGACCUUCCUCAGAAAAUAAUGCGAGAUAGAGGUCAAUGCGUUGAAGUGGAGCUUCGAUGGAUGUAAAUUAACGAGGUCUGAGAGUGCCCUAGCCCCGGUAAUAGUAUCAGUAUGAAUGGAGAUGGCCGGUGGAAAACCCUAAAGGUGAAAUGAGGCGCCGCCGGCUGCGCCUCUUCCUCGAUUUCCGUUGGCGCGUAUUGCAGCUUGGCUAUUCGUUAACGUGCGCGCGCACUUGUCUUGUUUAAUUUUUUUCAUUUAGGUUUAGGUUCAAAAAAUAAAUAAAUUAAUUAAAUUAUAAAAAUAUUCCCAUCAACAAUGGAUUGCAUUAUUAAAUAUUGGAAAUUAAAAUAUUUGGUAUAAUUAAUGUUCGUGUUUAGAUUGUGAAAGCAACAUAUGACUAAAACAUAAAAUUAAGGAAAUGUAAUGACCUUAAUAUUUGACCUUCAUAAGUCAUCUAUGCACAAUACUUCACAAAACAAAUUAAUGUGUGCAUACAUUUAAAUAAAAAAUGUGAAUAAAUCCAUAGGCAAAUAAUACAUAUUGUUUGAAGGUUAAAUACGUGUUAACUUUGUAUUUAAACAUGCUAGCUUAAUGAAUACAUAAAAGUGAAAUAAUAAGAAAUUUGGUUAAAAGUGAAAUAUAGCACGGGAAAAAGGUGGAGAGGCUUUGACCCACUUAGUACGAAAAAUAAAUUAGUUACAGGUUGUUUUAGAAGCUCGGUUAAGAUGAGGUGUAUGACAUCUUAUCAUUCUCUCAAAUACAUUUUAUCAUAAUAUUAUUUUAACAUUGUCCACGUAACUUUUUUCUCAAACACAUCUUAUUAUAAUUAUCCAUGUAACCAUUUUUCAAACACAUUUAAUUAACUAUUUCAUAAUCCAACUAUUUUCUAAACGUAUUUAUGUUUGGAUAUGGAGUUAAAAGUUCACAUGUCAUGUGAAUAUUUUGUGUAACUUUUUAAAAUUAUAUAUUUUUUAUAACUAUCUUUUGUUUUUAAUUGUUUUUAUUCAAUCAUUGUACAUUGUUUUUUAAUAAACAUGGACAACAUUGUUUUCUUACCAAAAUAUAUUGACCCGCUACAUUUUUUGCACCGACAUAGAUAAAGAAAAUAUCAAACAAAAUAGUAUAUAGUUCUUAAAAUUAGUUAGUUGGUUAGUCUUCCCAAGUAAGCAUACGUAUUGGUUGUGGUGAGAUUGUCGAUAAGCAAUCGAUCUUUUGAAUGUUGUGACAAAUAAGUCUAUAGUGAUGGAAUGAUCAUUCUUUGUCAAUUCAUCGAAAUGAAGUUACCACUAAAGAUUGAUAUUAAACAUCGUAAACGGGUAUUUUAAAUUUUGUAUUUGAAAACAUUUAUGUCAACGUGUUUUUCCUUUCUUUUUAUAGUACAUAACUGAUCUACUUAGUCGUUGGAGACAAAAAAUAGAGUUGGUGGUUGAAGUUAGUUGCUCAAGAAGAUUGUCAGAGUUGGUUGACAUAUGUGAUUGUUGUGGUGAUCUUUGUCGUUCCUGGUUGCCUAAGGUGAAUGUUGGUUUUGACUGCUACAAAUAGUUGUCGUUAAAGUUUAUUUUAUCAAAGAUGAUUUAAUUCGAAGUUUAUUGUAGAAGUAGUUGUUGGAACUCGAAGUUGAAGGUUGUUGUUGAAGUUGAUUGUCAUAGGUGAAUUUUGCCAAAAAUUGUAGUCGUAGGUGGUUGUCAAAGGCAAAAGAUGGCUGCACAAAGUGGUAUUAGAGUUGGUCGCAAUAAUUUUGUUGUCAAAGCAUGAAAUUGGUUGCACAAACGUGUUCGUCAAAGUUGAUUUUCAUAGAAGUUUAUGUAUAGGGAGGUGAUUACUAGAGCCCAAAACUGGUCACACAAAAUUCUGUCAAAGGUGUUCAUCGAAGUUUGCAUUGAAGCUCAUAAUUAGGCAUCAGUCAUAGUUGAACGUGUGAUAGUAAUCCUCAAAGUUGGUUCUUAGAGUGUGAGAAUGGUAACUGUCGUUGACUCAAUUGAAAACAUUUUGAACAAGGGAGAGUUGAGGUAAUAUACCAACUGAACUCCACCAAUGACAUUGAUAUUGGUCUGCGAACCAAACACCUAAAUUUGAUAGAUUUACGAGAGAGUAUACUUUUUUUUUUUUUGGAGAGAAAUAAUGACCAGAGUUUUUGGAUGUGUUAUGAAAAAAAUCGAGAAGAAAAAAAUCCUAGAGAGAAAAUAUUGACUUGAGCAAGAAGAAAAAAACGAGACUAUGAUUUUUCUAUAUUGUAUGUUUGUUUUCCUUGCAUCAACCUUCUAUGUAUAGAAAUUUCAAACCAUCAUCGUCGAUAAAAAAAUAAUAUUAUUAUUAUAUUUUCUUCAUACUUACAUCUUUCAAAAUUAAUGUAAAAACAAAGUUUUAAAAACUAAAAGUUGUUUGAGAUUUGAAUUUUGUUAUUUAAAAUACAAGUUUAUAAAAAAUAUAUAAACAAACUAACAAACUAUUUACUAUUUAAUAAAAUCUAUUAAACAAAUAUUUCGUCAAAUAUUCUAUUUGUGAAAGUUUAUUUUAAAAACAUGUAAAUAAUAUUGUAAAUAAACGACAAUAAAACAAUCACAUAAAACACAUAUAUAUGAUAUAAAAGAUAUCGAAAUAUAGUUCAAAAUACAUUCGUUAAACCUCUUUUCGACAAUGUUUUAUUUUUAAUAUGAAUUUCUUAUGUAGUUUUUGGAAUAUAACUUUGUUUCAACCCGACAACUAAUCAUUCGUUUUAACUCGAGAGAGUUGAAUAAAAUUUAAAAAUUUGUUUUUAAAUUGUUUAUUUUGUUUGUAAUGGAAACAUUUUGAAAGUAAUGUACUAAAAAUUUAAAGGGUAUCUGACAAAGAAAAAAAAGUUAAAUAAUUUAUUAAUACAAGCUUUUAUCUUAAAUGUGUUAAUUGAAAAUAAAAAAAACGAGGAGAUGAAUUGUAUAAUUUACUUUAAAAUCUUCAAAAAUUCAAUCAUUUUCACAACAAAAUAAUGUUUUGAAAGUAAAAACAAGAUUUGAGAUCAUAUAUUAUAGAUUUUAAAAUCGUAACUCUUAUGCAAUAACAAACAAUGAAGUUUAUUUGAAUUCGUUGUGAAUUUCCUCACGUUUCAAGUCGAAUAUAAACGAACAUUUAUAGAUAUAACAAUAAAAAAUCAAAAUAUCAACCUACAAUACAGAAUGCAGUUAAAUUUGUAAAUAUAACAAAUAAAUUUUAGAUUUAUCUCUUAUAAAUUAUCAAAAUAUAUAAAAAAUAAUAAGGAAUAUAACAUGUUUUUUUGGAAAUCAUCAUUAAAAAAUGGCAAAACCACUAUUUAUUUUGAUUUUUAGCAAAUAACAAUUUUUGUAUGUGCAUCCAAUUUUAUAAAAUAAAAAAAUAUCUACAUUUUGGAAUUGUAAUUAUUUAUUAAUAAAUUAAUUAAUGGUAUACAUUUAUAAACCUCUAAAUUAUUUUUGACAUGAUAAAUAUAUUAAAAUCACUUUUUGCAAGUAGUGUGUUCUAAAUAUAUAUAUGUAUAUAUUUAAAACAGUCCUUCCUUUCUUUUAUUUAAUUAUUUUUUAUAAAAAUAGUUAAGAAAUUAAAAUAAAUAGGUUUGGUUAUAUUUUAUAAAUAGUUUACAAUAAUUUUCUUUUUUUGAAACUUAGUAUUAAAGUUGGAAUUUAAUGUUUGAUUUAAAUUUAAUAAAGACUAUUGGAAUAGUUUCGUCUCUUUUUCACAAAUCAUAUAAUUUAUUCCAACAUUGUCAAGUUGACUGUACUAACUCAAUUAACAAUCCACGAUCCAUCUUCAAAAUAAAUAUCCAAAUCCGAAGGACAAACGCUCAUCGAGUCACCGGCGCAAGCUGUCAAGCGCCAUCGGAAUUGAACUCUUCAACUCUCCAUUUCAAUCGCAAUUUCGAACUCUCACCUCCUUUACACACUGCGAAACCGAAGAUCUACAAAUUUUUCGACUGUUUCAACUUCAAUUCGAUCACACACAGCAUGCUCAUAACUGACAUUCACGAUCUACUAAACCGGCCUGCUUGAUUGGUGUCUAGGUUGGAAUCAUUCAUCUAUCUUAUGUCACUGUUUGAUUUAUUCAAUCUAGGAGUUGCUGCACGCUGAGCUUUUCACAGUUUGACUGAUCUUUUGAUGCUUAUAACGUUGAUUCCGUUUUAUUUUGGUCGAAAUUUUAAUAAGAAAUUACGCAGUUCUUCUGUUUGCGGAAUUGUUUUUGAAUGUAUUACUUUCCUCAACACAGUCUUCGAUGGCAUAUACAUGGUUAAUUUUUAUUUUCUUUCUCAUUUUUGCAGUAAUACGUGUUCGCAGCUCAAUAUUUAGUUACAGAGGAGUAGAAUUGAGGUUUUUGGAAAAUGCAGCACAUUCCAGCAACUAUGGAGGAACAAUUAAUAUUGAAAGCAAUCAAAGAAGAAUGUGCUUGGGAGAGUCUCCCAAAGCGGCUGCAAGCAACAUUGUCGUCCAAAGAAGAGUGGCACAGAAGGUUAGAAACAUGUGUUGGCAGUCUUUAGGUUUUCCUUUGACUUUUUACGAUAGCUCAAUUGUUUAGUAGAUUUAGGCACUUUAAACCAAGAGGUAAUCAUAAUCUGUUCGACUAUGGGGGAACUUGCUCACAUGUCAUUUUUGCAUUUCACUCUUAUCCUAUGAAAUAUAGAUAUCUUACACCUUGUUGCAGAGGUUAGAGUUCAAUUCAUUAAUAACCAAUCAUGGAGGUCAAAAUACAAUGCAAAAGACAACAUCAAAGAUGUUGAAAUACAAUAGAAAAAGUUGGUGGCACACUGAGGCCAGAUCAUGAGAAGAAGAAGAUUAAAAAGAGGAGAAGUGUGAAGAUAAGCUAAGAACUUCUUAGUUGAAUUGUCGAAGAUAAUCAACUGGGUUAUUUUUAGCGUGAUUGUGUCGACUCAGGCGUGUAGAUGGAGAUUACAUGAUUCUAGGGUUUGAUUAUUUAUUUUUUUUCUUUUAGUUUUGGAUUGAGGGAGUGCACUUUUUAAAUAGGCUACCUAGUUAUGGAAGGGGACACACGCAUUUGAUAUUUAAAAAUUAGAUAUGCAAAACUGUGUACAAAUACAUAUCUAGGAAGUGUUUGGGGGGGGGGGGGGGAUUUGAACUUCUUUGUUGAGGGCAUAUACCUGAACCAACUAAGCUUUGCUCAAGUUGGCAAGCAGCAUAAGAACUAUUUGCUAGUGAAAUUACCUACAAACCUUUGAUAGUACCUUUUGAUCUGAUAUAACUUGUCCUUUAUUCAUCUUUGAAGUAAUAAAAGAUAGAAGAGUUGUAGAUUGCCUUGUAUAAUGACUUGAAAAUAUUCAUACUUUCCCCUUGCAAUUAAAGUAUUUAUAUGGAGGUAUGUCGAUAUCUCCCAUUUCUUUCUUCAUCUUCAAUUGUUGUGCCAUUACUUUGUAUAACAAAUUAUUUGGUUAAAAGACUACACUUCAUGGUCUAUGCUGAUUGGAAUAUUUCUGCCGUUGCCUAUGCCUAAUGCUUGUGUUGGAAGACUUCUCAUUUCUUCUCACUCCAUUUUAUCAAAUAAGAGUUAUUCAUUCUCUUCUUCAACGUUUUGCAUGUUUAUAAAAAGCUGUUGUGUAAUUCUAAAAAAUGUAUAUAUAUUCCCUUAAGGACAGCACAUUUGGUAUUCAUCCAAAGUUUGAAGAUUUUGUUUUGAGAAAAAAGUCCCAUAGAACAUAAAAUGGUGAUUUCUCUGUCACUUAACCAUGGCAAAAGUUGGCAGGCUGGAAGCAAUUAGCUGAUUUUAGUGCUAAAAUAUACGAGCAUCAAUAAUCCAAGCUCCCCUGAAGUAUGAAAUGGGAUCACAUCUUUCAUGCUGAUUCAUGUUAAUUUCCUGCAGGAUUAUUGACCACUGUAUAAAGAAGAGACUGCAAUGGAACACUAGUUUUGCUCGCAAAGUAUGCAAAGAAAGUGAAUAUUAUGAAGAUAUGAUGCGGUAUCUGCGAAGGAAUCUAGCGGUGUGUGUUGUAGCAACAGUUCUCCAGUUAUUUAUGGAAUUAGUGUCACUUUGAUUACUACUAGAGUUAUAUGCAGUAUAAGUUCGUAUAAAUUUCUACCUAAAUUGCUGUCUUGCAAGGCACAACUAUUGAAAUUUUUGUUCACAGAGAUGGUUGUGAUGUUUUGAGCUUGAUAGUCAAUGUUUAUAAUUAUACUUCUAUCAACUUGGAGAACAAGGACUGUAGAAAGACUAGUUUUUACUUAUUAUUAUGAUACAAAACCAUACAUGCUAUGAAAGAAAACCCAAGUUUGUCGGUCCCCUAACUGAAGGGUUGUGCACAGUGGCAAUUGUCCCUGGACUCAACCCUGUAGUUAUGAGUUAAAAGCCUUUUGGAUCUAUUAGAAAUAGUGGGCUUAGGUCAUGUUGAAAGCCCAAGGGGAGUUAAGAUUUCCUAAUUUCUUAUUGUUUUAAUAAGCUCUUGUGGCCUAUAAAUAUUUACCCUUUUGUACCUUUAUUAUCAUAAGAAAAUAAUAAGAAACAUUAGCAUCGGGAUUUUUCUCCCUGUAUUAGGGUUUUCACGUAAAUUUGUGUUUGUUCUACAUCUCUACUUUCAAUAGGACCCAUUCAUUUACCAUGCCAAGUACCUCAUGUAUAUUGAUCUGCAAGUAGUUGGGAGUCUCUAAUUCAGGAUCCAAAGAAGGCUGAGUCUCAGGGAAGGGAUCGUUGAGUACAAAAAGGUUUUUUUGGGGAUUUGUACUCUGUUAGAAUUUAUGGACAAGAAAACUAUACCGACAUGCAUACAUAUAUCACCACCCUUUUUAUUUGCUUAUUUACUUUUCCUUCCAUUAGUGUUUAAAACGACGACGUUUUUCUUGCAGCUAUUUCCUUACCACCUUGCAGAGUAUGUUUGCCGCGUAAUGAGAAUAUCACCUUUUAGAUAUUACUGCGAUAUGAUAUUUGAGGUCAUGAAAAAUGGUAAGAGCCUUCUUACAACCUAUGCUUUAUAUUUACUUGUUGUGAAACUAUUUUAAGUGUAUUAGUUAAAAACUAAUUAAGUGUACUAUACCAAGUUUUUUAGAGUUAGUCAGACAAUUCAAUAAGUCGUAAUCUGUAGCUAAAACCUUUGAGGUUUGUGAUACUUUACCAUGGUAUGAUUGUGAAUCGAUAACGUUCCUCCAUAGGGCGUAUUUUCAUUGAUUUAUCUCCUUCAAACCCAUUUGGCAAGAAGGGUGGAAUUCUUCAGAUUGUAAAAUCCUAGACCACCAUGCUCCUUAGGGUGGGAGACUUGAGUAUCAAAAUAGAAAAGAUGUUGGAAUGGGUUUUAAGUAUUUUCUGCCAUUUAUUUGUCUCAGCUAAAUUUGAGCUCCUGGAGGUUUCUUAAAUUUCUUUCUCCAAUCAGUAUCUUAUCCUACAGUACAUGAUGGUCCUAAAUUUAUUCGGUCACUCCAUAUUGACUUGCUUUUUCUUGAAGUACGAGGAAGUGGUGGCUUUGAUAAUUACUGCAACUUGAUAAAAUGAAUGUUUAGAUCAAAAUGGGGGUGCUGAAAUGUUUUGUUGGAAUAUAUAGUAUUCUCUGUUUCAUCCCUUAUUUAGUAUCCCAUAUCAUUUUCAUGGCUUUGAAUAGUUACUGUGGCCUGAUCAUUUAUGUGCUUUUAUUUACUUGCAGAGAAUCCUUAUGACAGCAUCCCAAAUUUUAGUGCGGCUGAUGCGUUGCGGUUGACAGGAAUUGGCAGGAAUGAAUUUAUCGAUAUCAUGAAUAAGUGUAGAUCCAAGGUACUAGGGUUAUGUUUAUAUGUUAUUUAUGGUAAUUCUAAUUUUGACCUAGUUUUAAAUUCACUAUACCUGUUUAAGGCACAUGUACUCACAAUUUUCUGUUAUUUCUCUUUUUGAAAUGUGCGUAGAUACUUGUCGUCUAUAUAUCCUGAAAAGGCCUUGCACAUACUCCCUUCAAUACUUAAGUUGUGCUAUCAAUUAUUGGCUUAUUGUUGGUUGUUCUGGUAACAAACUAGUUUAUAAUUAUAGAUUCAUAGUAACAUCUAUUAUGAUGUUAGCCAGUAUUUCUUCAAAUAUUGUUCACACCAGUCUUAUGAGGAACUUCUGGUGGAAAACAGUAAAGGACGGGGUUUGUUUUUUUACUGAUAAGAAACUGAAUGUUACCAAAGGCAAGGGGGAACGAGAAAUCGCCCCAAAACUAAUCCAUGAGGAUCAAUAGAUAUAAAAAGAGCAAAUAUCAUCAUACUUGGUUGUACAAAUGGAAAGGAAAUUGUCAGGGUAGUUGGGUACUCUGGAAAAACCGUUGUUUUUUAUGGGCUCUUGUGCAUCAUACAACCUCUUGGUGGUGUACAAAUAAUGCAAAGUUCUUUUGUAAUUGUAUCCUUCAAUUGGAGGGCUCUUUUUUUUGGGGGGGGGAUCUUCUCAACCUUCUGCCCUUAGGCUGUUCUUUCAUUUUGUUUCUUAAUGUAUAUCUCUGUUUCCUAUAAAAAAGAAAGGGCUCCGGAGGUUCUAUUUGCAAGAGUUUCUCUUUUCCAUAAGCUAAUUGUGAGUAUAGGUGGCUUCAAGUCCAGGAUAAGUGGCCUUCCUGCCAUGAUUCUCUGAGAUUCAGCCCUGCAUUACUUUGUUCUUUGAGACAACAUACUACCGUAUUUACACUUGCACAGUUAAUUUAGAUAUAGUUUAAGAAAAAAGGAAAAGAUAAGGGUGUGAAAAAAAAGUUUAGUAGUUCACAGACUUCCUGAUUUUACCACCAAUCUGUUGAACUGGUUUGCAAGAUCAUGUAUUUCCCAAAGAAGUUUGUUGAGCAUGACAUGUAGGUUUCUUACCUUACUUAUGGUAAAUUCUAUUUGUGAGGAGAUGAAAGCUAUUAUAAAUUGCUGAGUUUGAAUGAUAGUGAAUGUAACUAGAGAAACAACAUUCUUGAUCUCUAUUUCAAUUUUUUUGGUUCCUUGCUGAAGAGGUUUUAGUAUUAUUUGGAUUAUUAUUUAUCUCCCUCAUAUUCCGUAGGUGGAGCUUUGUAUCUUUUGAAAAUUAGUCUCUUUUCAUUAUUUCAAUCAAAAGUCUGAUUUCUUGUUUUAAAAAAAAAAAUCUAGAGAGAAGAAAAUCAUUGGUCAAAGAUGGGUGUACCAACAAAUGUAAACCCAUGAAAUUGCCAUGUUUUCCGACUGACUGUUUCUGAAGUUGAGGGUAGACAUAACUGCUGACAUGAUUCAUAAAUCUUAAUGACCAGGGAAAAACUAGUAAAAGUUUUCUUUGAUAUAAAGCACAAGUAUGCAUAUUUAUAUACAUGUUCACUGCAGACUUAUCGUCUGUGGGCAGAAAGCCAUAAAAUUUCAUUUAAUUUAUUCUGUACGUUUACACUGGCCUUGUCAUUUUUCCACCUGCAAAUAUUGGUUUUAAGUUCACACCACACGUGGAGUUCGUUUUUCAAUCAUUCUACGUUGAGCUUGUUUGUGCAUUAAUAUCUCUCUUUCUUUGAAUAUUCAGAAAAUUAUGUGGAAGUUAAACAAGUCAAUUGCAAGAGAACUUUUACCGACCCAACCUAUUGAUUUUGUUAUUGAACCGUGGUGGGGCGUUUGUCUUGUAAACUUCACGUUGGAAGAAUUUAAGGUAAAGUUCAGAAGAACCUUAGUGUGCAACAAAUAUAUUUUUUCAAAAAAAAAAAGACGUCAAAGCAUAAAUGGCUAUCAUUUCUAUUUUCUGUCAUUUGAUUUGAAUAUUUGCGUUUUUUUAAAAAAAAUCUAGAAACUCUCAGAAGAAGAAAUGGCGACGAUUGACAAAGUUUGCAAGGAGGAGGCUAAUUCAUUUAUUCUCUUCGACCCAGAAAUUGUAAAAGGUCUCUACAGAAGAGGAUUGAUCUACUUUGAUGUUCCUGUUUAUUCAGAUGACCGUUUUAAGGGUAAGCGAUGAAUUUUUUAAUAUUAUGUUUAUUUUUUGGGUUUGAUGACAGAUGGGUUUCUUUAAUUUGGUAUGCUUUCUGUCAGACAUUUUUCCGGACUGACACCUGAAAACUCUCCAAUUAGUUUAUGGACUAUGCAUCUCAUAUUCAAUUUAGAUGUCAACUUUUCUGCUUGCUGGUUUAUCUAAUACAACAUAUUUUAAUGCCGCACUGUUCUUUGGCUACUACUGCUGUUCGUUUUAGCUUCUUUACAAAAUGUUCAUUUCAGUAUCAUGAUAUCAUCUUAUAUAUGUGUCAAGUGCCUGGUUUAACAAUACUAUUACUGUUUUGUGGUGUCAAACUUUGCUUGUAGACUUUUGUUAAUCUGAAUUUUUGCUGCGUACUGGAAAAUGCUACAUUUAUUAUUUAAUAAUAAGGAUAAAUAGGCACAUCGGUCUUGUUGGUUGGAACCACUACUGUUCAAUGUUAGAGAUGAUGAAUGGAGAUGCUGAUACUUUUAAUGAUUCAGUUUCAAGGCUUGAAGGGUUUGUUUCCAACCGCGAACAGUCCUACGAAGACCCGAUUGAGGAGUAAGGCAAUUAUCUACUGCAACUUGUUUAUUUUCUUCUUAUUAUUAUUUCUCCGCUGGGCCUUAUGAAGAACAAUCUAUAUUUCAGGUUAUUGUAUGCAGUUUUUGUUGUUUCAAGUGAAAAUGCAACUGUGGCUGAGCUGGCAGCGACAUUACAGGCUGACUUAUUGCAGCUCCAGGCUGCUGCUUCUUUUGCAUGUAGAUUGGGAUGGGCAGUAAAAGUGAUUGAUCCAGCAUCCGUUCUUCAAGAUGCUAGCAUACCCAACUCUCCUAGGACAAUUUUCACUGAUGAAGAUGGUUCUCUAGCUGCUUCAGGUUCAUCAAACAUGUUUUCUGAUGGUGAUGGUUCUCAAGGGUAUUCUGGAACAGAUGGUUUGGGACCAGAUUCUGCUAAUCGUGUCGCUUUUGUUGUAGAUGCUAAUAUAACAUCAUAUCUCAUGAUGGGGUCAGUUUCACCAGGUCUGUCUUUUAGCUUCACCAGGUUUGUCUUAUAGCUUUUUAACGGUGUUUUUUUAAUAAUUCAUUAUUUACAUUCUUUUUUAUAAUAGCAUUAAAUUAAUAAUUUUAUUUGUACAGAGUCUAUUAUCUUUUUCCUCUCGACUUUAGGAUCAAACUAAAGAAACAAAAUUUAUAGCGAAUGAAAAGAACCAACCAAGAGAAGUAGAACAAAAUAUCCUACAAAGAGAAUUGAAACGCUGGCUAGCUCAACUGAGACUUUAUCAUGUGAGAUAGGAUAGACCCUUUGCUUCUUUUUCUUUUUGUUAAAUGAUAUAGUAUUAAAUUUACCUUCCCCAACCUUAAGCUUUUAGGUCAAUCGGUUAUUUAAGAUGAUAUCAUUACCAGAGCAGGUGGUUCUAGGAGGUCUUGUUGUUCAGGUGUUUGCAAUUCUAUUUGCUCCCCAUUAAAUUAAUUUCCACUUGUUGGGUCUUCUUCAUAUUUCAAGCUCACAAGUAAAUGGGAGUGUUGAAUGGUAUAAUAUUAAAUUUUCCUUCACCCACUAGCUUAAACUUUUGGGCCAAUUGAUGAUUUAAGAUUUUUUUCCCUAUUUUUUUCUAAAUUUUUUUUUAUAGAAGAAACGAUUUCUUUGAUUAAUGAAAUAAAGGAGAAAAAUCUCCAAACACCUUAUUGGUGAAUUACAAAAAAGAUAUUCAAUUGGAAAUGAGAAAAGAAAAGUCAUAAAGAACAAAAGAGUGUUGAUUUUUACACCAAAAGAAAGUAGAACCCUGUCCAUAAAACUCUCAAAAGAAGAGGUAGAAUCCCUGAAAACGUGUCCACUUUUGUGUGUCCCAAAGGUGCCAGAAGAAUGCACAAACAAGAGCCGACCAAAGAGUCUUCCUCAAACUAUAGAGAGGGUUGCCCACCAAAAAAGAAGCAAGGAGAUCAUAGAUAGAAUUAGGAAAUGACAUUAGGAAUAUAAAACCUUUGUUUUACUUAUCUGAAUUAGAUGGGCUACAUUUAUGGGUGUCUUGGACUCUUGAAGAUCUCAGUUUGUGUUGACAGCAUGUCGAAUAAAAUGCUUUGACAAUAAAUAAUUUUGGUGAUUCCAGGUCCAAAAUGGAAACCACAUUAAUUCAAUGUAAUUGCAAAUGCUCCCAAUCAGUGGCUCUCCAACUUUCAAAACUAAUAUUUCAUCUGGUUAUGUCACUAUAGCUGAUUCAGUUCUCGUUAUUUGAUGGAUGUUUCAGUUUUUCAUUUGUUCCAAUCCCCCAGUUCCCUCCAGCAAGUGGGAAAAUCUUGAGGGAUGGAGGAAAUUAUCGUUUUUCAAAUCUCCAGUUUUAAGUUCUAAUUUGCUGGAUAUCUCAUAAACUUCUGCAUAUUUUGCUUUACCAGCUUUUGUCUGUUUUUGAAACGGAGACGAGCCUCUUAAAUUAUUAUUGAGAAAAGAGCCUUAAGCUCAAAGUGUAAGAGUAUUUAAGAGCAAGAGAAAAGAGAAAAUUCAGUCUACAUCUACAACAAAAGCUAAAAAAAAAAUCCAAAUAGAAGAGAUCAAGCUAAACAUAGAAGAAAUCAAGCUAAAUAAAACCAUAUCUGAAGAAUCUAAUUUCAAAGCAUAAUGCAAAAUCCUCUCAUAAAGAAUUAAAUUGAAACUAACAACUUUCAAGAAGGUGCAACCGGCUGCCUGAAAAAGUCUUCCACUAUUCAGCAUCGGCCUGAAGGAUUUACUUGCCACCCAUAUGAAGGGAAAUCCAAGAAUGACUAAAGUUGGUCUUAUAUUGAGGAGAAAUACAUUAAACUGCUAAAGAAUCAAAUUAGAAUAAUUGAACACUUGGUGUAGAAAGAGUUUGGUGGGGAUGUAAAUAUAUUACAUUUAAUAGAAAAUUUAUUAAACAAGCUCCUCAACUUGCGUCCCAUCUUCUACACCUAUUCCACUUUAGGUGCCUUAACUAGUGUCUAGUGCUGUCUUUGUAUAUGGAUAAAUAUUGUGCCUGUAACAUAUGUCACUUUAUAUUUAUUUAUGAAAAAAAUGUUAGCUUAUGCAUUUGGGAUCCUUAUUGUUACUUUUAAUUGUUUUAUCAGGACUGAAAUCCCAUGCUGUAACGUUGUAUGAAGCUGGAAAACUAGGCCAUGCUUGCAUCGCUGAUCUUUGCAAAGAUCUGACUACCUUAGAAGGAGCGAAGUUUGAGGGUGAACUGCAGGAAUUUGCAAACCAUGCAUUUAGCCUACGCUGUAUUUUGGAAUGUUUAUUGGUUGGUGGAGUUGCCAUUAAUGCGAAAGGAGAGGAGGGAAUCUAUGAUAAACAAGAUGCAGAAGCUUCUGAUAAGAAGGAAUCAUCGUCCUUGAUAACUGACACUGCUUCAAUUGAAAAGUUAGAACACUUGACUAUUGAUGAAGAUCAGAAAUGUGCUGAUGAUUCUAGCAGUUCUGCGCUGGUCUUUGAGGGUUCUGCUGGUGAUGAUAUGAAUUCUGCUACCUCUUUAGAUGGUGGGACUUCCUUUAGUCAAGCAUCCGACCCAGUUCCUCAUCUUCAAAUUGAUAAUAAAUCAAUGCAGAUUGAUGAGCUAGAUAUUGGAGGAGAGUCAUUCAAGAGAAUAAAGAAAUAUCAAGUUGAUAUACUACGCUGUGAAAGCUUGGCUUCUCUUGCUCCUUCAACAUUAAAUCGAUUGUUUCUUCGUGACUAUGAUGUUGUUGUUUCUAUGAUUCCUCUUCCUCCUUCAUCAGUUCUUCCUGGACCAACAGGCCCUGUCCAUUUUGGUCCUCCAUCUUACUCAUCUAUGACACCUUGGAUGAAAUUGGUUAUAUAUUCAACUGUAUCCAGUGGGCCACUGUCAGUUAUACUAAUGAAAGGGCAAUGUUUGCGCAUGCUUCCUGCCCCAUUGGCUGGCUGUGAGAAAGCUCUAAUAUGGUCUUGGGAUGGUUCAAAUAUCGGUGGCCUGGGAGGAAAAUUUGAAGGAAAUUUUGUAAAAGGAAGUGUACUUUUACAUUGUUUAAAUGCACUUCUCAAAUACUCAGCUGUAUUGGUGCAGCCCCUUAGUAAAUAUGAUCUCGAUAAAAAUGGGAGAGCUAUUACCGUUGAUGUACCUUUACCCUUAAAGAAUUCUGAUGGCUCAAUUGCUCAAGUAGGUAAUGAUCUCGGUCUAUCUGAAGAAGAGAUUUCAGACUUGAACUCCUUGUUAGUUGUUUUAGCGAACAAGAUAGAACUGUGGACAGUUGGUUAUAUUCGGCUGUUGAAACUCUACAAAGAAAGAGAGUUGGAAAACUUUUCUUCGGAUGGAAAGGCCUAUGAAUGGGUACCAUUGAGUGUAGAAUUCGGGAUACCGCUUUUUAGUCCCAAGUUAUGUGAAAAUAUUUGUAAAAGAGUGGUCUCAUCUGAAUUGCUUCAAUCAGAUUUACUGCAUAAGCACCACGAUGCCAUGCAAGGAUUGAGAAAGAGAUUACGAGAUGUUUGUGCGGAAUACCAAGCAACAGGCCCAGCUGCUAGACUUUUAUACCAAAAGGAACAACCUAAAGAAGUUUCCAAACAACUUAUGAACUAUGCUAGCGGAAGGUGGAAUCCACUGGUGGAUCCUUCAUCUCCUAUUUCAGGAGCUGGGGGUGAACAUCAGAGACUUAAGCUUGCUAAUCGGCAGCGCUGUCGAACUGAAGUUUUGAGUUUUGAUGGUACCAUUCUCAGGUCUGUCUGUCUAUGUUUCUUCACCUAAAAACGGUUGGAUCCAGGAGUUCGUUUAGAUUUGUUAGGUGUUUGUUUAGAGUCUGCUAAUUUUGCUAAUUUUUAAGUCACUAACUUCUUUGACCUUCCUGUUCUGGCUAAGUUUAUUUACUUAUUUUUAUUUUACUUUUAGAUUCUUAUCCUUUUAUUCACUCUCCAAAGUGUUCCUAACAAAAAGUAUUAGUAGGUAUACACUGACAAGACAUAAUUGUCAUGAUUUUAGAGCUGUAGAGGCAAUAGUUUUACAAUAUUUUGCGCUAAUAAUAUGAAUGCUAUUUUUCAGAUCCUAUGCUCUAGCUCCCGUGUAUGAGGCUGCCACAAGGCCAAUUGAAGAAGCCCUUCCUGCUACGAUGAAAAGCGAAUCAGAUGAAUCUGACAGCAAGGAAGUAGUACUCCCCGGUGUGAAUAUGAUAUUUGAUGGUACCGAGUUACAUCCUUUUGAUAUAGGUGCUUGCCAGCAGGCUCGUCAACCAAUUGCCUUAGUAGCAGAAGCAGCUGCAGCCUCAGCAGCAGUCGCAACUAAAUAGUCUAUGGAGCCAUUGACAUUCACUUGGGUAGAAGAACAGACAAGGUAAUGCAAGUGAAGUCAAGCCUGACAAGUGAGAGAUCGUAUUCACUGUCUAUUUCUAUUCUGAAUUUUUUUCUUUCAUAUGCUCAUCUUUGGCGUGACUAACCUGAAAUGAAAGUUCGAGCUUAGGUCUGUGGUAAUGAUUAGUGUUUAAUUCGUUGGCGCUAUCAAUACGCAUCAUGGGCAUGUUACUCUGUGAUGCAUAUAUAGUUACCAUUGUUUGUUCGUUUCUCGUGAUAGCUUCUAAAUGCUGCCUGCCUGGCAAAAUGGUUUGCUUUUUACCCAUAAUUUGAAGGUUUCCUUUUCCCUUGGGUAUAGUACAGAUCUUGAACUGAUCAAAGCUAUCAUAUUGUGGUUGCUUGCUUUUUGAACCGACUUCAUCAUUGAUGAGAAUUUCCUCAAUGGCAGCAGCUUUAAGAGUUCUGUUUUGUUAAACAGGUGAUUUAUUUAGAAGCUAUAAUUGUUAUUUUUAGUUUCACAGGAACUAAAUCAAGAGCACAACUGCUAUGUCUUCAAUUUAUUAUCAAGAACUACACACCAGUCAAAUUUAGUAUAGGUUCAGAUUAUUUUUCUUAGAUGAUUUUUACUAAAUUAUAAAACUUUCUGUCGAUAGUUUUUGUGGAUAUGUCACCAACUGUGCAUGAGUGAAUGGAGAUUUCUCAUAAUCUCAUUGUAUUUUGGGCUAAAUGAUUGCAGUGAUAAAUAUGGAAUCAACACAUUUUUCAUUUGAUUACUUUUGAUCAUCUUUUCUAUUCUCAUAAUAUCAUCGAAUCCGAUGGACUUUUGAUUUAUAAGUUACUUUGUCUAUGUUGUCUAGAAAUAGUUAAAAUUUAGAUUCUAUGAAUGUAAAAGUUAUAAUUUUAUCCUUGGUUUGAUAAAAUCCUUGCAACCUAAAAAUUGUUUUAUGAAAACAUUCAGAUAAGAAUUGUUAGGUAAUUGUAUCAAAAUCAAUACAUUUUUAUUUACUAAAUGCAAAGAAAAGGUUACUCUAUUAUUGUUAUUGUUUAAAAACAAACUUCACUUACACCCACUUUCCAUGCAUUUCUUGACUAUCUAAUCCAAAAGGGAUAAAAAAAAUGUCUUUGACCCCAAAAGUUAUAUUAAUUUUAACUUUAAAGCUCAUCAAAUUGAACCUAAUUUUAGGUUUGUGAUGUAAUAUUUUCUUCAAUUUUAACUCUUGAUAGAAAGAGAAAUACAUGCUUGAUAUGAAGUUGAUAAAAUUAUAGGGAAAAGAAAGUCCAUGUGAUGUUUGGCUAAAUUUACAAAAGUUAGAAAAGUUAUUGGUAUUAAUCAAACUUACUUUUCUACAGAUUUUUAUUCUAUUGAAAUUAUUCGAUUUGUGAAAAUUAUAUGCUAUCUCUUAGUUAGUAGAUAUUUAAAAUGUAUAACACAUUUUGUUUUACUGUCCAUCAAAUAUACGUAUCCAACUAUUUUUUUAGCAUUUCUUAAAAAAGUAAUAAAUACGGGCAACAAAUCCUCCAAAACAAUUAUCAAUAAAAUUAGUAAAAAUUUAUCAAUUAUUAAACCUAAAAAUUAUUAUAUGAAUUAAAUAAAGUACCUUCGAUAUUUAAAGAUGGAAGUGAUGCGAUCGAGUUCACCUUAAAAAAUAAAGAAUUGUUUAGUAUUACGAUAGUACGAUCUCUGUUAAUCGGUUAUCAUCUAAGCAAAGUCCAUGUAAUAAAUAUUUAAUAAAUCAAUAAAAAUUCAUGUGUAAAUAAAAUAAGUAAAAACUGUUAGUGGUAGACAUUUUUCCCAAAAGAAUCCAUAGAAGUUAGAUAUUUAUAAGAAAAAGAACAAGCAAAGCAAAGCUAAUCCUAAGGUAAUCACGUAUGGAGAGCGAAGAAGGAAAAAUCAAGUUAGGCGAUCCAUACGGUCCGUUCAUUCACGUGGGCAACAUGAAAAAGCAUCCCGUUUCAUUGCCGCGCUCGAGUUUCCAAAUCGGUAAAAUUCCGAUUUCCAACAACAAUAACCUUCACCAUUUUCCAUUUUUUUCUCUAACGAACUACAUGCAAUCAUCUUCAACUUCAUCACUCUUUCACCCCCAGUUUCUCACUAAUCUCAUCACCUUUCACCUUUGAAGAUCCGCGAUGAUCCGCUCUCUGCCUCUCCACCAUUAUUCAACUACUCUUCAUUUUCCUCUCCUUCCGUCGUCCUGCACUGGAGCUACUCAUUCCCUUCACUUCCGGUAGCGUAACUUUAUUUGAUUCUUGAAUCGGAAUUGGAGCUGUCUACAAUGCCGUCCUAAGUGAUAUGGAGUUCCAUUGAUUACGUGAGGCUCAUAGGAUGUUUCUUUUUGUCGUUUUGACUUCAUUUUCCUUGUUCGUUUGAUUAGAUUGAAGCGGCAAGUGAAGCUAGUGCCAGGAAGCAGCAGUAGCGACAGCCGGGAGAUUUUUAGUGAGGUAUGGCGAUAUCCGCAGUUUCAGCUUGUGAUCAAUGUUUUUGUGUUUGCGAGUGACUUGGUUGAACUUUUCUGCAUAGGUUAGACAAAGCAGGGAGGAGUCAAACUUUGGACUGUAAGUGCAUUAAGUAGUCGUGAUCAAGAUCGUGUGCUGGAGGUUCGUACUUAUUCCUCAUGGAUGUGUUUGUUUUUUAGUUUCAUCAUAAAUUUAUUGUAGGGAGAAUGAAAGGAUGCUUGCACAUGAAAAAAUCUCUCAUACUAUUGAGAAAAGUCAUCACGGAUGAUUACAAAAGAUUUUGGGAUGAGAAUUAGUUAAAAAACAAAACAAUAAUCUGAACUAUAGCCACAGCUGCAUCUUUGGGCAUUGGAAGGUGAAUAUGGGAUAUCCAAUUUUUAGAUGUUUGCGGAACAUCAUUAUAGUUAGUGGAUCUCCAUGAAUGCUAGUUAUUAAGCCGUUCCUUGUUCUUAAAUUAUGAAGUUACUACGUCUUUACUUCUUUAACUACUUUCCUAUGGCAAAUGACAUACCAUUAUGAUAGUAAAUUCAUUGUAUGCCAAGAUUGAUAGUGAGAGAAAUGAGGACGUGUUUUCAAUUUUCAUUUUCAUUUUAUGUAAUAAUGUAAGAUCCCUUUAUAUGGAUAUGGUUAGACUAGAAGUUGCUAUCUGUUUUUGGUUUUAUCUAAGCCAAAUAUAUCAUGUUACCUGGCAAUGAAUGUUAUCAGCACCGUCCAUUUAACAUGGCACAUGUUCUCUGUUUCAAACAUCAGCAAGAAGCUCCUGAAAAUUUGGACACUGGUCCAAUGUUGAAAAUAUUCCCAGGCCAAGCAUUUCCCUUGGGUGUUUCAGAAGUUGACAAUGGGAUCAAUUUUGCAAUUUUCUCACAGCAUGCUACAUCUGUCACCCUUUGUUUAUCACUUGAUGGGAGGUGUGUUUCUAACUUGCUAUGUAAUGGAAUUAAAAUCCCGGCUAUAAACGUUUUGCUUUAAAUUUGGAUGUGGUAGGAAUGCAUUUAUUAAGAUAUCAACUUGUAACAUGUAUUAGAUAUUUAUCAUCCAUGGACAACUUCCACUGGCUUGCUUGGGGUUGAGAGGUUGUGACACUUGUGAUACAAAAGUUAUACCAAUUGAAAUGGCCUCUACCUCAAUCUUCCACAUAAUAUUUGCAUCAAAUCUCAAAUCCCUCUCUCUCUCUCUCUCUCUCAUGGUGGUUGAUGUUAUCUUUUUGAGUACUUGUGUGACUGCAGUUUAGUAGUAAUGUCAGCAUCCCACCUUUCCACACACCCGUCUUUUUCCUGUUCAUUCAUUCAACUUCAAGCUUUUGGUGUUGACAUUAUCCCUUUCAGGAUUGAUGAUGGAAUGCUGGAGUUCAAAUUGGACCCUGAUGACAAUAGAACAGGAGACAUUUGGCACAUUUGCAUCCAGGUUGGCCAGAAAAAAAUAUAUUGAUUAAUUUUUCUAGUGUUGUUGUUUCACUCUUUCUAAGUUCAUUUGAGUCGUUUUUUAGAGGGUAAGGGAAUAAAACCAAUGGACUCGCUUAUGCAAGCAUGGUUGGACAUGACUUGGAUUAUCAAAAUCAAAUUUCAUAUGUAUUUGAGAAUCUGAUUAGUUUCCUAGCUUGUGGUUUUGACUAAUUGGUUUCAAAGUGUACCCUUAUUAUUCUCCAUAGUCCAUUUCCUAUCCUGUACAAGGAAAGCCCUCAUCUUCCUUAAUUCUUGCAGGUUUUAGCAUAUUGAUUGGCUUUGGUAAUUGGAUUGCUUCUACAAACACCAUCCUUUUAUUUUUGACUGUUUGAUACAGCCUGAUUGUUGAAUAGAGUUAUGGAAUAUAGUCUAGAUAUUUGUUUCAAGGACUUGAUAUUCAAAAUUUUCUUGUACUUCAUUUAUCAUGUGGCAUCAAUGUGGUAUUCAGAGUCCUGUAGUUCCAUUGCGCUUUGCAUGCUCUUAAACUUUCAUAUUUGUUAAUGGUACACGUGCUGCUUUUAAGAUGUAAAUAAAUAAAGUCACUUAUAAGCUGAACGAUUUGUUGUCAAUAGGUUUGGUGUUGGUAUAAUACUUGCCUAAACAUUAAUCAAUCACCUGUCGAAGAGUUUGAAACACACAAUCACACACCAGUUUUCCUCCUUUAAAUAUUAUUGUCAUUAUUUGGGGAGUGGAGGUAAUUUAGAGGGCAUGCAUCUCAGUCCUUUUAUUUGAUCACCUAACACUGAAGUAGUUAUAUAAUUUUCUGUUUUGAUGUUGGUCAGUUAGAUAGAUCUCAUAAACCUUUGUUUGAGUUUGUCUCUGUUUGGUUUAGUCAUUAAGAAAAUGAUCCAGUGCACAUGUUUUACAAUUUUGAUAGUGCACUUUGAGCAGGACUUACGACGGAAAAAUGUCCUAUAUGGCUAUAGGAUUGAUGGUCCUCAAGGUUGGCAUCAUGGGCAUCGGUAUGAUGCUGGCACUGUGCUUUUAGAUCCUUACGCCAAGUUUGUUGAAGGUCGCCGAUACUUCGGGGGUGAAAAUAAGUCCACUGGUUUUCUUGGGACUUAUGAUUUUGAUAGCUUGCCUUUUGAUUGGGGAAAUGACUAUAAGCUUCCUAAUAUACCAGAGGUAGAAGUGUUUGUUUUUUUUUUUUUUGUGUGUGUGUGUGUUAAUGUUGAGGGCAUAUCUUUUACCUGAAUUAAUGCAUUAACACAUUUGUCGACGAAUUAUAUAUAUCACCCACUGAAAGAAAUAUAUAUUUUCAAUCAAAACAAAGGGGAGAACAACCUAAUGAUGAGGGGUUGAGAAUAAGAAAAAAAAGAAAACCCUACUGAAGAAGAGUUUUCCAAUUGUUAAAAGGCCAUAAUUACAAAAGAAUUUGGUGUAUUUCCUACACCACCAAGAGGCCAUGUGUUGACGACCAUCCAAAAAAAAUCACACUUAUCUUAAAAAAUUCUGCUAUUUCUUUCCUUCCAUAAGCACCAAAGGAAGGAGCAGGAAGCACAUUUCCAUAAAAUUUUGCCUUUACCACCAUAGACAGGAAAAUCAAGGCCUUCCAUCAUCCAGUCGUCAAUCUUUUUAGGAAGGAAGCAAGCCAAACCAAAAAUCUCAAACGAAAGGGACCAUCCCUUGCCAGCAAAAUCAGUGGAGAAAGAGGUGGUCAAGAGUUUCAUCGUUUUUCCCACACAUGCAGUAGAUAGAAGGGGAGAGGGCUGUCCCCUUAAGCUUCCUUUGAAGUAUAUCGUGAGUAAUUAAACGUCUAUAGGCAAGGGACCAAAAAAAGAACUUCACCUUUUUAGGGUUUUAAGCUUCCACACAAGGCUAACCAGAGGAAGGGUGGGGCUAGGGGCCUUUUAACACUAUUCAGAAAAGUCGAUUUAGUAUGAAACGUACCAGAGGCACCAAUCCUACAUUUAAGGCGAUCCAGGCAAUCAAGAGUAGUCCAAGAAUUAAGAAUUUCCAGCAACGCCACCAUGUCACCCAUCUCUCUAUCUAGGACCUGUCUUUUAAGACCCAAAUUCCAGGAUAGACUAUUAGCACACCAGCAAUCUGCGAUCACAGCCUCCUUUUUAUGAGAAAAACCAUAAUGUCGAGGAAUAUCAAACCAAGAGGUUGAGAAUUACACCAAAUAUAGUAAUUGAUUACCAACAUUCGUAAGCUUUAGUAAUUUUUUUGUCCCUGCGGUUUUUAAGUCCAUUUGUUCUCCUCCUCUCUCUAUCCUUUUUUUUUCUUCGGCCUCCUUACUAUCAUUUAUCUCAACGAGAAUUAUCUUCUUUUGGAAAUCUUUAUUCAAGUCUUUUGUGAUUCUUGGUUGAAUGCUUUUCUUCUUUUUGGCAUGUGUUCCUCAGUUGUCUCCUAUAUUUGUCAUAUAAUUAGAGAUUUAUUAUUUUGGACUAUAGUCUUUUUUCAUUAAUGAGAACACGUUCAUCUACAAAGAAAAGUGUUAGAUUUUCCAACAAAAGAAAUUACUGCCUGUGAAUUGUUUCAUUGCUUAUCCAACACGAUUUUAUUUUUCUUAAGAAUAUUUAUAUUUUAGUUUUAAACUUUGACAUACUAUGUAUUCAAACUUAUAUGCAGAAAGAUCUUGUAAUAUAUGAAAUGAAUGUCCGUGGAUUUACAGCUGAUGAAUCUAGUGGCUUGCCUUCAAGCACACGGGGAAGUUACCUGGGUGUUAUAGAAAAGGUAGGAAUUAUUAUGUUAAAUCUUAGUGCCAUGAUCAUCUCUAUUUUUUUUUCUUCAUCAUCACUAGUUUUAACUUUGCAAGAACUGUGAUGAAAGUAUAAUGAUGGCACAUACAUUAAUUCUGCUUGUAUCUGUUUUUAGUAGAGAUAGCUUAGCAAUGGUGUACUGAUUUACUGCACUACAUUCUCUAUAAUACUAAUAUCUGACUACAACCUAGGGAAGGAAUGACUAUUGUGCACAUAACAUUGCAGAAGCUUUUAGGAUGAUGUAAAUGACUUCUAUCUUUAACGUUGUAAAUGUAGACCUUCCACACCUCUUGGAAUGGGAGGGUUGUCUUUGUGGCAUAGUAUUUUAUCUUUUAAAUAGGAAACGUAAAUUAUAUUGCCCAAAGAAAAAUUAGAAAAGAAGAGGAGAUAUCUACCCACACAUCCAAAUGGUUACAAAAAGGCCUCCCAAUUGGCAAAGAUAUCCAAGAGGACACAAUUACAAAAUUUCAUGGAAAGGAAACACCAAGAAGAAGAAAAAGCUUUCAUCAGUUCCUAAAAUUUCCCCUGUGCUUCACUCAAUCCCCUUGAAACUCUCCUGAUCCCUUUCGAACCACAGCUUCUGGAGACUUGGCAAACAUGGCAUUAGACUAGAUAAUCCUAUCCUCCUUAUUAUCAAUAUCAUCACCUAAGAAGUACAUACACUUUAGUUUGGCUAGUGUCUCCUUGUCUGACACGUGUUGGCCACUUGGACACUCUGACACUUGUUGGACAUGUAUCGGACACUUGUUAGUGCAACCAAUGUAUUAGACAUGCGUAGAACACUUGUUGAGCAUACUAAAAAGACGCAUAUAUGACAAGAACGAUCACUUUUUUUAGUGUGAAAUACAUCAAGCUAAGUUUUAAAGCAUAUAGAUGUAUCAACCCAUUUACAUUGGAUAUUCUUUUACUAUAAAAAUAAUAUAUAUUUUAAAAAAUUAUAUUUCAAUAAAUGUGUUUUUGCUGUGUUGUGUCUUUGAUUUAUAAAAUAUAAAAUAUGGCAUGUCGCUGUGUCCGUAUCGUGUUGUAUCCGUGUCUCUUAUCUGUAUCCAUGCUUCUUAGAUCAUCACUUCUAUUGUUUUCUUCUUUUUUUAGCAUAGCUCAGUGUGGUUGAUUUAUUUUGGCUGAUACAGUUUACAUUCUAACUUCUUUUAUGGGUGACAGAAUAUAUAGCCCUUUUUAUUAUUAUUUCUUAUAUUUUUUGCCUCUGUCAUAGAUAAACAUAAGCUGAAAAUUGUAUUUGUUGAAGAUUAACAGUGAAAUAGUUUCUCAUUUCCUGUUUUUAUACCAUCACUUCCAACAGAAAAUCUCUUUGUUAAUGAUUGCCUUUGGUUAAUCAAAUGGUAAGACUCUGAAUCUACAGAGGAAGUGAUUCAUUUCCAUUUGAUGCAUUGAAAAUUGACUAGUAGUUCACAUUUUUCGUUGCCUCUUUUGCAAUUCCCUUUCUAUAGAGAUCUAUAUAAAGCUACUCUUUGACCUUUUUGAUUUUUAAGAUUCCACAUCUGCUGGAGCUUGGUGUCAAUGCAGUUGAACUAUUGCCUGUCUUUGAGUUUGAUGAGUUAGAGUUUCAGAGGCAUCCAAACCCCAGGGAUCAUAUGGUAAAUUUUAUGCAAUAACUUGAUUAUCUUUUAUUGACUGUUACUGAACAUCGUCAUUAGCUUUGUUGUGAAUGCUUUGAUCAGAGGUCUUAUACCACCCUCUUCGUUGUACUGGUGCCAGAAGCAUGGAAAAUUGGCUCUUUGGUUAUUGUAGGUGUCAUGACUAUAGAGAUAAGAGGAAAUUUUGUACUUGAAAUGUUGAUUCUCAGAUAAUUUUGGUGAAAGAAAAUUUCAAUGAUGCUGAUGAACUUAAUCCCUUCUAAAAACCAAAAAGAUUAAGACUGGUGGCUCAAUUUAAAUUGCAAAUCCUAAUACCCAAACGCCUAAAAUAAUUUGUUCCUCUUUCAUGUCUUUGUGAGUGAGGCCCAUCGUGUCUUUAUUCGUACUUCGUUUUUGUGAUGAUUAAAAAUCUCACAAAUACAUAUAAUUUAUUUUUUAUGGUUUAUAAAUAUGUCCGCUGAAUAAAAUUUGUAUGUAAUCUUUGUAUCAAAAGUGGACUUUAUAUUCCAUUGUCGCUUUCUUUUUAACUUGGCCUGUAUGCUUACUGUUUCUUAAAGAUCAAUACGUGGGGCUACUCCACAAUCAACUUUUUUGCUCCAAUGAGUCGAUAUGCUAGUGCUGGUGGAGGACCUCUUAAUGCUUCGCUGGAAUUUAAACAAAUGGUUAAAGCCUUGCAUGCUGCUGGGAUAGAGGUAAAUCAUGUAUUUAAUCAUUUGCUUACACAUAGAUGAUAGAUGGGAUUGUUCAUCAGAUUCAGCUCAGUCACUUUGUUUGGGCUAACUUUCCAUAUAUAUAUAUAUUUAUAUUUUUAUUGAAAUAAAUUUUUAUUGAAAGUAGAGACGUAGAACAAACAUGAAUUUACAUGGAAACCCUAAUACAGGGAGAAAAACCGAUACUGAUAUUUCUUAUUAUUUUCUUAUGAUAAUAAAGGUACAAAGGGAGAAGUAUUUAUGGGCAACACGAGCCUUACUAAAAUAAUAAAAAAUUAGGGCAAAGUAAAUCUUAACUACCUUUGGGCUUUCAACGUGACCUAAGCCCACUAUUUUCUAACAAAAAAUUUUCUUCAUUUUAUUGUGGAGUGAGGUUUUUUUCUUGUUGCAGGUCAUUUUGGAUGUUGUGUACAACCAUACUAAUGAGGCCGAUGAUGUAAUUCCUUAUAUCACUUCAUUUCGUGGCAUUGAUAAUAAGGUGUUGUACUAAUCUCUUUAAGUAAGUUUACAAGUUUGCAUAUAUUAGCUUGGGCAAUCUUACUAAUUUCUAUGGACAGUAAAUGGUAUGCUCAAAACUUUUAAAUUUCUCAUUAACUUCUUUUGUAGGUUUAUUACAUGUUGGACCUGAAGAAUAAUGGUCAAUAUUUUAACUUCUCUGGCUGCGGUAAAUUAGUUUCUCUUAGAUUAUGCUUAUACAAACAAAAGCUUUACCCUGAAUGCAUAACUCUGUCUCUUCAAUUUACAUUCUUAAGCUCAGUUUUGAAACUAACUAUAGUAGCUUUCUUUGCAUUUCCACUUCAUGAGCGAUUUUAGUCCCAGGCCUCCUAGUAUUUCACUAAUUCUUGGAGAAUGGGCGGACUGAGUUUCUUAAAUGAUCAUGCAAGAUAGGAUGGUAAAUGAGUUAGGUGGAUGCCUGGAUGGGCAUACUUUUAGCUGGGGAAUGGAACAGUUAGGACAGCAUUCUAGAGAGGCAGUGAAGGCUCCCAUUUCUCUCCUGGUUAUUUUAGUUAGUUCUAUCAUAUUUCUUCAUAAAGGUUGCGGUUGAGCUUUCAUUUUCUACAUUGCAAUGACAGAAAUACAGUAUUUCCAUUAGGGACAUAAGUUCAUGGAAAAUGUUCAAACGGGAAGUAAGACUGUUUUAAUUCAUAUUGGUUAUCGCAUGGAAAAUCCCCUGUGGAAUGUAUUUAGCGUGGACAUUGUUUAGCAUUCUUACAAGGUAUCCUGCUUGUAUUCAAAGAAAUACAUUACAGGGCUCCUACAAAUUAGCCAUACCUUAGAUACUUGGGUAUCUCUUCUCUUGGUGCCAAUAAGUCUUCUGGUCCUGAUGGAUUUACAACAGAGUUUUUAAAGUUUUUCUGAACUACUUUAAACGAUGACAUUAUGAAUAUGUUCCAUGAUUUUUUUGACUUCGGAAUUAUCAAUGCCUCUCUAAAUGAAAUCUAUGUUUGUGUCAUUCCCAAGAAAUUGGAUGCUAGAAUGGUCUUUGAUUAUCGACCGAUCAGUCUCAUCCCAUGUGCUUAAAGAUUAUUGCUCGGGUCUUAUUGAAUUGAUUGAAACAGGUUCUUCCCCUACCAUUGCUUUAAAUCGGCUUGCUUUUGUUGUAAAUAGAGAGAUUCUGGAUGCAUCCCUUAUGGUUAAUGAAUUGGUGGAUGAUUGGUUCAUGAGACCAAGAAAGGUGUGAUUAUUAAACUUGAUCUUGAAAAGCUUUUGAUACGGUCAAUUGGGACUUUUUAGAUGCAAUUUUCCAGGCUAAAGGCUUUGGCGUAAGUGGAUUCAUGGAUGUGUCUCUAGUGCAAUUUUUUCCAUUAUUAUUAAGGUAGACCUCGUGGUAAAAUAAUCUGUACUCGCGGCAUCAGACAAGGCGAUCUCUUUCUCCUUUUCUUUUUAUAUUGGUUGGCGAUUGCUUAAGUCAUCUGUUGGACCAUAGUCUAUCAAAAAAUUUGAUAGCCAGCCACCCCAUUGGUGCUUCAAGUUUUAUUCUGAAUCACUUGCAAUUUGCUGACGACAAUUUGUUCUUUUCCACUGUGCUGCCCUUACAUGCUUGUUUGAGGUUAUUCAUGUCUUUGAACAAGCUUCUGGUUUAUCUAUUGAUCUCUUUAAAAGUGAGCUUCUUGGCAUUCAUAUCUUUGAUGAUGUUCUGGAUUUGAUGGUGAUUGUUUCUGGGUGUAAGAAGGGACAAUGACCAGCUUAUUAUUUUGGCCUUCCCCUUGGUGGUAACUCUAAAUCGAUGAUUUUCUGGCAACCUAUUACUGAGAAGUUCCAACAAAAACUCCAUAAUUGGAAAUAUGCUUACAUCUCCAAGGGUAGUCAUCAUCAAGCUAGCCUACUUAUUACCUUUCUCUUUUUCAUGCCUCUAAUUAUGUGAUUAAUUGUUUGGAAAAACUUAUGCUUGAUUUUUUUUUGGAUUGUUCAUGUGAUGAAAAUGGUAUCCAUAAAGUUAAUUAUUAUUACUCAGCGCCCUACGCUUCUUCGUCGUCUUGGCAUUGGCAAUUUUCGUCAUCGAAAUUCUGCCCUUUUGGCAAAGUGAAUCUGGAGGUUUUUACGUGAGCAGGAUGCUUUGUGGCGUUUGCUCAUUGUGGCUAAGUAUUAUUAUCCCUCUUGUGUUUGGGUGACUAUUGUUAGAAGGUCAUUGAAAUCCCCGUGGAGCUCCAUCUGCCAGACUGCUAACCUUAUAUUUUCUAGGACUCAAAAUUGUCUUGGUACGGGUGACACUAUCUCUUUAUGGAAAAGAUCGAUGGCAUGCUUGUGGUAUCCUCACUAUGAUUUUUCCUCUUUUGCGUCUCUCUUGUACUUUUGUUGCUGAAGCGUGGCUUGCUGAUUUUGAGACUCGGGACUUGCACUUUAGACGUAGUUUUACUGAUUGUGAAAUUCAGGAAUGAGUAUCUUUGUCUACUAUUUUGCUUCUAGCAGAAUUUGUAUGGUGCCUGAUUCUUGAAGAUGGACUAUUGACUCCUCAUCUAUGUUUACUGUGAAAUCUAUGAUUGAUGACUUGACAAGUGCUCUCAAUCCUUCUGAAAGGAGUUUUUAUUCGAUCAUUUGGAUGGAUCACUUUCCGAAGAAAAUUAAAAUUUUUCUUUUGGAGCUUAGUCAUAAAGCUAUAAAUACUGCCGGUCGUCUCCAACGUCGUAUGCCUUAUAUGUCUCUUUCUCCUUGGUGCAUUAUGUGUUGUGCUAAUGUUGAAUCCCAUGCUCAUCUUUUAAUUCAUUGUCCUUUUGCUUGACAAUUUUGGAAUCUCAUUUUGGAGGUUUUUUGUUGGUCUACUGCUUUGUCCAAUGACAUUUCGGACAUCUUCAACUCUCUGUGGGCCACCUAUUAUUGGUUGCAAGAAGGUUAUUUGACUGGCUGUUCUUUGGGCUUUCUUUUGGACUUCAUGGGGCAUGCGUAAUAGACAUCUUUUUCAAGACUCUUUUUUCAUCUUUUAGUUAUUUUUUUGACAUGGUAUUGUCCAUGGCUUUUUAUUGGUGCAAAAUUUGGCACCUUUUUAAGAACUUUAGUUUAUCGGUCUUAGUUGCCAAUUGGCGCUCUUUUUGUAAUCACCUUUAGGUACUUGGGGUUUCCCCUUAUUUCAUUUUAUCAAUGAAAUGUUUGUUUCUUAUAAAAGAAAAUACCUUAUCUACUUGCUCAAAGAGGAGAUUUAAUUUUAGGGGUGGGGGAGGAGAAUUGUUCCUGGCAAUUAAUGCUUAUAGAUUAGUUAGGAUAUAUUGCCAUUAUUAUAUCGUUUGUUGGCUAGUUAAGUUAUUGCCUAGCUAACUGUAUGUAGUCAGUCCAAGAUGCUUUUAAGUUGAUAGAGGGGCUGCCAUAGUCGGAUAAUUCUAAAUUUAAAAAAUAUAUAAUUCAAAUAUAUCUCUUUUUUUCAAGAAUUUUGUAACAAGAAACAAUUUUCAACCAUUGAUGGCUGUAAAGUUACAACAUAUUGAAUAAAACAAGCUCCCUUUGUGGAGUGGAUAAAAAAAAUACCCUUCUUUAUAAAAGUAUAUGAAAAUUACCAAAGAAAAACAAAAGAGAAAGGCCCGAAACGAGAUAAACAUUAUUUGUUUUAAAAUGUCAAUAACCUGUGAGUAACUCUUAGUUACACGAUUUCCUUUAAUUGCAGGUAACACCUUGAACUGUAAUCAUCCCGUGGUGAUGGAACUAAUUCUUGAAAGCUUAAGACACUGGUAUGGACUUCACACUAGCUUCCUCCAAAACUUUUACCUUUUUUUGGAAGAAAUCGACCAGUUAGACUGUGAAACAUGCUUUUCAGUUUUCUGCAAAUAUGAUUUUGUAUGCAUAACCUUUUGUUACCAUUUUAUUGUUUUUGACAAUAAUUUUUUUAUCGAUAUAUAUGAAACAAAAGAAUGGGGAAAUAACUUCCAUCUCAAGGAAUUAAAAAGACUUACCCAACCCAACAAAAGAUUAGACAAGCUAUAAGAGUGAAAGAAAGGUCACAAUUUACACCUAGUCACUGCAAGAAACACAUCAUGGUCAAAAAAAGAACUCAAAAGGUAGCUCUUUGCCUACAAAAAGGUCUGGUGAAUGUUCAACCAAAGGAGCUCUUUCUCCUUUUUAAAUGGGUGCUCCAGGAAAGUAGCAACAGACACAACUUUUCUCAUACAGGCAGCUCAUAGUUUUAAGCAUGUAACUUUGUGUUAUUUUCUACCAUGAACAUACUACAUUUUAUGCCUGCUUGAAAUUAGGAAAACUUCAUUGUUGAACUCGAUUGCUGCUGCUUUGGAUUUGAUGUGCUUAGCUGAUGGAUAUGGUAGACAUGUGCGGCGAAAGUUGAAUCAAAUUUACCCUAAUUGCAUCUAAUCCUAUUAGAAAUUAACAUGUAUUUACCUAAGUAAAUUAAAUUAGGGUUUUAAGAAAUCAUACCUUUGUAGCUCUCGUACCGCACCAAUCUCCACCCGAACAUGAUCUGGACUACCACUAGUGUUGACCCGCUAUUCUCUGGACUUAAAAUCGGAUUGUGGGACCUGAGGGAAAGAUUUGAGAGAGAGAGAUGAAAAUUGGAUUAGGGUUGGGAGAAUUUUGGUGAGUUUUUUUUUUAAUUUUUAAAGAUAAACAAACUAAAAUGCCAAAAGUUUUUAACACAUUAAAAAAAAACUUCUUUAAAUAGACAAAAUACAUGCAACUAUUGCAUGCCUAAACUCACGAAAACCCAAAACCUCACAUUCUAUUAACUCUUAUUGGGCUUAGUGUCAUCACCAUGAGCUUCCACUUAGCUCACUAAUGAGUUGGUGGAAUUAUGCAACAAUGCCUUAUUUCUUAGUGGUCUUGGUGUCAUCACCAUGAGCCUUCACAUCACUAAAAGUUAGUCAAAGAGUAAAAUGAUGAUUUCACCAUUCAAGUCAAAGUCAAAAGUCAACAUUUUGAUUUUUUAUCAUUUUGUUCGUCUUGACUCAUCCUGACCUCCCGAGCAUGAAUCCGCAUUCAUUUUUCUGAAAUUCAAAUCACAUUUGAAUGUAUUAUUGGUCAAAGUUUGACUUUUCAAAUUCAAAAGUCAACUCUUUGAUUUUUUGCAACGUUGACCAUUUCCAUAAUUUGCAAGCUUCUAAAUAUGAAUCCACAUUUAUAUUUAUUAUAUUUAAAUCAUAAUUAAAUAUAAAGCUUUAUCUCUAAACUAAUAAUCGACCGCUAUAUCACAUAUACUUGUCAGUUUCUCUCUCCUUACCUAAUUCGAACUAAUCCAACAUACUGUUCUAAGUUAAUUUCAUAUGAGCUAACAAGGAAACCUAAUGGAUCUAUAGAUCAUGAGCUCCUCUGAGAUUAAUUAGCUAAACUCUUUUAGACCGAGCUAAUGAGCCUUCGUUAACUAACGGGUCACUCCCCUCACUAUAAAUAGAUUUGUGUCCAUAUGAUAUAACCAUGAUUAGUAAGUUAAUCCUUCACAGGUUGUUCGCAAUCUCGACUCGGUCAAAAUACCAUUUUACCCUUGAGAUUACAUUUUGCUCCUUAAGUCCCACUGAUCCACUAUUGAACAAUUGGUUUAAGGUUCAACCUAUAAACCAAAUCCUAUUGUGAGAGGGUGGGGCCCCUUGUUCAAAACUUGGAUUUAGUUUUUAAGAAAACAACCUAUCUACUAACUUUAUAAUGGGUAGAAGUGAAUUUCAUCUUGAACCUUAUGUCCCCAACUAUCCACCCAGUCUUACCCUUGCAAUGGGAGGCUUAUUGGGCCAACAAUGUUGAGCUGUCCUCAACUAUGCAGGUCUUAGAAUAAUCCCGUGUGAACAAGAACUCAUAGUUAGCUUAGGAUUAAGAUUAAGUUACUUAGGUCAUCAAUAAUCGAAAUAGUCAGUUUUAUACAGUCAACGGUGUUAUAACGUAAAAGUGACUAUUUCAGGGUUUCAGUCUUAUGUGAACUCUUUUUUACAUAGGAUGCCUCCACUUUCACGUCUCCACAUGAGCGAUUCAGAAUCAUAUCGUUUGUACUAACUACAAAGUGAGCCCAAUCAUAGUGUCCUUAGAAUAAGGCGCCCAACCUUAUUCAUAUAUUAUAGACCGUUUAAGUUAUAUACUCAAACUUGAUCCAUGUUUAUGUCUUUACAUAAAGUUCAAGUUUACUCAAGAUAAUCUCGGGACCUUAGUUUAUUGGAUUCAAGAUUAUAGUAUUCAAUUUCACUAAUAAUUCCUCCAUAACACCUUUAUUGAAUAGAAUAUGAUUUUAAACUACAAACUACGAGUUUUAGGACAUAAAUUUCAACAUUAACAAGAAAAGAAGCAAGGAAGCUUAGAAAUCAUUAUUUUGUUCCCUUUGGUGGGUUCACUGUGUUUUAUGGUGGAGAAAUCUAGUAACUACUAGUUCUUUAAAUGGAACUCUGCUUGAAGGGUUAAUCCAUAUUGCUGUUUCUAAUUCUUCUUGUUUGUGGAUUUUUUAUUUCCCCGAUUGGUUAAUCCAUAUUGUGGGGGCGAAGAUGAGUGUGUUUUAUUGGAAUCACACUUUGGUAUUUUCGUCCAAAAAAAUAUUUAAAAACUCUGCUAGAAGAGGAUGGGAGAAACAUUUUAAAGCUCUUGACUUAAAAAUUUUUCUUCGGGAGAAGAUGAAUCGCAAGCUUUUGGAAACUCUAAUUAUGUAGUGCUCUAAAGGUCACAAAAAAAAUUUGUGGGCGCGUGUCUUGGGUUCCUUUGUGGGAGCUUUUUGAAGACAAGUCCAAGUUUUUGUUAAUUUUUCUGAACUUGUACCAAAUUAUUUUUGUAAUCCCCCCCCCCCCCCCACCCACCCACCAACACACACACUCGCUGUGUGUGUGAUCAAUACAUUUUUUGUUUCUUAUCCAAACAAAAUAGUAGUAAUAAUAAUAAAGGAAGUUGUUAUAGAUGAUAUCUUGUAACUGAACGCUUAUUUUUAUCCCACGACACUCAAUUUCAGGGUUGUCGAAUAUCAUGUAGAUGGUUUUAGAUUUGAUCUUGCCAGUGUUCUUUGCCGGGGAACAGAUGGUGCUCCACUUAGUGCCCCCCCACUCAUAAGGGUAUGUAAAUUGUCUUCGUGAUUUUUUUUGUUUACCUACAUUCAUGGCAUUUAUUCUAUAUCUGGAAGGAGAGAAACUAGAACAUUUUGCACUAAGAACUCGUUGCUGCAUCUAUUUAACUUCUUUUUGGGUCUUUUCGAUAAAGUAGCCUGUUUUUAGUUUCUAUUUUUUAAGUCUAGCAGGAAAGUUUAUAGUCAAUGAAGGGAUAGUAUAAUAAGUGUGUAGCUAAGAGUUUGAUAGAGAUCACUAGUUGUAAAACUAGAGAAAUGGGUUCUAACUGGUAAAAGGUAGGAUCAUCUUUCUAUAGAAUUUCAAAUCUCUUUCCUAUUCCUAUCUUUUUUGUUAUUCAAAAUUUGAAUUUCUAGAAUUUCAGUCAUGUAAUUUUGCAUACUAGUAUCCUGGGUCAAUUGAUGAUUUAACAUGGUAUCAAAGAAGGAAGUUCAAGAGUUCUUGUGUUUAAAUCCUUGCAAUGUUUUCUUCUCUCCAAUUAUUACUGAUUUCCAUUUGUUGGGUCUUCUAAAUAUUCAAAGUCUUUGUACCAUAUUGUUCUUGUAAUCUGAGUUUCAUUCCAUAUUGUUCUUGUGUUUUCAAAUCUUCAAAAUCAAUCUUUGCACUUUCAUUAAAGCAUAAAUUUAAUCCGGUUGUUGAUCAAUUGUUGAUUUUUUUUUCUUUUUUUGAAAGAUUAAUCAGUAUUAACAUUUGCUUUACAAAUUUUAAAACUCCAUCACAUGGUGCCUUGUUGUGCAUAAAAAUUAUUAUUGAUAUUUAACAAAUUUUGAUAAGAAUUAACUUCAAGUUAUUAAAGUUAAGAUUAUAAAAAAGAUGAAGAGUAAAUUUGGGCAUUUGAAAGUACAGAGACAGAAAUUUAAUGAAACCCAAAGUAUAGAGACCGAAAUUUAAGAUUACGCUAUUGAAAUGUCAUAAUUUGACACGAUUUCUGCCAUUGAUAUAAUAGUGGCCUCAAUGAUGCAAUUUUUGGACAACAAAUUCUUGAUUCUUCUGUAGUCUUGAAAUUUUUUAAUAUAUCCUUUCUUCAUUGUCAAACCAAUUUGUAUUUUUGCCCCUUUCCAUUGAGAUAAUUGAUCUAUCUUUUGCGUGUUGCCACUGUCAAUUUGUAAUUAUUGAACUGAAUAUUGGGUCUUCCUGUUAAUCUUAUAGCUGUAAUUUUUUGUUGAGAUAUUUGCCUCUUGCAGUUUAAUUUUGUUUUAGCACAAGGCAGGUGAAUAUGGCACAAGACUUAAAUCUUUUAUUGUUUCAGGCAAUUUCUAAAGAUGCUAUUCUAUCAAGAUGUAAAAUAAUUGCAGAACCUUGGGAUUGUGGAGGUCUUUAUCUUGUAGGAAGAUUUCCAAAUUGGGAUCGGUAGCUGCCUCUUUCCCUCUGCAUUAGUAUUUUGAGUUUCAAUAUACCUUUUGUUAGAGUUUCAUGUCCGAAAUAUAAAUGCAUGCAUUUUGUUUGCUUGAUAACCGUUUAUCUCAUAAGCUUAAGCUUUUAAAAUUAGUGGUAUCUUACAAGUUAGGUAUGAAUUAAUAACUGACAUAUGAUAUGAAAUAUGUGAUAUUUUCUUAUUUAUUUUUCAUGUUGUAUAUGUUAUUGAGCAUUGGUUUUUUUUUCCCCAAAACUUAAGUUAUCUUUUAAAGCCUAGUUGAACCCUUCUACAUCAGCUAUUUUGCCGACGUGUUCAUGAUUGUAAAUGAUAUGAAAGUUUAAUGAAUAUUGUCUUGUUAGAUUAGUUUACUUGUUUUUUUUAAACGAAAACAAGCCUCUUUAUUAAUAUAAAUAAAAGAGACAAAAGCUCAAGGUACAAGAGGCAUAUACCAAGAGAGAACAGAAAAAAAUUCAACGAGCUGGACAAGACCCUCUAGCACCCGAGCAAAACAAGAAGAAGAAAAUACAAAGCAAAGUGAAAAAACUUUCAAAAAGGAGCCCCAAAUCAGCUAAAAUCUUAAUCACAAAUGGCUUAAAAAAUGAAUGGAAAGGAAAACACCAAGAUAAGGUGACCAGCUGAGUUGCUUCAAGCUUGAUUUAAAAAUAGAAUUGUGUGCCCUGGAAGACUUGCUGAAAUCUUCCAUCUCACCAAAAAGAAAACUGCUUGUGUACUAUUGAAAAAGCCCAUCAAACCUCCAAAUCUUUGAACAAAAUUCUGAAAGGAAGAAAGAGAGAAGGAAAUACAAAGGAAAAGCCCAAACAUGAAAUCUCUCACUUUACAAAAAACCAUUAUCUUGCUUCAACAAUCCUUCCCAAACACCGUGAGAAUCAUCGGAUUCCCGUUCAAAUUUUAAGAUUAAAUGUCUGAGAAACCAUAAAACAUGUCUACUCCCAGAGCUCAAGCCAAAACUAACCCACAUCGAUUAGUUUACUUGUUAUGAAUGCACAUUAGAGAUUUUUACUUUGGGGUUACCAUGAUAGGUAUUUCUCCCUUUCUUAAUUAAAGCACCCAUCCAUUUUUGGUACAUUCAUUCAUGCAGGUGGGCUGAAUGGAACGGAAUAUACCGUGACGACAUCAGAAAAUUUAUUAAGGUAAUGUUGAGUGGGACAAAUUUUAUUUCUUUAUUUUCUCUUUUUUUGUAUGAGUCAAUGUUGGAUCAAAUAAGUUACUAGGAGGUGCAACCUAGUUGAGAUGCCUAAGUGCACCUACUGAUCCUAGUUAUGCUUUAUGCUCUUUGUGUAACUCUCGUGUACUUAGAGCAUUAGUCUCUUUCAUCUUAUAUCUAUAUGAAUAAAGAGACUUGUUUCCUUCUUUAAAAAAAAAGUUCACGGAGAGGAAUUUAUUUUCAUAAUUAUAUAAUAUUUUUAAUUUGAGGCUCUUAAUACUUAUAUAAUUUUGAAUUUCAGGAUAUAGGCAGUAGUUUCUUCUUUAAUAAAGGUCUUGCUGAAUGUGUAACAAUGAAUAGCUGAUGCAAAUUAAGUUCAGAAAACCCUAAACCCCAAUAAUCACUAAUAAGUGCUGGGCAGGAAAGGAACUUAAGAAAACCAUUUUUUUUGGACAACCUUAUUCUUUUCAUAUAAAUUCAAAAUCCAAAAACCCUACCUUACAUAUUAAUUAUAUUAAUCUGAUCAAAUUUUCAGGUUUAUGAGUAAAGGUGGUAUAAGUAGGUGAUUAACUGAUGGUAAAAACUUGAUAAACAGGUAGCACAAUGAAACCCCUAAUUGUCUUAACUUUGCAGUACGUAGUAGAAUAUUCAGUAACUGACAAUAGCCCAUAUACAAUAUAUUACAUCAAAUUUCUCCCUUUAGAAACUUGUCUGAGUAUUAGGAUGCUAAUUGAAAACUAUCAGAGUGAUACUACUCUAGAGGAUUAGCCGCACUGAAUAUGAUGCAUGUGAAAUCCAGUUGUUAACUCUACCCUACAGACUGUUCUUACCUUUGAAAAGAUAUAUAUUUGAUACGAUAUUAAGCAUUACUUCCUUUUAACUCUAAAGCUAAUGCCAAUGGUAACAUACCUUAAUGUUUUUUUUUUUUAACUUUUUCCUAAAUUAGGGUGACUGUGGCAUGAAGGGAAGCUUUGCAACUCGAGUAGCUGGGUCUUCCGAUCUUUACAAAGUAAGUUUUGGUGUUUCUUUCAAGUUAGUCUUGGUGAGAGUAGCUCUAGAGAGAGAGAGAAAGAGAGAAAAAUCUUGGUGAGAAUAGAUUAAGUACAUAGUUUUGGUUACCGACAAAUUGGGAAGCUUCUUGUUCCACUAUUGUAUUUUGUGAUAUAUGAUUACGGUGUGGAAUGUUGGCUAUGUUACUUGGCCCUUGGUUGUAUCCCUGCAAUAAAAUGUUGGUUCUAAUUGUGUAGAUCAUUCUGUAUCUUCAUAAUUAUUUAAUACUUAACUUCUGUCUUAUUUUAUCAAUAAGCUUACCAUGGUAUUAUUUUUGUUAUUCGAAAUAUCUUGUUUAGGCUUUUCACUUUGUCUACAGGUGAAUAAGCGUAAGCCUUGCCAUGGUAUUAAUUUUGUUAUUGCUCAUGAUGGAUUUACACUUCGUGAUCUAGUUUCUUACAAUGUCAAGGUAUGUAUAGUUGUCACGUCCCGAUUUUCUUUUGCAUUGAUCUUCAAAUCUAUCAUUUGACUUUAUCUUCUCGUUUGUGUAGCAUAAUGAUGCCAAUGGUGAAGGUGGAAAUGAUGGAUGCAACGAUAACUUCAGCUGGAAUUGUGGUUUUGAAGGUAUGUCCAAGCGAUCAAUGUAAUAUUGCUUUGAAUCGUGUUUCCUCUUCUAUAAACACUUAGAUUUGAACAUUAGUAGAGUUUCUUAGGGAAAUUCCCCUGUCGUUGGUGAGUAUCACGACAAUCACAAGGUUCAAGCUAGUAUGUUUCUUGGAAUACAUGCUGGGAAAUAUAAACGAUACUGCCAAAAAAUUUAGUGGAAAGUGGUAAUAAAGAGUGUUAGUUUUCUUCUCGUCUCCUGGUUAACUAAGAUGAAAGGCCUUUUCUGGAUCCACUUCCCUCGUAGGUUUACAGAUCCUCAUCCUGUUUUGUCUUCUUUUGGCCAGGGGAAUGUCCCUUUUUUACUCAUUGAACGAAAAAAUGGGUGCAAGUUAUGGGGGAUCAGGGCUUUGCGGAAUUUGACACAAGUUUCGUGGGAGAGUCCUGUCCCCUCAUCAAAUUGCUUGAAAAUUGUAUUUUUCCUUUUUAUUUGCCUGAUAUUUUAUUACUUUGAUUUCUGUUUCCUGUCGCGGAUCAUAGCAGACAAUUUUUCAUUCAGAGUGGGCUAAUAGACUGAAAGCCAUAAUCAGUUUAAAGUCCAAGUAUGAGCGAAAUCAAUCUGAAAACAAGAACUUUAAACAAUCAAUUACUCAGAGCAAAGUUUGGAGCUACAACCUUGCUCGAACAGGCUGUGUUCUAAAGUAAAGUUUUAGCUAAAAUGUGCACAGGAAAUAGGAAGGUCGAUGGGAAAGCUUGAUUCAUGAAGAAUUAGAAGAUUUCCUGUAUAUUAGGAACUUCCAAAGAUUUGGACCAUGUCCAGUGUUAAUGUUCCCCAAUAAAUUUGGACCAUGUCCAGUGUUGACUUUCCCCAAUAAACAUUUUAUUGAACAAGUGAGAUUUGAUGGUAGUGACCAAUGAAAGUCACAAGCACAAUUCCAUCCAUCAAGAAGCUUCCAGAUUUAAAUGAAAGAAGUUUGCCUUUGUCUUGAUGGCAUAAUAUGGAAGAAAUUGAAAAUUGGUUAAAGAAUGUUGAAAUUUCGAUGAAAUAUAGGGAGGCGUCAAAAGCAAAAAUAGUCCACUUGGUUGUCUUCCAGCUCAGGGAGGAACUUCUGCAUGUUGGAAAGCUUUACAUUAAGGUAGGAAACAACUUGAAGCCGUUAAAAUACCCUUUUGCAUUCUUCUUUCUUGCACUCAAUAUUUGCCUCUUGCUUGAAAUUUGAAAUGCCUCCGUGCUUUCAUACUUCUUGCACUCAGUCUUCGCAUCAUGCUUGGACUUUGAACAGCGAUCAACCCCUGCUAUUUUCUUGCAUGUUCACACUAUUUUGAGACUGUUGACAUGCAAAUAUUUUCUAUCAUGGCUCACUCUACAAGCAGCCAACAAUCUGUUGUAUGCUCCACCUCGUGUGAGCAUCACUGCUAUGAUUAACUUCCGUGGAGAAUAUCCAAAUUGCUUCAAGAAAAUACACUUGGUGAUUUGAAAACAAGGUGUUAGAAACAACCUUUAUGAAUUUGAGAAUGAUGUGUGUUUCGAGAAUGGUCUUGUUAGUAGGGGCAUAAUAGUCUGUGGGUUUUUGUUUAGACGAAUCACAAAUGGUAGUUAUGAAUUUGAGUCGGGAAAGUUAAUGCCAAGCAAAUAUUUGGGCAACCAUUGUGUUUCAAGGGAGAGAGAACCUUCCGGCAGGCUAUCAACCUUUGUGUUUUUUCUCAAUAUUAUUAGUUUAUGAAAAGAACCAAUCUAUAUAUUCUUGAUUUGCCACCUUCAUUUCUGGGGGCUAUCAAAUCCUAAAAUUACCACCAAACAAUGUGGUAUGCAAACUGGAAGUGGAACCACCUUUCAACAAGAUUACUUUUUUAGACAAAAAUCAUUUUUUUAAGUUUAGCUACGUCCACCCUUAUGUACUUUGCCACAUGGGAAAAAAAACCUUUCGAGACAGAAUCAUACACGUUUCAAACUCAGCUUCAUCAUUUACUAAUAAUAAGGUAUCAUUAGGUUCAAUACAUAUACAUGUUUCUCAAUGCCUAUUUAUGACAGGUGAAACGGAAGAUACAAGCAUUAAAGCUUUGCGCACAAGGCAAAUGAAAAACUUCCAUUUGGCUUUAAUGACAUCUCAGGUAUAAACAUUUCCAAAAUCCUUCAGCCAUAGAUGCAUCAUAUAGUGAGCGCCGAAGUUCUUUCAUAGUUCUGGAUGUUUUUACAAAGUUAGAUUGAGUAGAGAGUACUCGUUUACACACCUGGAAAAAAUCAUUUUUGAGUUGUUUCUGUUUAUCAUAGUGAAGCUUUUAGCAUCUCCGGUGGCAUGUACUUAUUCUUAUAAUAUCUCUAACGUGGUGUUGGAAUUCUGUUAGUUCUAUCUUCCCUCUUAUUUAAAUAAUGGGGACUAAUAUUGGUUUCUCGUUGCUUAUUUUCAGGGAACACCAAUGAUGUUAAUGGGGGAUGAGUACGGGCAUACUCGUUAUGGAAAUAACAAUAGCUAUGGACAUGAUAAUGCUCUUAACCAUUUCCUUUGGGAACAGGUGUUUGUUAUGUUACUAACCUUUCAUAGCCCUUGUAUAUAGUCGAAGUUCAUAUAAUAACUAUUUACUCUUUCCUUUAUUCUCAAUAAAAGUUGUUCCUUAUAAAAAGAAUAUAUAACAACCAUUUAUGUUUCUGGUCUGUAGUUAGAGGCACGGAAGAGGGAUCACUUCAGAUUUUUCUCUGAAGUGAUAAAGUUUCGAAGGAAGCAUCCCCAUUUAUUUAGCCGGGAAAAUUUUCUAAACAAGGUGAUUUUUCUUCACGUUUUUUUAAACCGUUCAAAAUAUGCUCCUCCUGGGAUUAACCGAGGAUUCAUUUCAGAAUGAUAUAACUUGGCACGAAAGCAAUUGGGACAAUCCUGAAAGUAAAUUUCUUGCCUACACGUAAGUACUCUUCAAUUCUGCAAAACUUGAAAAUUCAUGUUUGUUUUGCGAACUCCAUCAUGCACGAGUUAUGAAUUUCAGCAGGAUUUCCAUUUUGAUUUUAUUAUUGAAUCAGCAUAAUCAGCACCCUACCAUCUCAUUCAGCUCAUACUGAGCAACCAAUAUAAUGGACGUGCAUGAACCUCGAUUGAGUAUUACUUACCUUAGAGAUUGAACAUUAACUUCUCUUAGAAUUUCUAUCUAGGAUAGUACUGAGCUUGUUGUGAACGAACAUCCCUCUUGUGAAAACCAAGCGAAAGAAACCUUUGGCACCUGAUUAAAUAGUUAAGAUUUUGAUGCAUAGCUCAUCUUAUUGUUUGUAAACGCCUAUUAGCCUUUUGUUUGGAAUUCAUUGAAGGAACUGUUUGUACAUUGUAAUUUUAUCAUACUCUAUAAUCCGUUUAGCAGUACAGGUUUCUCAGAUGCAUAUAUAUAUAGAUAGAUAUAUAAUGUAUGUAUGUAUUCACAUUCUCACUUAACUGGGAAUAAGUCCAUGAAAUUUUGUGUUCUGAUUAGCCCAUCUUUUUUGAACUGGCUUCGUGUAAUGUAAAAUGAUCAUGCAAUCUUUUUGCGGAACCUUUGUGUUUUAUGUUUUGACGAUUGAUGUUUACAGGCUUCAUGAUGAUAAUGGAGAAGACGUUUACUUGGCAUUCAAUGCUCACGAGUAUUUUGUCAAUGUUUCGUUGCCCUCUCCUCCAACAAAGCGAAAAUGGUUUCGUGUGGUUAGUUUUUCCCUUGCCAUUUCUUGCUUCUAACUUCUUGUUACUUUACUUUUCCCAAAAUUGAAGUCUCAAGAAUCAUUCAUGCACAGUUAAAAAGACACUCUUGGUCUCUAACCUUUCAUAGAAAUAACAGUUCAGUUUAUGAACUUUAUUUGACAAUGAUACAGUUUAGAAAAACUAUUUUAAAUAACAAAAUUCUGUAAAUGUUUACGAAUAUAACAAAAUAUCACAUUCUUUGUGUGAUAGAUCACAAUAUAACAAAACAUCACAAUUUUUGUGUAAUAGGCCAUGAUAAACUACAAAUAUACCAAAAUAUUUUUCAUCAUACAUUGACACAAAUAGUAGUCUAUUUUGGUCAAUCGUAGAUGGGUUACGAUACUUUGUUAUAUUUUUUAUAUCAUUUUUCUAUAUUUGAAAAUAACUCUUUAGUUUAUGUAAUUUUAAAAUUUUAACAAUAUAGUCUGAAAAAUCACAUCAAAAUUAAGCCUCAACUUUUAUCACGUAACAAGUUGGCCUUUAUAAUUUAUAAUAAAAUUGAUUUCCAAUUGAUUUAUCAGUCUACACAACUAAGAAAUUUCAUUAAAUCAUAAUAAUAUUUUUCAACCAAAUCAUUACAACUUGUCAAGUAUAUAGACUAAAUUACUAUUAACUAAAGUUUAUUAACUAAAUUGUUACAAAUUUGAAAAUACAUAGACCAAAUCAUUACCUAAAAAAGUUCGAGGAAAAAAAAUGUUUAUUAACCUACCAUUCGAAACUCAUUAUACAACACAUCCUGCAAGAAAUUUAGCUCGGUAGAACUAAAGUUCACAUUUUAAUGCAUAUUUUUCAAACAAAGUUCGUAAAUGAAACUUUGUGGCUUUUCUAAUUUCUCAUGCAGGUGGACACCAAUCUGGAGUCUCCCCAUGACUUUGUACUGGAUGGCAUUCCGGGGGUUGGAAGCUCCUAUAAUGUGGCUCCCUAUUCCUCAAUUCUUCUGAAAGCCAAUUUAGAAAACGAUCUUCUUUGAUACUAACUCUCGUUUGAUACUAACUCUAUAUAUAUUAAAUAAAUCAAACCAUAUUAGGCAGAGGAAUCAAAUUCUGUACAAGAUGACCAUUGAAUUAUUAUGGAAGAAAUAAAUUAUGCGCUCUAAUGGAGGGCGUGCAGAGCUAAUCUCAGCAUGGAUUCCAGGUACUUGUACUUUUAUGUUUAUUGCGUGUUGGAAAGUUCUUUUUCUCCCUUCUUAUUAGAUUGGAACAUUGUUUAUUAUUGCAAUUACUUCCUUCAAUCGUUGGAUAUAUGUGAAUAAUAUUCGAAUGCUUUUGGAAAUAGAAGUAGAUUCAUUUUAGCACUUGGCAGAGUUGGUAAUCUAGUACUAUGACAGUAUCUUCAUACCAUAAAUUUGAAUUCAUGAUUAUUAGUGGAACUUAAGAGGUCAUACCCUAUUUUUAAAAGUGUAUUGACAUAACAUAGUAUUGGAAAUUUUCUCCGUAUAGACAACUAAAAAAGUAUUGGGAAUUCAACCAUGAUCUUCAAUUAGUUAGAGAUAGAAUUAGAAUUGUUCUCACAAGUUUUAAGAGAGUUUUGCUUCAAACUCGUGAAAAGAUCAAAUAUUUAGGUGAUGAAACGAAGCUUUGGAUGUCAAUUUUUCAGCCAUACAGUUUUAGAGUAAGAUCAUUAGAAAUGUGACAAAGAAGAAUUGUCUCUAUCAAUUAUCUCAUAUAAUUCGUGAUUGAGCUUCUCUAAUAAAAGGAGACAAAGGAAGUCGAAGUUCUCAGUCUAGAAUACUAAAAAAGAUAUACAUUAAUUACAAAUUAUAGAAUAGUUAAAAAAAUAUAUAUUUAAAAUGAUAAAAUUAUAGAAUUUAAUUUAAUUUUUGGUGAGAAAUAAACUUAACGAGUAAGAUAAGAAAGAAAAGAGGAAAAAGGAGAGAAAGAUGGUUGUAAGAAACACGUGUCAAGAGAAAAUGUUGAAAAUAAUAUAGUAGGGUUGAGAAAAAGCAGUGGACAGCUGCCCUCUUGCUAUUUCAUAGGGAAAAAGGGUUCUUUUUAGUAGUAGUGGUGGUGGUGGUGACCGGUGACUGGUGCUUUCCUUAACCAUUAUACGUGGAAUGUCACAUGGAGUGACAAUGUUGUAAUUAUUGGAUUCCUGCUUUUCGCUGUGACAACUGUCGUCUUAACCGGCCCACUCGGUGACAACCCAAUUACCACUAUCAAUUGAUACCCUCUUCCUCCCUUUUCUUUUUAUUUUCUAACAACCACAAUCAAGAAUGUUUUUGGACCUUUGUCCCUUCAAAUAUUUUGGACAUAAUGUAUCCGCUUGUGAUUUUCUUUGUUACUUCCGGAGAAACAAAGAUAUUUGUGUUUUAAUUGCAUUUGAUGUAGAGAAAGUUAAGGUGGUAAUUAUUAUAGCGAAAAAGUGAUCCUGAGAGAGUUAACAUGAAAAAUUAUGGUUGGGUCGGGUUAGAUUGAUAGGUUAGUUUUUAUUUUUUCAUCUCUUUAUAAUUUUGAUAAAAUUUUGUAUUGUUUUUCAAUUUGUGAGAUGAACAAAUUGUCGUUUGCAAUGUUUCAUAUAUGUGUUGUAUAUUCAAAUUUUAAGUUUACAAUAUCCAUUGAAAAUGAUGUUUAGGUUUAUAUAUUAUAUACAUAAUUAGAUUAGAUUUGGUCAACUUGACCCCUUACUUGCAUGAUCUGGUUACCCGGUUCAACUUUUUCCUCCUCCAAUUUUCUAACUCAAUCCAACAUAAAAUUUAAUCUAAUCCAAUCUUUAUGAUUUGGUCUGGAUAAUUCGAGUAGUUCAGUUAUCAGGUUUUUUUAACCUUUAAGUAAUAAACUUUUUUAAUUAUUUGUGAGUGUUUUCUUACUCGCCCAAUUGAGUGUGAUGCUUUGUGGAUUUGUAACAUUUGGAUUUUUUUUCAUUUAUUGUUUAAAGUGACUCAAUUGAGUUCUUUCCUUUUACACAAUUUUCAAUUGACCACUUUAAGGUCGGUGAAUUUAUAAAUUGGUUAUUGGUAAACAUGUGUUGGAUGAUAUUUUGAGUGAAUUGGCAAAGAUUUGGAGAAAUAAUUGUUAGAAGUGGACGAAAGUGAUUAUAGAUUUAGAAGUGAGUUAAAGACGUGGAAUCCUUUGGAUGAUAUAAAAAAUAAAACUAUUUUUUUUUUAGAAUGUCAUAUCAUAAGAAGGUCAUUGUCUUUAUCAAUUACAUGAAUCCUUUCUUCUCUAAGUUUUUGUCAAUCCAACAAGUAUUAUGUUAUCUAGUCUAUCAUAAACAAACUCUAAUUUGUCGUUAAAGGUUUAACUCAAUCGAUACAUGUAUGUAUCUAAAGACUAAGAGGCUUUGGGUUUAAAUCUUCAUUUUUCGUACAACUUUCAAACAAAACAAAAAACAAACUAUAACAUUUAACCAUAGUUAAAAAUUGGUCUAUAAUUCAAAUCUUUCUACACUCCAUUCUCUACGAGAUGGUUAUGGAUUAUUAAAAAUAAAACCAAUACAUAGCCUUACUAUGGAAACUCUUUAUAUCCAAAUAAUAAAUAUUAAGAAUCGAAACAUAUAUUUAACUUUGAAUUAUGAGUCAAGUAAGAUUUCUUCUUCACAUAUUGGUUCACUACAAGAGAGAAAAAAUCCAACUCUAAGAUCUAAAUUGAUCCUUGAAUAUUAUAAUAGUUGAAGAUUAUUUUAGUAGUAUUGUGUUAUUCAAAUUCUCAUUCUUUGCUUUUUCUUCCCGAACUCUACUUGGCCUUGUGUACUGGUUGGAUCUACUUCAUCACUUUUAGUGUUAACACCACUAUGGCUUCUAAUCCCACCACCUUCCUUAAACAAAUAUUAAACAAUCAAACAAAGUUUGACUAUAAUAUUGGCUUCAUUUUGUUCUUAAAUUAAAUACAAUUUUGCUCAAACUAUGAGCUUUAAUAUAAUGAAAGAUUCAUUGUAACUAAUUUUAUCUUACAUCAAAGCCAAGAAGAAGAAAAAAGAUUGUUUUAUGAAAACAAUCAAGAUCUACAUAUUGAGGAAAUUCAAGGAAUUAAUUAACGUAAACCUUGGAAUUCAUGUUGAUUCUAAUUUGAUAAUUUUCAUAAGAUUAGAUUUUGUAUGUGAAACAAAAUGUAAUUGUAAUCAAUGAAUCUGUUUGGAUUCAUGUUCUUCUUCUUAUUAUUAUUAUUCUUUUGUUAUAGUGCUCCAAGCACAAGGAGGAAGUGGGACUUUCUCAAGAAUAUUUUUUGUGCAUUAAUGGUGGGACAAUUUUGUGGGUAAAUGAUGAAAUUAUUUGGCCAAGAAUCCCACUGUUCCUUCUAACCUCAACAUCAUAUUUGGGAACAAUUCUCCUUCUUGGUAACUUCAACUUAUUUUAACUGUUUUCAAUUUAUGAUAUUACCCCUUAGGUUUAACCAUUCAUCUCUUUCUACAUUUCUUUUUUAAAUGCCAGUUUGAUCCUUCCACUUGUAAAAUUAUUUUCACUUUUCUGUAUUUUCAAAUUUUCAAACUUUCAAAUUUAAAUUUUGGGGUUUUGGAUUUUUUUUUUAUAAAAAAGUAAUUUUUUUGGAUAUUAAAUAUUGAAAUUAACUACUUAUUUCUUUUGUUUUAGUCGCAUGUGUUUGGAUUGCAUUUUCAAGUGAUUAAAUUAAAAAAUAAUUUAUAAAAUAAUGUGAUUUAGGAUAAACACCUAAAAUCAAGUUUUAGAAAAAUAAAAUGUGUAGUUUUAAUGUUUAAUUUUCUUAAUUUAUAUGAAACAAUCAGACCAACACUUUUAACUAUCCUCACCCACCAACCUUCUAUAAUCAGUUCUGUCAACUGUCGUUGUCCAACUUUCUUUCACCGUUUUUUUUUGUGGUCGUUGCCUAUCAAUCUUGUUGGUCAUUUUUCUCUGAUCGUUGUUGGUUUAUUUUUACCAAUUGUUUUAUGGUAACCGUUCGUUUUUCUGUGACUGUUAUCAGCCAACUGCUAACAAACUUUUUUUUUUGUGUGUGAUUAUCAUCGUUUAACUUCCAAUGACCACUGUUGCCAACAUGUGAAUAUCAUUUUACAACGAUUGUUUCUGACCACCUAAAACCAUCAUCCUCGAUGAUUGUUGUCUAACUUAUAUCCAAAUCUCCACUGACAAAUUAUAUAUAUAUAUAUAUAUAAUCUUUUGCUCUAUUAGGUACAAAUCAAACAAGUUUUCACCUAAAAACACUAUUGAAAAAAGAACAUACAUGUGUUUUUCUUUGGAGAAGUUUUUUAAAAAAUUAUUUAAAUAAAAAUGUGUUUUCUAGAAAAUAUUUUUUUCUAAAGUAAUUCCAAUCAUAUCCAAUUUUGUAAAAUAUAUAUAUAUAUAUAUAUAACAUGCAUAGUGUAAUUUCAUUUAAAAUAUAAAUGUAAACUCCCAUUCGAUAAUUGGGCAAAAAUCUAAUCUAAUAUUAUAAUAUAAUUUGUUUAUUUAUUCACAAAUAAUGUAACAAAAAAGAAGUAAAUAUUAAAAAAGAAUAUUGAAAAGGGAAGUUUGAUUUAAAAAUAGAAAAAAUUACAGAAAAGAAAUACGAAUACCAAAACGUGUAGUUGCAACAGACAAAUUUUCUUUUAAUUUUCUUUCUUCUCAGUACACCAAAAGACAUUCAUUCAUUCAUUCAUUCUUUGACACUCUAAUAAAACAAACUCAAUCAAUUUUGUCCUAAUUUACAUCUUUGGAUCUAACCUUAUCUUAACAUUAAUAUUAAUAAAUCUCCCCCAAAAUAACACAUUGUUUAUAUAUAUAUAUAUAUCAACUUUGUUUUAUUAUAUUUUUAUUUUAUGAUAUCUUACUCUUUCAAUUCAAAAUCUUUCUUUAACCACUUCUUCAUUUUUGUUCCCUUUUCACCAAUUCUCUCUUCUGACACUUUGAAACAUAACCUUCAAUUAAAGAAAAGAAAAACAUAGAAUCAACUUUUAAAUAACUAUACUUUUCCUCUUAAAGUAAUCAUUUAUUAGAUUCAAUUUUAUAUCAUUUUAUUUUAAAUUUGUAACAAUCUAACCUAUAAUAUAAAUAAAAUUUAUCAAAAUUUGUUGCCGACAUCUAGACAUGGUGUUUUAUGAAGUUAUUCUAAAUAGUCUAUUGAUUUGUUUAUGCAAACAAAUUCAGUGAAUUGUCACAUUCAAUUCUAUAAUAAUAACUAAAUCAUUACAAAUUUAAAAUACAAAGACUAAAUUGCUAUAUAAUAAAGUUUAAGAAUCAAAUGGUUACCUACUAAAAUCAAAUAAUAAAGAAAUAUUUUAUUGUAUAUACAUUUAAACUGUUUUUCUCAUAUUAAAAUUUAUAUUUAAAUUUAGAGAAUUAUCUAUAUUUAUUUUAAUCUAUAAAUAAAAUAUCCUAAAAAGACUUUGGUGUUUAGUAUUAAUAUAUAUCAUAUCUAUCUAAACUUUUGAUUAAAGUCAUAGUACAUUCUCUCAUUAUAUUUCAAAAUUUUUUAAAUAAGUUUGAAAAUGGUUGAGGCUAUGCAUAUUUGGUUUAUAUUUUCAAAAUGUAUCAGAUUUAUAGACUUCAACCUUUAUGCUUUAUGUCACAUAGAAUAUUAUUUUUAACUUCCUUAGUUUAACGUUAUAUUAUAUAUACAAACAUAUGUAUAUAUAUAUAUAUGAAACUACUCAAAAGUCAUAUGGUUGGAUCAUCAUACCAAUAUUAAAUUAACAAUGUUUGCUAUUUUUGCAAAAGUCGUUAAUUCAAUUAGUUUUUUAAAGUAUAACGAUGAAACAUAUACCUAAAUCUCAAGGUUAAAGAACAAUAAAAUUCAUAAUUUACCCAUCAAUAUAAGCAUAGGUUAAUAGGUCAAUGACUAUGUUUUUUCCCAGUUUAAUGCUUGGAUGAAACCAAGUUGUGUCUAAAUUGAGAAGAGUUGUGACAAUUGACAUUUACUCACAUAGGUUUAAAGGAAUUUCACACUCUUUUUUUUUUGUCGAAAUUAGUGGCAACUAAGCAAAAAAUUAAUCAUAUAGAAAAUGAAAUCAAAGUCUUGUAUUAGCUGAAUAAUAAAAAUAUGGAUGAUCAUGAAUAUGUAAGACAUGCGUAAUAGUUAUCUCCAAUGUCACGAGCUUAUUGGUGAAACUAAAAGAGAAACACACGAAAGUUUAUACUCGAAAUAAACAAUAUAUCAUACUAUAGAUUAUUAGAUAUGUAGAGUUUCGCUAUCCCAACAAGUAGUAUUAGAGUCACACUCUUAACUUAUUCAUGUCGAUACAAUCUAGACAAGAGAAUUUGACCACAGAUAAGAGGUAAACGAAUAGAUGACUAUUUGAGAGAAAGCUGAAUAGUCGAUUGUUUAAGGAUAUAGUUGUUGUAUGAAAGUUUUUGCAAUAAGUAAGCAAUAUUAUAUCAGUAUGAAACCAAAUACAUAUUUGAAUAAUAUACACUCAUUUAUCAAAUAACUUGAUUGUUUUGCUUUUUACCUUUACUAAGUAAUUCAGUUCUAUUUUUUCUUAUCUAUUUUUCACCAUCAUCAAAUAACUCAAUUUACAAACUUUAUCAACUUGGUCAUAUUAACUUCAUACUUAUAGUUAAGCAAUCUCUAUUAUUUUUCAAAGAAAAACAAAAACAAAUUCGGCAAAUAAUCGGUUGCCGUUAAGUUAAGAAGUUAAAGUUUAUGAGCUGAGGGUGAAACCUUUUGACAGCUCUUAACACCGUCAAACUAACUUUGACCAAUGCGACGACUAACUCAUUCUCUCUUCUUCCCUCCAUAAUUCACACGCGCCCACGCGUGUGUUCAUUUAUAUAUAUACACACACACACACAUUAUAUAUAGGUAUAAGCCAUUGCAGAACCCUUCUCUUCUCUCAUCUUCAACCUCUUCACCUCAAACUUCUCUCUUUUCUCUUCUCUUCCCAUUCUUCUUCACCACCAUGGCUUCCUCCUCUGCCUUCGUCUUCGUCGUUCUCUUAGCUUUAAUAGCCGCCUCUCUUGGCCAAGCUCCGGGCGCCGCACCGGCCUCUUCUCCAACCAAAUCGUCCCCAGCCUCCUCUCCUAAAUCUGCACCUCCACCAACAGUGGCGACUCCUCCAUCAUCUUCACCCCUUGCUCCGUCCGGCGUUGCUCCCGCUCCUUUCACCGCAACUUCACCACCAGCUAUGGCUCCGGCUUCUUCUCCACCAGCUCCACCUACUGCUCCUUCCGACUCACCAAUGAUCACUCCAGUUCCAUCUUCUUCCAUCUCAAACCCUCCUGCACUGGCUCCGUCGCCAACAUCCACUCCUGGAAGUGGCGCUUUCGUGAACAGAAUCGCCGUCUCUGGAUCUAUCAUAGCUGCUGUAAUUUCCUCCGCUCUACUUCUUUAAAUGCAAUCAGUCUAUCUUCACUUUCCUCUGGAGACGCAGAUCUUAGGGUUUCAUUGUCGGCAUUAGUCGUUGCUGUAGUUUUCUUAGUAUAUUUUUUAUUUUACUCUUAUUUUUGGUGUACUUAGGGAACCGAGAGGAUUAGACGGUGGCCGCUUGAUGAUUAUUGUUAUUUAUUUGAAUUUCUUUCUUUAAUUACUGUUCUUUAGUCGAUUUGUACUUCAUUCUCAUUGUUACUAUCAUUACUAAUUAGAUCUUAUAUUAUCUCUUAAUCUGCCGGAUCUAU